CUGUUCGGGUUGGAGAUUGGAUCAUGCCCGUGGACUUGCUAGCUUUGCAUAAACUCGAGGAGUUUGACGUUGUGUUGGGCAUGGACUGGUUGACCAAGUACUUUGCCACCAUUGAUUGCAAGAAUCGAACGGUGACGUUUAGAGAGCCGGGGCAGGCGGAGGUUGUGUACCGAGGAUGCCAGAGUUCGCUGUUUGCGAUGACGAUUAGCUCCUCUCGAGCUAGGCAGUUGAUUAGUAGAGGCUGCGGAGCCUAUUUGGCUACUGUUGUAUUGCGGGAUGAUGCAGACGCCCCUAGGAUUGAGGAUAUCCCCGUAGUACGGGAAUUUGGAGAUGUGUUCCAAGCAGAGCUACCAGGCAUGCCGCCUGAUAGAGAGAUUGAGUUUGUGGUAGAUUUCGUUCCCGAGACUACUCCAAUCUCAACGGCGCCUUAUAGGAUGGCACCGGCGGAAUUGAAGGAGCUGAAGGCACAGUUGCAGGAUCUUCUGGACAAGGGUUUUGUGCGACCGAGUGUGUCACCUUGGAGAGCACCGGUCCUAUUUGUCAAGAAGAAGGAUGGAUCACUUCGCUUGUGCGUGGACUAUCGUGAACUUAAUAAAGUCACGAUCAAGAACAAGUAUCCAUUGCCGAGGAUCGACGAUCUAUUUGAUCAGCUUCAGAGAUCUUGUGUGUAUUCCAAGAUCGACUUGCAGUCGGGAUAUCACCAGUUGAAGAUCAGACCUGAGGAUGUGUCGAAAACGGCUUUUAGAACACGGUAUGGACAUUAUGAGUUUACUGUCAUGCCGUUUGGGCUUACUAAUGCCCCGGCAGCUUUUAUGGAUUUAAUGAACCGUGUUUUCAAGCCUUACCUAGACAGGUUCGUCGUAGUAUUCAUCGACGACAUUUUGGUCUAUUCCCGAAGUGAUGCAGAUCAUGAGGAACACUUGAGACUUGUACUUCAAGUGCUUCGGGAAAAGAAGCUCUAUGCCAAAUUGAAGAAGUGCGAAUUUUCGCUUAGAGAGGUGGCGUUUUUGGGCCAUGUGAUUUCAGGAUCAGGCAUAGCAGUGGACCCGAGAAAAAUUGAAGCUAUCAAGGAUUGGCCGAGGCCAACGAGUGUCACAGAGAUUCGGAGCUUCAUUGGUUUGGUCGGCUACUAUCGACGGUUUGUUGAGGGAUUUGCAAAGUUAUCUACUCCCCUCACGAAGCUCACGCAUAAAGGAACGAAGUUUGUUUGGAAUGAUGCGUGUGAAAGGAGCUUCCAAGAGCUAAAGCGGCGAUUGACGACCGCCCCGAUCCUAACCUUGCCGACUACUGGAGCAGGGUAUGUGAUUUAUAGUGAUGCUUCCCUUAAUAGAUUGGGCUGUGUCUUAAUGCAGGAUCGGAAAGUGAUCGCGUAUGCAUCCCGCCAAUUGAAGGAAUAUGAAAGAAACUAUCCCACCCAUGACUUAGAGUUGGCGGCCGUGGUCUUUGCUUUGAAGCUAUGGCGCUAUUAUCUCUACGGCGAGCGAUGCGAAGUAUAUACGGAUCACAAGAGCUUAAGGUAUUUAUUUACUCAGAAGGAGUUGAACUUGAGGCAGCGCAGAUGGUUGGAGCUACUCAAGGAUUAUGACUUGACUAUACUUUACCACCCGGGCAAGGCUAACGUGGUGGCGGAUGCGCUAAGCCGGAAAUCGACGGAGAACUUAGCGAUGUUUGUGGUUACUCAACCGCCGUUAAUCGAGCAGAUGAAGCGGUUGAAGUUGGAGGUGGUGGCUCCUGAUACACCUUUGAGACUGAUGACUUUGGUGGUGCAACCUACAAUUUUGGAAAGGAUUAAGGAAAAGCAAGCUUCCGACUCGGAGUUGCAAAAGAUUCGAGCUAAGAUGGUUGAUGGUUGCACCGGUGACUUCACUUUAGACGGUGAUGGGUCGAUGCGUUUCCGCGGACGACUUUGUGUACCAGCGGACUUGAGCAUUAAAGAGGAUAUUCUUCAAGAAGCACACCGAGCACCGUAUGCUAUACAUCCGGGAGGCACCAAGAUGUACAAGGACUUGAAGUUGCUUUAUUGGUGGCCCGAAAUGAAAAAGGAUGUUGGUGAGUUUGUUGCUAGAUGUCUGACUUGCCAACAGGUGAAGGCUGAGCACCGAGUUCCUGCGGGGAAGUUGCAGAGCCUACCGAUUCUAGUGUGGAAAUGGGAAAAGAUCACCAUGGACUUUGUGACGGGAUUGCCCCGCUCACAGGCUGGGCAUGACGCUAUUUGGGUGAUCGUGGAUAGGCUGACGAAAUCGGUACAUUUCAUACCUAUCCACACUACUUGGACUGGUGAGAGACUUGCACAGGUUUAUUUGGACGAGAUUGUGCGAUUACAUGGGGUACCUACUUCUAUAGUAUCAGAUCGAGACCCCCGUUUUGCAUCCCAUUUUUGGAGAAGCUUACAGGAUGCUUUGGGUACGCACUUGGAUUUCAGCACUGCCUUCCACCCCCAGAGCGAUGGGCAGUCGGAGCGUACAAUACAGACCCUCGAAGACAUGCUUCGAGCCUGUGUGAUUGACUUCCAGGGAGGAUGGUCGCAGCAUCUACCGAUGGCAGAGUUUGCUUAUAACAACAGCUAUCAAGCAAGCAUCAAGAUGGCACCGUUCGAGGCACUAUAUGGACGGAAGUAUAGAUCGCCACUUCAUUGGAGUGAAGUUGGCGAGAGAUUGGCUUUAGGCCCAGAUGUGCUCCAGGAAGCAGAGGACAAGGUUCGCAUUGCUCGGGAGCGAUUGUUGACAGCCCAGAGUAGACAGAGGAGUUAUGCUGAUCGGCGUCGACGACACUUGGAAUUUUAGAUUGGAGACCAUGUUUUCUUAAAAGUCUCGCCGACCAAAGGAAUUAGAAGAUUUGGAAUCCGGGGUACGUUGAGCCCCCGAUUCAUCUAACCGUUUGAGGUUUUGGAGCGUGUAGGCCCUGUAGCGUAUCGACUCGCUCUACCGCCAAACCUAUCGGGUGUACACAAUGUGUUCCAUGUAUCGGUCCUUCGGAAGUACAUCCACGACCCGGCUCAUGUUUUCCUUUGGAGCUGAGGGAGGACUUGAGCUUUGAGGAGCAACCUUUGAGGAUUUUGGCUCUCGAGGUAAAACAAUUGCGAAACCGCGAGAUUCCAUACGUGAAGGUGCUUUGGAGCAACCACGACGAGCGCGAGGCCACUUGGGAGCUGGAGAGCGCACUGAGGGAGCGCUAUCCCCAUCUUUUUCAGAUGGAGGCUUGAGGUACUUGUCAUCUUGAGUUUCGCGGAUGAAACUCCCUUUUAGGAGGGGUGAAUGUAGCACACUGGACCUUUGCAAAUUGCGAGGUUCGAGUGUUUGGAUGUAUUUCGAGCUUUUCCACACUUGGUGGAGGGUUGUGGAAUGUUUUCCGACCUAAAAAGUUCGAAAACUAGAAUUCUAGACAAGUCCUGAGAGUUUUUACUCUCGGGGACCGGCCCCUGAAAGGAGAGACCGGUCCCCCAGUGAGCAGUGUUGCGGCAGUCUUGAGGCAACCGGUCCCUGGCAGGCGAGACCGGUCCCCGAGCGCGCCUACGCAGCGAGAGACCGGUCCCGCACAGGAGAGACCGGUUCCCGAACGUUGGUUUUUCGGGUUCACGGCGAGAGACCGGUCCCUGCUAGGGAGAGACCGGUCCCUCUGGGCGAAAACUGCCCAGUUCGGGCUUAUGUAAAUUUGAGUUUUUGAGGGGCCUCUCCGAAUUUUGUUACACUAGAUGGGCUUAUUAGCCAUUUCCCUCUCUUCCCUCCUCAUUUCUCACCCUCACCCUACACCUUCUAGAGAGAGAAGAAGAAGAAGGAGGUGAAGAAGAAGAGAAGCUUGCUUGAGGGAGCUUGGAGCUCAACCCCUUUCUCUCUUUUCCACCCUUACUUGGCUUGGAGCUUGCUUGCAGAGCUUGGUGGUGGACCAAUCUUCAACCCUAGAAGAUUUGGAGCUUGUUUGGAGGCAUCUUGGGAGGUUAGUACUUGGAUUCUACCCUUUGAUCCUUGAUUUGGUAGGUUUUACCAUAUGAAACCCUAGAAUGGAUAUUAGGGUUGAUUUUUGGGGCUUUUUGAUCUAGGGCUUUUGAGGCUAGAUUGAUUGGAUUUGAACCUUCCUUGGGCUUGGAUUGGAAGGGAUUUAGCUCUCUUUUGGAGCUUUAGAGAGAUUUUCUACACAUUAGGUGAGUUUUAGCCCUUUUGCCUUGUUGGUUAAUGUUUGAUCUUAUAAUUGAUCGUAAUGCCCGUGUAUCUCUUCGCUCAAUACUUUUAGGGUAUUUUGAGACUCGUGGACAACUUCGUUCGGCGAAUCGAGGCACUACGCGACGGUUUGGUGGGUUUGACCUAGCCACACAAUGAGAAAAUCUCAUUUGUGAUGUUUUGAGUAUCGUUAAAUAAAAAAGCAUGCAUAAUCAUGUUAGAUAUAUUUAUUAUGAAUUUUAGAAUGCUUAACAUGCAUACAUUAUGUAUAGUAAAUUUUUGGACCUCUAUGUGGUAGGUGCAUGCAUGUGGGAUGUAGCAUUCUAGUGGAAACUUGGAACCAUGAUUCCUAUUAUGAAAAUGAACAUUGCUUUCUUGCAUUUAACCUUAUGCCUAAUUGUGACAUUAGGGACUUGGAAGCCUUGAGAGGCUUGGGGACUUAGACUAUUUGAGAUUUUGGGCCAAUGUCAUAAAGAGGCAUUGAGCCCCGGGCUAUAGUGAACAUUGGUAUUAAUGUCAUAUUUGGAACAUAAAACAUGAAUUGAGCUUGAUUAGUUGUGAUGCUUAAGUGUCAUAAAGAGGCACUAAGGAAGUGAGUGUUGAGUUAUCACAUUGUGACAUAGAGCUAGACCUUUCGGUUACUAGUAGCUAUUGCCAUGUUUGAGACAUGAGGGUUGGAUACUUGAGCCUUGACUACGCUUGCUUGCCAUUUGUGCUCAUUCGCACAUGCUUGUGAGGGUCGCUCCCUACAAGCCGGCACUCCGGAGUUAGCCUACGCGACCUAUGUUCGCUCGUGCGGUAUUGAGAAGCCUACGGGAUCGAGUGGGAUAGACACAUUCCAAGAGUAGGGAUGUUGGGCUACCACAGGCACUUAGGCGGCACAAGCUGGACUACCUUGGGUAGGUCCUUAAUUGGAAAUGAAAAUAGACACAGGGUCGAGUGUGUUAUAAUCACUACUAGAUAGAGAGUAGUAGUUGGAUUACUUGGACUUGCUUCUAGCAUAGCUUUGGACAUUUGAGUAUACAUACAUACAUGUAGCAUGCUAGGAGAGGUUGCUUAUUAUAUUCAUAUAUACAUUGUUGCCAUGGUAAAGCAUGAUCUUUAUAACUUCAUUAAGUAAACCGUGAUAUUUACUUGUGGCCAUGUAGAGACAUAAUGGUUAUGACAAAGUAAAGGUGCAUCAUAUUAACAUCCUGUUUAAUCGCAGUGUAGUAGUUUAGCAUUUUUUCUUAUGCUUUUACAAAUGCAAUUUAUUCCGUUCUAUUGCUCUUUUUGGCUUACCCUUUCUUUUGGGGCCUAGUGGUGCAUUGAGCUGAGGUCAGUAAUUGCCCACUCGGAACUAUAAAUUAUAGUUCUCACGCCCUCUGUUUUAUGUUUCCUUUCAGAGCCUUCCACGCCGGGAGAGGCUAGGGACCGCAGGAAGGGAGUUGUUUCGAGCUAGCUUCCUUCGAGGACGAUUGGAUAGGUGGUCUACCUCUCAUGGCUUUUCUUCUUGUGAGAGGUUGAGAGUUUACCCAUGUACUAGAGACCACCAUUUUGUACCUUUGAGGCAGAUUCUGUAUUACCUUAUGUUUUACUUCUAUGGUUUAGUAGUGAUCUUGUACUCUCUUUAUAGAUGAUAGAAUCAUACUUGCUCUGAUAUCUCUAGCUGUAGAUUAUUUCUUGCUUUUACUUCCGCUUUUAUUGUAGACGCCUUAUAUGUGUAGACAUAUGGCGGGUCUGGGCACGCUACCGGGAGGGCCUCCGCCGGUCCCGGGGCGUGACAUUUCAUCUCCUUGUAUGCUUCCCGAAGGAGGAUCUUUGAUUGGGUCAACGAUCUAAGAUUUUGGCUAGCAGUAAUUUUUGGCACGCCCGGCGGGACACUUGUUCAGGUAAAAUUUUAUUUUAUUCAUUAUAAGUUAUGGUUGAUGACAAUGCCAUGAAUCUCCGCAACCGAGUUGUUCCUCAAGCAUUUGAGAAUGAUCAAGCCAAUAAUACUGAGAACGCGAAUGAGCGUCAUGCAAUAUUACCGGUAGAGGGUGAGACUAGUGGUCAAUCGGGCUAGCAAGAGACGAGUUUGGCUCAGGCGCUUGGACAGAUGACUCGCGUCUUACAAGUGUUAGACCAAAAUAGUCAUUAAAGCACUACCCGUUUGGAUACAAUUUUAGUCAUUAUCAUGGCUUCUAAUGAAAAUAUCGUCUGAAUUGGGUAGUUACCGACUCGAAACAAACAACCGUACUCGAAAAAGAAAAGACAAGAUUCUUCAGGCCUGUAACGAUCAACAUAAAGAAAGACAGAUGAGCUAACUUUCUAUUUUUGGCAUUAUCAACAAAAAGAAGAGAUUCCAGAUUUUUGUUACUUUGUAUCCUCGAGGCAAAUCGAAUCAAGCGGCUAAUGAAGCUUUUCACUUUCUAUUACUACUCCGUUGAAAUCAGUAUUUGUGUGUUUCCGCUUGAGCCGUACGAGAUUCUAUUUUCAUAUAUGGUUACCAGGACCUGUGGUGUAGCACACUGAACUUUAGCAAAUUUCAAGGUUCCAGUGUUAGAAUAGUGUUUUGCGCUAUUCAUGGUGUUUUUGAAGGUCGUUGACUGAGUACCGACCAAUUACUCGUGUUUCGAGAACGCGAGGAGUACUUAGCACAAAAAUCUGUAAAUUCAGAUUUUGGAGUGCUGAGUACCGGUACCUGGGUGGGGUACCGAAACCCCAUUGCGUGACCGAGAGAGCUGCUCUUGGGUUUGGGUUGAGGGGUACUGAGUACCGGUACGUGGUUGUCGAGUACCGGUACUGGGGUCGAGUAUCGGUACUGCAUCAAGUGGGUACCAGUACACUGUAAAUAGACUGCUUGACCGAGGCUCAAGUACCGGUACGCAGUGCAGGAAUUGCAUUUCGUGUAGUUUGCUAUUUUGGGUGUUUUAAGGGGCUUUUUGGAAAUUGUUACAACUUGUAUAAGACACCCCCUUUUUCCCUACAUUGCCCCCAUUGUGCUGUGGUUGAGAGAGGUAAAAGGUAGGGUUUUUGUAAUAUACCGAAUUUUCCUAAUUAUAAAAUUUUGGUGGGAACUAGCUCAAAAUGCUAUUAGACAAGUUCCAGCGAAGUUUGGAGAGCAUUUGAGUGUUUUCGGCACAAAUCGGAUGCGAAAAUUCGCUCUAAAAGCUGAAAUCUUCCUAAGUUGCAGAUUUGUACAGGGUACCGGUACUGAAUUGGCUGGGUACCAGUACACAGUGUAAAUCUUGAAAUGUUAACUCUCGAAUUUUGAGGUAUUGAAGUGGGGUACCGGUAUUGGACUCCCCGAGUAUCGAUACUGGGACCCGAGUUCCGGCACUCAGUCUCCCAGAAUGCUGCUUUUGAGGGGUAUAAGUGUAAUUUCACUGAGGGCUUAUAUAAAGGGGUGCCCACCCCUUUCCCUCAGCUGAACACACACACACGCAUGCUGAGAGAGAGAGAGUGGAGCUCAUCUCUCUCCCUCUCUUCUUCCUCCUCUCCGACUCAGCGAUCCGGUGGAGAUCAGACUCGGGAAGCUUGGAGGAGUGGUGGAUCGAGCUCUCGGGUGCUUGGUAGCAUGGAACGCUUCCAAUUCGAGAUUCGUUUUCAGAUUGUAAGGUUAGGAUUUUGUGUUUUAUCCUUGGAUUUGGGAUUUUGGUAAACCCUAGGUGAAUCUAGACCACAAGAUUUGGGUUCUUCUCUAGUUUUGAAAAAACCCUAGGUUGGAAAGAGGGAUUUCUUGGUGAAGGGUUCUAAAAAUGUUUUAACCCUUUGGGUCUCUAAUUGAGGGUUAGGAAAUCAUGUGGAACAACUUGAUUUCAAAAGCAAAGAUCGUUUAGUGGUAACGAGUGGAUCUCUUGUACAGGGCAAAGAAAGCUUGGGAGCAAGCUUGAAGAUCCAAGAGAUUGGUCUAAUUGCAAGUGUCUAUAAGCAAUUAGAAAGCUUUGUGAGGUGGGUUAUGCUUCACCGAAGUGACUAGGUCGCUUCCAUGUCAAAUGAGUAAAGUUAAAUAUUUGUAUUACUCGUUGAUGUAUGCAUGUAAUUACAGAUUAAUUGGUUAAAUAAGUAGACAUAGAUGGCAUGCUACUUAGGGUAAAUAAUCUAUAAUUGGACAAGAAUAUAGACAUGUGGAACAUAUAGGAUGUAUAUGUAUAUCUAGGUGUGAAUGUGAACAUAGGUUGAUGAACUCUAGAAAAAAAAAUUAGAGAACUCGACAAGUGUGGCACCAAGGAUUAGAUGGCAUGAAAAUUAUGAAAUCCUAGGUAUGGACAACUAGGAUAACGAGUGGCAUGGUUGGACAUUGAACCUAUUGUUAUUAAACAUAGGAUAGACAUUGAACCUAGUGUUAUUAAACAUAGGUUGGACAUUAAACCUAGAGUUGGGUAAACCUAGGUGGAAAUGUAAUUGGACCUAGUGUCGUUGGACAUAGGUUGGACAUAAGACUAUGAACCUAGAAAGGUUGACAACAUAGGGUGUGUGACUAACCCGUGAGACUUGGAAAGUGGGUUUCGGAAUCUCAGGACUUAUGGUUAUGGAUGAUACUGAUUGGGGGUGCACGGCAUGUUCCUCUCCCACCAUGAGCUAUUGAGAGCUAGGGUGCACGACAUGUUCCUCUCCCUAUCGGGGGUCUUGAUAGCGGGUGCACGUGUAACAUACCGAAACUUCGGUAAAGUAGUCCGGACUUUAGCCAAAUUGACUAAAGUGUCCGAAGGAAAUUAGUUCGACAAGUUCCAUUUAACUUUCCAACAAGGUUGGAAGAGUUAAAAGUGAGUUAGGAAGAGUUAGAAAGGUUUUAGUAUUGAUCGGCGCGAAGUAGAAUCGAAAAGAUGCAAAAACAGAAGUCUGAGCAAUGUGUACCGGUACAACAUUGAUGUUGUACCGGCACAACAGUGCAGACCGAGGAAAAGAGCUCUCGGGUUUGAGAGAAGCCGAUUUUGUACCGGUACAAAUAGUUUGUACCGGUACAAAUGUCGCGUACCCGAGAGAAGCUGCUUUCGGGUUUGCCUCUGCACGAUCGUGUUACCGGUGACGGGUGACAUAUACCGGUACACUUUGGUUUGGCAGCAACAUUUAGGGUUGUUGCAAAUACAAAUUUUUGGGGGCCCUAGUUGCAAUUGUAGCACCCUACAAAUGACCCGAACACCCCUCCUUUCUCCCUUUGACAACCAAUACCCCUCUCCAUCUCAUUUCUCUCUUUAUCUCUCUAGAAGUCACCCCAAGGAGCUAAAAGGAAGGAGAAGGGAAGGGUUUGGAGGAGAUCUCUUAGGUUUUGGAGGCUUGGAAACUCUCCUACAAGAUGGACAUUGUAGAGCUUGUGCCCAAGGUGAGGUUAUCUUGUGAGAUUAGGGUUAGAACUUGGAUUUGAUGCCCUAAAACCUUUGGAUUUGAGUUUCUUGCAAGUGUAGAAACCCUCUAGUGGCCAUAGAACACAUGAGAACCAAGGUUUCUCCAUGUGCUCCCAUGGUAGAAAAUCUAGGGUUUGGUUUUAUGCCCUAGAAAUGGUUAGAAAGGCUUAGAAAAGUUUCUAAAUAAGUUUCUAGAGGUUCAACAAGCUUGCUUUUGCUUGUCUUAAGCAUUAAAACCAAGUAUUUAGCAAAUAGCAUGGUUAGGGCACCAAAUUUCGGGCUUUUGCCCUAGGGUGGUUCCAAGGCAAAUUGACCUUGUAAAAGCCUAAUUAGGGGUAUUUUUAACUAGAAUAUGAACUUGGUUCGGUGAUCCGACGAGUGUACGCGAAGAAAUUGACAAAAAGGUCGGUUUUGGUACAUAUUGCCGCAGCACGCGGAAUAGGAGUCCAAAAAUUCCAAGAAUUGAACCGUAACAUCCCUACAACCAUUUAAGGUGGGUGGUGCCUUCCGAAAUCAUUGAAUUUUCUUUUAUGUCUAAAGUGUCAUUUUUGAGCAUAAGUGUAUAUUGAACAUUAUGCAUGAUAGGGUUAAUUGAGAGCUUCUAUUUGCAUGAUUGUGAAUAUAAAUGCAUGAGAAAAUUAUUAUAAAUGAGUAAAAACUUGUAUAACCCUAUGCAUGCAUGAAUGCUGAUAAGAACCCAGAAAAUGACAUUAUGAUAUGUGGAUUUUGUGACAUUGGUGAACACAAUGAAUACUAGAGUUGGACUCGUAGUAGAAAGGCAUUAGUGAAUGCAUUGAAUGCUAGAGAUAAUGACAUUGAGAACAAGAAUGCUAGAAUUGAACACCUAGAGAACAAGGGUGGCAUUAGUAAAUAAGUAUAAAGAACAAAGUAGUGUAUAUGACACUAGUGCAAGUCAAAGAAUGCAAAUGAAAAAAGAAAGUAACAUUGUGACGUAAGAACCUUAAAGUUAAGGGUCACAAGAGCAUUGGAAUCCUUAAAGAUAAGGACUGAUCAUACUCACCUAUAGUCUUGGCUUGAGGGAGGUCGCUCCCCCUUGAGCGAUGAGCUCCGGAGUUGUCAUCACUGGGAUGUGGAACCCCCAGAGGACGGUCCUAGCGGGAGGAAGCUUAGGGCCCGCGAUUAGGGACUUGUGUUGGUGAGUUAUGGAAACCGGUGGGAGGAGGCUUAGGGAUCGACGUGUCACGCCCCGUGCCCCGUCUAUUUGGUCGGGUUCGGGCACGCCGACAGACCGCCGAACGGACAGAGUUUCCCCUGUACGUCCUAGACGUCGCAGUCAAUACAAUGUACGAGGUUCCAACCAGGAACACAUUUCAAUCAAGAUUGCAUAAGGAAGGUAUCAAACAACAUAAAACACCUAAGUUAUUACAUGCAUUCCCACAACAUGCAUUUUACAUCUCAGUCACAGUUCAUUUUACAACUUCCAAAUACAAUCAAAUUAUUACAUCAUUUAUUUACAAGUUUUAGUACAUCUUGUUCUUUCCUUUCCCUCUACUCCUAGGCUAUGCCGACUUGGGGUACCGCUAUCUCUGGUUUCUGGGGUAGGGCACUAUCUAUGGAGCUACGCCCUUACUUCGCGAUGCCGCGCCGCUCACGUGCGAACCUGUAACACCCCAAAACAACGUGGGGUGAGAAUCAACUCCAUGGUUCCCAGUGGGUACGGCCACCCAAGGGAAAAGCUCGACCAACAGGUCCAAAGGAGGCAAACAACAUGUUAGUUCAACAAAUAGAUAUAAUAUCAUAAUUAUGCAACUAACAUUUACAUGCUGUUACCUCACGAAUGCAAUAAUGUCAUGCUAUAUGAAAAUCAUGCAAUUAUACAAUUAACUAGUAGAUCAAUUGAUCCUACUUUCAAACCUGCUAUCUUUAGCUCAUAUCAUCUAACUCUAAGGUUUCUAUUACCUUAGGUUCACAACUCAAGUCCAUUUACUUUUAAGGUCUCUACUACCUUAUCCAAGCUAUCCACUCGACUCGGCCUCGAAUCAAUCAUCCGCGGACUACCGCGCACUAGCUGCAUCUCUUACACAGCCUGGCUGCCGUAACAGCCCGCCGCACCACUUGACUUAACCAUCUGGCGUCGACUUAUCGCACCUCACCCAACAACGGCUCAAGCCAUGACUUAGCCAUCUGGCGGCGAACUCGUCGCUCCACACCCAACAAUAGUUCAAGUCAUGACUCAGCUAUCUGGCGGCGAACUCGUCGCAUCUCGCCCAACAAUGGUUCAAGUCAGUCCAGGCGGCACACGCAAUCGGCCUGUUAUCGCGUUCUGAUUGCUUGUAGUCACUUGCAAUCGGCCUCCCGCGGCACACGCCGCCCGGUUCGGUCCGAUACUGUAACUGCACUCCAGCCGUGUGUCGAUUCGCGGCCCCGAAAAUUAUAGGUCUAUAGCUUGAUGCCGCGAUGCCCCAAAUCCAUUUUCAUUAUUUUUGGAUGUCGUCUCGGCCCUCCAGGUGGAAACGAAGCUAAAUCGUCCGUUUCUUCAAUAUCUUCUCACAGGCUCGACGAAUCACCGAACUGACUUCGCCAACGCGUUCGUAUACCUAGCAAUUAGGUUUACGUAGGGCCAAUUUAGAUCAAACCCAACUAUACACAAAAACCUCCUUUUGGAUGCCCUAGUUUGCUACUAUUGCAAAAUCCACCAUUGAAUCCUUUGAUUCAUGUAAUUAGCAUCCUACUAGCAUCCUAGGGUUCACCCAAAUCUAUUUCUAGAGAUUAAAAAUCCAUCUCUAAGGAUCUACCAUUAGAGGGCAUAAAGCUUACCUCCACAAGCUCCAAUGGUCCCAAGGAAGAAGAAGAUGAAGAUGAUGAUCCUUCUUCCUUGCUUCUUCACUACCUUCUCCUCCUCCUCUUGCCCUCCUUGAUGAGAGAGAGAGACAAUCUAGAGCGAGAGAGUGUGUAUGUUUGGGGUGGGAGAAAUGAGAGAAAGGAGAGAGGCAACCCUCUCAAAUAACCCCUGUCACGCCCCGAGACCGCAACCAAUUUGGUCCGGUUCGGGCGCGUCGAACAGACACCUGACGGACAGCACCUCCUCUGUCCGCCCAAGGCUCAACAACUAGAUUGUGUACAAGAAUUCACCCAGGAUAUUAAAUUCAAUACAUACACAAUCAACGGGCACAAUCAGUGCCAACAAAUAAAGAACAAGUAAUCCACAAGUAAUACAAGUGAAAUAAAGAGAGAUCUACUAGCUAUUACAUCACAAUUUGCAUUCUUUUUAUAAUUACUUCAUUCCCAAAAUGAUUACAUGUUCAUCUCAAUUACAUCAUUAGAUCUUCCAAAAACAUAAAGCAACUAGAUACAGGAUGGUACUCUAAUGCAUAAAAGGAAGCUACUAUACUACUGCUCGGGCGCAAUGCCUUUGUCGUGAUCCUCGCCCGGCGCGCCCGCACUCGACUCUGAAAUGAAGUGGGGUGAGAACUAUCUUCCAUAGUUCCUAGUGGGCUCGACCGCCGACUCCGCCAAUCUCCCCACUAGGUCCAAGUGGGCAAAGUAACCACAGAUAGAUAGAUAGAUAGAUAUCCAAAGCAGUAAAUGACAUAAUAGGAAAACUAUGCUACUAUGCCCAUAAUCACAAGUAAUGAAUGCAUGCACCAUUUAGUAAAGGUUUACGAUCAUGCUAUUAUGUCCAAUUCAACCAUGUUCAACGACGGUUUAUUCUUUUAUUUACCCAAUCCAUGGCAAUCCCUUGGGGUCGCCCUCGACUCACAUCUUCAUCCCGAUGGGUAAGGAGAUUCAACUCGCUCUCAAACCCGGGAUGGUCUGCGGACAUCAACUCUGUCCCGAUCGCCCGACACUCCGGAGUACUCGACGACAUGGAUGGCUAUACCACUCCGGAUGGCUAUACCAUCCCAAAUAACAGACUGUGAGCUUGGUCUAUCCUCUCCACUUGAGGACAAACUAGGGCCAACAACUCUCUCGGAAUUCACCUAUUCCGACAUUCAUGCACAAGUGCUUAGCUAUACUAAGUUCUUUGUUCACGAGUCAUUCACUAGGGAAUCCACCUAUCCCUAUGUUCACAUACCGCUAGUGUCAUAAUACACUACAUUAGAUGCCACUUGUUUUGUUCACAUAUCAAUUAUAUGCCACUCAUUAUGUCACUAAUCAUCUCUUUCCUUUAGCACCAUAGGAUUCGAUGUUCCGACCCAAUCCUUACCUAUCCAAUUUACCAAGCAUUCAACUCACGCUAAGAUAUCAAUUAGAAAGCAUAAGGAAAGGAAAUAACAAUGCAAUCCUACAAUGCAUAUGCAAGAGAUGCAAAUCAUAAUGCACUAAGGCAUAGAAAGGAGUUCGGUUGCUUCGGGAUGACACCCCCUACCUUUUGUCAAUGUAGAGGUUCUAGAAACACUUCCCAACAACGUUACGACAAUGUCUUGGCCUCCUAGGUCGAAACUAAGCUUGGUCGGCCUUGUUUUGCUGAUAUCUUUUCACCGGCUCGACGAAUCGUAAAUCCGACUGCGCCCCCGCGCUUAGACACCUAGCAAUUAGGUUUAAAUGCCCUCAAAUGAGAUCAAUCUCAUAAAUUUUCAAAACCCCAAUAUGGAGCCCUAGGUUUGCAUCUAUGCAAUUGCUCCAUCCAAACUCUAGAUUCUAGCUUUAAUCAACUAUUAAGCAUGCUAGGAUUCUAGUCAAACCCAUUCUAGAGCUAGAAAUCCAAACCCUAGGUUUCUACCAUGAGGGUUGAGAAGCUUACCUCUAGGCUAGCUCCAAUGGAAGGAAGAGGAAGAGGAGAAGAUGGUGAUGGUGAUCUCCUUCAAGUUCUCCUCCUUCUUCUUCUUCUCCUUCUCUUCUCUUCUUUUUCUUCUCCUUCUCCUUCUUCUUCUUCUUUCCUAAAGAGAGAGAGAGGGAGAGAAUAUGAGUGUUGGGAGGAAAAUGAGAGAGGGAGAGAGAGUGAUCUACCCUCUUUACCCCUAACUCAUGUAACAAUUGCAACCAGGCCCCUCCACAUUUCCUCUCUCAGCCUGCCCAGACUGGGCAUUUCAUGCGCACGGGGAUCGGUCCCUCUAUGGGAGGACCGGUCCCCGAGAGCAUCCCAGGCAGGCAGAGGGCUUUCUGCCAGCCUCCACGCGUACGGGGACCGGUCCCUCCCGCCAGGGACCGGUCCCCGAGAGCAAUGCUCUCGUAGGACACUUACGGGAACUGGUCCUCCACUGGGAGACCGGUCCCCCAUGGGGACUCCUCAAUGUUUACGGGGACCGGUCUCUCCCGCCAGGGACUGGUCCCCGAGAACUCAAUCUGCAGAAGUGCAGGUUUGCACUAUUUGCUCUCGUGGACUCCAACUUCAAUGCACUUUCGGUGCUUUAGACAUCUUUGGCUUUUCCGAAGCAUACCCACUUGAUAAUUAGUCGAUUCUGGACGAAGUACAACUCUCAGAUUUCGAGAAUUCACUUCCUUACAACCCCUCUCAUGCAACAAUGCAAAUAAGCCCCUCCACUUCAUGUCUAUUGCAUAACCCUCACUUGGCAGAUUUCGAGUACGGGGACCUGUCUUUGCAUGAGGGACCGGACCCGGGAGGACCGGUUGUUGGCUGAGGGUGUCACGCCCCGCCCCGAAACCACUACCAAUUUGGCACAGUUCGGCCGCGGCGGCGGGCCGCCGAACGGACAGCACCUCCACUGUCUGCCCAAGGCUCAACGACAGGAAUGUGUACAAGAAUUUACCCAGGAAUUAAAUUCUAGACAUACACAUUCACAAACAGUGCCAACAAAACAAAGAGCAAGCAAUCUACAAGAUAAAACAAGUGAAAUAAAGAGAGUACUUCGCUAACUAUUACAUUAGUUCCAUCAUUUCAUUUACAUGAAUACAUUUUUCAUCUUCAAAAUACAUAGCUCUCCGAAUCCUCACCUACAAUGAUCUCUCUCAAUACAUAGGUGUGCUAAUGCAAAAAGGAAAGCUACUAUACUACCACGGUCUCACUGAUCGGGCGCGAUGCCCUUGCCGCGGUCCUCUCUCUGCAGCCCUGAACCUACCACUGGAAAUAGUGGGGGGUGAGAACUAUCUUCCAUGGUUCCCAGUGGGCUCGGCCGCCGACUCUGCCGAUCUCCCCACUAGGUCCAAGUGGGCACAAGUAACAACAGAUAGAUAAAUAGAUAUGUAUCUGAAAGCUGUAAAUGCGAUAGUAGGAAAACUAUGCUACUAUGCCCAUAAUCAUGAAUAUGAAUGCAUGCAUCAUAUAAUAAAGGUUUGCUACCAUGCUAACAAAUUCGAUCCAUGUUCGAAUAGCUAUGUUCAAUGAUAUUGUUAAACCUUUAAUCUUUCCAUUUACGCAAUCUGUGGCGAGGCCCUAGGGCUCGCCCAUAACUCACCCUUCAAUCCCAAAGUGGGGAGGGAGCUCCAAGUGCACCCAAGCCCGGGACCGUCUGCGGACCUCCAUGUGGUCCGGACCUCCAAGUGGUCCUAGUCGCGCGACACUCCGGAGUACUCGACGACAAUCCCCUCCAUGUGGGGAUUGGAUGGCUAUACCAUCCCAAACGCAGACUGUGAGCUAGAUCUAUCCUCUCCAAGUGAGGAUGCCCUACAUCUAGGGUCAACAACUCAAUCAAGUCCUCUCCAAGUGAGGAUGCUCUACAACUAGAGUCAAUAUCCAAUCGAAUCCUCUCCAAGUGAGGAAGCACUAUAACUAGGGUCCACAGCCCAAUCAAAUCCUCUCCAAGUGAGGAAGCCCUAUCACUAGGGUCAAUAUCUCUCGCGGGAUCAUUUGUUCCCGACAUUCAUGCAACGCUAUUUAGGUUGUCUAAAUUCAUUGUUCACCAGGCAUCUUCUAAGGGAUCUACCUAUCCCUAGGUCCAUCGACCUCUAGUGUUGAUUACACUACAUUAAUGCCACUCGUUAUCAUUCAACAUUUGGAUGCCACUCGUUUGUUCUUUGACAAUAACACUGCUUUCUAUGUCAUCAACACCCCUAUCGGGUUCAUCUCUAUCUCUAGCAUCAUAGGAUCCACGUUCUGACCCAAUUCUCACCUAUCUAAGUUACCAAGCGUUUCAAGUACACUAGGUUAUCAUUUAGAAAGCGUAAGGAAAGGAGCUACUAUGCAAUCCUACAAUGCAACAUGGCGAGAUGAGAUUAAAUACAAUCUAAGACAUAGAAAGGAGUUCGAAAGCUUCGGGAUGGCACCCCCCACCUUUUACCGAUGUUGAGGCUUUAGAAACGGUCCUCGGCGAACGCUACGAAAAGGCUUUAGCCUUCUUUGCUCAAGUUAAUGGUAUCCUGGCCCUAUAUUGCCGAGAACUUUACGCCGGCUUGCCGAAUGCCAAAAUCGACUUCGCCCCCAAGUUUUGUGACCUACCAAUAGGGUUUCCAAGGCUUCAAAUGAGAUCAAUCUUAUGCAUUCACAAAAACCCUAUUUUGGAGCCCUAGGUUUGUACCUAUAGCAAACCAUCAAUAAAUCCCCAGAUUUCUUGGGAUUGAUCUAUUUAGAAGCUUGUUUAGGGUCCAUUUGACCCAUUCCAAAGCAUCAAAAUCCAAAACUCCAAGGUUUAGAAGCUAGGGUUCAAGUGCCUAUCUCUUGUGCUACACCAAAGAGAAGAGGAGAGGGAGAUGAAGUUGCCCAAAGCCUUCUCUUUGAUCUCCUUCUUCUUCUCCUCCUUUUCCUUCUCCUUCUUUUCUUUCCUCUCCUUCUUGUUCUUCUCCUUCUCCUUUCCUUUCUAGAGAGAGAGAGAGCUAGAGAGCAAUGGGAGAGAGUGAGAGGGAGAAAAUGAGAGUAUGAGGGUGAGAGAGGGCUCAGCCCACUCUAAUAAAGGCCAUUUUGCAUUUAGACCCCUCAACUUUUCAUCCAUUGCACAGCCCUCACUGGGCAGUUUUCGCGCGGAGGGACCGGUUCCUGGUCGGGGAGAUCGGUCCCCGAGAGCUCUCCCUGCAGUCUGGGGACUUUUCGUGUUCGGGAACCGGUCUCUCCCCGGGAGACCGGUCCUCGGGAGACUGGUCCUCACUUGAGAGACCGGUCCCCGAGAGCUAAAUUUUCAAGACUUAGCCAAUCUUUGGCAUUUCUCGCUGGGGCAACGUUCGGGAACCGGUCCCUCCCUACCAGGGACCGGUUGCAUCAUGCAACCCUGCAACACCCAGCCAAGGGAAUCGGUCUCUCACCUCCAGAGACCAGUCCCCGAGAGUAACAUCAGCCCAAUGAUGCAAUUUGCACCAUUUGCUCUCGCAGACUCAACUCCAAAGCACUUUUUGUGUUUUGGGCGUUCAUAACUCCCGCAAAGGGUAUCCUCUCGACAAUUAGUUGAUCCUAGAUGAAGUACAAUUCUCGGAUUUCGAGAAUUCACUUCCUUACAUCCUCCCCUCCUUAAAAGGAGUUUCGUCCUCGAAACGAACUCAAUUCUUUAUUUUAACUUAAACCCAUACCUUACUCCUCGAAUAGAUGAGGAUGGUGUUUUCUCAUCAGAUCCUCGAGUUCCCAGGUGGCUUCGCGAUCCUCAUGAUUGCUCCACCCAACCUUCACAUAGGGGAUUUCUCGAUUCCUCAACUUUCGCACCUCUCGGGCGAUAAUCCCUACCGGAAACUCUUCGUAGCUCAAGUCUCCUUGAAGUUUCGGCGGUUCAUAUAGCAUCGCAUACUCGGGGUCGUGAAUGUACUUGCGGAGAUUGGAGACAUGGAACACGUUGUGUACAUCCGCAAGCUUCGGCGGUAGAGCAAGUCGGUAGGCUACCGUGUCGACUCGCUCCAAUACUCAUGUAAUAUACUGAAUCUGGGCCUAUUGAUAAGUUUAAGGGUUGCAAUGGCUUUUGGAACGGAGCUACGAUGUCUGAUAGACCUUAGAAAGGUUUGACCAGUUACUGAAGUGAGAAAGUAACUGGAGUUGGGGGUUGAGACGACUUUUGCUUUGUGCUUUUCGCGUAGUUUUGAUGCCGGCUUUACAGGUUAAAGCCAUGUUAAACGUGAAUCAUGUUUCAUUAUUAAAUUUAGGGACAAAACCAAAGUCAAAUUAUGGAAUUCAAUUCGAAGAUUAACGAGAGGUUACGGUUGACUAACACUAGGUUUCCAGCCAGCGUGGGAGCGACGCUUGUUAGCAGUUUGCCGUAGUUUUGUGAAUAAACGAUCGAUCAUUUCGGCCUUAGAACGCUUUAGUCCAAAGAUUAUGUUUAAGGACGAAUGGAGUCCAAUCUUGUGGAAGAUUUGGUCAGGGUUUCCAGUGGUUAAUUCGAAUUUAAUUAGGCGUUUGGACGACGCUUCUCGUGUUAGGUUUGACGUAGUUCAACGUAUUCAUUGAGCGCAAAUUAAGGCUUAGUCAAAGUAUUACUUGAUUAAUAGAGAUGCUUCGAAGUUUCAUCGAAUAAGGACUAGAUUCCUCCAAGUAAAUGUCGAUUCAUUUAGUAGAAAUAAACGGCUUUGGAAUCAAAUUUUGUCAACCUUCUUUUUUGGGCUUUAGUUAUGAGUUUAGCUGAUUAUCUUGCAGCUAUUGCCUUUUUCGCUCAGCUAAUGGAAGAGUCCGAAGGUUGGUCGUGGAGUGACCGAGUCCCGACGCUUUUUCGGAAGGUUUAUGAGGGAGUGUGUAGGUGUAUUCGAGGCGCUGUGAGCGUUGGUCGCUUUCUGGUUGCCGCUCUGCUUUUACUCGCUUUAGCAGCUUAAGAUUCAUCUCUCUCUUUGGGAUCUCUCUCUUCCUCUUUCUUCCACCCUCUUCGGAAGAGUCUAGAGGUCGUACGUAUAGACUUGUAGUCCCCAGCUCGACCCCACUAUUCCUACCUAUCUUCUUCACUUUACUGGUUUUAUUGGAACGACGGUGCGUCGACGUCGAAGACUACGUAACACAUGGCCAUGUGUUACUACCGACAUGGCCAUGUCGUUCGUCUUUUUACGACUAAAGCGGUCUAGUUACGUGAAAGAAUGAAAAUUGAAGGGUUAGUGGGAGAUUGAACAGGUUUUUGAACAGAUUCGGGAGAUCUUAUACAUCCCAUCAAGGUGUAUGGUAAAGGGAGUAAGCUUGAAGCGUUAACUGGUUUAAAUUUCGUAACGUUAACUAUAACGUAAACACUACGUUAAAANCCAUGUCAGAGACAUGAUGCUGUUGAGAUAUUUGUACCCUGGACUAUAGCUAGCAUGCCAUUAAGCUCUUUCGUACACGCUUUCGGGGGUCGCGCCCCUCUAGCCCCGCACUCCGGAGUGGCUUGAGAUUCCAUGUCAGAGACAUGAUGUUGUUGUGGUAUUUGUACCUUGGACUACGGUUUACGCUUGCGGGGUCGCUCCCCCCCAAGCCAGCACUCCCGAGUAGCCUAGCGACAGUUGCUCGCUCAUGUACGAAGUGAGCGCCGAAGUGGAUUGCCGUGGGGAGUGUACACUACCAUGGGGCCAUUAGGCACGGCGCGGCUUUGAGCUUACCUUGUGUAAGUCUACUGAAAAUUGGGUUAUGACAAGUGCUUCAACCUUAGCUGGACAUAGUAGUAAAGUUACUUUAUGUCUUUGGUCAAGUGAACUUAUUGAUGAACAAGCUAGACAGUUGACAUCUAAAGUAAGUUUAGUGAUGAAUAACCUAGAAAUUGAUAUCAUGAUUGGUUAGCAAUAUAUUGACAAUAUGUUUCAUUCUUGCUAAUGUAGAAGGCAAUUACAUGAUAUGAUCUGUAAUUUCAGUAAACAUAAGUUAUGAUGUAUGCAAUUUGGUGUAUGUUCGUUAAAUUAUCAAUGUGAAUGAUAAUAUCUUUCGUGUUAACUGAUACUUGCAAACUAUUGAUAUGCAUUUAUUUACUGUUAAGUAAAUAGCAUGAGUAACUACUUUCAUACUUAUUGCAUUUACUUGCUUAUUGCAUUACUUGCUUUUUAUUGCUAUCUACUCGUGCCACAGUUGACCUAGUGGUGUACUUCGCCACACUUGGCGGCUUACCCACUGGGAACUAUUGUUUGAUAGUUCUCACGCCCUCUUUGCUGUUGUUUUUUUUUCAGAGCCUUCCACAGCGGAAAAGGCUAGGGUUCCUGGCGAGGGGUCAGCGGCUAGCUAGAGCCUUUUUGGACGUGUACUAGACGACCUCCUUCAGUUUAUGUAGUUUAGUACAGAGAUGUAUAUUAAGUUAUUGUAAAUUGUACUUUGUUCUUAUGUACUGUAUUAAGGUUUGGAUUGUAUAAGUUUAAAAGUCGUGCUCUGAUUAUCUGGUUAAUAUUAUAUGUUUUUUACUAUAUGGUUUGUAGACGCCUUGUGUAUACUUGAGUUGUGGUGUACACGGCGGGUCUGUGCACGAGACCGGAUAUGCUUCCGCUGGUACCCGGGCGUGACAACUCAUAUGGUCCAAUGUAUCGGGGGCUUAGUUUUCCCCGCACUCCAAACCGCUUCACACCCCGCAUCGGUGAAACUUUCAAGAACACGCGGUCGCUUACCGCGAAUUCUAUAUAUCGACGGCGCCUAUCUGCAUAGCUUUGCUGUCUCGACUGCGCCGUGAGCAAUCUCUUGCGAGCAAGGCGGACUUUCUCUUCCGCUUCUCGCAACACAUCUGGGCCAAACUCAGCACGCUCACCUACAUCGCUCCAGUGUAUAGGAGACCGACACGUCCGCUCAUAGAGAGCCUCGAACGGUGCCAUCUCCACGCUAGCAUGAUAACUGUUGUUGUAGGCGAACUCGGCCAUAGGUAGGUGAUCACACCAAUUUCCCUUAUAGUCAAUGACACACGCUCGCAACAUAUCCUUCAGAGUUUGAAUAGUUCUCUCUGUUUGCCCACCGGUCUGAGGAUGAAAUGCGGUGCUAAAAUCGAGCCGUGUGCCAAGGGCUUCCUGCAGGCUCUUCCAAAAGUGUGAAGUGAACCAAGGGUCACGAUCCGACACGAUCGAUUUCGGCACCCCAUGCAGUCUCACUAUCUCGUCAAGAUAUACCUGCGCUAACCUGUCGCCUGACCAUGUGGUGUGGAUCGGCAAGAAGUGAGCCGACUUUGUCAAUCGGUCCACAAUUACCCAAAUUGCAUCGUGGCCGCCCGUUGAGCGAGGCAAGCCGACCACGAAGUCCAUUGAUAUAUCCUCCCAUUUCCAAACGGGGAUUGGUAGGCUUUGAAGCUUUCCCGCUGGAAAUCGACGCUCGGCCUUCACUUGUUGGCAUGUUAGGCACUUCGCCACAAAGCGUCCAAUAUCACCCUUCAUUUUCGGCCACUAGUAGUGCAUUUUUAGUCCUUGAUACAUCUUGGUGCCGCCCGGGUGACCAGCAUAUGGAGAUUGGUGUGCUUCUUAUAGAAUCAAUUCACGAAGCUCUCCAUCUUUCGGCACACACUAUCGGUUUCGGAACCGAAGCGUACCAUCGACAUCUACCUUGAAAUCGCCGCCAUGCCCUUCCUUGAUGUUUCGCCGCACCUUUUGGAGUUCUGGGUCUGCGGGUUGCAGAUCUUUGAUCCUCUCCAACAAGGUCGGUUGGAUAACGAGUGCCAUCAACUGAGUCGGGACCUCGGGAGCGACCACUUCAAGGUCCAAUCGCUCCAUAUCCAGCCACAUGGGUGUUUGCUGGGUAACAUCAAAGGCGAGGUUCUUCGCCGACUUCCUACUAAGUGCAUCCGCGACCACAUUUGCCUUCCCGGGGUGGUAGAGGAUAUCAACAUCAUAAUCCUUUAACAGCUCCAACCACCGCCGCUGACGCAUGUUGAGCUCCUUCUGUGUAAACAGGUACUUCAAGCUCUUGUGGUCGGUAUAGAUCUCAUAAUGGGCACCAUAUAAAUAGUGCUUCCACAGCUUCAAGGCGAAAAUCACGGCCGCUAGCUCCAAAUCAUGAAUGGGGUAGUUCUUUUCAUAGCUCUUCAGCUGACGGGAUGCAUAAACAAUCACCUUCCCGUUUUGCAUCAAUACACACCCCAAUCCAAGAUAGGAGGCAUCGCUAUAGACCACAAAGUCUUCGCCCUGCACUUGUAGAGCGAGCACCGGAGUCGAAGUCAAUCUCUGCUUCAACUCUUUGAAACUCCGGUCGCACUCUUCGCUCCAAACAAACUUGGUGCCUUUCUGAGUCAGGCGGGUAAGUGGAAUCACUAUCUUGGAAAAGCCUUCCACAAACCGCCUAUAGUAGCCCGCCAAGCCCACGAAGCUUCGAACCUCCGUGACAUUUGUUGGGUGCGGCCAAUCCUUGAUCGCCUCAACUUUCCUCGGGUCUACAGAAACUCCACCCACGGAAAUCACAUGCCCUAAGAAGGCGACCUCGCGGAGCCAGAAGUCACACUUCUUCAGUUUAGCAUAUAGCUUCUCCUCCCGAAGGACUUGAAGCACUAUUCUCAAAUGCUCGGCAUGCUCCUCGUCACUACGAGAAUAGAUCAAUAUGUCGUCUAUGAAGACAACGACAAAUCGAUCCAAAUGCUCUCUGAAGACACGGUUCAUUAAAUCCAUAAAUGCCACUGGAGCAUUCGUGAGUCCAAAUGGCAUGACCGUGAAUUCGUAAUGUCCAUACCGCGUGCGAAACGCGAUUUUCUGCACAUCCUCCGGCUUAAUCUUCAAUUGGUGGUAGCUGGAUUGCAAAUCUAUGUUCGAGUACACACACGACCCUUGCAACUGAUCGAACAAGUCAUCGAUUCGGGGUAGUGGGUACUUUUUCUUGAUCGUGACUCUGUUCAAUUCCCGAUAGUCUACGCAGAGUCGGAACAAUCCGUCUUUCUUCCUCACGAACAACACCGGGGCUCCCCACGGUGAUACACUUGGCCGGAUAAAUUGCUUGUCGAGGAGAUCUUGCAGUUGACUCCUUAACUCCUUCAAUUCCGCCGGCGCCAUUCGAUACGGAGCCUUCGAGAUCGGUGCGGUACCGGGAACCAAGUCUAUGACGAACUCGAUCUCCCGAUCCGGUGGUAUCCCCGGCAACUCCGCAGAAACACAUCCGGAAACUCUCGCACCUCCAAUAACUCCUCUAAUGUUGGAGCUACUCGAUCCACCUCCACAACGGUCGCCAAGAACGCCGCACAACCGUUGCUCACCAACUUUCUUGCUCUUGUCGCAGACACCGUCGCGAUGAAGCACGAGCUCUGACAAGCCCGAUAGGUGAAUUCUUCUUGUCCUGGCUCACGGAAGGUGAUCACCCUGCUCUUGCAGUCGAUCGUUGCGUGAUAUUUCGAGAGCUAGUCCAUAUCCAGAAUGACGUCAUAAGCCUCAAGCUUUGUGAGUUCCAGUGUCCGGAUAGGCAUAAUCCAGUCGCCUAUUUGUACGGGACACGACGCACACUCCGAGCAGGUGUUAAAUGUUGACCCAGGGCCCUCCACUCGCCACUUGUCACUCGCCUCUAUGAGUAUGCCAUGCAUGCGUGCGAAUGAUCUACUUAUGAAUGAAUGCGUGGCUCCUGUAUCAAAUAGAGCCCUGGCGCGAACUACGUUAAUUAAAACCAUACCUGCCACAAGGCGAUGCUCCUCCGCCUCCGCAGGUUCCUCAGCCUGGACCUGAGCGGCGAACACCCGUCCGCUCGGGGCCGAUCGCGUCGCUUCAUGUUGACGCGGCAUCAUCGCGCGUCCCGUCGACGCAGCUGUCGGUGGAGCUCCUCCAUAGUGAGCCGGAAUCGCCGGCGCCGAUGCAAUCGAUGGGGCAGGUGAGGCUCCUCCUCUCGGGCAGUCCCGAAUGAAGUCCCGGUUGCCCACACUUAUAGCACUUGCCUCGGCCUUGCUCACAGCGCGAGACUGGGUGGUCUCUGCAGCAUACAAUGCAUCGCCGUGCUCCACUGCCCUUCUGUUGAGUGUGCGGAUACUUCAGGGGUUUCUUAUAGAGUGUUUGUCCCCCCGAACUACCGCAGCCUUGGCGUUUCUUGCCCUUGUCCUUAGACUCGGCCAAAGCCUCGCGCUUCUCCCGAACGUGGACAUCUCCGUGCUCCGCCCAUAGUGCUCGAUCAAAGACCUCCGCAAACGUCGUGAGCUUGAGUAUUUGCACGGCCUUGUAAAUUCCCGACCGAAGUCCUCACAAGAACCACUCGGCCUGGUCCCGGUCAUCCUUUACAACAUCCGGGACACAAUCGAUAAUACGGGAGAAUUCUUGUUCGUACUCCGCCACUGAGCGGUCCCCUUGCUCUAGCUUGCGGAACUUCUCCUUGAGCUUCCGCUUCAAUGUAUCGGGGAAAUAGUUGGCGAACAUCUCCCUCUUGAAUUCCUCCCACAGCAUCGGCGGAAGGCCGGGAAGCCAAUCCCGUUUGACGCGUUUCCACCAAACUUUCGCCGCCUUUUCCAAGCAGUGGGUGGCGAGAUACACCUUGUCCCUCUCCAAGGUACGCAAGUCGUCGAAGAGGGUUUCCAUCGAGUCGAUCCAAGACUCGACCAUCUCCGGUUCCACCUUCUCUCCCUCAAAGGUUGGCGAAUGGAACUUGUUGAACUUGAUAAGAGCCGCUAAUGCGCGCUCUCCUUCCACGUCUUCGGCGGACACGUCGGGUGUAGCCGAUCCCGAUGCCGCCGGUGGUACGAUCGCUGGCGGUGGGCGUGCCGUCACCGGAACCGCCGCUAUGCCCUCACCCUCUGCCGCUCCGGGUAUAUGAGUCGUGGGUGCGGGCGGACCACUGCCCUCAUUCGCCGUCGGAGCCACCGCCGCGAUCUGCCGCUCCAAUAGAUCCUGGAGCCGCUCAAAUCGGGUCUGCUGGCGCUGCACUACAUUGGUCAGCGCGGUCACUUGCGCUUGCAACCGAUCGAUCACGCUCGGUUCUUCCUGCUCGGGCACCUCAGGAAUCGAUGCUCGGGCAGAUCUACGCGUGUAGCGUCUUGGAGACAUUAGUCCCUGAAACGCAAAUACUUGGUUAGUCAUCUUAACCAAUUACCUCGUCGCAAUUACGACACAUGACGACUCAACCACAAAUCGGGCGGAAGCACACAAGCGCACUCGUUCUAGACUCUUGGUAUCAUGUCAUCGGCCGCUGACACAACCACCUCAAGACAAGAACUCCUACAACUUGAGUCCGUCUCUAAUCACAACUAGAGACAUAUUACCAGCUUCGACCCAAUCAAAUUAACUUCCGCCAUCGCUAUAGGUUCACGUUUCGCUCACGCACCUAUAACCUUAGGGCUUACCAACCUAGGGUCUCCUAGGUCGUCCUAGACUCUCCCUUUACCUGCUCUUAUUGCUCUGAUACCACAACUGUUGUCACGCCCCGCCCCGAAACCACUACCAAUUUGGCACGGUUCGGCCGCGGCGGCGGGCCGCCGAACGGACAGCACCUCCCCUGUCCGCCCAAGGCUCAACGACAGGAAUGUGUACAAGAAUUUACCCCGGAAUUAAAUUCUAGACAUACACAUUCACAAGGGCACAAACAGUGCCAACAAAACAAAGAGCAAGCAAUCCACAAGAUAAAACAAGUGAAAUAAAGAGAGUACUUCAAGAACUAUUACAUUAGUUCCAUCAUUUCAUUUACAUGAAUACAUUUUUCAUCUUCAAAAUACAUAGCUCUCCGAAUCCUCAUCUACAAUGAUCUCUCUCAAUACAUAGGUGUGCUAAUGCAGAAAAGAACGCUACUAUACUACCACGGUCUCACUGAUCGGGCGCGAUGCCCUUGCCGCGGUCCUCUCUCUGCAGCCCUGAACCUACCACUGGAAAUAGAGUGGGGUGAGAACUAUCUUCCAUAGUUCCCAGUGGGCUCGGCCGCCGACUCUGCCGAUCUCCCCACUAGGUCCAAGUGGGCACAAGUAACAACAGAUAGAUAAAUAGAUAUGUAUCUGAAAGCUGUAAAUGCGAUAGUAGGAAAACUAUGCUACUAUGCCCAUAAUCAUGAAUAUGAAUGCAUGCAUCAUAUAAUAAAGGUUUGCUACCAUGCUAACAAAUUCGAUCCAUGUUCGAAUAGCUAUGUUCAAUGACAUUCUUAAACCUUUAACCUUUCCAUUUACCCAAUUUGUGGCGAGGCCCUAGGGCUCGCCCAUAACUCACCCUUCAAUCCCAAAGUGGGGAGGGAGCUCCAAGUGCACCCAAGCCCGGGACCGUCUGCGGACCUCCAUGUGGUCCGGACCUCCAAGUGGUCCUAGUCGCGCGACACUCCGGAGUACUCGACGACAAUCCCCUCCAUGUGGGGAUUGGAUGGCUAUACCAUCCCAAACGCAGACUGUGAGCUAGAUCUAUCCUCUCCAAGUGAGGAUGCCCUACAUCUAGGGUCAACAACUCAAUCAAGUCCUCUCCAAGUGAGGAUGCUCUACAACUAGAGUCAAUACCCAAUCGAAUCGUCUCCAAGUGAGGAAGCACUAUAACUAGGGUCCACAGCCUAAUCAAAUCCUCUCCAAGUGAGAAAGCCCUAUCACUGGGGUCAAUAUCUCUCGCGGGAUCAUUUGUUCCCGACAUUCAUGCAACGCUAUUUAGGUUAUCUAAAUUCAUUGUUCACCAGUCAUCUUCUAAGGGAUCUACCUAUCCCUAGGUCCAUCGACCUCUAGUGUUGAUUACACUACAUUAAUGCCACUCGUUAUCAUUCAACAUUUGGAUGCCACUCGUUUGUUCUUUGACAAUAACACUGCUUUCUAUGUCAUCAACACCCCCAUCGGGUUCAUCUCUAUCUCUAGCAUCAUAGGAUCUACGUUCCGACCCAAUCCUCACCUGUCUAAGUCACCAAGCGUUUCAAGUACACUAGGUUAUCAUUUAGAAAGCAUAAGGAAGGGAGCUACUAUGCAAUCCUACAAUGCAACAUGGAGAGAUGAGAUUAAAUGCAAUCUAAGACAUAGAAAGGAGUUCGAAAGCUUCGGGAUGGCACCCCCCACCUUUUACCGAUGUUAAGGCUUUAGAAACGGUCCUCGGCGAACGCUACGAAAAGGCUUUAGCCUUCUUUGCUCAAGUCAAUGGUAUCCCGGCCCUAUUUUGCCGAGAACUUCACGCCGGCUUGCCGAAUGCCAAAAUCGACUUCGCCCCCACGUUUUGUGAACCUACCAAUAGGGUUUCCAAGCCUAAUCAAUCUCAUGCAUUCACAAAAACCCCAUUUUGGAGUCCUAGGUUUGCACCUAUAGCAAACCACAAUAAAUCCCCAGAUUUCUUGGGAUUGAUCUAUUUUGAAGCUUAUUUAUGGUCCAUUUGACCCAUUCCAAAGCAUCAAAACCCAAAACUCCAAGGUUUAGAAGCUAGGGUUCAAGUGCCUACCUCUUGUGCUACACCAAAGAGAAGAGGAGAGGGAGAUGAAGUUGCCCAAAGCCUUCUCUUUGAUCUCCUCCCUCUUCUCCUCCUUUUCCUUCCCUUCUUUUCUUUCCUCUCAUUCUUGUUCUUCUCCUUCUCCUUUCCUUUCUAGAGAGAGAGAGAGCUAGAGAGCAAUGGGAGAGAGUAAGGGGGAGAAAAUGAGAGUAUGAGGGAGAGAGACUAAUAAAGGCCAUUUUGCAUUUAGACCCCUCAACUUUUCAUCCAUUGCACAGCCCUCACUGGGCAGUUUUCGCGCGGAGGGACCGGUCCCUGGUCGGGGAGAUCGGUCCCCGAGAGCUCUCCCUGCAGUCUGGGGACUUUUCGCGUUCGGGAACCGGUCUCUUCCCGGGAGACCGGUCCUCGGGAGACCGGUCCUUACCUGAGAGACCGGUCCCCGAGAGCUAAAUUUUCAGGACUUAGCCAAUCUUUGGCAUUUCUCGCUGGGGCAACAUUCAGGAACCGGUCCCUCCCUACCAAGGACCGGUUGCAUCAUGCAACCCCGCAAUACCCAGCCAAGGGAACCGGUCUCUCACCUCCAGAGACCGGUCCCCGAGAGUAACAUCAGCCCAAUGAUGCAAUUUGCACCAUUUGCUCUCGCGGACUCAACUCCAAAGCACUUUUUGUGUUUUGGGCGUUCAUAACUCCCGCAAAGGGUAUCCUCUCGACAAUUAGUCGAUCCUGAAUGAAGUACAAUUCUUGGAUUUCUAGAAUUCACUUCCUUACAGAGUGACCGGACCCCGAGAGCAAUUUCCGUGGGCAGAGGGCUUUGCCCAUUUUCACGCGUACGGGGACCGGUCCCUCCCUGAGGGACCGGUCCCCGAGAGCACAAAAACUGCAGUUGUGCAGAACUUCUCCAGCUUGCUCUCGGAGGCCAUCCUCAAUGCACUUUUGACCUCUUUGAUGCUUUCGUUCUUUCCAAAGCAUACCCGAUCGACAGUCAGUUGAUUCCAAUCGAAGUUCAACUCCCGUAUUUCGAGAAUUCACUUCCUUACACGACGGGUUAGCCACGAGAUUGAAUAGUGUAAAGCAAACUUGCAUUCAUCAUAAGCAUUCUAUUUGAGCAUAGGAUUGUAUAUAUUGUUCAGGCAUAUUAGCUGCAUUUGUUAGUUGGCUACUAUCUAUUCUUUCUUCUAUUAUGCCUGAUUUAGACCUAGUGGGAAAGUCGGCGAGGUCGGCGGCCGAACCCACUGGAAACUUUGUUGUAGUUCUCACCCCACUAUUUCCAUAGAGCCAGGGCCGAGCGAGCCGACGGAUGAUCGCGGUAAAGGUAUCGCGCCAUAGCUAGAGACCACCCGAGUUGGUUUCACAUUUUGGUUUAGUUGCAUACCCUUAUACAUCAUCUUUUUUUAUUUUGAUGAUUUUAGUUUUAUCAAAAUGUUAAAUGAACGAUGUAAAAGAAUAUCAUAGUUAAUUGCAAAUGGUUAUAUUUUGAGGAAUAUGUGAUGUACAAAAGAAAUGAUACAAAGAAUGUAAUGGAAGUUUAUUAAAGUUGAAUGCAUGUAUGUGAUUUAAAUUUAAUCAUAUUACUUGUAUAUUGAUUAGACAGUACUUUCACUUUGGCUACUGCUUGCCCUCGUGCAAGCCAUUAUGUUUGCUUCAGCAUGUGCAAAUUUUAUACUCUAUUUGUACUUAUUGUUGAGCCUUGGACGGACAGGGGAGGUUGUAACACACUGGACCUUUGCAAAUUGCGAGGUUCGAGUGUUUGGAUUGUGUCCUGAGCUUUUCCAGAUUUUCUGGGUGGGUCGUUGACAGUGUUCCGACCUAUGGUUCGAAUCCGAGAUAUUGUAGUAUUUUAUGUAACGCUAAGGUCACUAAGAGUUGGACUUAGCCUACCCUCGGAUUGCAUUCUGCACGAGGUAACGGUGACAGGUCGAUGGCUGUACCGGUACACAUUUGUACCAGUACACUUCUGAUGGUUGUACCGUACACUUGCGGCCAAAUUCGAACGAGCUCGGGUUGCCAUUUUCGUAGGAUGUGUACCGGUACACUUUCCCGGUACCCGUACACUUUGGGCAGUUUUCGAAACAGUUCGAUGCAGGGUGUUUUUGCAUUGUUACAACUCUAUAACAUACCCCACGCCCCCUUGGAGUUCCCUGGCUUGGAGGCAGGGAGAGCAAGGUAAGGGAGCUCUCUUUUCUCCCUCUUUGCUUCCCUUUGAUUAUGUUGGGUUUUUGAAGAUUAAACUCUCCUUUUGCUCUCUUUUUGCAUUUUGUGUGCUUCCUCCAUGGGAGAAGUUUGGCUUGUGUUUGGAGCUUGUUAGAUGGGUAGGGGCUCAACCCUAGCUAUUUCUAGGGUGUUGGAGCUUCUCUUGAGGUUAGUUGCUUACUUAAUUUCCUUUUGAUCAUGAUUUUUGUAUACAAACCCUAGAAAUGGGUAUUUAGGGUUUGUUUUGGAUUUUUGAUUAGAGGCUUUUGAAGCCCAAUUGAUUGGAUUAGAACCUUAUAAUCUAGGUUGAUUGGAGGGAUUUAGCUUUUUUGGAGCUUGUGAAGGAUUUUCACCAUCAUAGGUGAGUUUUGGCCCUUUCUUUGAGUUGGUUAAAGUUUAACCUAUUCGUUGUUCGUAAUCCUGUGUAUCCCUUCGCUCAUUACUUUUAGGGUAUUUUGAGACUCGUGGACAACUCCGUUCGGCAAAACGAGGGACUACACGACGGUUCGAUGGGUUUGGCCUAGCCACACAAUGAGAAAAUCUCAUUGUUGAUGGUUUAAAUGUUGUAAAUUAAAGCAUGCAUAUUUGUGUUAGAUGCAUUAUUUGUGAAUUUUAGGAUGCUUAAAAGCACAUGUUAUAUACAAUGCAUAUUUGAUCUCUAUAUAGUAGAAGUUUUCAUGUUGGCUAGGGGCCUACGGUUAGCAUUCUUAAUUGAUUUGAGAUCAUGUGCGAUCAUUACAUAUGGCAUAUAGAUUACACUCUUGGACUUAGAACGCAUGAUUGACGUGGUUGGACAUAUCACAUUAAGUGACAUAGGCUAAAGUGUAUAAAAUAGUAAGCUAAUGUCAUAAAGCGCAUUAGGCUUGGACUAGAUAUGAGUUUAGCAAGCUAAUGUCAUAAAGCGGCAUUAGACUUGAUGGAUAUGCAAAUUGCAUGUGCAUGCUAUUAUUAUGAGAAUAUGCCAAGUUAAUAGUCGCAUUGGAAAGACACAUGUCGCAUAUGAGAACACGCUAGAGAGCAUGUAUAUUAAUCUAUUAUUGAUAGAACAAGCUAACGUCUUAAAGAGACAUAGAAUGUCAAUUGAGCUUAGAUUAUAGCGAUGUUUAAGUGUCAUAAAGAGGCACUAAACAUAGUGAAUGUGGGAACUUCACUUGAGUUUUGGACUUAGUAAAGCUAAGGUCAUUGACAUUGAAUUAUCGAACGGUUAAACCUUCACUUGAGGCAUAGACUAGACACUGGGGUUGCUAGUGUGCAUUUCCAUGUUAGAGACAUGAUGACUGUUGAGUUGCAUUUCCAUGUUGGAGACAUGACGAUUGGACUAUUGAGAUUUUGACCAUGCUUGCUUGCCAUUUGUGCUCAUUCGCACAUGCUUGUGAGGAUCGCUCCCCACAAGCCGGCACUCCGGAGUUAGCCUACGCGACUUAUGUUCGCCCGUGCGGUAUCGAGUAGCCUACGGGGCCUGGAGGGAUAGACUCAUUCCUAGAGUGGGAAUGCUGGAGCUACCACUGGCACUUAAGCGGCACAAGCCGGACUACACCCGUGUAGAUCCUGAAUGAGAUUGAACCAGAAUACUAAACAACAAUUGACAAUCACUACUAGAUAGGUUAUAGUAGCUGGAUUUUCUUGACAUGCUAUGGGAUAGGGUUGGACUUUUGGGAUAUUUAGUGUACUUGACAUUAUCGCUUAUUGCAUUGUAGUACACCUUGCUGCCAGGAUAGUACAUACUAGAUAUGUAGUGGGCUCUGGAAUAUAUAUAUCACACUUUAUAGCAUUACUUGUUGCAUCAUGAUACAUUGUUUAAGUUUUGGGCAUAUCGGAUCAUGUAGAGUAGAUGUACUCCAUGUUGACAUUCAGAAUACUUGUGGCAUAGUAGAGUAGCAUUUUAAUUUCAUGCUCCAAUUACUAUUGAUAUUUUCUGUUAUCAUUAUUUGCUCGUUUGGGGCCUAGUGGUGCGAUUUGUUGCAGGUCAGUAAUUGCCCACUGGGAACUAUAAUUUAUAGUUCUCACGCCCCCUGUUUUAUGUUUUCUUUCAGUGCCUUCCACUCCGGGAGGGGCUCGGGAUCGCGGGAAAGGUUUCGCCUCGAGUUAGCUAUCGAGGGUCUUGGCGUUAGGUGGUCCACCUCUCUUUUGUUUUCUUUUGGAGAGGUUGUGAGAGUUUUGUACCUGAUUAUAGAGACCACCCUAUUUUUGUAUCUUGAGACUUAUGAUGUAUCAGUUUACUUUAUGCUUAGUAGUAUGAUUUUCUUUUGAUUCUACCUAAUAUUAGAACCUAGCUAUAUACUUGCUCUGAUAUCUCUAGUUGUAGAUCUUCUCAUGCUUUACUCUUCCGCUUUUGUGUAGACGCCUUAUAUGUGUAGACAUAUGGCGGGUCUGGGCGCGCACCGGGCGGGCCUAUGCCGGGUCCCGGGGCGUGACAGAUUAAUUUGGUAUCAGAGCCUAGGGUUGAGUCUUAGUGGACCUAGCGAACCUUAGGCCGGUUGGACUAUAGGAAUUAGACUCGUGAGAGACGAGGUCUAUUUAACUUAUGAGCGAAAGUAUCAUGAUUGGGUUUUCUUUGAUAACUCCAAAAAGGCUGGAGUUGGAUCGAAGUGUAUGCCUUCUAACUUCGUGGAGGGUUACGUUGGCGGCCGACAACGUAACAUCAGGAGUUAGUAGUUGGGACACUUCUUUACUUUCGCACGAUUUGGGGUGUGGUUAUUUGAGCGGGGUUGCGAUAGCGUGGGUUAUAUUAACUUGCACUUUUAUGAUGUUGUAGUGUUGAUGCCGACUACACGCUCUAAGUCUAUUAGAACGGACGAGGCGGCGACUUUUGAGGAAGCGGAGACAUCCGCUACCUCCCGAUCCAGUGAGGUUCGUGAGUUGAGGAGCCAACUUGCCGCCCUCACUGAUUUGGUGACGCAGCAGGCGGCGGCGGCCCAGCAGCAGGCGGACACGGCACGACGGCAGGAGGCACGGAUGCAGCGCCUGGAGGAUCUUCUAUUACAGCAGGCAGCUGUUAGGGAGGCUCAGGUCUCGGUACUACCCGCGCCAGUGGAGACAGUUGCGCCCGGGGGGUUGUCCCCUGUACUCGACACUUCGCAGACGACACUUACGGUAGCCCCUCGGGGGGAGGUAUUGGCAGCACCACCAGCUCAGGUGCCUGUGGCAGCGGCGACUUUUUCCUUGAUGGUUGAAAGAGCGGAGCGGCAGCGGCUCAUGGAUCGCCUCGAUGAGUUCCGGAGGUGCGAUCCCAGGAUCUUUGAUGGAGAGGAGGCCGACCACUGGAUCGUUGAGAAGUGGUUGAUGCAUAUGGAGAAGUUAUUCCGCGACACCUUCGUGGAGGAGAGAGAUAGAGUUUGGCUCGCCACUCACCAUUUGGACGGCGAGGCCUAUAGUUGGUGGGUGGGCAUCCAGGAUAAUCCCAACACCGACCUAGCAGCGAUUUCUUGGAAAAGAUUCAAGGAGCUCUUAUUGGAGCAUUACUUCCUCGUCCGCGUGAAGAGGAAAAUGGAGCAGGAUCUGCGCGAGAUGCGCCAGGGGGAUCAGACUGUGGCCGAGUACGAGAGGGAGUUCUCUCAGCUUCUACACUAUGCGCCCUUUGUUGUACGGGAUGACGAGGAUAAGGCUCGCACCUUCGAGCGAGGACUUCGGCCGUCGAUUUUACGGUUGGUGCAACCCUUCCACCUUCAGACUUACCAAGAUGUGGUGAACCGCGCUCUCAUCGUGGAAAGCUGCGCGGCAGAUUUGCAGGAGCGUCAAAAAGGCUCGAACAAAGGACAGGACAAGAAGCCCGCGACUGAGAGUGCGAAUCAGACGCACUCUGGGAGGCCGCCGAAACAUUCCAGGAACCGGAGCCAGUUGCGAGGACGUGGCUCAUCAGCACGGCAUAGAGGAUCCGAGCGUCGUCAGACGCUGAGCUGCGUGAUCUGCGGUGGUCGUCAUUACCCGCAGCAGUGCUCUCAGAGGCAGGGCAGGUGCUACUCGUGUGGCCAGGAGGGUCACUUCCAGUCAGACUGUCUGAGAGGUUUAGUAGCAGCGCCAUCUUCAGCAUCGGUACCAGUAUUACCGGAUCCCAGCCAGGGGACGCCUUUUUCUCACUAUCAGGCCGGGAGGCUACCCGUCCUGAGACAGACGGAGGGGUCACGACGGGCCCCGAGCGGGCGUAUGUAUGCGGCCCAGACUGAGAAGGCGGCAGCAGCCGAGUUUGUGAUUUCAGGUAUCAGUCCCUCUUGUGGCAUUUGAGUUGUGCAUUGUUUGCUAUUGGUGCAUUGCAUCUAUAUUCUGAUCGGCUAUUCGCCGAGUUGCAUGGCAUUUCGUUAGUUCGAUGUUUGCGACAUUGUGUAGCCCCUCGAGCUAGGCGAUUGAUUUGCGGGUUGCGGGUAGCAUAUUUUGCUAUGCUUGUAGAUCUCACGAGGAUUGCAUUAGUUGUAUCCCUGGCUCGGCUGUUUGCCGGAUGGUGCUUGGAGACGACCGUGCCUGGACCAUUUGGGGACUGUGGAGCCUGGGCCCGUUGGGCAGGCGCAGUCGGCUGUGUGUGACAGCGGCCCGGUACCUGUUGGUAGGGCAGAGUUUUGGUCAGGAUGGUAGUCCGAGCCUGGACCCUGGAGCGUGGAAAGCCACGUGUUGGAUCGUGAGAUCGAGGACACACUGAGUGUGUAGUUACCCAACCCGAGGAUUUGUUAGCGUUGAGCCUUUUGGCGCGUGUGGAUGAUCGGUUGAUCGGGUGUGUCGUUUCGAACGCCCUACCCCGUGAGAUGGUUCUGUGUGCCAACAAAUAGAUUGGCCUUCCUUGGUGUGGAAUUGUUGUGGGUACCUGGUACCCUUGGAUUGCGAGCUGACUUGACUCGCUUUGAGGACUGUGAGCACGAAAUAGUGCGAUUUGAGGAUUUACUUCCGCUAGAUGUGUUGAUUGUCUCCCUUACCUAAAAUUGGGUAAGUGUUGGAGAGGGUUUAGGGCCUGAGUGGCCAUUAGCUUUGGGUGGUCGAGAAUCCUUGAAAUAAAGGAUGUUCUUGAUCGGUCGUUGUGUCCCCGAUCGAGUCACUAAUAGUUAGCUCGAUUGGCGGGGAGGUUCUAUAGUUGGUGUUUUGCUUCGUGGAGGAGCAGUCUCACUUGUUGUGGGACCGGUUGGGCCGUUUCGACGGUAUGUCGACUAUCGUGAUUCAAAUUGAACCACGACUUGGUGUUUGGACAGCGUUGAGGCCCAAUGAUCUUGUCAAUUGGCCUUGAGUUGUUGGUGUACUCGAUAAGAUUGUAAGCAAUCUGAGUAGUGCCAUUUGAUGUUGGAGUUUGAGGUCACACCUCAAACGGGUCAUGAUGCUAGGUUGGAACCUCACAUGGAUGAUGUUGCCAAGACUGUAGUACUCCACCAGUGGAAGGGAUUUGCGGAAUGAUAAUCCCGAGCCGUGUGUGGAUUUGUGGACCAGUCGCGGAUGACUUGGGGUAUUUUUAUAGGAUGCGCGAGUUUAGACCGCAUGGGCAUGUUUGAAGCAAUCGAGUUGUGAAACUCUCACUGAUGGAUGGAGAUUCUGUGAGGGGGGAAUGUACCAAGUGCUGAUUUUUUCCCGUGUCUUGAGCUUGUACGAGGAUUUGAGCUCUUCGAGAUAGAACUGCAUAUGAGGACUUAUGGGAUUAAUUUUGGCUUGAUAGUCGCAUCAGAGUGACCUUGAUAGAGAGCUGUUAUCGAACCGUGGAUUGACCCUUCUCUAUUGCGUGAACUGAGCUCGAUGGCUACCGACACCUGGAGCUUCCGUGACUAGGGGAAAGCUUUGAGAUCGAAUCUCUAAGGGUUUGCUUGGACUUGAGUUCGGACUAAGAUAAUAAUCUUAGUGAUUUAAUGAAGCUUUUGAGCUUGGUCCGUGACCAUGUAUUGCGGAGAAUGGAGGGUACUCCCGAGUGGUGAGUUCGAGAUUGAUGUGGAGACAUCGUAGCGCAGUGCCGAAUGAGGAACCAAGUAAUCGCCAUGAUGGGCGAGUUUGGACGACCAGUUGAUUUCUGUUACUCUUGGGAAGUUGGCUACCGUGGUGGUGGAUUUGGAACCGUCCGUGCCCAGCAAGGUUGGACGGAUGAAUGGACGUUGUGAAUGGCAGUGGGAUGGAAAUUACACUGUACUUAAACUGGAUUGGAUUACGCUUAGUUAUGCCAUCUCGAGAAGAGACUUGAUUUAGGAUCAUUGUUGGAAUAUGAGCCGAUUAGCAGAUGUUGCAUCACCUCUCCUCGGUGAGCGUUGAUCUGAUGAGCACUUCGAUGGUGUUUGGAUAGAUGAGUAAAGGAUUUAACCCCCAUAUGCUUGCUUUGGACAGUGCCUUUGAAUCCACCUUAAGGGGCGUUUGGAUGUAAUCCUAUAUACCAGAGUAUUUGAAGCAGAGCAAGGCUUUACCCCCGACUUGGGCGAGAUAGGUGAGAAUUGGAAUUCAGCUUUCGGAAACACUUGAUUCCUGAGAACCGAUUGGAGGACUUGAAAUCAAGCGCGGAUUGAAGAUGGAACUUUCGGUGAAGACUUGAGUUCAAGGAGCUUAUGCGGAAGUUUGGGUUGUGUUAUGCCAAAGCCUUGGCGUCGCGAGAUCUUGUUGUGUUUGCGCCUUGGAGUUUUCCGGCACACCUGUGACCAUCAUGGUCUGUUUGGGGAGCUGCUGGAGCGCUUCUUCCAUCAUCUUCGGAUGGGUUUGUUGUGUGGUUGACCCGCAGUUUCGCGGACGAAACUCCUUUUUAGGAGGGGAGAAUGUAACACACUGGACCUUUGCAAAUUGCGAGGUUCGAGUGUUUGGAUUGUGUCCUGAGCUUUUCCAGAUUUUCUGGUGGAUCGUUGACAGUGUUCCGACCUAUGGUUCGAAUCCCGAGAAUUGUAGUAUUUUAUGUAGCGCUAAGGUCACUAAAGAGUUGGACUUAGCCUACCGUCGGAUUGCAUUCUGCACGAGGUGUAACCGGUGACAGGUCGAUGGCUGUACCGGUACACAUUUUGUACCUGUACACUUCUGAUGGUUGUACCGGUACACUUGCGGCGAAUUUCGAACCCGAGCCUCGGGUUUGCAUUUUCGUAGGAUGUGUACCGGUACACUUUCCCGUGUACCGGUACACUUUGGCAGUUUUCGAACAGUUCGAACUGCAGGGGUGUUUUUGCAUUGUUGCACCUCUAUAUGAUACCCCACGCCUCCCCUUUGGUUUCCUGAGCCCAGAACUCAGAGGAAACAGGUGAGAGAGCUCCUCCUUGCCUCAUUUUGGAUUUCAUCUUCCUUUUUCUUGGUUUUUAGGUGGUUUUUGCUCUCUUUUGCCUUUUAGAGCAUUUCCCACCAUUGUUGGAGGCUUGGAUCUUGGAGAGGAGCUCAUUGGAGAGGAGAACUUCAACCCUAGUUGGUUUGGGGCCUUGUUGGGAGCUUCUUAAGAGGUUAGAUGCUUGUUCUCUCCUCUUGAUUUGUAUUUUGAUGGUGGAUUUGAGAUGAAACCCUAGAAUGUGAGUUUAGGGUUGAUUUUGGGCAUUUUGAUUCUUGGGCCUUUUGAGCUAAAUUGAUUGGAUUAGAACCUUUAUCUAGGUUGCAUUGGAAGGGAUCUAGCUUCCAUUUGGAGCUUAAAAGGGAUUUUCUACACUUAGGUGAGAUUUUAGCCCUUUUUGCCUUGAUGGUUAAUGUUUGAGUUUCGGGUUGUUCGUUUCGUUUGGGUAACCCUCGUUUUGAUGCUUCUAGGGUACUAGGAGUCUUGUGGGCACCUCCGUUCGGCGAAACGAAGGUUUCGAUUUUGGUGGGUUUGGCCUCACCUAGAUGAGAUAAACUUCUCAUAUGAGGGUUUUUAUUUAUCGUAAAGUGAAAACGCAUGCAUAUUCUUAUUGGAUAGAAUAUUUGAGAAUUUUAGAAUGCUUAAAUUGCACAUGUCAUAUACCAUGCAUAUUUGACCUCUAUAUAGUAGAGAGUCUUCAUGUUGGGCUAGGGGCCUAUGGUUAGCAUUCUUACGUUGAUUGAGAUCACGUUGCAUACGGUGCAUAUGGCAUAUAGAUUACACUCUUGGACUUAGAACGCAUGAUUUACAUGGUUGGACAUAUCGACAUUAAGUGACAUAGGCUAGAGUGUAUACAAAUAGUAAGCUAAUGUCAUAAAGCGGCAUUGGGCUUGGACUAGAUAUGGACUUAGCAAGCUAAUGUCAUAAAGCGGCAUUAGACUUGAUGGAUAUGUAAAUUGCAUGUGCAUGUUAUUACUAUGAGAAUUAUGCCAAGUUAAUAGUUGCAAUGGAAAGAACAUACAUGUAGCAAUAUGAGAACACGCUAGAGAGCAUGUGUACUAAUCUAUUAUUGAUAGAACAAGCUAACGUCUUAAAGAGACAUAGAAUGUGAAUUGAGCUUAGAUUAUAGCAAUGUUUAAGUGUCAUAAAGAGGCACUAAACAUAGUGAAUGUGGGAACUUCCCCUUGAGAUUUGGACUUAGUAAAGCUAAGGUCAUUGACAUCGAAAUUAUUGAACGGUUAAACCUUCACUUGAGGCAUAGACUAGACACUGGGGUUGCUAGUGUGCAUUUCCAUGUUAGAGACAUGAUGACUGUUGAGUUGCAUUUUCAUGUUGGAGACAUGACGAUUGGACUAUUGAGGUUUUGACCAUGCUUGCUUGCCAUUUGUGCUCAUACGCACAUGCUUGUGAGGGUCGCUCCCCACAAGCCGGCACUCCGGAGUUAGCCUACGCGACUUAUGUUCGCCCGUGCGGUAUCGAGUAGCCUACGGGGCCUGGAGGGAUAGACUCAUUCCUAGAGUGGGAAUGCUGGAGCUACCACUGGCACUUAGGCGGCACAAGCCGGACUACACCCGUGUAGAUCCUGAAUGAGAUUGAACCAGAAUACUAAACAACAAUUGACAAUCACUACUAGAUAGGUUAUAGUAGCUGAAUUUUCUUGACAUGCUAUGGGAUAGGGUUGGACUUUUGGGAUAUUUAGUGUACUUGACAUUAUCGCUUAUUGCAUUGUAGUACACCUUGCUGCCAGGAUAGUACAUACUAGAUAUGUAGUGGGCUCUGGAAUAUAUAUAUCACACUUUAUAGCAUUACUUGUUGCAUCACGACACAUUGUUUAAGUUUUGGGCAUAUUGGAUCAUGUAGAGUAGAUGUACUCCAUGUUGACAUUCAGAAUACUUGUGGCAUAGUAGAGUAGCAUUUUAAUUUCAUGCUUCAAUUACUGUUGAUAUUUUCUGUUAUCAUUAUUUGCUCGUUUGGGGCCUAGUGGUGCGAUUUGGUGCAGGUCAGUAAUUGCCCACUGGGAACUAUAAUUUAUAGUUCUCACGCCCCCUGUUUUAUGUUUUCUUUCAGAGCCUUCCACUCCGGGAGAGGCUCGGGAUCGCGGGAAAGGUUUCGCCUCGAGUUAGCUAUCGAGGGACUUGGUGAUAGGUGGCCCACCUCUCUUUUGUUUUCUUCUAGAGAGGUUGUGAGAGUUUUGUACCUGGUUAUAGAGACCAUCCUAUUUUUGUAUCUUGAGACUUAUGAUGUAUCAGUUUACUUUAUGCUUAGUAGUAUGAUCUUCUUUUGAUUCUACCUAAUGUUAGAACCUAGCUAUAUACUUGCUCUGAUAUCUCUAGUUGUAGAUCUUCUCUUGCUUUACUCUUCCGCUUUUGUGUAGACGCCUUAUAUGUGUAGACAUAUGGCGGGUCUGGGCGCGCACCGGGCGGGCCUAUGCCGGGUCCCGGGGCGUGACAGAGGUGCUGUCCGUUCGGCGUCUGUUCGACGUAUCCGAACUGGCCAAAUAGGAUUGAGUUCGGGGCGUGACAGCACGGCAUGUUCCUCUCCUACCGAGGGAUCCCUAACCGCGGGUGCACGGCAUGGUUCCUCUCCUAUCGGGCUGCUCGGUAUAUGGAUUGUAGGCUGAGGUGCACGGUAGGUUCCUCUCCUCAGGUCUAGAUACGAGCGGUAUUCCGCUGGUGAUUGACUCGAGGCUGAGUCGAAUGGUAUAGCUUGGCUAAGGUAAUACAUACCUUAGGAGCAGAUUGGAUGAGCUAUGGAUAGUGAAAUAGAAAGUAGAAAAGGUAGAGCUACUUGCAUGAUUUCAUUACCGCAUUUUUCUUGAGGAAAUAGCAUGAUUUAUUUCUUGCAUAAAAAUAUAUGUGUAUAUUUGUUGGACUAACGUGUUAUGUUGCCUCGUUUGGACCUGGUGGGUCGAGCUUUUUCCUUGGGUGGCCGUACCCACUAGGAAUCCCCAUUUUUGCAGGUCCUCACGUGAGUGGCGCCGUAGCGCGAGAAAAUGAUGUAGCUCUGUAGAUAGCGCCCUACCACUGAGACCAGAGAUAGAAAUACCCUAAGUCGGCAUAGCUUAGGGUAUAGGAAAGAAUGGAACGAACUGAAACAAUUUUAAUAAGGUUUAUUGUAUUUGGAAACAAAAAAUGUAAAUAUAAUGUAAUUUGAAAUUAUGACGAAUGCUUGUAAUAGCAUAGUUGUUUUAUAUUUUUGAUACCUUUCUUAUGCAAUCGAUGUAUGAAUACUGUUCCUAUUUGAAACCACUUGUAUUGUACUGUUUACGACGUUUAGGACGUACAAGGGAGAUUCUGUCCAUUCGGCGGUCUGUUGGUGUCACGCCCCGAGACCCAGCGGAAGCCCGCCCGGCGCGUGCCCAGACCCGCCAUAUGUCUAAAACAUAUAAGGCGUCUAAAACAAAACGAUAAAUAAGGCAAAAAGAGAGAAAACAUCUAGCUGUAUCAGAGCAAAGUGUAUCUAUGAGCUACAAUAAAAGAAAUGAACAUAAAGCCGAAAGUCCACUAGAUAAAAGCAUGAAGUAGUACAAAAAGAAUCCCAAAUACUACUAAACAUAAAAACAUGGGUGGUCUCUAUACAUGAUAACAAAACUCUCUCUCUCUCUCUCUCUCUCUCACAAAAACGAAAAAGAAGAGAGUGACCACUUAGGAGCAACAGCAAGCUCCGCUAUCUAGCUAUGCGACUCCCUUGCCGCGAUCCCGUACCUCCGCCGAUGCCGAAGGCUCUGAAAAGGAAACAUAGAAAUAGGGGCGUGAGAACUAUUAAAUAAUAGUUCCCAGUGGACAAUUACUGACUUCAGUGAAAUGUGCCACUAGGCCCGAAAGCUUCAAGAAGGGGGUCAGUGUAUAAGUAUAAACAAAAGCGAUAAGUACAACUAAUAAAUAAACAUGAAUAUCUGCUACCACAAGAUAUUUCUACUUAGCAUGAUUUUGCUCAAGUAAUAAAAAUGCUACACUAGCAUGAAUGUGCCAAAUCAUCACUAGUAUGAUGUCCAUAAGCUAAUUAGUAAAGAUGUCAUUGUUUACUAUUCUAGUCAAUGUCCACAUGGCAUGAUAAAUGCUCCAAGUCAAAUCUGAAGAGACCCGCCCGAAGGCUGUCUGGCCCUGAGACCCACCCGUAGGCUGUUUGGCCGGUGCCGAGCCUAAUGGCCCCAUGGUAGUCAACAUCCCUACUCUAGGAAUGAGCCUUUUCCACGGCAAUCCACUUCGGCGUCCAAUCCCGCACGGCGAAUAGGUAUCGCGAUGGCCAUCUCCGGAGUGCCGGCUUGUAGGGAGCGACCCUCACAAGCAUGUGCGAAUGAGCACAAUGGUAAGUAACGUAAGAUCCGUCUCAAGUACCAAGUCCUCAUGUCUAACAACAUGGAAUAUGUCACAUAUCUCAAUGGCCUAUCUCUAAGUCAUCAUGUCUAAACAUGAAAGUAAUAGAUAUCAAAGGCCUAUCACUAUGUCUCAUUAUAGCAGUUUCAUAGUUACUAAGUCAAGUGCCCCUUUAUGACACUUUAAUCGCUAAGUCCAAUCAUAGUGUAGUGUUUACAAUUACACAGUUAUGAGUUAACUUUAACAUAAGGGACAUGAUUCCCAUUACUAUCUCGAACACUUUUCACAUGCAUGAAAAUUACCCAGUAUGCUCUACUAUAUAGAGUGAAAUUUAUUUUACACAUAGCACAUGCAUUUUAAGUGUUCUAAAAUUCACAUAAAUCCUAUCUAGCAUGGAUUUGCAUUCAAAUUGACGUUACGACAAGUAUAGAAUACAUAGGGGCCAUUUCGCCCCGAUUUCAUGAAGUCAAACCCACCACAACUCUUGCAACUCUUCGUAAGCUCCGACAAAGAUGCCUACUAGUCUCUUAGCACCCUAAAGAUGUAGGAACAAGAGUCAAACGAACCUUACGAACAAUACUAAGCUCAAUCUUUAACCAUCUAGGUAUAGAGGGCAUAACUCACCUCUUGUGUAGAAAUCCCUUCUCAAGCUUCCAAAAAGAGCGAGAACCCUUCCAAACCAACCUAGAGGAAGGUUCUAAACCAAUCAAUUGGGUCCCAAAGCCCUCAAAUCAAAAAUCCCCAAAAUAAAUCCUAAAAUCCAAAUCUAGGGUUUCAUUUAGUUUAAAGCUUCAAAACUAGGAUCUAGAGGAAGAAAACUAGCCACUUACCUCUAAAAUGCUCUAAACCAAGCUCAAAAUCCUCAAGGGUUGAAGAUUGAUCCUCCACAAGGCUCCAGCCACCAACUCCAAGCCACCAAAGGUGAGGAACUAGGGAGAGGAAGAUGCUCCAAGGCCUCCAAGCUUGCUCUCCUUCUACUUCUUCUUCUUCUCCUUCUUCUUCUCUUUCUAGAGAGUGUAGAGAGAGUGUGAAGGAGAGAAAUGAGGGUGAGAGGGAGAGGAAGUGACCUAUAAGCCCUCUUAAGCAACAAAAUCCACAUAGGCCCCUCAACAAUGCAACCUGUGCACUAUCCUGACUGGACCAUUUUCGGGCUGAGGGACUGGUCUCCCCGCACCUGGGACCGGUCUCUCGGACCCUCCCGCAAAACACACGUUCGAAAACCGGUCUCUCCUCGCAUGGGACCGGUCUCUCCCUGCGAAAACACGCUCGGGGACCAGUCCCAUCCGCCAGGGACCGGUUGCCUCGCAGACUGCCGCAACACUGUUCCGAGAGGACCGGUCUCUCCUAUCAGGGACCGAUCCCCGAGAGUGAAAACUCUCAGGACUUGCCAAAACUCCAGAAAUCGAACUUUUAGGUCGCAAUACCAUCAACGAUCUUCCACCAAGUGUGAAAAUGUUCAGAAUCCAUAUCAAACACUCGAACCUCGCAAUUUGCACAGGUCCAGUGUGUUACAGUUGGCGUGCCCGAAUCCUACCAAAGUGGCGGAUUGUCGGGGCGUGAUAGUUUUCUCCCUUUUUCUCUCUAAGAUUUCUCUCCCAAACUCUCCUAGAUUUGGGUUUGAUCUUGUUUUCUCCUCCCUUUCCAUGGUGGCUUGCUUGGUGAACCCUAGAGGAAGGUUGGAAGUGAAGAAGGGAGCCUUGUUGAGGAUUAAACUCCAAUCCUAGCUCAAGAUAGCUUGAUUUGGAGAUUUCUUGAAGGUUAGUACUCAUCUUGCAAUAUCUAUUUAUAGAUUUUAUAAGAUUUAUAGAUGAAAACCUAAUUUUGCAGAAACUAGGGUUCAUUUUUGGGGGUUUUUGAUUUUGAGCUUUUGUGGUGGAAUUGAUGAGUGUAGAACACUUUUGUAGGUUGGAGUUGAAGCUCCAUUGGGUUGAUUUGAGCCUUGGACAGGUUUUACUUGAUCAAAGGUAAUUUUCACCUCUUUUUUUCUUUGAUGUUUGAUGAAUUUUGUAUGAUAUUCGUUCGAAGCUUGUAGCCCUCUUAGAAAUUCUUUUAGGGUGCUAGAACCUUGGUGGACAAUUUCGUUCGAAGGAACGAAAGGGUUCGAGUAUCCGGUGGGUUUGACCUCACCGAAAUGGGUGAACUCUCUCUAUGUCUUCAAUGAUGUCUUUAGACUUAAUUAGAUGCAUGUUCAUGCUAAAUAUGUGUCACGCCCCGCCCCGAAACCACUACCAUUUUGGCACGAUUCGGGCGCGGCGAGUGGACCGCUAAACGGACAGCACCCCUGUUCGCCCAAGGCUCACAACAAGAAUGUGUACAAGAAUUUCCCAGGAAUUUAAAUUCUAAACAUACACAUUCAACGGGGCACGAAUAGUGCCAGCAACUACAAGAGCAAGUAAUCCACAAGUAAAAACAAGUGAAAUAAAGAGAGUACUUUGCUAACUAUUACAAUAGUUCCCCCUUUUCAUUUACAUCAUUUUCUUUAAAUGAUUACAUCACUCAUCCAAAAUACAUAGCUCUCCAAAUCCUCACCUACAAUGAAUCUCUCUCAGUACAUAGGUGUGCUAAUGCAAAAAGGAAAGCUACUAUACUACCACGGUCUCACUGGUCGGGCGCGAUGCCCUUGCCGCGGUCCUCUCUCGGCAACCCUAUACCUACCACUAGAAAUAGAGUGGGGUGAGAACUAUCUUCCAUAGUUCCCAGUGGGCUCGGCCGCCGACUUUGCCGAUCUCCCCACUAGGUCCAAGUGGGCACAAGCAACAACAGAUAGAUAGAUAGAUAGAUAUCUGAAAGCUGUAAAUGCAAUAGUAGGAAAACUAUGCUACUAUGCCUAUAAUCAUAUGUAAUGAAUGGAUGCAUUAUACAGCAAGGGUUUACUAUCAUGCUAACAAAUUCGAUCCAUGUUCGAAUAAUAAUGUUCAAUAACAUUGUUCACUAUUUUUUUACCCAAUCUGUGGCUAAGCCCUCGGAUUCGCCAAUAACUCACCUUUCAAUCCCAAAGUGGGGAGGGAGCUCCAAGUGCACCCAAGCCCGGGACAGUCUGCGGACCUCCAUGUGGUCCGGACCUCCAAGUGGUCCUAGUCGCACGACACUCCGGAGUACUCGACGACAAUCCCCUCCAUGUGGGGAUAGGGAUGGCUAUACCAUCCCAAAAGAAGACUGUGAGCUAGAUCUAUCCUCUCCAAGUGAGGAUACCCUACAACUAGGGUCAACAACCCAAUCAAAUCCUCUCCAAGUAAGGAUGCUCUACAACUAGAGUCAACAACCGAAUCGAAUCCUCUCCAAGUGAGGAUGCCCUACGACAAGGGUCAAUGUCUAAAUAACUCAUCAACAACCUCUCCAUACAAGGGUACUUAAGGAAUGGAGCCACUAUGCAAUCCUACAAUGCAACAUGUAAGAGAUGAGAUUAAAUGCAAUCUAAGACAUAGAAAGAAGUUCGAAAGCUUUGGGAUGGCACCCCCCACCUUUUACCGAUGUAGAGGCUUUAAAAACGCUCCUCGGCGAACCUUACGACGAGGUCUCGGCCUUCUUGGUCCAAGACAAGGCUAGAUCGACCGUAUUUCGCCGAUAGCUCCCAAUCCGCUCGACGAAUCGCGAAAUCGACUUCGCCUCCGCGUUUUGUGACCUACUAAUUAGGUUUACAAGGCCUCAAAUGAGAUCAAUCUCAUACUUUACCAAAAACCCCAUUUUGGGUGCCCUAGGGUUCCCAUCUUGCCAUUUGCAAUUUGGAACCCUAACUCUAGCUUUGAUCCAACCAACAAUGGUGCUAGGGGUCUAUUUGACCCCAUUUCCAAAGCUCAAAACCCAAAAAUCCUAAGUUCUACAAGCUAGGGUUUGUAGCUUACCUCUUGGGCUACACCAAUGGGAAGAGGAGAGGGAGAGGGAGAUGUUUAAAGCCUUCUCCUUGAUCUCCUUCUUCUUCUUCUUCUUUUUCUUCUUCUCCUUUUCCUUCCUCUCCUUUUUGUUCUUCUUCUCUUUCUAGAGAGAGAGAGAGGGGGAAAUGAGGGUGAUGGAGUGAGGGGAAUGAGAGAAAGAGAGAGAGAGGCCUUUCCCUUAACCCCUCUCAUGGUCAUUUUGCACUUAAACCCCUCAACUUUCUAUCCCUUACGUAGCCCUCACUGGGCAAAAUUCGCGCGGAGGGACCGGUUUCCCCGACUUGGGAUCAGUCACCGAGAGCCUCCCUCGGGCGCACGCGUUCGGGAACCGGUCUCUCCCCGAGAGACCGGUCCUCGGGAGACCGGUCAUCGCCUGAGAGACCGGUCCUCGAGAGCUUGAUUUUCAGGACUUAGCCAAAUUUCGGCAUUUCUCGCUGGGACCACGUUCGGGGACCGGUCCCUCCCUGCUAGGGACUGGUUGCAUCAAGCAACCCCGCUACACCCAGCCGAUGGAACCGGUAUCUCACCUCCAGAGACCGGUCCCCGAGAGUAACAUCAGCCCAAUGAUGCAGUUUGCACCAUUUGCUCUCGUGGACUCAACUCCAAGGCACUCUUUGUGCUUUGGACAUCUCUAACUUCCCCAAAGGGUAUUCUCUCGACAAAUAGUCGAUCCUGCACGAAGUACAACUCUCGGAUUUCGAGAAUUCGUUUCCUUAUAUCCUCCCUUCCUUAAAAGGAGUUUCGUCCUCGAAACUAAUCCAAUUCUUAACUUUAACUCAACCCAUACCUUACUCCUCACAUAGAUGAGGAUGGUGCUUUCUCAUCAGAUCCUCGAGUUCCCAGGUGGCCUCGAGAUCAUCAUGAUUACUCCACCGAACCUUUACAUAGGGAAUUUCUCGAUUUCUCAACCUUCGCACCUCUCGGGCGAUAAUCCCUACCGGAAACUCUUCAUAGCUCAAGUCCUGCGGUGGAAGCUCGGUGAGGCGUGCGAUGGACGGGUUAGUAUAGGGUAUAUAUAUAUAAUAAUAUAUGUGGAUAAGAUAUAUAUGUGUAUUUUAUACUAUAGUAUGUGUGAUAUAGCGGAUAUAUUGAUGCGUGGUAUAUACUGGUAUUAGUAAUAAGUUAUUAUUAGUGGCAGCCGGGCUGAUUAAUCGCGGGUCGUGAAAGAUAUACGUUGGCGGAGAUUGGAGACAUGAGACACAUUGUGUAUCAUCCGCAAGCUUCGGCAGCAAAGCAAGUCGGUAGGCCACCGUGCCGACUCGCUCCAAUAUUUCAUAUGGUCCAAUGUAUCGGGGACUUAGUUUUUCCCGCACUCCAAACCGCUUCACACCCUGCAUCGGUGAAACCUUCAAGAAUACGUGGUUGCCCACCGCGAACUCUAUAUCUCCUCGGCGCCUAUUUGCAUAGCUUUGUUGUCUCGACUGCGCCAUGAGCAAUCUCUUGCAAGCAAGGCGGACUUUCUCCUCCGCUUCUCGCAACACAUCAGGGCCGAACUCAGCCCGCUCUCCUACAUCGCUCCAAUGUAUAGGAGACCAACACGUCCGCCCGUAGAGAGCCUCGAACGGUGCCAUCUCCACACUAGCAUGAUAACUGUUGUUGUAGGCGAACUCGGCCAUAGGUAGGUGAUCACACCAACUUCCUUUAUAGUCGAUGACACACGCUCGCAGCAUAUCCUCCAGAGUUUGAAUCGUUCUCUCUAUUUGCCCAUCGGUCUGAGGAUGAAAUGCGGUGCUAAAAUCGAGCCGUGUGCCAAGGGCUUCCUGCAGGCUCUUCCAGAAGUGUGAAGUGAACCGAGGGUCACGAUCCGACACGAUCGAUUUCGGUACCCCAUGCAGUCUCACUAUCUCGUCGAGCGCUAACUUGUCACCCGACCACGUGGUGUGGAUCGGCAAGAAGUGAGCCGACUUCGUCAAUCGGUCUACAAUUACCCAAAUUGCAUCGUGGCCGCCCGUUGAGCGAGGCAAGCCGACCACAAAGUCCAUCGAUAUAUUCUCCCACUUCCAAACGGGGAUUGGUAGGCUUUGAAGCUUUCCCGCUGGAAAUCGACGCUCGGCCUUUACUUGUUGGCAUGUUAGGCACAUUGCCACAAAGCGUCCAAUAUCACUCUUCAUUCCCGGCCACCAGUAGUGCAUUUUUAGCCCUUGAUACAUCUUGGUGCCGCCCGGGUGAUCGGCAUAUAGAGAUCGAUGUGCUUCCUUUAGAAUCAAUUCGCGAAGCUCUCCAUCUUUCGGCACACACCAUCGGUUUCGAAACCGAAGCGUAUCAUCGGCAUCUACAUUGAAAUCGCCACCAUGCCCUUUCUCGAUGUUUCGCCGCACCUUUUGGAGUUCUGGGUCUGCAGGUUGCAGAUCUUUGAUCCUCUCCAACAAGGUCGGUUGGAUAACGAGUGCCAUCAACUGAGCUGGAGUCUCGGGAGUAACUACUUCGAGGUCCAGUCGCUCCAUCUCCAACAAUAGGGGUGAUUGAUUCGUAACCCACAUGGCAAGAUUUUUCGCUGACUUCCUACUCAGCGCAUCCGCGACCACAUUUGCCUUCCCGGGGUGGUAGAUGAUAUCAACAUCAUAAUCCUUUAAUAGCUCCAACCACCGCCGCUGACGCAUAUUGAUCUCCUUCUGUGUGAACAGGUACUUCAAGCUCUUGUGGUCGGUAUAGAUCUCACAAUGGGCACCAUAUAAGUAGUGCCUCCACAGCUUCAAGGCGAAAAUUACCGCCGCUAGCCCCUAAUCAUGGAUGGGGUAGUUCUUCUCAUAGCUCUUUAGCUGACGGGAUGCAUAGGCAAUUACCUUCCCGUUUUGCAUCAGUACACACCCCAAUCCAAGAUAGAAGGCAUCGCUGUAGACCACGAAGUCUCCACCCUGCACUGGUAGAGCGAGCACCGGAGUCGAAGUCAAUCUUUGCUUCAACUCUUUGAAACUCCGGUCGCACUCUUCGCUCCAAAUAAACUUGGUGCCCUUCUAGGUCAGACGGGUAAGUGGAGUCACUAUCUUGGAAAAGCCUUCCACAAACCGUCUAUAAUAGCCUGCCAAGCCCACGAAGCUUCGAACCUCUGUGACAUUCGUCUGGCGCGGCCAAUCCUUGAUUGCCUCAACUUUCCUCGGGUCUACAGAAACUCCACCCGCGGAAAUCACAUGCCCUAGAAAUGCAACUUCUCAGAGCCAGAAGUCACACUUCUUCAGCUUAGCAUAUAGCUUCUCCUCCCGAAGGACUUGAAGCACUAUUCUCAAAUGCUCGGCAUGUUCCUCAUCACUACGAGAAUAGACCAAUAUGUCGUCUAUGAAAAUCACAACAAAUCGGUCCAAAUACUCUCUGAAGACACGGUUCAUCAAAUCCAUGAAUGCCGCUGGAGCAUUCGUGAGUCCAAAUGGCAUGACCGUGAAUUCGUAGUGUCCAUACCGCGUGCGAAACACUGUCUUCUGUACAUCCUCCAGCUUGAUUUUCAACUGGUGAUAGCCGGAUUGCAAGUCUAUCUUCGAGUACACACACGACUCCUACAACUGGUCGAACAAGUCAUCGAUUCGGGGUAGUAGGUACUUGUUCUUGAUCGUGACUCUGUUCAAUUCUCGAUAAUCCACGCAGAGUCGGAACGAUCCGUCCUUCUUCCGUACAAACAACACCGGGGCUCCCCACGGUGAUACACUUGGCCGGUUAAAUUGCUUGUCGAGGAGGUCUUGCAAUUGACUCCUCAACUCCUUCAGUUCCGCCGGCGCCAUUCGGUACGGAGUCUUCGAGAUCGGUGCGGUACCGGGAACCAAGUCUAUGACGAACUCGAUCUCCCGAUACGGUGGUAUCCCUGGCAACUCCGCGGGAAAUACAUCCGGGAACUCCCGCACCACCGAUAGCUCCUCUAACGUUGGAGCUACUCGUUCCACCUCCACAACAGUUGCCAAAAAUGCCGUGCAACCGCUGUUAACCAACUUCCUUGCUCUCGUCGCCGAUACCUUCGCGACGAAGCACGAGCUUUGACAAGCCCGAUAUGUGAACUCCUCUUGUCCUGGCUCACGGAAUGUGAUCACCCUGCUCUUGCAGUCGAUCGUCACGUGGUAUUUCAAGAGCCAGUCCAUGCCCAGAAUGAUAUCAUAAGCCUCGAGCUUCCUGAGUUCCAAUGUCCGGAUAGGUAUAAUCCAGUCGCCUAUUUGUACCGGGCACGAGGCACACUCCGAAUAGGUGUUAAAUGUCGACCCAAGGCUCUCCACUCGCCACUUGUCACUCGCCCCUAUGAGAAUGUCAUGCAUGCGUGCGAAUGACCUACUUAUGAAUGAAUGCAUGGCUCCUGUAUCAACUAAAGCCCUGGAGUGAACUCCGUUAAUUAAAACCAUACCUGCCACCAGGCGAUGCUCCUCCGCCUCCGCAGGUUCCUCAGCUUGGACCUGAGCAGCGAAUACCCGUCCGCUCGGGGCUGAUCGCGCCACUUCAGGUUGACGCGGCGUCAUCACCCGUCCCGUCGACGCGGCCGUCGGUGGAGCUCCCCCAUAGUGAGCCGGAAUCGCCGACGCCGAUGCAAUCGAUGGGGCAGGUGAGGCUUCUCCUCCCGGGCAAUCUCGAAUGAAGUGCCCCGGCUGCCCACACUUGUAGCACUUGCCUCAGCCUUGCUCACAGCGCGAGACUAGGUGGUCUCCGCCGCAUACAAUGCAUCGCCGCGCUCCACCGCCCUUCUGUUGAGUGCGCGAAUACUUCGGGGGUUUCUGGUAACGUGUUUGUCCCCCCGAACUACCACCGCCUUGGCGUUUCUUGCCCUUCUCCUUGGUGUCACGCCCCGGGACCGGCGGAGGCCCUCCCGGUAGCGUGCCCAGACCCGCCAUAUGUCUACACAUAUAAGGCGUCUACAAUAAAAGCGGAAGUAAAAGCAAGUAAUAGAACAAAUAGAAGAAGUGAAAUAAUGNACUAGGUUCACACAUGUCCCGAGCUCAAUGCCGCUUGAUGACAUUAGCUCUCUAGUUCACAUACAUUCUAGUUCAAUACCUCUAUAUGGCAAUUUUGUCAUCUUUCAUGUCUCAAAUAAACUUAAGUUUAAAUGGAUGAACCAAAGCUCAUUUACACUAUAGAAGCAUGAAAUCACGUCUCAUAUAGAAUGCUAAAUGUAACUAUAGGCCUACCAAGCUACUCUCUACUACAUAGAGGUCCAAAAUUUCAACAUAUAUAACAUAGGCCUUUUAAGCAUUCUAAAAUUCAUAAUAAAUGCAUAUAAUAAGAAUAUGCAUGCUUUUUCAAUUUACGGAACAUAAAUAACCAUAUAUGAGAAUUUCUCAUAUGUAGGCUAGGUCAAACCCACCGAACCGUCGCGUAGGGUCUCGAUCUGCCGAACAAAGUUGUCCCCGAGUCUCAAAAUACCCUAAAAGUAUUGAGCGACAAGAUACACGGGCAUUACGAUCAUCUAUGAGAUCACACAUUAACAAAUUUAGCAAAAGGGCUAAAACUCACCUAAUGAGUGGAAGAUCUCUCUCAAGCUCCAAAAGAGAGCUAAAUCCCUUCCAAGCUAUCCUAGAGGAAGGUUCUAAUCCAAUCAAUCAAGCUCCAAAAGCCCUAAAAUCAAAACGCCCAAAAUAAACCCUAAAUCUCCAAUCUAGGGUUUCAUCUAGUAUAAAGCUUCAAAACCAAAAUCUAGAGGGAGAGAAUAAGCUACCAACCUCUAAGAAGCUUCCAACAAGGUUCAAAGUCCUCAAGGUCCAAGUAUCUCUCCCCCAACAAGCUCCAAGCCCAAUCUCUAAUGGUGGAAAAGCCUCCAAUACCCAAAAAGGAGCAAAAAGAGGCGUUUAAACUCUAAAAAUCCAAGCAAAAUCAAGGAAAAGGAAUGAGGAGGUGUGGAGAGCUCCCUUACCUUCCUCCUUGCUGGUGCCAAGCUCAGGAAAGACCCCUAGGGCGUGGGGGUACUAAUAGAGAUGCCACAAAUGCGAAAAACCCCCUGCAGUUUAAACUGCUCAGAUUCUGCCAAAGUGUACCGGUACACGGGAAAGUGUACCGGUACACAUCCUACGAAAACGCAAACCCGAGGCUCGGGUUUGAAAUCUGCCACAAGUGUACCGGUACGACCAUCAAGGGUGUACCGGUACAAAAUGUGUACCGGUACAACCAUCGACCUGUCACCGGUUACACCUCGUGCAGAAUGCAAUCCGAGGGUAGGCUAAGUCCAACUCUUUAGUGAGCUUAGCCCUACAUAAAAUACUACAAUUCUCGGAAUGCGAGCCAUAGGUCGGAACACUGUCAACGACCCACCAAAAAGUCUGGAAAAACUCGGGACACUGUCCAAACACUCGAACCUCGCAAUUUGCAAAGGUCCAGUGCGUCACACUUGGACUCGGCCAAAAGCUCACGCUUCUUCCGAACGGGGGCAUCUCCAUGCUCCGCCCAUAGUGCUCGAUCGAAGACCUCUGCAAAGGUCGUGAGCUUGAGUAUUUGCACGGCCUUGUAGAUUCCCGGCCGAAGUCCUCGCAAGAACCACUCGGCCCGGUCCAAGUCAUCCUUUACAACAUCCGGGGCGUAAUCUAUAAUAUGGGAGAAUUCUUGCUCAUACUCUGCCACUGAGCGGUCCCCUUGCUCUAACUUGCGGAACAUUUCCUUAAGCUUCCGCUUCAAUGUAUUGGGGAAAUAGUUGGCGAACAUCUCCCGCUUGAAUUCCUCCCACAACAUUGGCGGAAGGCCGGGAAGCCGAUCCCGUUUGACGUGCUUCCACCAGACCUUCGCCGCCUUCUCCAAGCAAUGGGUGGCGAGAUACACCUUGUCCCUCUCCAAGGUACGCAAAUCAUCGAAGAGGGUUUCCAUCGAGUCGAUCCAAGACUCGACCAUCUCCGGUUCCACCUUCUCGCCUUCGAAGGUUGGCGGAUGGAACUUGUUAAACUUGAUAAGAUCCGCCAAUGCGCGCUUUCCUUCCACAUCUUCGGCCGUCAAAUCGGGUGUAGCCGAUCCUGACGCCGCCUAGGGUACGAUCGCUGGCGGUGGGCGUGCCGUCACCGGAACCGCCACUAUGCCCUCACCCUCUGCCACUCCGGGUACACGAGUCGAGGGUGCGGGCGGACCACCGCCCUCAUUCACCGCUACAGCCGCCGCCACAACCUGCAGCUCCAAAAGAUCCUGGAGCCGCUCGAAUCUGGUCUCCUAGCGCUGCACCACAUUGGUCAGCACGGUCACUUGUGCUUGCAACCGAUCCAUUACGCUCGGUUCAGCCUGCUCGGGCACCUCAGGAGUCGGUGCUGGGGCAGAUCUACGUGUGUAGCGUCUUGGAGACAUUAGUCCCUGAAAUGCAAUUACUUGGUAAGUCAUCUUAACCAAUUACUUCGUCGCAAUUACGACACACAACGACUCAACAACGAAAUCGGGCGGAAGAACACAAGUGUACUCGUUCUAGACUCUUGGUAUUAUGUCGUCAGCCGACGACACAACCACCUGAAGACAAGAACUCAUACCACUUGAAUCCAUCUCUAAUCACAACUAGAGACAUUUUACCAACUUCGACCCAAUUAAAUCAACUUCCGCCAUCGUAAUAGGUUCACGUUCAGCUCACGCACCUAUAAUCUUAGGGCUUACCAACCUAGGGUCUCCUAGGUCAUCCUAGACUCUCUCUUUACUUGCUCUGAUGCUCUGAUACCAUAGGACACUGUCACGCCCCGCCCCGAAACCACUACCAUUUUGGCAAGAUUCGGGCGCGGCGAGCGGACCGCCGAACAGACAGCACCUCCCUUGUCCGCCCAAGGCUCACAACAAGAAUGUGUACAAGAAUUUUCCAGGAAUUUAAAUUCUAAACAUACACAUUCAACAGGGCACGAGUAGUGCCAGUAACUACAAGAGCAAGUAAUCCACAAGUAAAAACAAGUAAAAUAAAGAGAGUACUUUGCUAACUAUUACAAUAGUUCACCCUUUUCAUUUACAUCAUUUUCUUUAAAUGAUUACAUCAUUCAUCCAAAAUACAUAGCUCUCCAAAUCCUCACCUACAAUGAAUCUCUCUCAAUACAUAGGUGUGCUAAUGCAAAAAGGAAAGCUACUAUACUACCACGGUCUCACUGGUCGGGCGCGAUGCCCUUGCCGCGGUCCUCUCUCGGUAACCCUGUACCUACCACUGGAAAUAGAGUGGGGUGUGAACUAUCUUCUAUAGUUCCCAGUGGGCUCGGCCGCCGACUCUGCCGAUCUCCCCACUAGGUCCAAGUGGGCACAUGCAACAAAAGAUAGAUAGAUAGAUAUCUGAAAGCUGUAAAUGCAAUAGUAGAAAAACUAUGCUACUAUGGCAAUAAUCAUAUGUAAUGAAUGCAUGCAUCAUACAGCAAGGGUUUACUAUCAUGCUAACAAAUUCGAUCCAUGUUCGAAUAAUAAUAUUCAAUGACAUUGUUCACUGUUCUUUUACCCAAUCUGUGGCGAAGCCCUUGGUUCGCCAAUAACUCACCUUUCAAUCCCAAAGUGGGGAAGGAGCUCCAAGUGCACCCAAGCCCGGGACCUUCUGCAAACCUCCAUGUGGUCCGGACCUCCAAGUGGUCCUAGUCACACGACACUCCGGAGUACUCGACGACAAUCCCCUCUAUGUGGGGAUAGGGAUGGCUAUACCACCCCAAAAGCAGACUGUGAGCUAGAUCUAUCCUCUUCAAGUGAGGAUACCCUACAACUAGAUGCCUAUUGGAAAGUCGCAUUGUGAGAGCUUUCUUAAUCAGCUCCGAAUCGAUGAUCGCGGGAUGGAAAGUAGGAAUUCGGAUUUGACCAUGCCUACGAAGUUGUCGAUGGCUGCGUAUCGCUCCGCUUAAACACGAAACAAGUGGACUAAAAGAUGAAAACGAGUAUCUUCGUUUAAUGAGUAAAGAGAUUAAUGCUUUAUGUCAAGCUUUAUUCACAACGAGUUUACUCGGGUUCGGCAUUUGCCGAACCGGCAAAAGAAUUUGGGAUACUUCUUACAAGUUACGCAUGAGGAACAGAAGCCGCUUAGUUAAAGCGUCCAAAAAUUGCAAAUGCUAACUAGCAAGUUUGAUUAGAUUUCUAUGCGAAAUGAGACCUUUACCGAGUACUAUACCGUUCAGGUUUCAUGUUGUGCAAACAUGUGCUUAAUUGGAUGAGAAUAAUCCCGGAUUCAAGGUUGUUAGGAAAAUCCUGUCGCACUCUUUCGGACUGUUUCGGGCAAAGCGUCGCCUCACCCACAGCGAUCGAAACGGCAAGCAUUCCGGACUAGAUGAAGUCGAAGACAUUUAGUAGGAGCUUUAUAAACAUAUCGAAAUGACAUUUUCCUACUUAAUCAAUCUUCUUCAAGUCUUUUCUAAAAAGACAGGAUUUGCCGCUUCAACUAUCAACAAAGAAAAGAAGACACUUCGGAUUCCGACGAAGAUAUUUCGCUUGCCGAUUUCGAACAUCAAUUAGCGCUCCUCACGAAGAAGUUUCGUCGCGAAAUUUGCGCACAAGAAUACAUUGGACAAGGCUUCAUCAGUCAAGCCGACAAUCUUUGUCUAAGUCAACUUCAUUCUUUCAAAGUCAAAGGAUAAAAAACGUGCAAAAUCUUCAAAGGAAAAGUAAUGAAUUUGAAGUGAGAGAUCCAUGCUACAAAUGUAAAGGUUUACGGCCACAUGGCGACGGAUUGUCCUUUCAAAGAAGCCUUAUACUGACAAAGGCCCUAUGCAUAAGCAAAGACGUGGGGAUGAUUCAAACAUCAGUGACGAAGAAAGAAUGAUGAAGGGGGGGGGGGGGGGGGGGGGAGUAAUUGCUUAGUGCUAAUACUCCUUCGUCGAAUGUUAUUGUGUUUAUCCUCUUUUGCCUACUAACUCCAAUAUUUCUCUUUCUUCACAUGUUUCUUCGAGCAACAAAAUGGCGGAAAGUGAGGAGGAAUCAAACGACGACGACAUUUAGCGGACAGCGUAAAAAAUCAACUUCGUUACUGAAUCAAGAAGGAUGGCUAAACUCAAAAGAAGUUGAGCGUCGUUUGUUGGAGCUUGGAGAGGAAAACAACAACGUAAAGAAUUUGAAUAAGGUUCUUAGAGGAGGAAGGGAUUCAACUUGAAGAUUAAUUCGGAUCUUUCAAAAGAUGUUGAUGAAUUGGAAUCAACGAUUAACUCUAUCAAGAUAAAGUUGGAUUCUUGGAGCAUCAAUAUGAGGAAUCGCAUGCAUCCAAACAAAUUAUGACCCGAUCAGUUCGCUCAACUUUCCAAUUGACAUUCAAAAGUUUUCAUCGGGUCGAAGGAGAAAUUGAACCGAUAUGCUCAGUGUGUAGGUCAAGUGGAUAAGUUGGGGCUCGGAUACGAAAGAACAUACUGGUUUUGAGAAGGAUCAAACGGCAACAUCUAAAGUCUCAAACAACUUUAAAAUGCCAAAGUGAUGUCAUCAUGUUGGAGUUAAAGCGUCAGCAUCAAAAAGAAUUGCCCGGUGAAAGAUAAGAAGAAUAAUUUCGGCAACCUUCUAAGCUCAAUCCGGCCAUCAUUCUAAACUCGACUUCUCCCGCCCCCCAGAAUCAAAAGGCAAAAUCAAGUGAGGGUCGACGUACCACAAGCAAAUCGCGAUUUCUAAGCCUAAAACGACAGUCAACGAGAGCUCAAGGCUAAGAAUAACACCACGUGAUCAGAAAAUCUAAGCAAAUCGGCACAAAACGUCGACAAGCUGCACGAAAACCAAAUACUCGCAGUUUGGAUCCAGAAAGGUGAUAAUUUUCCUUGCUUUCUUGUCUUAGUUGUUUUUAUUUUCUUAUGUAGUGCUUUGAUAGGUGCUAGUUGCAGUAUUUUAUUCGUUGCAUUACAUGUGUUAAAUGAUUCUUUUGGGCUUUGGAAUUUUUGUAUGUGUUUAAAAAUCGGCUUUUGAGAAAAGUGUAUUGUGAAUUUCAAAAAUUCUUUGAGAAAGGAGAUUGAUGAGAUUCAUUUAUUUUGAGGAGAGAUUUUGUUUAAACUGGUUUAACUUCACAAAUCAUAUUAAGUUAAUUAUAUUAAUUAUCGGUCUUUUGCUUCUACUUUCUUUCGUAUUUUGACGAUAAAUUAAUAUAUGAUUUCUUAAUUGCAUAAAUUCAUCAAAAUUUGAAAUCAAUUUGAUUUCUUGCGUGUAUUGAUUUCAUCUUGUGGUGUGAGUGUUGGAUAUGAUGAAUGAUAUUCUCUAAUUGAUAAGAUUUGUCAAAUAGUUAUUUCAAUUGUGAAGGAUUGUGCUAAUUUAGGGGGACUUAAAAAAAAAUGGGGAAGAAAAUACUCCCAUGCUUUAAAAGAUGUGGCAGAGUUUACAUCCUAUAAGAUGUGUGAAAACUACACCAACAUGCUAGAAGAGCUACCAUCCCUGUCGUCCGGUUACGUGUGUUGAAGCUACACAUGAAGAUUGAUGAAUAACCGGAGAAGGGUUAAAAAUAAAAGAUAUUCUAGAAUUUUUUCGGAGUAAAGCAGGUAGUAUAAAGUGUUAGUUGAAAAAGAUGCUCCAAAGAGCCACCCCGGGUAUUCAUAUUGGAUUAAAUCUCUCAUUUCAUUACACAUGUUACUUUGACAAAUUUUGGUGUCAAUUUUAUGCAGAUUUCUAUAAAUCAUUUUUCAUCAACUGUACAUCUUGAUGGUUUUUGCAAUUCAUUUAAAUCAUUUUUGUAUUGAAAUUUGAUUGUUUUGGAUGGAUUUUGAAACUUUAUUAUUAAUAUGUACUGUUUCUUAUAAUGAUUUUUGAGUAAAUCUUUAAUUUAUAUGAAAUUAAUUUAAUUUUUGAUGGAUUUGUAAAAUCAUAUUUCGAAACUCUGGCAAAGUACCUGCUACAAAUCCCCGAUGUACCUCUCGGUAGCAAGCUCACUUUAGCUGGCUAUAAUUAUAACGCGGUUACAGAGAUUUCUGGUCUCACUCUAUCAAACCAAAUUUUCGUAUCUUGUCUCUCAUCUAAAAUUCCUUUGGUGCCUUCCUCUUCCAGAUCUCACGUUCCCGCAAAAAUUCUGUGAGUAUUCGCUUGGAUUUACAUUCGUUUCAUCGCCGUUCUGUUUAUUUCUCGGAAAAAUUUCGUUGUUCCUGCAGUAGAUCUUUGUUGGGUUGAUCGUUGUUUGAUGCUUACCCAUUGUUUGCGUUCGUCAGUGGCUUAAUGAGCAUUAUUCUUGUUUCUACGACCUUGAAUCACAUCUAAAUAUGUUAUUUUUCCGCUUGAUCCGAUGUUCCUACGCUUUAGUUUCAUAUAUGUAAAUUUCGGAUAAAUUUUUUUUUUGAUAGAUGUUAUUGUUAAUGAAAAUUUUUUCUUGAUCUGGUUAGAAAUAGCAUUUGUAUUGCAUUCUAAUGAUUAUUAGAAAUUUUUUCGCUAUUUUUACAGAUGUUUUUCGAUAAGUUUUCUUCAUGAAUGGUCAUUUCAUAUAGGAGAUGGCGUUUUCGCUCGUAAUCUCUUCUGGUGCUUAUGCUGCGGUUGUGGUCGUGGUUCGGUGGUCGAGGACGACGUGUCAGUCCAAAGAGAACUCGUUACGCCGACAACUGUCAUCUGGAUCAGAUCCUGAUUAUCAGCGCCAGUUCGUCGCCUGACAGCCUGCCCUUGAAGAAGCUUGCUACCUCGAGCCUGCCUAAGGAAAGAAAAGGGGGGGGGGACUAGCGCAGCUCGCGAAGCCUCACGAGCAGAGGUGAUCCUCGUGCACGUGAAGGUGCUCCAAACGUCUGAGAGGCUUCAUCUAGGAGCGACCAGCAGAUUUUAUUCGAGCGAUCAGUGUCUAGCUGGAGCGCUAUUGUCAACGUUCACUGAGCUUGGUCAAGGAGCGGGACCAGAUUUUGGAUUGCCUGCAAGGCCGUCCCUAUUGAGCCUUGUUGGCGGGUUCCAGCCCUCGUGCCCCUUUUGUGUGUUGAAACUAAUUCGAGAGUUAUAGUCUAUAUGAACGCCGGGUAGUAUUGGAGGAGGAGAGGAGACUGGGACUUAUGUGUUUGAUGUCUUAUGGCGUAAACAGAAGAUUCACGUCACUCUUUGGUACUUAUUGGGAGCUCUUAGGUUGUCAUGUUGAUAAUACGGCUUAUUAUACGACAGGGGCAUAUACGUCUUCAAAGCCACUGGGAGACUGUUUAUUCAAGCUAUAUGCAAAGAAGGGUUUGGGAGACGAAUCACUCAUAGUGGAAUCUAGAUUUGCUACCUGAAUUAUCAUCUACUGUCAUUGGCGUGAUGAGCAUACAACGUUCAACCGACAAUUGAAGGGAAAAGAAUUCCGGUUGGGAUCGUCUUGUGCUUCUGUUCUUCUUCGACUAUCUUGAAGAAGCCGAGAGGAGGGUUGAAUAUCAGAUAUUGCCUUUUCUUAUGUGGCAAGAGAUGGUUUCAUGUCAUACAAACGUCUCAGGCGUUUCGCCGUGAUUCUUCUUCCGUUUCCCGUUGGUUGAUCACGAUGAUUCUUCAGGAAAAUUGUGUUGACGUAGUCAUGUGAGAAGUUGCAUUUUGGACUUGGACCUAUUGAUGCGUACUUGGGCAAAGUCAUAGGAGCACAUUGAAGACUUGUUCAGCAAACCAAAAGGGUCCUCCCGAGGAGCUACUAGUUAAGCACCUCCAUUAGAGCUAGCCGCCGAUGGGCUCUUUCUAGUUGAGGGGGUAGUGAUUACAGUGGAAUCACUUCAUCGAUGAGUUGCGCUCUAUUUGAGGAAGAAAUUGCGCUGAUCUGCCGAGAUAAGGUGGUAAAUGGGAAUGAAAUAGAUGUGGUUGGAGAAAACUGUGUUCUGUAAGGCCAUGAUGACACUAUUUCCCUCCUCAGCCUGCUUCCUCACGUUAUACUAGAGCGGACAUUUAAGACAGUCCUCUCAUUCCACGUCUGGUGAUGCUCCUGAGGCUGGGGGACUGAGCUGGAGCAGGAGACGAAUGAUGAUCGAUGAUUGUGACGAGGUAUCACGGGAAUCAAGUGCAUGUCUUCCAUUCCUGGGCUUCAUCGUGCUUCUUUUUGGACGGACUAUGGUUUUAGACUUUGCUUGCUUUAUCUUUUUGGCAUGUUUUUAUUUUAGGCCGGUGUACCUGAUGACUAACUUUCUGUUUUAUGCUUUCUUAGUAUGUUUUCUUCUCUAUUUUGUUUCUUUGGCCAAUUUUGACAAAAGGGGGGGAGAGCGUAGAACAGGGGAGGAUGCAUGGAUGACGAUGCAUUGAACUAAGCAGAGGAUGCAUGAGGUCAAGAACAAAGAGGGAUGUUGUGCAUCGGAUGAUUGAACAAAGGGGCGAGAAGGUUUAUAUAGCGAAUCUAGGUUAAUCAUUGUGGCAAUGAUGUUUUGCAGGAAAUUCAAACUUCAAGACUCCUAGUUGCGUCAGUAACUCAUAGGAGUCUGUUUUAGAGUUUUUUGAUGUAAUUCUGAUAUCUCAAAUUGUUAUUUGGAUUACACGCUGAGGAGUUCAUGUUUUGGUCGAUGACGAAUUGAACUUGCGAAUCUUUUAUGUAUUUUUGAGUUUGUGAGUUUUGUCACGAAAUUGCCAAAGGGGAGAUUGUAAGUCUUGUGUCGAUUGCAAAAAGUUUUUAUUGAAUGUGAGUCGGAGUCGUGAAGAAACCGGGGAGUGUAUCGUCGAACAGAUACGAAAAAUCCAAGAUUUCGAAGAAGUCAGAAAUAUCUCGGCACGUGAAUUCACGAUGCCUCAGGAUAAAGUAUAGAAUUCAUGUUAUUGGUGAUUCAUACUUUAGUUUGUAGACUCUUAGAAUAUGUUAUCAAUGUCUAAGCGGUAUUGAAAGGGAUCGGAACUGCUGCAAAAAUCCUCGGUAAACGUAGCGGAAUUUGCCAAAGUGUCACCGGCUACAGCAUAAGAAGUCGUACCGGGUACAAAACUGCGUGUACUUCGUACGCAUCAAGGAUGUUGUAACAGGUUUACUGUUUCGUCAGGUUCGUUCGUCAUCGUGUAACGGUAACAGCUAAAAUGUACGGGUACACAGUAUGAAAACCGGAGGGGAAAACUUUGCUGUAAUUCGACUCGAUUAUGAUUCUAAUAGGUCUGAUAAAUUAAGCUAUUGGGUUUCGUCUAACAAAUAAGGGUAUCAUAAGAAAUACAUUUGAGAAACUCCUAGCAGGAACGAAUUUCAUUUCUUAAAGCUAUUUUCUCACAUGAAUUAGCUCCUUUUUUGGUCAAAUCGAGAUAUUGAAAAUUUUAUAUUCGUAUAUGUCGAUUUGAUUUCCGUUUCGGCUGGGUGGAGUGUCUAUUCCCUGGUUUCUACAUACUCCGUAAAGUGAACGUCACCAUAAUCAUGUAGUGCUCAUCAUGAACGGCGUCAUGGAUUCGCGCUGAUCAAGCGCGUUCUUGGGCAUUUCGGAUCUUUGGGCUUCGUGCAUUCGAGUGGCCGUCGUGAGAUUGGCAGUGAUUGAAGCUUCAGUGGAUUCGAGAGUGGAGGUCCGACACGCUCUCCUACCUUGUUCGUGGAUUCGAACGUACGCAACCCGAGGAUGCUCGCGCGAGAUUUAUAGGAGGUUAAGAGGGGUAAGAGUCCGUGGAGUCCGGUAAUCACCUUGUAUUUUUGCUUAAGUAUAAUUUUUGGUUUGUUCCCGUGGUUUUUUCUCAAGUUGGAGAUUCCUGCACAGUAAAUUCUGGUGUUGUUUUUAUUUGUUUCGCAUUUAUUUUUGUCUGCAUCAUUAUUUGUGGCUUUUGGCGUUUCACCUAUCACCCCUCUCUAGUGAUAGAUACAAUUCUAAUAGAUCCUUGGGCACCCUUCUCAAAACUUUCUAAGUCGGAACGGGAUCCUAUGCGGAAGAGACAAAGAGAUAUGAACCGAUGUUGCGGUUUGGUGACACUCGAAAGUAGUGUUAAAUGUUAAAAGAAACAAACGUGUGGCAUCCACUGUUAAUAGACUCACGCGAGUUGGCAUAAGAUGAUAGUGUAAUGACACUAACGAGGUUUUGAGAGCACCUAGACUAGUGGAUCCUUAGAAAAUGCAUAUAGUUGGAUAAAGCACUUAGUAACACCUAAGUACCUCUCUAAUGGAGGAGGGUUUACUACUUUCGUCGAUGAGUAUUGAGACAUUGACCCUUGUCGGUAGGCUCUCCUCAUCUUUGUAGAGGAUUCGAUGGGUUGUGACUCUUUAGUGUAGGGGCAGCAUCUCCCUCAACUUGGAGAGGAUAUUUGAUUGGCUCUGUUGUUAGAACUCUGNNNNNNNNNNNNNNNNNNNNNNNNNNNNNNNNNNNNNNNNNNNNNNNNNNNNNNNNNNNNNNNNNNNNNNNNNNNNNNNNNNNNNNNNNNNNNNNNNNNNCAAGGCAUCACUAUACACUACAAAAGUCUCCCCCGGAGUCGGCAAGGCAAGAACCGGGGUCGACGUCAACCUGCUCUUUAACUCUUCGAAGCUCCGAUCGCAAUCGUCGCUCCAAACAUACUUUACUCCUUUAUGUGUGAGGCGCAUUAGUGGAGUGGUUAUUUUGGCGAACCCCUCCACGAACCGCCGAUAGUAGCCCGCCAGUCCAAGAAAACUGCGGAUCUCCGCUACAUUUGUCGGGCGAGGCCAAUCCUUUAUUGCCUCUGCUUUCUUCGGGUCUACCGAAACUCCUUCGCCCGAUACGACAUGGCCCAAGAAUGUGACCUCCUUUAGCCAGAAGUCACACUUCUUCAACUCUGCAUAGAGCUUCUCCUGUCUGAGUAUUUGCAACACAGCUCUCAGAUGCUCUUCAUGUUCCUCUUCACUUUUCGAGUAAACCAACACGUCGUCUAUAAAUACCACGACGCAUCGAUCCAACAAUGGCCUAAAGACUCGAUUCAUCAAGUCCAUAAAUGCUGCCGGGGCGUUAGUAAGCCCAAACGACAUUACCGUGAACUCAUAAUGGCCAUACCGCGUACGGUACGCCGUUUUGUGCACAUCCUUCGGCCUGAUCUUUAAUUGAUGAUACACCGAUUGGAUAUCAAUCUUCGAAUACACCUUGGACCCUUGCAACUGAUCAAAUAGAUCGUCAAUUCUUGGCAACGGGUACUUGUUCUUUAUCGUCACUUUGUUCAACUCGCGAUAAUCUACGCAAAGUCGAAGUGUGCCAUCCUUCUUCUUCACAAAUAGCAGCGGAGCUCCCCAUGGUGACACGCUCGGCCUCACAAAGCCUUUAUCGAGCAAGUCCUGUAGUUGGCCUUUCAACUCCUUUAGUUCCACCGGUGCCAUUCUAUAUGGAGCCUUCAAAACUGGUUCUGCCCCGGGAAUCAAGUCAAUGACAAACUCAACUUUCCGGUCCGGUGGCAGUCCCGGUAACUCAGCCGGAAACACAUCCGGAAACUCGCAUGCUACACCAAUAUCUCCCAACUCUAGGUACUCCCUUCGAGCAUCCACCAUGGUUGCCAAAUAGGCCUUACACCCCCCUUUAAUCAUUCUCUUCGCGCUCACAGACGAUAUAGACGCCACGAAGCACCUACUUUUGCACGCUUUGUAGACUAACUCUUCUUGAUUAGGCUCACAAAAAGUGAUCACCUUACUUUCACAAUCUAUCACCGCAUAGUACUUGGAGAGCCAGUUGGUCCCCAAGAUAACAUCGAAUCCCCACAUCUGAUCUAGCACCAGCAGAUCAAUCGGCAUAAUCCAAUCGCCUAUUUGCACUGGACACGCCAAACACUCAUUGUGAACACUGAAUGAAUGUUCUGGGGCGUUCACCCACCAAUAAUCCUCAUUGUACACCAUCUCUAUGCCAUAUGUCUUAGCAAAUGAUGUGCUAAUAAACGAAUGAGAUGCGCCUGUAUCAAACACUGCUCUAGCUCUAGUGCCUUUAAUCACAAUUAUACCUGCCACGACGUCGUCGGGUGCUGCAGGUUGUUACUUCUCCACCUGAGCGGCAAAGACUUGGCCGCUAGGCGCUCUCUGUCACCCCCCGGGACCGGCGGAGGCCCUCCGGGUAGCGUGCCCAGACCCGCCAUAUGUCUACACAAAUAAGGCGUCUAGAAUAAAAGCGGAAAUAAAAGUAAGUAAUAGAACAAAUAGAGAAAGUGAAAUAACUAGCAACUAAUGAUAUCAGAGCGAGUAAAAUUCUAACAUCUACACCAAAGUAAAGCUAGACAAUAAAAGAAAUCAUAAGUAGUACAAUAUCUGUCUCUAAUGCAAAAAUGGUGGUCUCUAGUACACUGGCAAAAUCCUCAACCUCUCGGUAAGACAAGUAAAUAUCGAGAGGUAGACCACCUAACAACUCGUCCUCGAAGGAAGCUAGCUCGAAGCAACUCCCUUCCUGCGAUCCCUGGCCUCACCCUGCGUGGAAGGCUCUGAAAAAUAUUGAGAAAAAGAGGGCGUGAGAACUAUAAUUUAUAGUUCCCAGUGGGCAAUUACUGACCUCAGCUCUAUACACCACUAGGCCCCAAAAGAAAANNNNNNNNNNNNNNNNNNNNNNNNNNNNNNNNNNNNNNNNNNNNNNNNNNNNNNNNNNNNNNNNNNNNNNNNNNNNNNNNNNNNNNNNNNNNNNNNNNNNNNNNNNNNNNNNNNNNNNNNNNNNNNNNNNNNNNNNNNNNNNNNNNNNNNNNNNNNNNNNNNNNNNNNNNNNNNNNNNNNNNNNNNNNNNNNNNNNNNNNNNNNNNNNNNNNNNNNNNNNNNNNNNNNNNNNNNNNNNNNNNNNNNNNNNNNNNNNNNNNNNNNNNNNNNNNNNNNNNNNNNNNNNNNNNNNNNNNNNNNNNNNNNNNNNNNNNNNNNNNNNNNNNNNNNNNNNNNNNNNNNNNNNNNNNNNNNNNNNNNNNNNNNNNNNNNNNNNNNNNNNNNNNNNNNNNNNNNNNNNNNNNNNNNNNNNNNNNNNNNNNNNNNNNNNNNNNNNNNNNNNNNNNNNNNNNNNNNNNNNNNNNNNNNNNNNNNNNNNNNNNNNNNNNNNNNNNNNNNNNNNNNNNNNNNNNNNNNNNNNNNNNNNNNNNNNNNNNNNNNNNNNNNNNNNNNNNNNNNNNNNNNNNNNNNNNNNNNNNNNNNNNNNNNNNNNNNNNNNNNNNNNNNNNNNNNNNNNNNNNNNNNNNNNNNNNNNNNNNNNNNNNNNNNNNNNNNNNNNNNNNNNNNNNNNNNNNNNNNNNNNNNNNNNNNNNNNNNNNNNNNNNNNNNNNNNNNNNNNNNNNNNNNNNNNNNNNNNNNNNNNNNNNNNNNNNNNNNNNNNNNNNNNNNNNNNNNNNNNNNNNNNNNNNNNNNNNNNNNNNNNNNNNNNNNNNNNNNNNNNNNNNNNNNNNNNNNNNNNNNNNNNNNNNNNNNNNNNNNNNNNNNNNNNNNNNNNNNNNNNNNNNNNNNNNNNNNNNNNNNNNNNNNNNNNNNNNNNNNNNNNNNNNNNNNNNNNNNNNNNNNNNNNNNNNNNNNNNNNNNNNNNNNNNNNNNNNNNNNNNNNNNNNNNNNNNNNNNNNNNNNNNNNNNNNNNNNNNNNNNNNNNNNNNNNNNNNNNNNNNNNNNNNNNNNNNNNNNNNNNNNNNNNNNNNNNNNNNNNNNNNNNNNNNNNNNNNNNNNNNNNNNNNNNNNNNNNNNNNNNNNNNNNNNNNNNNNNNNNNNNNNNNNNNNNNNNNNNNNNNNNNNNNNNNNNNNNNNNNNNNNNNNNNNNNNNNNNNNNNNNNNNNNNNNNNNNNNNNNNNNNNNNNNNNNNNNNNNNNNNNNNNNNNNNNNNNNNNNNNNNNNNNNNNNNNNNNNNNNNNNNNNNNNNNNNNNNNNNNNNNNNNNNNNNNNNNNNNNNNNNNNNNNNNNNNNNNNNNNNNNNNNNNNNNNNNNNNNNNNNNNNNNNNNNNNNNNNNNNNNNNNNNNNNNNNNNNNNNNNNNNNNNNNNNNNNNNNNNNNNNNNNNNNNNNNNNNNNNNNNNNNNNNNNNNNNNNNNNNNNNNNNNNNNNNNNNNNNNNNNNNNNNNNNNNNNNNNNNNNNNNNNNNNNNNNNNNNNNNNNNNNNNNNNNNNNNNNNNNNNNNNNNNNNNNNNNNNNNNNNNNNNNNNNNNNNNNNNNNNNNNNNNNNNNNNNNNNNNNNNNNNNNNNNNGGGGGUUGAGCUCCAAGCUCCCUCAAGCAAACUCCUCUUCUUCUUCUCCUCCUUCUUCUUCUUCUCUCUCUAGAAGGUGUAGGGAGAGGGUGUGAGGAGAGAAAUGAGAAGGGAAGAGGGUGGUGUGGCCAUAUAAGCCAUCUAGAGUAACAAAAUCCCAAGAGGCCCCUCAAAAACCCAACAUUGCAUCAGCCCGGUCUGGGCAUUUUUGGCCCAGAGGGACCGGUCUCUCCCCAGCAGGGACCGGUCUCUCGCUGCGAACCCGAAAAACCAACGUUCGGGAACCGGUCUCUCCCUGCGCGGGACCGGUCUCUCUCUGCGAAGGCGCGCUCGGGGACCGGUCUCGCCCGCCAGGGACCGGUUGCCUCAGGGCUGCCGCAACACUGUUCACUGGGGGACCGGUCUCUCCUGCCAGGGACCGGUCCCCGAGAGUAAAAACUCUCAGGACUUGUCCAGAAUUCCAGUUUUCGAACUUUUUAGGUCGGAAAACAUUCUACAACCCACCAAGUGCGAAAAAGCUCGAAAUACAUCCAAACACUCGAACCUCGCAAUUUGCAAAGGCCCAGUGUGUUACACUCUCGAUCCCUCCGGCUGACGCGGUGAUGAUGUGCGCCCAGCCGACAUCGCUGGUGGUAACCCCGCAAGCUGUCUCGGGGUAGAUGGUGCUGAUGCCGCCGUCGGCGCAGACAACGUCCAUGUCGGGCACUCCCGGAUAAGAUGUCCCGGUAGGCCACACUUGGAACACUUGCCAUCGCGCUGCGAGCAAGUCGACACCUUGUGCUCACCGCCACAAAUAACACAUCGAGGUGGUCUCCAAAUCCUCGCCUGCUGUCGGGGGUACCGAGGGGGUUUCUUAGUAUUUGGCCGGCCCCCGGCACCGCCCGCCGUUCUCUUCUUGCCCUUGUCUUUCGACUCGGCAAUAGCUUCUCGCUCCUCGCGUACGUGGGCGCUACCGUGCUCCGCCCACAAGGCUCUAUCAAAGACCUCCGCAAAGGUCGACAGCUUUAAGAUCUGCACCUUUUCAUAAAUCCGGGGUUGAAGUCCUCGCUAGAACCAAUCCGCCCGGUCCCAAUCAUCACGAACAACAUCGGGAACACAGUCGAUGAUGUGAGAGAAUUCUUGCUCAUACUCCCCCACCGAUCGAUCACCUUGUCUUAACUUGUGAAACUUUUCUUGUAGCUUCCGCUUCACCGUGUCGGGGAAGUAGUUCGCGAACACCACUCUCUUGAACUCUUCCCACAGCAUAAGCGGAAGAUCGAUAGGUCGAUCCCGCCUCACUCGCUUCCACCACACCAUCGCCGCCUUCCCUAGACAAUGGGUGGCGAGGUACACUUUAUCCUUCUCCGAGGUAUUAAGGUCCUCGAAUAGGGUCUCCAUCGAGUCGAUCCACGACUCCACAACCGCCGGCUCCACCAAACCGCCCUUGAAGGUAGGUGGGUCGAACUUUUUGAACUGAAUGAGAGCCGCCAACGUGCGCUUUAGCUCCGCCUCUACCGUUGCGCUAUCGGGGUUUGAGGUUCCCGAUCCGGCCGGCACUAGCGUGACUGGCGCAGCCGCUGCUACCGCCGCUCCCUCGACUGCCCUCGGCACCUCCGUAGGGGGCACAGGUGGCUCCACGCCCACUUGGGCCGCCGCCGACUGUUGACGCUCCAAGGCCUCCUGGAGCCGUUGAAUCUGCUCCCCUUGGCGUUGAACAGACUCCGCUUGCUGCCGCACUACGCCAAUAAGCGCGGCCAUUUGUUCCCUAAGCUCUCCGUCGCCACUUGCUCCAGAUUGCUCGGGCACCGCAUUCGUUUCCUCCGGCAUCGACCUUGUCUGCGAUCGACGUCGAGGUGCCAUUGCUUCCUGAAAAGAAGCAACUCGCAUUAGUCACUUGAACAACAUUACUUGACCAUACCCAAUUAGGCGAAAGCAACAUGCACAUUCAUCCUUGCCUCAAGCGUCAUGUCGUCGGCCGCCCGACACAACACUAGAACUAGAGGAUAAACGAAAUUUAAACUUAGCCUCUAAUCAAAUUAGAGACGUCCCAACUUAACCCAACCAUAUGCUUUCGCUAACUUUGAUCCCACGUCACUCACGUUUCCUAGAUCCUUAAGGCCUUCCAAUCCUAAGGGUCCCUAGAUCCAUUCCUAUUCUUUCACUCUUGGCUCUGAUAUCACGAUAUCUGUCACGCCCCGGGACGGAUACAAAUUUGGCCCGACCCGAGCACGUCAAACAGACGCCGAACGGACAGAAUUUUUCCUAUCCGCCCAAGGCUCAUCACAUGUACAUUUUCAUCAAUAGAAAAAAGCACUAGCGGAAACAUGCACAAACGGCUUACACAAGGGUAAGCAAUAGCCACGAGUGAGAGAAAAAGGAAACUAAACAUUCACUUGUACUAUGAUUCAUUUUUGAUUAUAUACACUGCAUUCAUCUUGUACAUUUUCAAAUUUCUUACAUUUUAUUUCAUCAUUUCUUUCUUACAUCACAUUUACCUCAAAAUACACAUUACAUUCUUUCCUUUACAUUAUUUCUCAUCAAGUACAAAGAUGAUCAUAGGGUACUUUACUACAAAAUGAAACCCAACUUUGGUGGCCUCUGAUUAAGGCGCGAUACCUUUACCUCGGUCGCUCGCCGGCUCGCUCAGUCCCGGCUCUGUGGAAAUAGUGGGGUGAGAACUACAACAAAGUUCCCAGUGGGUUCGGCCUCAACAUCACCGACUUUCCCACUAGGACUAACUCAGGCAUAAUAGAAAGAAUAAGCUGCAUAUAGUAACCAAUCUAUACAUGAUGCUAAUAUGCCUGAAACAAAAUCAGAAAAGUAAAUGCUCCAAUCAUUAAUAAUGCCAGAUUACUGCAAAUUUUUAUCAUUUUCACUUUACUCUUUUUCUUUGUUGCUUUGUUCUUUGCAUUUCGUUCUUGCUCUUUUUCUUUACACUUCGUUCUGUUACUCUUUGUGUCUUUAAUCUCAAGGCCUAAACCUGGGGGUAUCGGCAUAUUGAUUGCUCACAUUAAGUCCAUCAUCGCCAUAACUCACCCGCUUUAGGGCCGCUUCGGGUUACUCCAACCCGUUGAUGGCAAAUCCGGCCAGCGCACUGCCCGAGGGGGCGGACCGCGCCUCGAGCAGGAACCAUAGCAAUAUGAUCAGUAUCCUGUAACUCAACAGGAUUUAUAAGUUCAUCUUGGAACUUAUUACACUAGCUCCUAGUGUUUUCAUCACUCUUUGUUUGCCACUCUAGAAAUCAUUAUUCUUUAGGCCAUUCAUUACUCUUGCUAAUCUCUAGCAUUAACCUUGCUCCACCAUCUCUCACCCUCGGCCCUACUCCACUCUCAUGCUCUCUUCUCUCAUACUCAACACCCCAUUCUUCUCAACUAUUUCAAACACUCGCACCAUUCUCAUCCCAUCCUUCUACCAUUCACUUCUGCCCUCCUUUCACCCACACCUCACUCACUCUCACGUGUACUCUCACCUCUUACUUUUCCGCAUCCCUCGCUUCACCUCUUCUGUCCAUCUACUUCUUCUCGCCCACCUCUCGCGCGCUCUCACUCUCUCCUCACUCGCCAUCACCCCACACGUUUUGACGUUCACAUAUUCUCCAAUAUCAUCACUAUAUCAAGUUGUACUCACAAAAUCAGCAUCAUUACAUUUCCAUUCCCCUUACCGUUAACCCUAAAUGCAUGCAACAUUAUAUACACAUGCUCAAAUGAAAUGACACAUUAGCAUAAGAGGAAUUCAACAAGUUUGAAGAAGCACCACCCAUCGUAGGCUUUCAAAAGUGCUCCGAUGAUUUUCCUUGGGAUUUUAGACGCUUCGUUCCUAUACCAGCGGCAAGAACUAAAGCCUAUUAGGUCAUUUUUACUAUCUUUAUUUGGCUUCGUAACGCUAAUCGAGAGCACCAACGCGUCCCGAAAUGCCCUCCAAUUAGAUUUCUAGAGCGAUCAAUUGUAGUUAGAAAUUCCUAUGAGCAAAAGCCCCAAUUUGGGUGCCCUAGCUCCAUAGCAUCAUCAAACCUAGGGUUUGAUCUCAAAGAGAAGCAAAAGUAGCUUCAAUAUACUCUAAAAAGUCCAUUAGAACCAUCUUUAGACAAAUCAAAACCCUAUUUAGGGUUUCACCAUGAGAGGUGAUGAGGCUCACCUCAAGCUUCACCAUUUCUAGGAUCUUGAUCUCAUAAGAAGCAAAAGAAAGCUUCAAAACUCAUCAAACAUUUCAUUAAAACCCAUUUCUAGGUCAUUCAAAACUCAUUCUAGGGUUUUACUAUACUAGGGAUCAAAGCUUACCUCAAAGUUUUCCCUAAGUUGCUCCAAGGAGGAAGAAGAAGGGGUAGGCUCACUACUUGAUCUUCUUCUUCACCUUCUUUUCCUUCUUUUCCUUCCUUUCUUUCUUUCUUCUUCUUCUCCUUUGCCUUCUAGAGAGAGAGAGGGAGAGAAGAGAGUGUGAGAGGGUGAGGAAAUGAGAGAAAAUCUCAUUAGCCCCCAUAACAUAACCAUUGGGUUGCAAAAUUGCAGCCAAGCCCCUCAACUUUCACUCUUUCACACAGCCUGGACUGGGCUGUUCGCGCAGGCGAGGACCGGUCUCUCAUUUAGGGACCGGUUCCCGAAGGCUCUCCCCGCGCAGCUAGAGCUGCUGCGCGCAGGGCAACCGGUCUCUCUUUGGGGGACCGGUCUCUCGGGGACCGGUCUCUCAGGUAGGGACCGGUUCCCGAGAGCUGGUUUCUCAGGACUUAGCCGAUUUUUCGGCUGUCUCACUUCAUACGCGUUUGGGGACUGGUCUCUCCCACCAGGGACCGGUCCCCGAGAGUUGAAAACCUGCAGAAUGCAGAUUUCACAAUUUUAGCUCUCGAAAACCUCCCGUAACUCACUUUUGAUCAUUUUAACAACUUCGGACUUUCUGAAGUGUACCAUCCCCGCACUUUGGUCAAUUUGACUAAAGUUCGAUAUUUAUUUUUCGAAUUUUCGGUAUAUUAUAAGGAUGCUUCCAAUCCAACCUAAAAGAGGGUUCUAUACUCAUCAAUUUAACCCCAAAGGUUACAAAUCAAAAAUCCCCAAAUAAAAUCCUAGUUUUCUCAAAACUAGAUUUUCUUCCAAAACCCAAGCAAAACCACAAUCGAAAGGAGUAGAAAGGUUACUAACCUUUUUUCCAAGCUCCAAACCAAGCUAGAUGGUGCUGAGGUUGGAGAUCUUUCCUCAAACAAGCUCCAAUUCUCAACUCUAAAGCUUCUUCAAAGUGGAAAGCCAACACCAUACAAAGAGAAGCAAAAAGGAGAGAUCAAUCUAUGAAAUCUCAAGAAAAAGAGAGAGAAAAUCAAGAGAGGGAAAAGAGGAGAUGCUUACCUCUCUUCUUCUCAAGCUACAGCACAAAGAACCCCUCAUGAGGGUGUGCGAUUAUUUAUAGAGUUGUAACAAUCCCAAAAGACCCCUAAAAAAUAUACAGUCUGCGAACUGCACUGCGUACCAGUACGCGGGCUAGAGUACCAAUACCCCGCAACCGAACGGGCAAACCCGAGCCUCUGUCAAGCGGGCAGCGCGCAGUGUACCGGUACCCGCGUGAUGCAGUACCGGUACCAGGCUCCAGUACCGUUACUCAGACGACGCAGUAUCGGUACUCUACCUCGCAGUGAUCAAACCCGAGAGCAUCCUUCUCGGUUGCGCGACGGGGUUCCGGUACCCCUCUCUGAUACAUGUACCCUGUCACGCCCCGAGCCCGAUUCUUUUUGGCCGGUUCGAGAGCAUCAAACAGACGCCGAACGGACAGAGCUUUCCCUGUCCGCCCAAGGCUCAACACUAGUAUCAAUAGAGUACAAUUUGCAUAAGCGGAAGCAUACACAAUGGCAUGCACGAGGGCAAGCAAUAGCCAAGGUGAAAGAAUUAACCAUUCAGUAUACAAGUAAUAUGACUAAAUUUAAAUCACAUACAUGUAUCCAACUAUAAUCAAGUUCCGUCACAUUCUUGCAUCAUUUCUUUUUACAUCUCAUUUCUCCCAAAAUAUAACUUUUGACAUUUAAAGUAAAUAUUCUUUACAUCAUUCAUUAAAGCAAAUUCAUAAUACUAAAAUCAUCAAAUACAAAAGAUGAUAGUAAAGGGUGUGCAACUACAUAAUGAAAUCCAUCUCGGGCGGUCUCUACCUAGGGCGCGAUGCCCUUACCGCGAUCAUCUGCCGGCUCGCUCGGUCCCGGCUCUGUGGAAAUAGUGGGGUGAGAACUAACUACAACAAAGUUCCCAGUGGGUUCGGCAACCAACCACGCCGACUAUCCCACUAGGUCUAAUCAGGCAUAAUAGAAGAAAGAAUAGAUAAUAACCAACUAACAAAUGCAGCUAAUAUGCCUGAACAAUAAAUAAAACUAUGCUCAAUAGAAUGCUCAUGAUGAAUGAAAGAUUAACUUUUCAUUACCCAAUCUCAUGGCUAGCCCGUAGGUUUCGCCCUCACAAACUCACCAACCCAAAUCCCUAUUGUCGGGGAGAUAACCGCUACAACCCGACGGCACCGCCCUCUGGGGAGAUAACCGCUACGACCCAGUGAUGACAACUCCGGAGCACAUCGCCCGAGGGGGAGCUACCGCCCUCGAGCAAGGACUAUUAGGUGAGUACGAUCAAUCCUUAACUUUAAGGAUUUUAAGUUCAAUCCAUUCCUUGACUUCAAGGAGAACCAUGUGCAUAUGACCCUUAAUUCUAAGGUGUUUAUGUCAUAAUGUCACUGCUUGUUCUUAUUCUUUGUCAAUGAUGCCACACUUAUUUUCUAAGUCCUCUAGCCUCAUCAAUGUCACUUGCUAAAUCUAUGUCAACAUGUCACAUUUGUUUACUAACCCUUCUAGGUUCUUGUCCCUUGUCAUGCAUAUAUAGGGUUACCAAUUCUCAUUCAUUUACUACUAUUUCUCAAGCAUUAGAACUCAUAUCAUACAAGGAAAAUUUACAAUUAACCCUACUAUGCAACAUGCUUAAUAUAAAUACAUAUGCUCAAAUAUGACGCUUUAGACAUAAAGGGAUUUCCGAUGUCCUUGGAAUGCACCACCCACCUUAGAUGGUCACAAGGAUGCUACGGUGAAUUUCUUGGAAUUUUUGAAGCCCUAGUCCGCGUGCUGCGGCUAUCUGUACGGAAAAUGACGUUUUUGUUAAUAACUUUGUGUACACUCGUCGGAUUGUCGAACCGAGCGUUCCAACGCGUUUAAAAUACCCUCAAUUAGGUUUCUACAUGAUCAAAAUAGAUCAAAACCCAACUUGAGCAAAACCCCUCUUUGGGAUGCCCUAACAUGUUAUUUUUGCAUUUCUCCGAGAUUGAUCUCAUUCCUAAGCAAAAGAUAGCUUAGAUUCACAUGGGAAGCUCUCUAAUAAGGUUUCUAAGCUUUUAGAACCAUCCCUAGGGCAUCUACUUUGAGCCCUAGUGAUCCACCAUGAGAGGGGUCUAAGAAAUUCAUGUUUUUCAUGGAGUCAUGGUCCUUAGAGGAUUUCUUCACUUGUAGAGAGAUCAAAACCCAAAAAUCUAAGGUCUAAACCCAAACCCUAAACUCAUUUUUGCAUAAGGACUCACCUUUGCCCAAGCUCCACCAAAGCCUACUUGUUAGAGAGCUUCUAGGACCACCAAAGCCACCAAAAUCCACUUCUCCAAGCUCUUCUCCACCUUCUCCAAGCUCUAGGGCUUGCUUUCUAGAGAGAGAAAGAGAGGAAAAUGAGAGAGAGGGUGAAAUGGGUGUUGGCUGUGAGGGGAAGGGGUAUUGGGCUAUUAACAUGUGGUAACAUUUGCCAAAAAACCCUCCCAAUUUUUAUUUUUUGCAGCAGACCUCGUUUUGCUGUCGGGCCCAAAGUGUACCGGUACAUUUUUUCGUGUCACCGGUUACACGACUACGCAUAGGCAAACCCGAGAGCAGAUCUGUCAGUUUCGCCCAAAGUGUACCGGUACACUUUUUCGUGUCACCGGUUUCAGCAUGUGUAACCGGUGACAGGUCGCUUGCUGUACCGGUACACAUCGCUCCAGACCUGAUUUUGGUUCCGUUUUAAUUCUAUUUUGCGCCGAUCGACGCCAAAACCCUUCUAAUACUUCUAGAACUCAUUUUUAACCCUCCCAACAGUGUUGGUAGGUUAAUUGAAACUCGCCCAAUUAAUCCAUUCGCGCACUUUAGUCAGUUUGCCUAAAGUUCGUCAUUUUCUAUCUAGGUUUCAAUACGUUACAUACCCAGUACCCCAAAAUCUUUAGCUUGGAGGUUUUGGUGCUAAGUAUCCACUCUCACUCCUCAAAACGCGAGUAAUAGAUCAGAACACAAUUUAUGACCCUCAAAAAUACCAGAAAUAGCUCGAAAUACUAUUCUAACACUAAAAUCUUGUAAUUUGCUAAAGUUCAGUGUACUACGUCUUACGUCCUAUCUAGCGGUGGCUUGUUACUUCAAUUCUUUAUCAAAUCCGAAAUUGUGGAUUGCGGGGCACCAUUUAAGAGGGUUUUGGUUGUAAUAUAUCCAAAUUGGCCUCAAUGUCUUUUUUUUUCUUUUUUUUUUUAGCAUUUUUUUUCCAUUUGUCUACAGCCGUAACCCAAAGCGGGGACGUGUUCACAUGGUUCAUAAACAUUUCUUCGGACAAAAAGAUGCGAAAAAGUCCUUUAUAUCUGAUGCAUGCAUACUUAUUAUUAUUCCUGUUUGUCACAUCACACUGGGGCACGCAUUAUGAUUUAAUUAAUAUCAUGUGCACACAUAAGAGAAAAGCCAAAUCAGAACAUAUAGAUCAGAUAUCAUAUCACACAAAGGACUACAUCCACAUGGGUCAUGCCGAAACCAAUGGCCACGCAUGUACCCUGUUCAAUGUCCUCCACUCGACAGGUGCGACACCCCCAAUUACGACGCACUAGUACUACAGACAUUGCACCCUGUCAGAUUAAACUCCAUACACCUUGCUCAACUUAUUAAUUAACUAGAUAGACAUUAGUUGAUCUUAAUUAUUCUAGCAACUCCCAUGCAUUAAUUGGUAAACUAAGAACUCCCAGGCAGAAUCUGGUUGUGGAGGUGAGAUCGAAGGGUAGUGAUCACUGUCGAUCAGCGCCUGCGAGCGGCAGUCUCCCGCUGGGCAUUGAAGUAGACGGCAGCAACGGGGAGGCCGAGGUCGUUCUCGCUGGCAAAGCGGCGGGUGGAGAAGCCGUCGCGGGACGGCGGGGCGACCACCGACUGGCGUCGCUUCUGCUGGAAGAGCACAAAGACAAAGCGGUGAAUGCCGAUGUUCGGACGCGGGCUCUCGUAGCCCACCACCUCCCUCCCUGCAUGCGGCCAUGCCACACAGGCCCAAGUUAAUUAGCAAGAUUUUACGCACACACACCACAGGAAAAAAAAAAGAACAAAAAAAAAAAAGGCGCUUUAAGAUGGUGUUAUUAUUAGAUCAAUUCUUAUUAUUGAUGAAUCUGAUCUGUAGUAAAGAUAAAAAUAGCUUUGAUAUAAUAACAUUGUUCAUAUAACACCAUUCAAAUACAUUAAUUAUUAAUGUAUAUUAAGAGAGGAGAUAGGGUCCCACCAAACGAAGCAUCCGUUGUGCCAGGAAUGUCGGUCACGAUCCUGCGUAUAAGAGUAAUUAAAAUAUGAGAAAUGUCAAAUGUCAGUUUUCUUUAUAACAGUGUUACCAUAGAAGCAUUUUUAAGCAUUUUUUAUAAUUUAUUAAGCUCUCCUUAUGUAGAAAUAGAAUUGUGUGGUUUAUAUCUUUUGCCUGUUUAGUGUGAUUGGCCCUUUUCUUUUUGUUCGAAAAUUUAAGAACAACCAACAAACCGAAUCCUAUAUACAAGUGCCCUUAUAAUAUUAGCAGAUUAGAAUGUAGACAAAAAGUUCGAUAGCUUUCAGCUGUUUACAUAUAAGUAGUCAAAUGAGCUUUCCUUAGUCUUGAACUACAAGCUCCUAUUAAAGCUUUAUUUAUUUAGUUGUACCUUUAGAAAGAAGAUAUUCUGGGGAGCAAAAUGGAAAAUCUACUAGAGUAGCACUACAUAAAACGGCCACAUUUAAUUGCCCUCCGUCUAGCUAGCUAGCUAUAAUGACAAUUUGCAUGGCACACAUAUACGCAUGCAUUCGUGCACAAUAAAACGCAUACCCAAGCGCGCGUACGUUUUGUGUGCGCGCCUUAUGCGUAAGUAUUAGUUAGAUUAUUUCCACUACGUAUAUCUCUAUAUAUUUGAGAAGACUACAUUCAGGUUUUCAGAACUUACCAAUGGAGGUGUUCCCUUAGGUACGGAUCACUUGGGCCCGGAACAUCAGGAUCUGUCAUUACCUGUACAUGUACAUAUUCUUUGAGCUACUGUAAAACCUGAAAAGUUGAGCUAUAAUAUGAGCUACUAGCUAGUGCUGAAAUAUGUUAUACCAAUGUGAAAAAAUUCCUGAGAUCACCCCCUUGGACCUCAACCCUAGGUUUGGGUGCGACGGCAGAAGGGUAGAACUCGUGUCCAUUGCACACCGUCUUGUUGCAAUUGUAGGUCACAUACAUCUUGACCGUCGGGCUGAAUGAGUCUAUUACCUCUCCAAUCACUCUCCCAACGGUAAGAGGAUCCGACGGUUUCGCCAUUCCUAAGCCGAAGCUUUCGAGGUGCUAAGUUAUGGAUGCGCUGCUAGUGAGGGAGCGCAGAAGCUAGCUUGUUGGUGAGAGCGGUAAGUAGAUGGCCCUAUUUAUAGUAUCAUGCGAGCAUUUCUUUCCACCUCAAAGAGAAUGUACAAGCAUGAGAAGAUGACAUUAUUAAAAAUAUUAUAUACGGAGGAAAAGACUAAGGAAUAUGCCAUGCAAGCUUAGCUGUCCUAAUAGCAAUCAAGACAAGUGUUAGAUAUUAGUGUUAGCUAAACUUACAACUACUUUUUAGAGGGCCCUUUUUAUCUAUUUGAGUUUGUGUUUCUUGUUGAAAGGAGCAUGAUUCCUAAGUGAUAGGAUGGCCGCUUUGCUUUAAACUUUUAUUUUUUAGACACAUUGGAAAAAGAAAGAAAGAGAAUUUUUGCUAGAAGUCGUGUCCAAUGAGCGUUUUAUCUUACAAACUUGCGAUCCAUGUUAGUGCAUCUAGACUUAUGACAGAGGAUAGAGAUAACGGCCUAUUAAGAUAAAUUAUUCGCAGCAACUCCCAUUAAAGUUUCUUAUGCUCUUCAAUUACUUUUCCAUAUAUAUAGGUAUGAUUUAACUAAUUAUUUAGGACCCUUAAAAGAACUGCUUUUGCAUAAAGAAGUACUACUCUAAGCAGCAUUCUUCAGAAUCUUUUACUCUAUUUAGAAGUAGGAACAAGUUAUAGAAGCUCCCAUUAAUUCAGUUGGGGCAUUCUAGAGCUUUUUCGAUUAGAGCAAAAACGGAGAGAAGCCCUAGGCUGGUGCAGUUUGAACCUUCCCAAACAGCAAUGGGGGAUUAAAGAUGGUUAUAUUCACUUGGUGAGUUGGGGGGAAUAAAGCGGAGAUUAGCCUCCACUCUCUUAAAAAAGCCAUAGCCAAAAGGUUCUUGUUAGGUGUACACUGGAAGAUUCCCAAAAAUAUUGUUGAUAAAUUAACAUUCUGUAGUUAUACCUUUUUUCUUAAUAGCUGAAUUUUUUUUAUACUUUUAGCUCUGAUGUAAAAAUUAUUAAUAUUUAUUUAUUAAUAAUAUUUAAAUAUUUACUCACUUUAGUGUUACUUAAGUUAUGCUAAAUAAGUGACAAUAAUACCGGUACACUUGACGACGAACAUUAAUAUAUAUGGCACAAAAGAAUUAAUUGGUCUACAAAUAGCUAUAGCGAGAGACAUUCAUAAGCAAUGACUUUACUUUCAAUUAAAAUUUUAAUUGAAUUGCCUAAUGUCUGGUGUAGGAACAAGAGAGAGAAUAAGGGAAGAAAGGAUCCUAUUCCCAACCUUGUUUCCUAACAAAAGGAAAAAAAAAAAAAAAAAAAAAAAAAAAAAAAAAAAAAAAAAAAAAAUCAAUUCUAGUUUCCUAUUAAGAGGGCAAAUUGUUUUUUCACCAUUUCGCAUGAAACAACAAUUCCUCUCUAUAUCUAUUCUCAAAAAAAAAAAAAAAAAAAAAAACAAUCCUCUCUAUAUUCCUCUACUAAUUAAUAUAUAUUAUAUUAAUAUAUUAUAUAUUAAUUUAUUUACUAAUUAACUUAGUAAAUUAUUAACUGUUGAUUUAAUAUUGCUCUAAUAAAAAUAUUAGUUAACUAUUUAAGCAAUAAAUUUAUUAUUUUAAUUAAUUGAGUAAUUAAAAAAUUAAUUAUUUAGUGUGUUUAUGCAAUAACAUAUUUACACUGAUGAGCAAUUAGCAUUUUGACUAAUCUAUUUAUUUUUAAUUAACUAAUUAACUAAUUAAUUUAUUCAAUUAAUUUAUUAAUUGAUUAAAUUAUUUAUGGUUAUCUAAUAGUAUUCAUGAAUGAUUAAUUAAUUAGAUUAUUUAAUUAUAUAAUAAUUAAUCAUCUCCUUAUAUCUCUCCUUAACAAAAGUUAUUCCCUUUUAUUCAAAUCUAGCUAUAAAAAUACUAUUUUUUCAUUUUCAAAAAUAAUCCUAUUCUUAUCGAAAGACAAAAUUAGUCUAGUUUCUAUUUGUCUCAAGAAUUGUAUUUAUAAUAAGAAUAACUAAUUAAGAACAACCUUUUAUUCGAACCAAACAAUACUUUAGUAGACACCCAAAAGCUAGCUAUUAGUAGCUACGGCCCACCUGCACAAAUUGAUUUGUAUGGAUGGGGGUGUUUGGCCUAGCUUUUAAAAAGUAUUUUUGGGUUGAAAAAUGAUUUUCGGCUCAAUAGAGCGUUUGGCAAUCUCAUUUUUAAAAUCUGAUUCUAUUUGUCAGAAUCAGAAAUGUCACGUCCCGAAUUCCUCGUUUUCCUAGGCACACUAACAGACCCGCCGUAUACAUAGGAAUUUUUUCUGUAUACGAAGCGAAGCUGUUCAUGUACCUGUAAUCAUACAACACUACAACCAGUAGUAUAGAACUGCUAGAAAGGAAUAAACCAUAAUUAAAAACAGAAGUUCACUAUACAUGCAUAGUAUCCGGCCAGGUACAAAAAAUUACUCGCACCAGCGAGUUGUAAUAUCUAUAUGUACAAGAACUCCAACAAGACCGAUACUACCUGAAGUGGGUGCGUCUCUAGCUCAGCAACAACCCGGAAAGGAUCUAACUCGCGACUUCCUUUCCGCGGUUUGUCUCCGCCACAGCAGCAGCCGACGAAGAAGGCUCUGCGAAAAGAGGGAUAACAACUGGGCGUGAGAACUACUGCAAAAACAAAUAGUCCUCAAUGGGUACCGCCCUCAAACUUAUCAGCUCACCCACCAAGUCUACGGAUAUAUGCUCAAAAGAUAGUAAGGGAACUGGAAACAAUCUACAGCUACAUGCUGCUAUACUAUCAUGAUCCGACACUGCUAUCUGUAGAAUAAGGCAAGUUCUGGCCCAAUCUCACUAGGGACUGUAAACAUACCGGUCCCAGGGACUGUGAGCACACCGGUCCCGCCUGUCGAAGCUAUACAGCUUCCUCCACGCUAACCAGUCCGUGGAGAGCAAGUCCAACCAGGACACAACGACACCAACGCAAACGCACAAAGCCCGACUCCGGAGUAGCACUCGUGGGCGCUACCUAACCGAGUAUGCAAGUGUGUCUCUGCCGAGCUCAAUCAGGCUCUCACAGACUAAAAUCCAAGUAAACAGGGUCCAACUAGUCUAACAACCAAACUCACAUGCCCUAGGCACAAUCUGAUGCAAAAACAGCAAUCUGGGUCUACCGUCAACCUCAACAGCACCCGACAGUCCGAAACAACCUAAACACUGCUGUAAAAAUAAGCUCGACAUCUCAACACGAGCGUAAAAAUAUUCUACACUAUUCUGGGUAUCCACCGCCCACAAACUGCGGUGAUACAAACAAACUACGACUCCUAGAGCUAAAUCUGGUAGUUUUAACAUAUGACAGUGUAGAAGCGCUAGUUUUCUCCUAAGUCAAUUUCAAGUCCAACAUGUAUAAUUUAUCUAACUUAUUACAGCAUGCUCCAAAUUCAGAUUUCAUUUAAUAUGCUAAUCGAUGAAUUCGAGCUAAAAACAUGAUAUAUAACUGCUAAAAAUAUACAUGUUAACUACGCGUACACUUAGGAGAAAAAUUCGAUGAUUAACCCACCUCUAGCGCUCAGUCCACUGCAGCGAGGAGAUCACGAAGUUGCCGGAAGCCUCAGCCGAGAACACCCACAACCAGCAACUAGGCUACUCGAAGGAUCUAAACAUCAAAACACUAAAAUUUCAUCAAUCCACAACAAUUCAGCACUUAAGCUUAAUUUUUCCUCAAUUUCAAUGUCAAUUUUACCUUCCAAAGCUCAAAUCAGAUGAAGGAAGGUCCCAAAACCAGUGGGCUGUGCUGGAGUAACAAGCUCUGGUUCACAAUCCAGCUCCUUCAAAGAAUUGCUCCAAGAAAACCACAACAAUCUCAAUUCAGCUCAAACCACCAGCAGCAGAGAGGAAAGCGAAAAUGACUGAGCUAACCUUAACCAAAUUCUGUCAAUUUAGGCUCCACGAAUUCAUCUUGAAGUCUAGAAUCCAACAAACCAAGUUUCGUGGCAAACAGAGCUUUCUACGUCGCACACGAGCCAAAACGCCGAAGGUCGCUGCUCGAAAUCUGUAGAAUCAGCACUCCUCAAGCUUGGAAUUGUGGAAUUUGAAGUAAUUUGAGAAUUUUUGAGGGGUGGGAAUGCAAAGUAGAGCUUCUCUGUGAAGUAGGGAAGAAAAGAGCUCAAAAGAGUCGAAUACCGUCUAUUUAUAGUGUGGAGGAAUGAUCAGAUAAGCCCCAGGAAUAGCCACCAUCAAUCUGCUUCCUUUGCAGAAACGGCCAGUUUCGGGUGCCCGAAACCAUAUUUUGAGCAUCCGAAACCUCCAAGCCAUACAAUUACUCCUCAUCGAUUCCUCCUCCGCCUGCGGUCUACUGCGCCCAAAUCCGGCUUCGGAGGACCUCACCUACCACCAGCCACGUGUCAGCGCAAACGAUACUCACGAAGUGAAUUUUCGGACCCACAACCGGACACCCGAAACUAGGAUCCGAAUUGGCUUCCAGUUCUGCUCAGUUCUGCACUCAAGUUCCGGGCGACCCAAACCCUGUUCUGGAUGCCCGAUUCUGGCAAAACUCUAGUUUUGCUUAUUUGAGUGCGCCGAGUCCAUUUCUGCAUCCAUUUCGUGCAGAAUUGACUCAGACUCAGUCCGACACUCUCCAGAUGUGUCGACCAGUCAUUAAUACUGCAGCCAAUCCAAUCCAAACGUCUGAAACACUACAAGAAAACUGAUUUUGAAGGCCCAGAAUCAGAAACAAAAAAAAACUGCUUCAUGAAAUAUGAUUCUGAUUUUGGAAUCAAACUUUAAAUUUUUAUUUUAAUUUUAAAUUCAAUGUUUAAAUUUAAAUUUAAAUUUAGAUUUUUAGAUUCCUUUUUGAAUUUUUAAAUUUUAACUUUUAAAUUUUAAAAUUUUAAAAAUAUAUUUCAAACUUUAAAUUUUAAAUUUUAAUUUUAAAUUUCAAAUCUCAAAUUUUAGAUUUUAAAAUUUUAAAUUUUAAAUUUCAAAUUUCAAAUUUAAGAUAAAAUUUAAAAUUAAACAAGUUAGAUUUUCAAAAUUUAAAUUUAAAAAUUUAAAAAUUUUAAAUUUUAAAUUACAAGUUUUAAUCUUCAAAUUAUAAAUUUCUAAUUUCUAAACUUUAAAUUUUAAAUUUUUAAAUUUUAAAUUUUAAAUAUUCAAAUUAUAAAUUUCAAAUUUUUAAAAUUUAAAUAUUAAAUUUUUAAAUUUUAAAUUUUAUAUAUUCAAAUUUUAAAUAGUAUAUUUUAAAUUUAAUAAUUAUUUUAAAUUUUAAAUUUCAAAUUUCAAAUUUUAAAUUUAACUUUGAAAUUUAAAAUUUAAACUUUGAAAUAUAAAAUUUAAAUUUAUAUUUUUAAAUAUUAAAAUUUUAUAUUUUAAAUUUCAUAAUUAUUUAUUUUUUUAAUUUUAUAAUUUAAAAUUUAAAUUUUUAAUUUAGAUUUUGAAUUUUAAAUUUCAAAUUUUAAAUUUAGAUUUUAAAUUUUAAAUUUUAAAUUUUAAAUUUGAAGUUUGAAAUUUAAAAUUUAAAUUUAUAUAUUUAAAUAUUAAAAUUUUUGUUUUAAAUUUCAUAAUUAUUUAUAUUUUUAAAUGGAUUAUUUGCAUACACGUCCCUACAAAUAUAGUGAAUUGCAGAAAUAUCCAUGCAAAACGAAAAUUCCAUAGGUUGUCUUUACAAAAGUUCUAAGUUAUGCAGAUAUGUCCAUCUGGUUAAAAUCCGUUAGUGAACUGUUUAUUUUUUAACAGUUUUCUUAUGAAAUGACUAUUUUGCUUUCACAAAUAUAUACCUCCCUCCAAAAGUAUCCUAUUCCCCUUCUCUUUCUCUUCCUCUUCGGGCCGUCGGAGCGGACAACGACGGCGACACGGGGUCGGAUUCGCCGGCGACGAAGAGGAGGGAAGAGAAAGAAGGAGAGGAAAAAGAAGUGGGAAGAGGAAGAAAGAGAGGAAGAGGGAGAGGAAGAGGGAAGAGGAAGAGGGAGAGGGUUUGCCACCGCCGCAUCUCCUCCCUUGCCGGCGACGAGGAAGAGGGAAGAGAAAAAGGGAGAGGAAGAAGAAGGGUGAAGAGAAAGAGGGAGAGGAAGAGGAAGAGGAAGAGGGAGAGGGUUCGCCGCCGCCAUUGCCGCAUCUUCUCCCUCGCCGGCGACGAAGAAAAGGAAAGAGGAAGAGGGAGAGGAAGAAAAAAAGGGAAGAGGAAAAGAAAGAGGGAGAGGGAGAGGAAGAAGACGGGGGAAGAGGAAGAGGGAGAGGGUUCGCCGCCGUCGCCGCCGCCGCCGCCACCGCCGCCGCAUCUCUUCACCAGCGAUGAAGAAGAGGAAAAAGGAAGAGAAGGAUGAGGAAGAAAGGUAGAACCGUAAAUUCAGACUAUUAACUAAUCGUGGUUAAGUAGUUUAACUGUGGUUAACUAAAUUUCUCUAACAGACUCUAACAGUAGGUACAUAUCUGCAUAACUUAUGACUUUUGUAGGGACAACUUUUGGAAUUUCCGUUUUGCAAGGAUAUUUCUGCAAUUCACUAUAUUUGUAAGGACGUGUAUGCAAAUAACCAUUUUUAAAUUUAUAUUUAUAUUUUUAUGUUUUAAGUUUUAUAUUUUAAAUUUUAUAAUUAUUUAAAAUUUAAAUUUUAAAUUUUUAAACUUUUUAAAUUAUUUUUUAAAUUAAGAUAUAAAAUUUAAAUUUUGUAUAAUUUUGAAAUUUAAAACUUUUAAUUUUAAUUCAAAUUUAUAUUUAUAUUUUAAAUUAUUUUAAAAUAAAUUUAAUAAAAAUAUUAAUUUACGCAAAUAUCAAAAAAAUUUUGCCAAAUAACUUUUCAAAAUUAAUUCGGAAAAAUUAAUUUUAUUUAAACUCAGUCAAACGCUCUAUAAUUUUUAAUAAAAAAUAUUUUUUUAAAUAAUAAUCACUUUUUCAAAAAAAACUCUAUGAAAAGUUAGGCCAAAUGGCCGUAGUUCAGCCAGCGCAUCACUGAUUGCGGAGAGGCGGUACAAGAAGUACUUUACUCGAGCCAAAAGGAUCUCGUAGUGCUUAGCAGUCAACUCAAGAAAAAAGCAGUGAGCUGCUGCUUGAUUUGGCAAUGAAGAGUAUAGAGUCUCCUAAUUAAGUUGCCCAUUAAAAUACUAGGGAAUUCGACAUUCCCAAACAUGCAAAAUUUCAAUUUUAGCCCUUGGGACGUGGCAGAGUCUCAUUUUUCUUUACCUUUAUUACUGCAUAAAAAUAAAAAAUUCGAUGGAUUCUUUUGCCUAAGAUUUAAAUUGGGUUGAGCUACGCGAUCACGGUCUUAUUUGUAAAGAACGGCUCCUUUUGUUCUUCUAAAAUCGGAAGACAGGCCAGUACUUACAUAAAGAACGGCCGCUUUUUCUCUCUAGCAUUCCUUUACAAACUGAAAAGAUGCCGUAGUUAAUUACUAGCAGAACACAUGGAAAAUGACACAAUUGAACGUUGAUAGGUGCACAUUACGUAAACAUAGAAAAGACAGUUCAUUAAUUACUUUUUACUUUCCGAAUCCUAUAAGAACUUUUUAAUUUCCUUAUAUAACAUUGAGUAGAAGUUUUGAAGAAUUUUGCCGAUAUUUCCCUUCUAAAUAAAAGUCCAAAUUAACUUAUUUAGUGUUGCAAUUUAAAUGUUAUACUGUAAAAUUAAUAAUUCUUAGUUCUUAUUUUCAUUUUAAAAGUGUAUACCUCUAAAAUGGGCGUAUAAUAUUCACCUACCUAUCCUAAGGUGGGAUGUGUUUUUACUAGCAUCCUUUCCUAGAAUGGGUGGGUGUGUUUCGUAUACCCUUUUUAGGGUGUAUGUGUAGCAUUAUUAUUUGUCAUACUAUAGACUAAUAUCCUGUUUUAACCUAAUUAUUUAUUUUUAACUAUUGGAUUUCUAAUGUUUAUUUGUUAUUUCGAAAGCUCAGUCCUCCAAAAUAUUCAUUAAUAACUUAGACAAAAAUUGCUACAUGGAUGGACCGCACGAGAGGCCGACGUGGACCGCUCACCCAAUAUCUCUUGAUAAUAAAUAAACUGUUAUAUAUAUAAAUAAUGUUAUAAUUUUUUAUUAGAUUUGUAGUUGAAUUCUAAGUUAGAUUAGAAUAAGUAUUUAAAUAUAAUUUAAAUUUAGAUAUUAAUUAGAAUAGAAUUUCUAAUUAUAUUAGGAUUAGGCUACAUUUUAGUAGCUUAGCAUAUAUACAUGUGUACGGCUAGAGCAUGGUGUCCCAAAAGCUAUGGUGUGUCUGAAAAGCCAGGCCGGUUGCAUGCAUCUUGUGCACGGGUGUAUAUAAGGGAGAAAAAAGAGGUCUCAGGGAAAAAAAUGGCUCCGGUUGAAGCUAUUUUGUUGUAGCAAAGAGUCGGGUAUAAUUUUUUCUUAUUUAGUAAAUUUUAUUUUAUCCGUAAUUUUUGUUUUGAUUUUUUUCUCUUUUUUUUGGUUGUAUUUGCUUAAAGACGGGUUUAUAACAAAAAUCCAAUUUUGACGCUUUCGUUGUGGAAUGUCAACAAUCGAUACUGAAUUAACAGCGGUCGAUAUCAGAGCAAGUUGUGAAUUCUCAAAAUCUGAUAUCAGAACGAGUACCAUAUUUCCAACAAAUAACAUAUAAUAUAUAUUUUUAUAUAUAUAUAUAUAAUAGAAGAAAAAGUUACAUUAAUAAUUUUUUAUUCCUUUUUUUUCUUUCAACAAAACAAAUAUGGAUGAAAAACUACUUUCUUUUCACAAACCAAACACCUAAAACUUUUUUCUACCAAUUUUUUUCACUGAAAAUUAUUUUUUAUAGUUUUACGUGCAACUAAACAUUCUCUCGUACAAAAAAAAUAUCGUCAGAUGUUUGUUGAAGGUUGUAUAGCCCAGAUGACAUGGCAGAGAGUUCAGCUGACGCGAAUUGAGUGCGACGAGAAGCAGCGAGAGUGCUACCGGAAGCGGAAAGAAGGGUUGAAGAAGAAGAUCUUCAAACUGUCGACGUUGUGCAGCGUCAAAGCCAUCUUGGUUUGCUAUGGGCCGUCGGGAGACGUCAUCACAUAGCCCCUCGAUGACCAUGUGCUGCGCGAACUCAUCGAGAAGUACGAGAGCCUCACCGCGGAGACGAAGGCCAAGCACAACCUCAACAUGUCAUCCUACCUUCUUUCCGAGAUCCAAAAACAGCAGAAAAGGCUCAACAAGAUUAUGGCCGCAGAUGAUCUUCUCACCCGGUGGAACGGCCGUCGGCUCGAUGACAUGACGGAGGUCGAACUGCAAGAGCUACUGCAGCUGCUGGACGAAACAAUGUUGAAGAGAGCCCGAAGGAGGAUCACGUACCUCUACAGUGAGAAGUGCUUCGAUGAAAGCCUCGAAAGCGGUCCAUGCUUCACUCCCCCUACUCCUUUCGCGGACGAAGAUGUUAACUUUGCACACCUCUACGGUGGGAAGCGCUUCGACGAAAGCCUCGAAAGCGGUGGUGCCAAAACUGUUCCAUGCUUCACUUACCCUACUACUCCUUUGGCGGAUGAAGAUGACAACGUUACGUCGUACUACAGCGGGAAGUGCUCAAACGAAAGCGUCGAAAGCAGUCACGCUGAAACUAUUCCAUGGCUCACUUACCCUACUACUCUUUUGGCAGACGAAGAUGACGGAGACAUGUUUAAACCAUACAGAGAUCCCUUUGAUUGGUUAUUUUCCCGCCGAAGAGCUCUCGGCGGAAGUGAACUUCGACAGGAACAAUGUGUUCUUCCUUUUGGACUACAACAUUAACACUACACCCCUUGCUUCCACAAGUUAUUCUUCGUUCCAGGAGGAAAACAAUAUGAAAACAUUCUCGGCCUCGACGACGACACCGGUCUACACAUCGGCCUUGUAGUACUAUGGAUAAAGUAACUGCUCAUAGAAAUCGAUCUUGGUUUCAUCACUGUUUUCUUUUCUGGGAAAGAGUCUUAUUACUGCUCUCCGAUUGUUUUCAUUUCUUAUUUUUUGUAUUCAACUGCCGCUAACACAUUCAGUCUUAUGCUGAGUUAAAUGAGUGGUUUCUUGUUCAUUGAAGAAUGCUACUAUCUACAAAUAAAAUUACUUGCAUCCAUUUAUCUCAUAAUCAACAAUAUCUAAUCCACCUGCGCUGUCGCCGAUGAGCUCCUACACACACACACAGCUUAAAUGAACAUAACUUUUUAUUGAAUAUACAAAAGACGAUUCGAUAUAUAUACUGAUUUCCUGCGCGAGUUAUUUUCUUAUGAUGUAGAUUUCAUUCAUGUACAUAUAUAUAUAUAUAAAGGAUUUGCUAGCUCCAAAAAUCUUUUAGAUUUCCUAUUAUACAAGUACAAAAAAUAUGAAUAAUUCAUCCGACUCCUGUUCUCCUGAGAUAAAUUAUAAAGCGAAAAAGAUUUGCCUGAUCANNNNNNNNNNNNNNNNNNNNNNNNNNNNNNNNNNNNNNNNNNNNNNNNNNNNNNNNNNNNNNNNNNNNNNNNNNNNNNNNNNNNNNNNNNNNNNNNNNNNNNNNNNNNNNNNNNNNNNNNNNNNNNNNNNNNNNNNNNNNNNNNNNNNNNNNNNNNNNNNNNNNNNNNNNNNNNNNNNNNNNNNNNNNNNNNNNNNNNNNNNNNNNNNNNNNNNNNNNNNNNNNNNNNNNNNNNNNNNNNNNNNNNNNNNNNNNNNNNNNNNNNNNNNNNNNNNNNNNNNNNNNNNNNNNNNNNNNNNNNNNNNNNNNNNNNNNNNNNNNNNNNNNNNNNNNNNNNNNNNNNNNNNNNNNNNNNNNNNNNNNNNNNNNNNNNNNNNNNNNNNNNNNNNNNNNNNNNNNNNNNNNNNNNNNNNNNNNNNNNNNNNNNNNNNNNNNNNNNNNNNNNNNNNNNNNNNNNNNNNNNNNNNNNNNNNNNNNNNNNNNNNNNNNNNNNNNNNNNNNNNNNNNNNNNNNNNNNNNNNNNNNNNNNNNNNNNNNNNNNNNNNNNNNNNNNNNNNNNNNNNNNNNNNNNNNNNNNNNNNNNNNNNNNNNNNNNNNNNNNNNNNNNNNNNNNNNNNNNNNNNNNNNNNNNNNNNNNNNNNNNNNNNNNNNNNNNNNNNNNNNNNNNNNNNNNNNNNNNNNNNNNNNNNNNNNNNNNNNNNNNNNNNNNNNNNNNNNNNNNNNNNNNNNNNNNNNNNNNNNNNNNNNNNNNNNNNNNNNNNNNNNNNNNNNNNNNNNNNNNNNNNNNNNNNNNNNNNNNNNNNNNNNNNNNNNNNNNNNNNNNNNNNNNNNNNNNNNNNNNNNNNNNNNNNNNNNNNNNNNNNNNNNNNNNNNNNNNNNNNNNNNNNNNNNNNNNNNNNNNNNNNNNNNNNNNNNNNNNNNNNNNNNNNNNNNNNNNNNNNNNNNNNNNNNNNNNNNNNNNNNNNNNNNNNNNNNNNNNNNNNNNNNNNNNNNNNNNNNNNNNNNNNNNNNNNNNNNNNNNNNNNNNNNNNNNNNNNNNNNNNNNNNNNNNNNNNNNNNNNNNNNNNNNNNNNNNNNNNNNNNNNNNNNNNNNNNNNNNNNNNNNNNNNNNNNNNNNNNNNNNNNNNNNNNNNNNNNNNNNNNNNNNNNNNNNNNNNNNNNNNNNNNNNNNNNNNNNNNNNNNNNNNNNNNNNNNNNNNNNNNNNNNNNNNNNNNNNNNNNNNNNNNNNNNNNNNNNNNNNNNNNNNNNNNNNNNNNNNNNNNNNNNNNNNNNNNNNNNNNNNNNNNNNNNNNNNNNNNNNNNNNNNNNNNNNNNNNNNNNNNNNNNNNNNNNNNNNNNNNNNNNNNNNNNNNNNNNNNNNNNNNNNNNNNNNNNNNNNNNNNNNNNNNNNNNNNNNNNNNNNNNNNNNNNNNNNNNNNNNNNNNNNNNNNNNNNNNNNNNNNNNNNNNNNNNNNNNNNNNNNNNNNNNNNNNNNNNNNNNNNNNNNNNNNNNNNNNNNNNNNNNNNNNNNNNNNNNNNNNNNNNNNNNNNNNNNNNNNNNNNNNNNNNNNNNNNNNNNNNNNNNNNNNNNNNNNNNNNNNNNNNNNNNNNNNNNNNNNNNNNNNNNNNNNNNNNNNNNNNNNNNNNNNNNNNNNNNNNNNNNNNNNNNNNNNNNNNNNNNNNNNNNNNNNNNNNNNNNNNNNNNNNNNNNNNNNNNNNNNNNNNNNNNNNNNNNNNNNNNNNNNNNNNNNNNNNNNNNNNNNNNNNNNNNNNNNNNNNNNNNNNNNNNNNNNNNNNNNNNNNNNNNNNNNNNNNNNNNNNNNNNNNNNNNNNNNNNNNNNNNNNNNNNNNNNNNNNNNNNNNNNNNNNNNNNNNNNNNNNNNNNNNNNNNNNNNNNNNNNNNNNNNNNNNNNNNNNNNNNNNNNNNNNNNNNNNNNNNNNNNNNNNNNNNNNNNNNNNNNNNNNNNNNNNNNNNNNNNNNNNNNNNNNNNNNNNNNNNNNNNNNNNNNNNNNNNNNNNNNNNNNNNNNNNNNNNNNNNNNNNNNNNNNNNNNNNNNNNNNNNNNNNNNNNNNNNNNNNNNNNNNNNNNNNNNNNNNNNNNNNNNNNNNNNNNNNNNNNNNNNNNNNNNNNNNNNNNNNNNNNNNNNNNNNNNNNNNNNNNNNNNNNNNNNNNNNNNNNNNNNNNNNNNNNNNNNNNNNNNNNNNNNNNNNNNNNNNNNNNNNNNNNNNNNNNNNNNNNNNNNNNNNNNNNNNNNNNNNNNNNNNNNNNNNNNNNNNNNNNNNNNNNNNNNNNNNNNNNNNNNNNNNNNNNNNNNNNNNNNNNNNNNNNNNNNNNNNNNNNNNNNNNNNNNNNNNNNNNNNNNNNNNNNNNNNNNNNNNNNNNNNNNNNNNNNNNNNNNNNNNNNNNNNNNNNNNNNNNNNNNNNNNNNNNNNNNNNNNNNNNNNNNNNNNNNNNNNNNNNNNNNNNNNNNNNNNNNNNNNNNNNNNNNNNNNNNNNNNNNNNNNNNNNNNNNNNNNNNNNNNNNNNNNNNNNNNNNNNNNNNNNNNNNNNNNNNNNNNNNNNNNNNNNNNNNNNNNNNNNNNNNNNNNNNNNNNNNNNNNNNNNNNNNNNNNNNNNNNNNNNNNNNNNNNNNNNNNNNNNNNNNNNNNNNNNNNNNNNNNNNNNNNNNNNNNNNNNNNNNNNNNNNNNNNNNNNNNNNNNNNNNNNNNNNNNNNNNNNNNNNNNNNNNNNNNNNNNNNNNNNNNNNNNNNNNNNNNNNNNNNNNNNNNNNNNNNNNNNNNNNNNNNNNNNNNNNNNNNNNNNNNNNNNNNNNNNNNNNNNNNNNNNNNNNNNNNNNNNNNNNNNNNNNNNNNNNNNNNNNNNNNNNNNNNNNNNNNNNNNNNNNNNNNNNNNNNNNNNNNNNNNNNNNNNNNNNNNNNNNNNNNNNNNNNNNNNNNNNNNNNNNNNNNNNNNNNNNNNNNNNNNNNNNNNNNNNNNNNNNNNNNNNNNNNNNNNNNNNNNNNNNNNNNNNNNNNNNNNNNNNNNNNNNNNNNNNNNNNNNNNNNNNNNNNNNNNNNNNNNNNNNNNNNNNNNNNNNNNNNNNNNNNNNNNNNNNNNNNNNNNNNNNNNNNNNNNNNNNNNNNNNNNNNNNNNNNNNNNNNNNNNNNNNNNNNNNNNNNNNNNNNNNNNNNNNNNNNNNNNNNNNNNNNNNNNNNNNNNNNNNNNNNNNNNNNNNNNNNNNNNNNNNNNNNNNNNNNNNNNNNNNNNNNNNNNNNNNNNNNNNNNNNNNNNNNNNNNNNNNNNNNNNNNNNNNNNNNNNNNNNNNNNNNNNNNNNNNNNNNNNNNNNNNNNNNNNNNNNNNNNNNNNNNNNNNNNNNNNNNNNNNNNNNNNNNNNNNNNNNNNNNNNNNNNNNNNNNNNNNNNNNNNNNNNNNNNNNNNNNNNNNNNNNNNNNNNNNNNNNNNNNNNNNNNNNNNNNNNNNNNNNNNNNNNNNNNNNNNNNNNNNNNNNNNNNNNNNNNNNNNNNNNNNNNNNNNNNNNNNNNNNNNNNNNNNNNNNNNNNNNNNNNNNNNNNNNNNNNNNNNNNNNNNNNNNNNNNNNNNNNNNNNNNNNNNNNNNNNNNNNNNNNNNNNNNNNNNNNNNNNNNNNNNNNNNNNNNNNNNNNNNNNNNNNNNNNNNNNNNNNNNNNNNNNNNNNNNNNNNNNNNNNNNNNNNNNNNNNNNNNNNNNNNNNNNNNNNNNNNNNNNNNNNNNNNNNNNNNNNNNNNNNNNNNNNNNNNNNNNNNNNNNNNNNNNNNNNNNNNNNNNNNNNNNNNNNNNNNNNNNNNNNNNNNNNNNNNNNNNNNNNNNNNNNNNNNNNNNNNNNNNNNNNNNNNNNNNNNNNNNNNNNNNNNNNNNNNNNNNNNNNNNNNNNNNNNNNNNNNNNNNNNNNNNNNNNNNNNNNNNNNNNNNNNNNNNNNNNNNNNNNNNNNNNNNNNNNNNNNNNNNNNNNNNNNNNNNNNNNNNNNNNNNNNNNNNNNNNNNNNNNNNNNNNNNNNNNNNNNNNNNNNNNNNNNNNNNNNNNNNNNNNNNNNNNNNNNNNNNNNNNNNNNNNNNNNNNNNNNNNNNNNNNNNNNNNNNNNNNNNNNNNNNNNNNNNNNNNNNNNNNNNNNNNNNNNNNNNNNNNNNNNNNNNNNNNNNNNNNNNNNNNNNNNNNNNNNNNNNNNNNNNNNNNNNNNNNNNNNNNNNNNNNNNNNNNNNNNNNNNNNNNNNNNNNNNNNNNNNNNNNNNNNNNNNNNNNNNNNNNNNNNNNNNNNNNNNNNNNNNNNNNNNNNNNNNNNNNNNNNNNNNNNNNNNNNNNNNNNNNNNNNNNNNNNNNNNNNNNNNNNNNNNNNNNNNNNNNNNNNNNNNNNNNNNNNNNNNNNNNNNNNNNNNNNNNNNNNNNNNNNNNNNNNNNNNNNNNNNNNNNNNNNNNNNNNNNNNNNNNNNNNNNNNNNNNNNNNNNNNNNNNNNNNNNNNNNNNNNNNNNNNNNNNNNNNNNNNNNNNNNNNNNNNNNNNNNNNNNNNNNNNNNNNNNNNNNNNNNNNNNNNNNNNNNNNNNNNNNNNNNNNNNNNNNNNNNNNNNNNNNNNNNNNNNNNNNNNNNNNNNNNNNNNNNNNNNNNNNNNNNNNNNNNNNNNNNNNNNNNNNNNNNNNNNNNNNNNNNNNNNNNNNNNNNNNNNNNNNNNNNNNNNNNNNNNNNNNNNNNNNNNNNNNNNNNNNNNNNNNNNNNNNNNNNNNNNNNNNNNNNNNNNNNNNNNNNNNNNNNNNNNNNNNNNNNNNNNNNNNNNNNNNNNNNNNNNNNNNNNNNNNNNNNNNNNNNNNNNNNNNNNNNNNNNNNNNNNNNNNNNNNNNNNNNNNNNNNNNNNNNNNNNNNNNNNNNNNNNNNNNNNNNNNNNNNNNNNNNNNNNNNNNNNNNNNNNNNNNNNNNNNNNNNNNNNNNNNNNNNNNNNNNNNNNNNNNNNNNNNNNNNNNNNNNNNNNNNNNNNNNNNNNNNNNNNNNNNNNNNNNNNNNNNNNNNNNNNNNNNNNNNNNNNNNNNNNNNNNNNNNNNNNNNNNNNNNNNNNNNNNNNNNNNNNNNNNNNNNNNNNNNNNNNNNNNNNNNNNNNNNNNNNNNNNNNNNNNNNNNNNNNNNNNNNNNNNNNNNNNNNNNNNNNNNNNNNNNNNNNNNNNNNNNNNNNNNNNNNNNNNNNNNNNNNNNNNNNNNNNNNNNNNNNNNNNNNNNNNNNNNNNNNNNNNNNNNNNNNNNNNNNNNNNNNNNNNNNNNNNNNNNNNNNNNNNNNNNNNNNNNNNNNNNNNNNNNNNNNNNNNNNNNNNNNNNNNNNNNNNNNNNNNNNNNNNNNNNNNNNNNNNNNNNNNNNNNNNNNNNNNNNNNNNNNNNNNNNNNNNNNNNNNNNNNNNNNNNNNNNNNNNNNNNNNNNNNNNNNNNNNNNNNNNNNNNNNNNNNNNNNNNNNNNNNNNNNNNNNNNNNNNNNNNNNNNNNNNNNNNNNNNNNNNNNNNNNNNNNNNNNNNNNNNNNNNNNNNNNNNNNNNNNNNNNNNNNNNNNNNNNNNNNNNNNNNNNNNNNNNNNNNNNNNNNNNNNNNNNNNNNNNNNNNNNNNNNNNNNNNNNNNNNNNNNNNNNNNNNNNNNNNNNNNNNNNNNNNNNNNNNNNNNNNNNNNNNNNNNNNNNNNNNNNNNNNNNNNNNNNNNNNNNNNNNNNNNNNNNNNNNNNNNNNNNNNNNNNNNNNNNNNNNNNNNNNNNNNNNNNNNNNNNNNNNNNNNNNNNNNNNNNNNNNNNNNNNNNNNNNNNNNNNNNNNNNNNNNNNNNNNNNNNNNNNNNNNNNNNNNNNNNNNNNNNNNNNNNNNNNNNNNNNNNNNNNNNNNNNNNNNNNNNNNNNNNNNNNNNNNNNNNNNNNNNNNNNNNNNNNNNNNNNNNNNNNNNNNNNNNNNNNNNNNNNNNNNNNNNNNNNNNNNNNNNNNNNNNNNNNNNNNNNNNNNNNNNNNNNNNNNNNNNNNNNNNNNNNNNNNNNNNNNNNNNNNNNNNNNNNNNNNNNNNNNNNNNNNNNNNNNNNNNNNNNNNNNNNNNNNNNNNNNNNNNNNNNNNNNNNNNNNNNNNNNNNNNNNNNNNNNNNNNNNNNNNNNNNNNNNNNNNNNNNNNNNNNNNNNNNNNNNNNNNNNNNNNNNNNNNNNNNNNNNNNNNNNNNNNNNNNNNNNNNNNNNNNNNNNNNNNNNNNNNNNNNNNNNNNNNNNNNNNNNNNNNNNNNNNNNNNNNNNNNNNNNNNNNNNNNNNNNNNNNNNNNNNNNNNNNNNNNNNNNNNNNNNNNNNNNNNNNNNNNNNNNNNNNNNNNNNAUGCUCAAAUGAAUGACACAUUAGGCAUAGAGGGAAGUUCAACGAGUUUGAGAAGCACCACCCACCUCGUAGGCUUUCAAUGGUGCUCCGAUGAUUUUCUUGGGAUUUUUAGACCCUUCGUUCUUCACCUGCGGCAUAACGAAGCCAAAUUAGGCUUAUUUGGCCAUAACUUUACAUUGGCUUUUCGUAACAUUAAUCCGAGUGCACCAACGCGUCGGAAAUACCCCCAAUUAGGUUUCUAGAGGGUCAAUUGCACUUAGAAAUCCCUAUGAGCAAAAGCCCCAAUUUGGUGCCCUAGCUCCAAUACACAUGUCAAACCUAGGGUUUGAUCUCAAAGAGAAGCAAAAGUAGCUUCAUUAUACUCUAAAAAGUUCAUUAGAACCAUUUCUAGCUCAUUCCAAACCCUAGUUUGGAUUCCACCAUGAGAGGUGGGUUGAAGCUCACCUUUGAGCUUAACCAUGGCUUUGAUCUCUAAAGAAGCAAAAGAAAAGCUUCAAAGACUCUAAACAAUCCAUUAAAACCAUUUCUAGGUUUAUUCAAAGCCCAUUUUAGGGUUUAGCAUGAGAAGGGGCAAAACUUACCUCUAAACUUGCUCCUUUUCCAAGCUAGAGAAGGAGAGGAAUGGUUUUCUUCUUCUCCUUGCCUUCUUCUUCACUUUCUUCCUCUUCUUUUCCUUCCUUUCCUUCUCUUCUUCUUCUUCUCCUUUGCCUUUUAGAGAGAGAGAGGGUAAGAAGAGAGUGUUUGAGAGGGAGUGGAAUGAGAGAAAAGCCCUCAUGUCCCUCCUACAUAACCAUUGGGCUGCAAAAAUGCUAAUAAACCCCUCAACUUUCACUUUAAUACACUGCCCGAACUGGGCAGUUCGCACAGGCGGGGACCGGUCUCUCCUUCAGGGACCGGUUCCCGAACGUCGUCCCAGCGCAGCCAGAGCUGCUGCGCGCAGUGCAACCGGUCUCUCUUUGGGGGACCGGUCUCUCGGGUAGGGAUCGGUUCCCGAGAGCUAGCUUCUCAGGACUUAGCCGAUUUUUCGGCUGUCUCAUUUCAUACGCAUUCGGGGACCGGUCUCUCCCACCAGGGACCGGUCCCCGAGAGCUCAAAUCUGCAGUUUGCAGAUUUUGAUUCUAUAGCUCUCGAAAACCUCCCGUAACUCACUUUUACUUAUUUUAACACCUUCGGACUUUCCGAAGUGUACUGUCCUCGCACUUUGGUGAAUUUGACUAAAGUUCGACAUUUUUUAUUUUUCGAAUUUUCGGUAUAUUACACGUGGAGCUUGAGCGAUCCGGAGCAAGUGGCGACGGAGAGCUUAGGGAACAAAUGGCCGCGCUUAUCGGAGUAGCGCGACAACAAGCGGAGUCUGUUCAACGCCAAGGGGAGCAGAUUCAACGGCUCAAGGAGGCCUUGGAGCGACAAUAGGCGACGGCGGCCCAGGCGGGCGUCGAGCAUGUCGCGCCCCCUGUGGUAGUGCCGAGCGUGGAUGAGGGAGCGGCGGCAGCAGCGGCUGUUCCANNNNNNNNNNNNNNNNNNNNNNNNNNNNNNNNNNNNNNNNNNNNNNNNNNNNNNNNNNNNNNNNNNNNNNNNNNNNNNNNNNNNNNNNNNNNNNNNNNNNACAGGAUUCAAACUGUCAAGCAUUAGGCAACCUUGCUAUGCCUACCGACUACAAGAGCAUGAAACUCGCGACCUCACUUGAUGUACUACUAGACCAACGUGGCCCGUAUUCCCGGCCGCUACACGGACUACUCUUCUCAGAUGGAUCCUGUUCACUGAUUGAUCUAUCCCGACAAAUCCAAGACGGCUUGGCUAUUUCUGGUAUUCGCAAGUCAGAGACUUCGCAGAUUCGGAUUACUCAUUGCCUUGAGAUUCGCUUCACAUUUUCGUGUUCCUGACGAGUUUUAUCUCGUCAAAGGACAUUGCUAGCGAUUUGCUAGACACUUGGUUCUUGACCCUCCACAGGCGUACAUUCUCAGCCCUAAGAUGCUGGGUGUCUACGUUACCUGUCGCCGAUGUUCGGCUACUAUGCCAUGUAUAAAUGUGCAGUGACUACGUAUAAUGCAAGCUAUGAUUCAACUUGAGAUCAUUGCAAAAGUAUAUGCAUUGCUCAAUUACUAUACAUGCCAGAGUCUCGCUCAAGGCAGCAGCAAAUCGAGUCGUUAUUGAUGUGCCUUGGCCUCUCCUGCGAACCCUCGCGUUUCAUAGUCCUCAACUGUGUCUCCCGACUGUUAAGGAUUUUAGGUUUGCGAUUUCGUGAAGUUAUUUUGGAGUUUGAGAGUUGGAUAGUAGAAGUUUUUGAGAAAAGUUUCAAAUUGGGGAUUGAAGGAAUUCCCCGAAAAGGAUGACUUAUAAGGUAUGAAGGAAAAGGUUAUUGUGUCGAGUGAACGAACACAAUUUAAUAGUUCAGAAGCUUGUAGAAUUGCUUUAAAAACAAUUUCUGAAUCAUUCAUGUGUUCUGGGGCGGUCUUUGAGAUGGCAAGACGGUUCCCCCAAGUCUACUGGUAAUCAUUGAUGCCACCGUUCCGUGUGGUGGAGGAGACGAGCGAUUCCAGAACCUUUGGUGUUUGUCAGCAGCGAGGGACGCGGUCUAAGUUUGGAGGACCAGUUCCCGAAGUGGGGUUUUUUGGUUAGCAGAGAGGGACCGGUUCCUACUGAGAGACGGUCUUCACAGACGGUACUCCUGGAAGAGACCGGUCUCUGAGAGAACACUUUGAGUUUUGAAUCGACUUUUUACAUCCUUAGUCUAUUCUAGUCUUCUAAACUUAUAAUAAGCUUUGAUGUGGCAGUUAAAGUAGGUAUGAUAUUUUCCAUUCCAAACCCUAGAAACUACUUUGUGAUUUGUUUUCAAUGCUUCGAUUUACAUGAUGAGUUGUUUUAGAUCACGAUCGCUGAUUUCGUUUUAUCGAUAUUUCUUACGGAUCAGUAGUGAUUGAUUAAAGGUGAACCGUAUAGGCUUAUGGUUUUUCAAAGUUAAAAUCAGCCAAGUUUUCAAUUCUAAAGUCGGAAGGGGUUCGGGGUGGAUUGCGUUGAAGCGAGAUUCGGUGACGCUUUCGAGGUUGAGGCGUUUAUGUCGCUGCGAGGAGGGUGCCAAGCUCGUUGGUGGUUCUUUCGAUCGGGAGGCAGAUCUAGUCAACGGAAAUCGGUAAUUGAGUUGUGUGUUUUGGUCGAAAUCAAUUGUAUCCAGAUGUUUUUGAUGGAUUUUCUUUGUAUCGGGUCGUGGCGUUUUUCUCCAAUUGGGAUUUUCCGUUUAAUUUCAGUGUGCUUAUUUUAAUUCUCGAAAGUGUGUUUUGUUAUGAUUCGAGAUUUUUUUUCGAGUUUGCGCGGAUUACACUAUCACCCCUUAGGUCGACUACCUUUUAGAUCCUCGGGAUCCAUAUUGACAAGUGGUAUCAGAGGGUUUUAGGUUGUAUCUUGGCUCUGAGGUGGCCGGAUGUUAAUCGAUUCCCCUUUUCGAUGGCACUACUACGGUAGUUGGAAGUCCGUAUGAUGGGCGUUUUUAUUGCUGAUCGAGAGGAGGUGUUGGCAAGGCUGUUGAUUUGGAUGGAAACAUCCUCAGAAGUGGUCGAGAACGUUAACCGGGUCGCGAACCUAGAAAUAAGUGCGACAAAAUGUAACGAAAUACGAACUAUCUUCGUCAAGUGAAGGUUCAAUGCUGUUUCAAUGGGUUGAAUCACUGAAAUUUUCACGAGUUCAGAUGUUGUGAAGCCGCCAAAGAAAAUUUGGGACACUUUAAAAUCACAGAGGGUACAAGCUUGGUGAAGGGUUAAGAAUUACAAAUGUUGAUAGCCGUUUUGAUGCUAUUCGUAUGGAAGUAAAAUGAAACCUUUAUCGGUAUUAACUGUCUUCAGAUAUUGUCAAUAAUUUGUGCAAUUUGUGUGAAAAAAAUUUCUGAACAAAAAAUCGUUCGGAAAAGUUUUGGAACUUCCGAACGUUUACGGUCCAAGGUUGCGCCAUUGGAGAGUGAAAAUUAAACAUCCGGAUGAACUCAAAGUAGAUGAAUUAGUUGGUGCUCUUCAAACGUACGAAAUGACUUUUCCUUCUAAUUCGUCUUCGUCCAAGUCUUUUUCUAAAGCUUCAGGGAUGGCUCUAAAAUCAACAAAAGGAGAUGUCUCGUCAACCUCAUCAGAUUCAGAGUCGGAGCAAAGCUUGGAGGAAUUUGAGAAACAACUCGCACUUCUAACAAAGAAGUUCCGUCGGAACUUUAGAAAGAAGUUUCCUCCCAAGUCUACUUCAUCAAAGACUAACAAAUCAAAAGGGGGUCCGUCUUCUUCUUCUUCGUCAAAAUACAGAAAAUCUGAUAACUCUCAAAAGGACUCCACAAAAGAGAGGAAAAGCGGUGAAGGUCAAAUCCAAUGCUACAAGUGUAGGGGCUUUGGCCAUAUAGCAUCUGACUGUCCAAAUAAAAAGUCGUUGAAGAAGAAAGCUAUGCAAGCUAUGACUUGGGACGACUCCUCAUCUGACGAUUCUACUUCGAGUGAAGAGGAUGUGAAUGCCACGGCUCUAAUUGCCCACGAAUCAACUUUCAUGUGUUUAGCAUCUUCUGACUCGAUCUCUACUACAUCUAUCCAAGAGAAAUCAUCUUCGGAGGACUCAUCGGAUGGAGAAUCGGACGAAGAUGACAUGAUCGCAGCUUAUCAACAAUUAGUUGUUGAAUCAAAGAAGAUGGCUAAACAUAACAAGAAAUUACGGCGAAGCCUACAUGAGUUGGAACAAGAAAAUUCAAAGUUGGCCUCUCUAACAAAGGAUUUAGAACAAGAGAGAGAUGGGUUGACCAAGGCGUACAAUUCCUUGCUUGAGAAGUGUUCGUUACUUGAAAAAGAAAAGGAGACUCAGGCGGAGAACAUCAAGUAUCUUACCAAACAAAAUUCAGAAGCUAGAGAAGCAAAUAUGGAAUUCACCAAGACGAUCAUUCAACUGAAAAUCAACUUGCCGAUAUUUUAACCAAACCUUUGGAUCAAAAACGUUUUCUGCAUUUGAGAAAGGCAAUUGGUAUGAACCCAUCUAUCUAGAUAUAUUCUAUUGAGCCACAGAUCAUGUACAUGGUGCAUAUUUUGUUUUUGUUCUUGUAUGAUUUUCUGUGUUUGGUAGUAGAUUGAAUUUUGAGAAUAAUCUUGUCAUUCUGGGACGUGAAUCGGUUUAUGACUUGAAUUAUUUCAUAUUUAUUUUUUGAUUGAUCACUGUCAGAGUUAUUCUCUAUUGGCAUAUUUUUAAACGAUCAAAUCAUUAAGAUUCUAGUUAACAUGUUGAAUCAUAUUCAGCACCUCAUGCGUCGAACUUUAAAUGUUGCAAUCAUUUGUUUGAUUAUUAGUUUUGAGAUGAAUAAAUCUUUCUCUGUUUUGAAAUAACUAUAAUAUUUUUAACUUGAGGGUUGCACGUGUUAAGGGGGAGUCUUUCUAAUUCUAGCUAUGAAUAUUUCUGAAAUUCAAGAUGUGGAAAGAGUUACAUCCCUGCUGGGAGUGUGAAAACUACCACCACAUGGAGGAAAGAGCUACCACCCCGGUCGUCCGGUUAGUGUGUGCAGCUACCACAUGUUGAUUAAAGUGUUUAUGUGAGACAAAAGAAAAGUGCCUCUUAAAAAAAAAAAAAAAAAAAAAAAAAAAAAAUAAAAAAAAAAUAAAAAUAAGAAUAAUAUGCUCAAAGAGCUAUACAUCUUGUAGGUGAUAUAAGGUGGACUGUGAAUAAAAGAUGCUCAAAGAGCCACUCCUGUCUCAGACCAUGUGCAUAACUCAAUUUAAUCAUAUUAUGUUAAUUUCACAAUUUUUGGGAAAUAUUUAUUUUAUUCUCUUUAACAAAAUAUGAUGAUAAAAUGAUGCAAUUUGUUUCUAAGAUCCUGCAUGAUGUGUGGGAUUUUAUUUUAUAUGUAUCAAGAAUUCUUAUUGAUUUUCGGUUUAAAAAUUUUGAAAUUUUGAAUAUUCCUGAAAUUGAUUUUUCAAAAUUCAUUUAUGAAAUUUUAUUUAUAGUUUAUUUUUGGAUGAAAAUAGGUUGUUUAUGAUGAUUACAUAUUAAGAAAUUCUCUUACAUUUUUCUUGGAUUUUUCGAGAAGCAUUUAAAAUUUUUGAAAAUUUUCUGGCUCGGAGACCGGUCUCAGGGAAGAGAGACCGGUCCCUCCGCCCGACCCGAUAUAAGGGCUUUUGCGGUCUCUUAUUUGUUACUUUCCCAAUCUCGUUUCUUCUUCUCCCCAGGGCUUCUAAUAUCCACAGGGUGAUUUUGCUUCCAUUUUUCAUCUAUUUCUACUUGUUUUUGGUAUGAUACUCGGAUUUUGUUUCAUUAUUGUUUUAUAAUCCGAAUUUGUGCUUUAUUCUCAGUUUUUGAGGAUUUGAUCUCAUAAUGUUGUUCAAUCUCUUCAUUUUUGUCCUGAUCUUACUUCUAGACAUGUUGGUCAACUUUUUCAUGCAUUGUUACAUACUUUGAUUUAACUGAUUGGUUGUUUUUGCCAUAUUUUCUUCAUCAAAACCUACUUUUUCUCAUUUUUGCAAACUGUGGUUUUAUUUGUUUUUGAUGCUUGAUCUGUCCAUGUUUUUUCUUAGUUAUGUGGCUCUAGGAUUAUCUAGGAUACAACAUAUCAAUUUGCUAAAGUGUUUGGAAUCACAAAAAUUUAGUGUUCUUAUGUUCAAUAUGUAUAUAUCAUUAUGUUCAACAGGAAAUUUUCGAAAAUGUACUCGUGGAUUCUCGUUCUAGUGGUUCUUAUGGCUGGAGGUGGUCGCGGUAGCAAGCGACAGCGCGCCUCAGCUAAGAGGCCGGUUGAGCAACAACCGGAAGAUGAAGGGAGUGAGUAUGCCCCGGGUGAUGAAUCUGAGGAGGACGAGCAGGAUUGGGAGACCUUUGUUCCUGAAGUGUUGGCUAAGGAAAAGGACACUGGGAAAGGUAAGGGAAAAGGAAAAGCUGUGGAUAAAGGCAAAGGAAAAGACACUGAACGUCCCAGUCGUCGUAAGUCCGGGGGUGUUGAAAUUCGCGAACCGGGCUCUGAGCCACCACGUCGCAGUUUACAGGAUGUUCCAUCUAACCGACGGUCAAUGUAUUCGUCGAAACACUGCAUUGGUGAGCGCGAUGUUGGGGUGGCCAGUAUUAUUAGUUGUGUGCCUGGUUUUCAGGAUCUGUUUGAACAGGGGAAUCUUCAUCAGAUUUGUGAUUUCCCGGAGCAAACUGGUUAUUGUUUGGAGCUGAUCAGGGAGUUUUACAUGAGAGCAGGUCACCUCAGUGAUUCCGACGGGGGUCCGUACGUGUUCAAGACCUCUGUCCGUGGUGUUGAGUUAUCAAUCACUCCUGCGACUAUAGCUUCGGUGCUUGAGAUGGAAGCUAAGACUGAUGGAGUGGAGUAUUUGCAGGCUGGGUUCGACUCACUUCGCGACUGGAACCGUGUCGUGAACACUAUCUGCAUGCCGGGUACUGAAUCAAACGGAAUUAUGGUUAUGUCCAAGGAUUUUAAAAUGGAGUACAGAUUUCUGAACUUUGUGGUUUGCUACAAUAUCAUGCCUCUUGCGAACACGAAAAUCUUGCGAUGGGAUCGGAUUCUGUACAUGUAUCUCUUGGGUAGGCCAGAUAUUGUAAGUGCUAAAAACAUUAACAUGAAUAUUCCGUUUCUGAUCUGGCGGCGGAUGGCGAAAGAUAUCAAAACCUCUGGGCAAAAUGAGAGGUUACCGUUUCCUAUGAUAAUUAUGCGGAUUUUGCGACUUCGUGAGGUUGAUGUUAGGUGUACAUCGUACGAGCACAGUUUGGGUCGGAUUAAUGAAAGGACGUUUGUGAAGUCCUCCGUGCAGCUUCGUACGCCAUCACAACGUGCUUCUUCCCCUCCUGCAGCUCCACCUCCUGCUACUGCUACUUCUUCCCGUCCUUCUAUGGAUAUUUCUGAGGAAGAUAUUUCCGUCUCUUCGGUUUAUCGCGAGCAGCGACGUCUAUCUGAGGAGCUUCAGAAGUUGUCUUCAGAACAAGCUGCGAUUCGUAAGGAUGUGAGCAAGAUGAAGCGCUUGUUGAAUAUGAUUUUUGACAAAUUAGGCUGUUGUCGGGCCGAUUUACCUCCAGGAGAUGAUUCUGACUAGGAUUUUCCGCGCUUCUCCUUUUGUCGUUUUGGCGCUUUCUGACAAAAAGGGGGAGAUGAUGGAAUGGAUGGAUGGUCUCUUAAUGAUGAGGAUGAUGCAUUUAGCUUAGGACCAGUUAAGAUGAUGACUUUGUUUAAGAUGAUGACUUUGUUUUAGGUGUUUGGUGUUUUCGUUUAGCUUAACUAUGAACUAUGGAGUGUGACUUUUAGUUGAGUGUUUGAACUUCUUGAUACUUGAAUCUUGAUUAUGCCUUGAGAAUGUUUUUGCAGGAAUCAUUCAAGACUUCAAGACUCCAUGUCUAAGUCAUAGAGUUUGUAUUAUUAAGGUCGUAAAAGUGUAAAUUUUGUUUAUUGGAUUGAUCAUGCAGGAGAUUAUCGUUUGGUGAUUGCGAUGAUCUUCUUUUUAUGACUUAUUGGUUGUAUACGAGCUUUGUAGUGUAUUUUGUCACGAAAUCGCCAAAGGGGGAGAUUGUUAAGGAUUUUAUAGGUUGGCGAAUUUCGUGAAGUUGUUUGGAGUCUUGAAGAGUUGAUCGUAGAAGUUUUUGAGAAAAGAUUCAAAUUGGAGGAUGAAGGCACAUUCGAAAAGAUCGACAUCUAAGGUAUGAAGAAAAGAUUAUUUGUGGUGAAGACACACAAUUUAAAUAAGUUCAGAAGACUUAGAUUGCUUUAAAAAUAAAUUUCUGAACAUUCAUGUGUUCUGGGACCGGUCUCUGAGAUGGAGAGACCGGUUCCCCCAAGGUCCUCACUGCGUAAUCUUUGAUGCAACCGGUCCCCUGUGGUGAGAGACCGGUUCCCGAACCUUGGUGGUUCUGUCACGCAGCGAGGGACCGGUCUCAAGUUUGAGAGACCGGUUCCCGAACGUGGGGUUUUUGGUUACGCAGAGAGGGACCGGUUCCUCACUUGAGAGACCGGUCUCUCACAGACCGGUCUCCUCGACAGGACCGGUCUCUGAGGACGACACGAGUUUUUGAAAUCGACUUUUUGCAAUCCUAGUCUACUUCUAAGUCUUCUAAACAUAUAAAUAAGCUAUGUGGGUCAUCUAAAGUGAAGGUUUUGAAUAUUUUACCAAUUCCAAACCCUAGAAACUCGUUUUGAUCUUGUUUUCAAUGCUUCGAUUUACAUGAUGAGUUUUUAGCAAUCACCAUCGGCUUGAUUCUUCGUUUUUACUCGAUACUUCUUACGAGAAUCAAGUAGAUGAUUGAUUAAAGGUGAACCCUCAUAGCUUAUGGUUUUCAAAAGUUAAAUCACCACAAAUCUUCAAUUCUACAAGCUCCGGAAGGAGGUUCGGCGCGUGGAUCUCGCGUGAAGCCGAGGAUUCGGUGGACGCUUCGAGGAGUUGAGGCGUUGUCGCUGCGAGGAGUGGCAGCAAGGUCGAUUGGUGGAUUCCUAUCGAUCGAGGACCGGCAAAGAUCUCCGUCAACGAGAAAUCGGUAAAUUGAGUCGUGUGUUUUUGGUCGAAAUCACUUGUACUCAAGUUUUCUUAGUGGAUUUUCUUUGCGUGAUCGGUCCCGUGGGUUUUUCACUCCAAAUUGGAGUUUUCCCACGUUAAAUUCUCAGUGUGCUAUUUUAAUUUCCGCAAUUGUGUUUUGUUUGCAUCGAGAUUUUUUUUCGAGUUUGCCGGAUUUCACCCCCCUCUAGGUGUUACUUACCUUUUAGAUCCUCGGGAUCCAUAUCUGACACAAUAUACUCUAAAGAGUUCAUCUAAACCAUUCCUAGCUCAUUCCAAACCCUAGUUUGGAUUUCACCAUGAGAGGUGGGUUGAAGCUCACCUUUGAGCUUAACCAUGGCUUUGAUCUCUAAAGAAGCAAAAAAGAAAGCUUCAAAGACUCUAAACAAUUCAUUAAAAUCAUUUCUAGGUUUAUUCAAAGCCCAUUUUAGGGUUUUACUACAAUAGGGUUCAAAGCUUACCUUAUAAGCUUUCCUUUCUUGCACUAGAGAGAAAGAAGAUGAAGCCUCUUUGCUCCUUAAUCUUCUCCUUCACUUUCUUCUCCUUCUUUUCCUUCCUUUUUUCUUUCUUCUUCUUCUCCUUUGUCUUCUAGAGAGAGAGAGAGAGAAAAGAGUGUUUGUGAGGGAGAGAAUGAGAGAAAAGGCUCUCUCAGCCCCCAACAUAACCCAUGGGUUGCAAGAAUGCAAAUAAACCCCUCAACUUUCAUCUUAUUCAAUUGCCUGGACUGGGCAAAUUUCGGGCUCGGGGACCGGUCUCCCCGACUAGGGACCGGUCUCCGAGAGCUCUCCCAGCGCAGCCAGAGCUGCUGCGCGCAAUGCGACCGGUCUCUCUUUGAGGGGACCGGUCUCUCGGGGACCGGUCUCUCAGGCAGGGACCGGUUCCGAGAGCUAAUUCCUCAGGACUUAGCCGAUUUUUCGGCUGUCUCACUUCAUACGCGUUCGGGGACCGGUCUCUCCCACCAGGGACCGGUCCCCAAGAGCUCAAAAUCUGCAGUUUUACAGAAUUUGAUUCUUUAGCUCUCGAAAACCUUCCGCAACGCACUUUUAAUUAUUUUAAUACCUUCGGACUUUCCGAAGUGUACCAUCCUCGCACUUUGGUAAAUUUGACUAAAAUUCGAUAUUUAUUUUUCGAAUUUUCGGUAUAUUACACCCUGCCAAUGCAGUACCGGUACUCAAUGCAAUUUUCAGCAUUGCUUCACACGGAUCACUUCUAAUCCAUUAGACUUUGAUUUACAUGAUUCUAAUGUCAUAAACAAGUUUGAAUCACCAUAACAUAAUUCAAAACCUUACCUUAGCAUCAUGAUUCAUGCCGUGAGAUGUUUUUGAGUUCUUGAAGUCUUCGAUUCUUCGAUCUUCUUCAAUCACGCACCGAACCCUUCAAGACUCCGACUCAAAUCACGAAACUUGCCAACACAAAGUACUUAACAAGCAAUAAUAAACAAUCAUUUAACUGAACCAUUCAGUUGUUUAGACUACUAAAAGAAGUAAAAGAGGAAGAACCGAGGUAAGGAUUGCUAACGCGAUCUAACUAUGCCGUCCUCGUGUACCAUCUGACCUCACCGCACGAGCUACCUGAAAAAUAGUGGGGGUGAGAACAUGUAAAUAUGUCUCUCCCUCCCAGUGGGUACCAGAAACCAAUAAGGGCAAGCUGUACAGACCGGCAGAUGGAGGGAAUAAAUAGUAGUAGCAAGUAAGUCAGAUAUAACAAUGAAUAACAACUACCGAUAGUCACAAAAGGAGCUACCACUAUAAAGUGGGAUAAUAAACAACGAACAACUAUGGUCAGUAGCCAAUUAGUGCAACAAUAACAAUAACUGAACUAGAAAUAACUACCACUAUAGUACAAACCACCACUGCUGUAAAGUAAAGACAGAGGAAUGUUGAUGCGUCAACUGAGUACUGAUAAUACAAUUAUACUAAUCAACUGCCAUAUUGGUCCAAAGGCCUCAGGCAAGUGCCACGCCGCUCUGAAAGGCAUAUAACCCUAGCACAAGCUCCUGGGUCUGAAAGGCAUAUAACCCUAGCAUAACCUCCUGGGUCUCAAAAGCAUAUAAGCCUAGUAUAAGCUCCUAGGUCUGAAAGGUAUAUAACCCUAGCAUAAGCUCCUGAGUCUCACGGGUUGGCACUCUCAACCACUUUUCCGAAAAAGAACACCCCCUUGCGGUGGAUCAGACCGUUGGUGUUCGUGAAAUGCGUAUGAGUUGUGACGAUCGAUACUAUAUGCUUAAUGGCCAACGACGGCAAAAAGCCGGAAGAACGAUCACAGCCAUGUCUGACCAAAGCAGGUCUACUAUUCCCGAAGGAAUGUCACAAUGUUGUUGACCUAUCAGGUAUAUAAAGCCAUGUCACCAAGUACAAAAUGCCAUCCAUAAUAAGGUCACGCAAUGAUAAUCAAUCACUGAAAUACUACUCUACUACUAGAUUAAACAUGAUACUGCAAGACAAAGUAACCGUAGAGUAGACUAACAAGAACCGAGUACUAUGCAGGAUACUCACCAUAUAAUCAUGAUACUGUGAAGGCAACCGUAGAGUAGAUCAAUGAAUACUCAAUGUCGUGCAAGAUAUUCAAUUUAAGUGCAAGAUAACAUAGGCAAUCAUAAGAGAGAAGAAAGAGAAGAAGUCACCAAGCGUAUGCCGCUGGGCUAACUUCGGAUCGAAGUACCCACCUAUACCGCACGAAGUGCACGGGUCAUCGACCACCUGCAGCAGCCUUCCGCUAUCGCCCGGACCUAUCCAUAGUCCCAAGCCAAGCCGUACUCAGCUUAAUCAUGUAAAGUACAUAAUGUCUUAGGCUCGACGUGAUUCUAACCGUUGGACAAUCGGAUUCUCUCGGUUUUCGGCUGACGGUCACCGAAAGAUUGUCCGAAAGCCAUACCGAUUCAACGAAAAGUUGCACCAACCCACGUGGUGACCCGAAGUUACUCUCACAGCUAUUCUACAUUGCCCACUGUCCCAAAGCAUCAUUUUAAUACCCUUGGGAUAGCCGCACAAUAAGUGCGCUAAAAUGGAAAGUCGGGGUUUCUAAAACUAGCCGUUAAGCUUCCGGAGUGUCGUAUUUUGUCCCGGAACCCUCCAUGGCUUUCUUGCUGUAAUUCGGAGUGUCUAACCAUCCCCGGCACUUUGCAAAUCAGCCACAAACCUGCUGUGAACAGCAGCAGCAAAUACGAUGAGGGGUCGCACUCGAAACCGCCCGAAAUUCGCAUUAUCGAGCUCCGUUGAGCCUCGAAGAAUGUUGAAACAUUGCAAAUUUAAUCCUAGCUUAUUUGUUGUCUCGAAACACUCAUCAUUGGGUGUCAGAAAAGCAGCACAUCGUUGGCGCAAGAGGGAGGAUUCUUUGCGAUCUAUGUCGCGACCGGGGUCUCGACCGUUGCCGUUUUGGCUCCAGGAACCCGCAAAUCGCAAAGCGUUGAUUCAUGAGUCACGAGGGUUAUCUAACGACAGCAUACAAAGUGCCACACUCGCUGCGACCAUCAAGGAUACGAGACCUGCACUCGAACCCAAAAACGAGGCUCCGACAGCACAAACAAUGGCGAUAUGAGUGCCAAACGUCCCGUUAAUCGAACCACGAUGUUCACGGGCAUCGGGCAACGAACGGCGAUGCAAAUACUUUAGUAUUCUUGCUGCCCGCAGUAGGAACGAUGUGAAAACACCGCUGCGACACAAUCCGAGCCCAAACGCGCGACUAUGAUCUCAAAUAUGCGAUAGUUUUUCGACAACUAAGAAGUUAGGGGCUUACCGCUGUUCCAGAGGCUUCGAAAAUGCAGCAAGAAUGAAAUCCUCAUAAUCACGAGGUGAUGGACUCCCUCCUUGAUAGCCUCACGCAAGGUUCGCGCUUGUUGCGCGACGAAACUGCGAACAACGUCGCACUGCGGCCAGCGAGUGUCGAACCGGUGCAAUUACUUAAACCAGGCCCAAAAGAAUGAAACCUAGGUGAGCCCAGUGUCGUAUAUGACCAGCGGGAACGAUGCUUACCUUAACGACGCUCCACGAGGUUCAGAUCUGCUAGAGAAUGCAGAUCGACUCAAGGCGAAGCGUAAAACGGGACUGUCGGGUUGCACUUUGCAUCAACGGUUCUCUGGCUGUCCACAAAUGCGACGGAAGGUGCAGGGAUGUUGUGGCAAGUUGGGGAAGGCACACGGGUGGUGUUGACGGCGUCCAAACUCAUCCAAGAUUGCGUACGAAGCGCAGCAGCCCAACUACGGCAAGAUUAGACUGAGUCUUGCAUACGCGGGCACGGACGGUCAAGGGAGGUUGAUGGUUGCGACGGGGUGGAUGCAAGAUGGCCGAGGAAAGUCCUUCACACCCACAAACCAUAAAAUUGUGAGAGAUAGAGGAGAGGCAGAUGCGGUUCAACAGCGAUCAAAGGAGAAGGAGAGAAAAGAGAGAGAGUUGCGGCCUCUCCUACUCCGGCUCCGGUGAUCCUUAUGGCCGGUGGUGGCCAGGGGAAAGGGUACGGCUAUGUGGAGAGGGGCUGCGGCAUGUGAGAUGGAAAAGGAUGCGGCUAGGGUUAGGGUUAGGAUAAUCAAAACCCUAAUCUCCCUUGAUCGUACAUGCAAUUCCAUGCGGAAUAGCAUAUAAUGUAGUUAUAACUACAUGCAAAUUAUAAGUUCGGUGUUUGGUUUGAUGUAUUUAACUCCAACUGCUGCAGUAGGAACUGCAGAAGGAGGUCCAACUAUAGUAGUUGGAACUAUACCCAAAUUGGCUGUAGUUCCAACUACAGCAGUUCAAGAGAGCGGUUCGAGAGAGUAACUUUAAGCAAAAAGUAAGCUUACCUCUCUAAUUAUUUCUUAAACAAAAAAUAUAUUUUUUUUUUUACAUUGGAUGUAAUCUCACCAUCAUGUACGUAAAAUGAUAAAAUUUUAAAAAUUAUUUCUCAACUACAUGCAACCAAAAAAAUUAUUUGUAGUUGGAGCGCUUUCUACUAUAUUCAACCAAACAAGAUGUAUGUAGUUACAACUGCUUUAUUUUCAACUACAUGCAUCUCUAACUACACUGUAUUUAUAAUUACAUCUAACCAAACGUCCCCUAAGACUUGCUAAUGGGUACUUGGUUUCUUAUAAAAGCGUAAAAAAUUAUUUUUUAAAAAAAAUUUAUAAGUUGUGAGAUAUUUUUAAAAAUUGAAAAUUAAAUAAAAAUAAUUUUUUUUUAAAUCUGAAAAAAGACAUUUUCUUAAAAAUUACUUUCUUAAAAAUUAAAUAGAUGGGAUCAGGAAAUUAUUUUGUGAGAUAUUUUUCGGAAAACCAAAUGCCCCGAUGAAUCUACAGGCGUAGCACAAUAGCACAUGUUUUUGGAUAGAUAGGAACCCGGCCAGUGUCCCAAACCAUCAAAUCCAAAACAAUUUACGGAGAGAUUAGAAAAUUACAGUUAAAAACCAUCGAAAUAAAUACUGUACUGAUGUAUUUUCUAAAUCUUGGCCCAACUUAAAAUUCAAAUCUAUUGGUUCGGAAUUAAGGGUUAUUUUAAUUCAUUUAUUUUAGACCCUAAAAUAAGAAUGAGAUUCAUUAAUUCAAAUAGUUAUUAUUUAUUUUACAGAACCGAAUUGAGAUUUUCAUUCCUUUGAAAUGGAAGUGGGCCAAUUCCAUUUGUGGUCCAGUCCAACUCUAUACCCUGAAUCCAGACCCAUCCUAAAGUAACCUAAUCAAACCCUCCUUCACGAUCAAUAUAUCGAAACUCCUGUAUCAAAAUCCUAGGUGGCCCAAUCCCUCAUGUGCUAGCUCAUCCCUCCCAAAACCUUAUUUAUUUCAAUUUGUGUUCUAAUAAUAAUAAAACCAAAUAUUUUUGGAUGAGUUAGCAUUUUAUUUUUCAUUUUAAUAUAAUAUAAUUUUAUAUUUUACUUCUAUUUCAAUCAUAAACUAAACAAGCUCUAAUAGUAAGUAUCAACGUUCAAGUCUUUUACUUAUUAUUCUAUUUAAACUUUUUUCUGUGAGACAAUGUUAUUCUAUAGUUAUAUUAUAUAUAAAGUUAAUUUUGGCUUGUUUAGCACCUAACAUGCGUAGGCUAUUUCUUAUAUUCUAAAUCAGUUAAAGCAACACUUUUCUUGAUUGAUAGCUCCUGUGGAAAAAGAAAAAAAUAAGAGUGCAAAAGAACAAAUCAAGGUAGAAAUUUUAGCGCAACACCUUUACAUGCUUCUGCACGUUUACUUUGCAUACAUCUCACGCAUUCUAAAUUGAAAGUAUAUUUGUACUGUCCAAGCUAUAUAUAUACACGCUAGACGACAGCGAAAGAGCAAAGUCUAACCUGGAUUAAAAGGACUUAAUAUGUACAUGUACCUUUCCUCUGUCAAACACAAAGGCCCAAAACUAAAACACACGUACACAGACACACUCUCUCUAUCUCUCACUUAACCCAAAACUAAAACACACAUACACAGACACACUCUCUCUAUCUCUCACUUAACCCACCCUAAUUAAUUUAUCUUGUAUAUGUAUACAAAGAAACACUUCAACUAAAGGGCCUGUUUGUUUCGAGGGAAGUGGGGUGGAAGUUGAACGGGGGAAGUAAUUUUCGGUGAAAACUCACCACUUCCGCCGUUUGGUUCACCGUAAUUUUAUUACGCCCGAAAGUCCAGUUCACCUAAAAUAAUGAACUUGACUUCGCGCUCCCAUGGGGCGAAGUCAAUUACGGUGAAGUGAAAAAAAGACAAGAAUGGAUUAAUGUGUUAGGGUUACCUCUUCUAAAAUAUGAUCAAAUUUGAUUAGGUAAACUUUAAUAUAUUUUUUGUUUAAUUUGUAUAUUUAGAAAAUGAUGAAAAAUAAAUUUGUUAAAUGUUAAUAAUUUUUUAACUUUAGAAUUUUAUUUGUUGCAUUAUUAUAAUUUAUAUGCAAACAAAUAAUAUAAUUUUUUAAAAUUUUAUUUUAUAAUUAUACAUAUAUAUAAUUAUAUUAAUUUUUAUUUAUUAUAAUUUAUUAUUCACUAUAAGUUACAGAAUAGACAAUAAUAUCACUUAGGAGGUAAGUAUACCGGGGGUGAAGAGCUAUACUUUUUACGUCAUCUACUUCCUACCAAACAAACAACAGAACUCGCAGAACUGCACUUCCACAGUUAAAAACAAACAGCAGAAGUGAACUAAUUUUCACCCCAACUCCACUUCAACUCAAAGUCCACUUCUACCCCAAGUCUAGUUACGUUGAAACAGACAUGGCACGUUGCUUCAAGGAUUGUUCUAUUAGCAAAUUCACAUGUCAUCUAUAAAAAUAUGUGCAUAAAAAAAUCAAUUCUUUUAACUACAACAGAAUUAGAUUAUAAGGACACAUGUUUAGGACACUUUUGUGUAAGUGUCUCAUUUAUGUCAAAACUUUAAAAAAAAUCUAUUAAUGCCUAAAUAUAAAGUCCAAUCCAACCAAAAAUAAAAGUUUACUCUACUCAACCUAUCCCACCUAGCCCAUUCGAUCCAAUUACAAACAGAAAAGAAAAAGAAAAGAAAAAUCGAUUAUCAUUUCCCCUUCUCCCUUCACUCAAUCGACUGAAAUCCUAAAUGAAGAUCCCUUCCUCUCGUCCUCUUCUGCCACCACAACUAACAAGGUAGAGUUCUGACAGUUGCUAAAUAUUUAAAUAAGUGUUGGUAAAUUAGCAGCACUCUUUUUAGAUUAUAGCGACACUCAUUAACUGUUACUAUAUACCUUGCGACCCCACAUAUAGCAACACUUUUUAAAAAUGUCGGUAAUUUAGCCAGCAGCACUUUUUUUGAUCUGUACCGAUAUUUAAAAGUGUCGCUAUAGACCGUUUUUGUUGUAGUGUUUGUAUUAUAUGUAUGAGCUACAUAUAAUUAAAGAAAAUAUUUUACAAUAUCAAUAAAAGUAUAUAAAUCAUGGUUAAAAUAUGGAUCAUUGUUUUAAUAUUUCAGAAUGUGAGACUUCAAAAUACAUAGUACCGUAGUCAUAAAAAUAUGACAACCAGACUCAUAUAUAUUUGAAAAAUUUUAUCAUUGAAAGUGUCGUAAUUACAAAAACAAAUUAAAGUUACCGUGCUCAUAUAAUAAAUACAGUAAAAUGGACAUAUUUCGAAUCCUAGACUGAAACAAUUUUGUCAAUAAUGAACGCCUUGAGCUGUUGGCCACCAAGGCUAGGAAACAACUUAUACUCUUCAACACAGGUGAAAACUGAUUAAGUGCACACGUGCUCAUCUAGUCAUCUAUACAUACGUACCCUUAACUUUCUUAAAAAUUUCUGAAAAAAAAUAUAUAUAUAUAUAUAUCAAAGGAGAGCUUAUGUGAGGGCAGUAUAUAAAGGCAUCCCAAAGACUUAAACAAGACUAUAUUAACCACUUCGUCAAGAGCAAGAAAUAUAUGCAUGCCAAAGUCCUUCAAGAGUACUCCCCUCACGGGGGGGGGGAAGAGAGAGUGAACCCACNCUCGAUCAAUAGGGGGAUAUGGGACUGAGGAAGUGCCCCAUGGAUGAUGAAUUUGGCCUCUACUUCCAAUCAACUCCUUUCUUUGAAUGGCUUAAGCCACCAACAUCAUCAUCAUCAUCAUCCUCACCCUCUCCGCCACCGCUAUUACACCGAGAAGAUGAUGAAGAGGAAGCAGCAGCAGCAGCUUGCAGAAAAAGCGCUUCCUCGAUCCCCCCGCUCACCGAGUCGCAAUGUUUACCUCUUCUUAGUAGGCUCGAGGAGGAUAAAAGGACAAAUAUUAAAGAAGAAGAGGCCAGUAUUACUGAUUACAAGUAUUUUGAUCACCUCAGUAUAAAAAAUUGCACCCAGAAGGAGAUCACUGUGUCCUUGAAUAUUGGGUUGCCCGGUACUGCUCCUGGAGGUGAUUAUGAUGAUCAUGAGGAAAACAGGUCUCUUGGCUACAAGAAGGAAGAGGAUAUGGAGCAGGUGGAGGACUACAAAGAGAGAAGGUAUUGGAUUCCAAGCCCAUCUCAGAUUCUUGUAGGCCCAGUGAGAUUCUCUUGCUCCAUCUGCAUGAAAACCUUCAAUAGGUACAAUAACUUACAGGUUAGCUAGCCUCGAUCCUAUUCUUAACAUCCAUAUGCAGAUAUUCAGGACUGUUUAUUUAUUUAUGUAUUUAUUUAUGUAUUUAUUUAUUUGUGUUUGGUAAUAUUAGCAGAGUAACAAGAUUUUAAAAAAUCGGAUCUACACCUAUAUAGUAAAAUACCUUUCUUAACAACACCACCAUUUUUCUUGGUGAAACCUGAUUAUAUGAAGGACCACAGAAAGAACGAUGGAUUACGGUGUGCUUGUUAUUCAUAGAUCCACAGUAUGCGAUUCAAACAAUUUACUCCUCAAAACAAUUUACUCUUCAAUUUGUACUGCUGCAUCAUACGAUGCAUGACCUAUUAGGUUUGAAUCUUCUUUCAGGAUCUAAUUCUUAGAUAUAAGAAAAGAAUUGCCAAUCAGUUAAAAAAAAGAAAAGGCAGCAUUAGUUUUCCCAGUUAACAAGAUGAACAUUCCCUGCUAACAUGUUUGCAUUAUUUUGUGAGCGGGUCAAUGAACUGGCAUAUUGAUCAUGUAUAUUACACCUAUCAAUUGAUAAGGAAGAAAAUUUAUCCAAAUUUCCUCACUAAUUGGUUAUCUGAUGAUUGUUGAAGUUACUUUUUCUUUUUCUUUCUUUUAAUUAAUUAGAUAGUAAUUAACAAACCUAGCAUUAAUUCAUGUAUGUUGUAUAUUAGAUGCAUAUGUGGGGGCAUGGUUCAGAAUACAGAAAGGGCCCAGAAUCGCUUAAAGGGACACAAACAAUAGCAAUGCUGAAGCUCCCUUGCUACUGCUGUGCCCAUGGGUGCAAGAACAACAUCAACCACCCGCGUGCAAAGCCGCUGAAGGACUUUCGAACUCUGCAGACUCACUACAAGCGGAAGCACGGAUCGAAGCCAUUCCAAUGCAGGAAAUGUGGCAAACCAUUUGCAGUGAAGGGGGAUUGGCGGACUCACGAGAAGAACUGCGGAAAGCUGUGGUUCUGCUCAUGCGGGUCAGAUUUCAAGCACAAGAGAUCGCUCAACGAUCAUGUCAGAUCAUUCGGUAAUGAUCACUCUCCUUGCUUUCCAUCAGAGUUUGUUGGAAAGGAGAAGGAGUUCAUUAUAAGGUUUGAUCAUCACAAAUCGACUACCGAAAACACCGUUUCGGUUAACUACAGUUGAGGUGGUUAGGCUCAUCAGUAGCAAAAAGUGGGACUGGUUUUAUUGUUAUGGAGCAUAAGAGUAUACUAGUACAAGCAUCAUACAUACUUCGGAGGCUAAUUUGCUUUGCCCGGCCGCGAAUAAAAUGGAGGCUACCUGUGGAAAGGGACUGUGAAGUAGCUGAAUUUUCUUCAGGUUUUAGGUUAUAUUAUAGGAUGUCGUGGAUGUUAGUUGCAGAAACUUCUUGUGUACUGAAGAAAAUUUCUCAGCUUCACAGGCUGAUUGGGUAGUUGUAAUGAAGUUUUCCGUAGCUACAGAUACUAAUAUUAUUGAUUUUAUGAUUGUGUGCUCUAUGUAUGCUUACUGACCUCAGUAAUUUUCCUAUUUUAUAAUAAUCGUUUAGUUAAAAAUAUAUGAAUCUUAUCUCAACUAUAUAUGUCGCAUUUUGAAGUAGAUUGCUCAAGUUUAAAAUUUUGAUUUUAUUAGUUAACCUUAUAAUAUACUUGAUUUUUCUAUGUCUCAAUUAAAAUUUUGUAGCAUUUUUUUAUCUUUUUAAUAAAAUAAUUUGUAAUCCAGUAGAAUAUAUAUUUGAUAUAUUAUUUAGAUCAAAUGGUUCUAUGAGUUUUUUCUUUUAAUACAAGAGUUCGCCAAAAAAUUUUGAGAAUCUUUUGGAAAGCAAAAUGAAGAAAGAUAUUACACAGUAAAAUAAAAGUUUUAAAAUUUAUAUCGUUAUAUCUAUCUAAAAAUAGAGUAUGACUUGGAUAAAUUUAUUGACUGUUCCUACUGCAAGUGGUAAAGGAUUUGAUAUAUAGUUGAAAUUUCAGAUUCUAGCGCUUAUAUAAUUAGCUGAUUUAUAUUUCUAUCUAGUUUCUUUUUCUGAAAAAUGAAUGAAAUAAAUAAAAUGCUAUCGUUUUCGCAAGAAAAAACUCGGGUAAUUAAAAUCUUUAUAAUUUUACCUUCCCUAAAAUAUAUUCGACUAAGAAAGUGACACUUGCAUGCGCGACUAAUUAUCACGGGAUAUAACAUAAUUAUUACUACCAAGUAGAUGAGGAUUGUCUUUAAUUAGAUUAUAUGUGCAUAAAGAGAUGAGGAUUGUCUUUAAUUAGAUUAUAUGUGCAUAAAGCAUAAAGAAGGGUUCAAUAAUUCUAAAGCUCACAUAUCCAUCGAACCUUUUCUAAAAGUCUAGGGUGACGAACUUUUAAUUUCCUAAGUCCAAAUUUGAGGCCUAGGGCGUGCAACAAAUCCACCACUAGCCACUUUGCUUACACACGUACGGUCAAGGUAACUUUUAUAUAUAUAUAUAUAUAUAUAUAUAAAUAAAGUGAGGCUACUAUGCUAUCGGAAACACGGAGCCUUCCGUGAUUCCAGUUCGUUGUGUGUUGCCGACUUUCGAGAUCGCGAUCUCCGUUAAACUUGAUCUAGAGUAUUUGGAGUACCUAGAAAAUAAAUUUAUUAUUUUUCGAUAUCAUUUGCCUAGUGAAAGAAGGGGCUCAAAAUCAACGGCUGAAAAAUAAAAUUUUACAAAAGUAAUAAUAUGACAUUAAAAUUUUAAAUCAAAGAUAUUGAUAUGUUUUAUAUAGUAUAAAGAAUUUUCUAUCAAAAUUUCACAUGAUUUGGAUAUUUCUACCCGUUAAACCAAACGGCUCACUACGGCCAUUGAAAUUUGUUGAUUUGAGCCCAUUCGAUCACUAGGCAAAUGAUAUCGAAAAUAAUAAAAUUUAUUUCUAAGUAACUCAAAUACUCUAGAUCAAGUUUAACGGAGCCGAUCGACGAUUCGAAAGUCGCAACAUCGAAAACGAGGUGGAAGCACAGAAGGCUCCGUGCUUCCGAUAGCAUAGUAGCCUCACUCUAUAUAUAUAUAUAUGAGUAGGUCUUGUGUACUAUUAGGAGCACGAAGGCCUCCGUGCUCAUAAGCCGUUUUCGAUGAUGGAGCUUCCUAAUCGACGAUCGGCUCCGUUAGACUUAAUCUAGUGUAUUUGAACUAUCUAGAAAAUAUUUUUUUUGAUUUUUCGGUAUUAUUUUCCUAACGAUCAAAAGGAUUCAAAAUCAACAAUUUUUAAUGGUUUAUAUAUACCGUUUGCAUGUUUAACGGUGUAAAAAUAUUCAAAUCAAAUGAAAUUUUGAUAGAAAAUUCUUUGUACUAUUUACAGCAAGAUCAAUAUAUUUGAUCGAAAAUUUUAAUGCUACAUCACUACUUUUUGUGAGAUUUUUAUUUUCAGUCGUUAAUUUUGAACCCUUUCGAUCGUUAUGUAAAUGAUAUCGAAAAGUCACAAAAUUUAUUUUUUAGAUAUUUCAAAUAUGUUAGAUCAAGUUUAACGGAGCCGAUCAUCAAUUCAGAAACUACAUUAUCGAAAACGACUUAGGAGUACGGAGGUCUCCGUGCUACUAAUAGCACACAAGACCUUCUCUCUAUAUAUAUAGAGAGAGAGUAUAUAUAUAUAUAUAGAGAGAGAGAGAGAGAGAGGGGUAAGCUAGUGAGAAAUUGGGUAGGCUAUAAUUAGGAAAGGAAAGCAGAGGAAACCGGGAUAGCCUACGUAUGUAGCUUGACCAUGUUAAUGUUUUGGCCUAUUAUGGUAUCUGUACGGUUGUACCUAAAUCAACCGGUAUGAAUUAGUAGAUUAAGUAUAAGUAUUUGGAAUGACCUACUAACAAAUUACCUGCAAUUCCAGUUGCCAAUAUACAUAUUUCGCCGUUAGAUCUACCUUUUUGAUCAUUUUCAUCCGUUAUAUCAUACUAUUCAAUCAACCACCCACUCAACCUUAUGGGGUCCACAUCAUCCUAACCGCACAUCUCUUAAUCAAAUGGCCAAAAAUUUGGUAGUAUAUUAGCCUAGUUCUAUAUAUAUAUAUAUAUAUAUAUAUAUAGCGAGAGAGAGAGAGAGAGAGAGAGAGAGAGAGAGAGGUGCGGCUUAGUGUAAUGCUUAUGGAAGCACGGAGGGCUCGUGCUUCCAUUUUGUUUCGAUGUUCGGACUUUCGAAUCGACGAUCGGCUUAGACUUGAUCUAGAGUAUUUGAAGUAUCUAGAAAAUAAAUUUUGCGACUUUUCGAUACCAUUUGCCUAGUGAUCGAAGUGACUCAAAAUCAACGGCUGAAAAUAAAAAUUUUACAAAAUAUGAUGAUACGGCAUUAAAAUUUUAGAUCAAAGUUAUUGAUCUUGUUUUAUAUGGUAUAAAGAAUUUUCUAUCAAAAUUGCAUGUGAUUUGGAUAUUUCUACAUCGUUAAACUUGCAACCGGCUCACCACGGCCGUUAAAAUUAUUGACUUUGAGCUCCUUCGAUCACUAGGCAAAUGAUAUCGAAAAAUCGCAAAAUUUACUUUCUAGGUACUUCAAAUACUCUAGAUCAACUCUAACGAAGCCGAUCGUCGAUUCGAAAGUCCGAACAUCGAAAACAACGUAGAAGUACGGAGACCUCCGUGCUUCCAUAAGCAUACCAGCCCUCUCUCUCUCUCUCUCUCUCUCUCUCUAUAUAUAUAUAUAUAUAUAAAGGUGAAAUAAAUUAUGUAUGACAAUUCAAAUAUAACAAGUGAUGGCUGUAGGAUCCUACAAGAUGCUCAAGUAAGCUCUUAACUGACGACUCAAGUCGUCAUGUUUAUUUUCUUUUUUAUUUUAUGAGUGCAAUCCAGGAUUCGAUUUUAAUUUGUCACUAAACUCUCAUAAUCAUGCUCUUGAGUGUUUACCAUAUGAAUUUGAAUAAAAAAAAAAGGAAGAAAGAUUUAUGCCGAAUAAAAUAUUAUUUUGAAUGCGCCUGUUGAUUCCUUAACGGCUAGCUGUAGAGAUGGUAAGGAAGUUAGUAAGCCGGUAGGAGGUUCGUUCGAGACCUCACCGUAUUUGCGGUUACUUACGUGCUUUCCUUUUCGAUCAAUUUGUAUAGUUGAAAAAUGAGCAGAUCUAGAGAGAAGAAUGUACCUAGACACGGUGGGAAUUGAAUAAUAAGACCUUGGGGAGGUGGUGUUUGAAUUCUGAACGGAGGUUAAAUUGGGAUGUCAAAAAGAAGGGUUGAUCAGAGGUAGAUGGAAAGAGAGAAAAUUAAAUGCAUGCGUGUGAGUGGGGGCAGGGGAUGACUUGGGGGGAUGACUAAUGACUAUAAAUCAGACAUGCAACCACCAAGCUUUGUCGGGUUGAAGUCAUCAACAAGAUAAAAAUAAAUAAAUAAAGAGAGAGAGAGAGAGAGAGACGAUCGAUUCUUUCUCAUUAAUUGGUCUCACUCUCAAGUCUGAACUCGAAAAAGCCUUGAACUCUAGGGCUUGCACAUUAAAGACAAUCGCGUUUUGCUCGUUUGUGGAAUUUUUCUUCGUAGAAAAAUAUCUCGCGCCGUAUACAUCUUCGUCUAGAUUUAUUAGUUCUGUCGCGCGUGUAUACUGGGAUGGCUCUAUGCAGAGAAAAAUCCUGCUACAGAGCUGCAGGAAAAUCACACCGAGUCUCUAUAGUCUCCCCGGCCUCCUCUCUCUUUGAUUCAGACGCGCGUUAGAAACUAUUUAGUUGCAUGUGAUUAUAACUAUUCUAUUAUUGUAACUAUAUGCAAAUUUAAAUUCAGUAUUUAGUUAGAUGAGUUUGAAUCUAAUUAUUUUAGUUGGAAUUGCAUAAGGAUGUCCGACUGUAGCAGUUGAAGCUAUAAUUAAAUUGAUCGCAGUUUUAACUGCAGCAAUUAGAUAGAUUAGUUUUAAACAAAAGAUAAACUUUCCUUCCUAAUUAUCUUUUAAAUAAAAAAUAUUUUUCAUUUCUAGAUUGGGGUAAUUUCCCCACCACAAAUAUAAAGUGAUAAUAUUUUUCAAAUUCAUUUCUCAAUUACAUGCAAGUAAACAAAUUAUUUAUAGAUAGAGUAUUUUCUACUAAAUUCAAGCAAACAAAAAAUGCAUAGUUGUAACAACUGCAUUUGUAACUACAUGUUUCUCCAACGAGUUGCACGAAAAAAGAUAGACUUUGAAAAUUUGAUUGAAAUAAAAUCAGUGAGAUCUAAUUGACGCCAUUCAAACUAUCUAGCUAGGAUUCAUUAAAAUAGUCAAGAUUUUGCAUUCGGAUGCUUAUUUUGAAUAUGCAUUUCUAACAACUUUGCGAAUAGGAUAUAUAGGAUGCCAAUAAUAGCUUUGCAUCCCAAUAUCAUUUUUGACCGCAAAUUUUGUUGUUCCGCCUCUGAAUCAUCAACUAGCCUNAAAUUUUGUUGUUCCGCCUCUGAAUCAUCGAAAAGUUUUAUUUUAUUUUAUUUUUCCGUUUUCCACUUAUAUGAAUCUAAAUAGGGGUAAGAUUUUUACAUGUCUUUCUUGUUUUGAUUAGUAUUAUUCAUUAGUAGAAUUUUAUUUUUGACUAUAAUUGCAAAGUUUCACCGGACGGUUUUAUUAAGACUCUAGAGUUUACAUAAUUGCAGUUUUUGAAGUUGAAUAAUAGUUGUUUUCUCUUCUAAAUGAAAUAAACGAAGCGGGUAGCGUGCUACCUAUCUCUCAAAAAAAAAAAAAAAAAAAAAANUGUAUAGGGACCAACUUGUAAAAAUUGAACAGUUUGGAGCCUGUCUAUAUUAUUCACGGUGAACAAUCUUUUUACUGGUUUUGUGAGGACUCGAUUGUUUAGGGAUACUCACUUGCUGAACGUAGGGGUGGAAACAAGCCGAGCUCGAGCGAGCCUAUCUCAGCUUAAGCUUAACUUGAAAUUAAUUUCGAGCCUAAAUUUAGGCUCAAUCUUGACUUGAAAUUAAUUUGAGCCGAGCUCGAGCGAGCCUAACUUCGAGUUUGAAAUUCUUAACACCGUGCAAUCUAUAGUUUAAUUUUUAUAAAACAUUAUCUAAAAUUCGAUACAAAAAAUGUUUAAUAGCUCAACAUACAAAAUGAAUGCAUGAAAUACAAUAUUAUAAGAUUAAAAAAAUUAGGAAAAGCGAUUCUAUGAGCGAAUGAAAAAGAGAGAGAGAGAGAGAGAGCAAUUAGAGUAUGAUUUUGCUAGUUUGAUUUUGUAAGCCCAAGAAUCUAAAUUCUAUAUACAUAUAAUUAAAAUACAUAAUAUAUAUUAUUUUAUAUAAUUAAAAUAUAUAUUAUAUAUAAUUAUAUAUAGAGAGAGUUCGGCUACUAUACGCCUAUUAAUAUAGACCCCUUUAUACUUAUAAAUUUUCGAUCGUUAGAUCUAUGCUUUUGACCAUUUCCAUCCGUAAAUCAUAUUAUUCAACCAAUCACCCACUCAAUCCUAGGGGACCACUAUCAUCCUAAUUGCACAUCCAACGACCAAAAAUUUAUAAGUAUAAAGGGGUCUAUUGUAGUAUACUGAACUUAACCAAAUUGCAGAGUUCCAGUAUAUGGAUGACAAUUGGAACCAUCCUACACGUUCUAAAGAGUUUGGAGGAGUUGGUGACCAAGUUUGAGAGUGAUCGGAGGGUGAGAAGCAAGAAAGUCCAUUGCUGUGGCAUUUCUUUCGAAUUUCUGCAUUGUGUACCGGUACAACAUCAAUGUUGUACCGGUACAGCAAGCAACAGCAGCAGCAGGUGCGUGGCAGCAGGGAUCUUUUGGUCUUUUGGCUUCUUGAUCUUAUCUCUAAGAUGCAGCUCGACCCUUGCAGCUGUUCAGAGGCUGCUGGAGCUCAGAGGGAAAGGUUUGUGCCUAUUCCACAUUCUCUCUCUAAGAGUUUUUCUCUCUCUACACUAGAAUCAAGGGUUUUGAUCUACUUUCUUCUCCUUCUUCGAUGCCAAUUGUUUUGGGAGGCCAGGGGAUUAUUGUAAAAGGGUGAAGAAGGUACUUUGGGAAGGUUUUCGCAGCUCUAUCACAAUAGGUAGCUAAGUGGAGACUUGCUAAGGUAACUAACCAACUAUUUGUUAGUUUGAUGCUUUGGUAGUAGAGUUGGAAUCUGAUUUCGGGUUUCUUGUGCCCAGCUGGUUUGAGGAGAGUUCUAGUAGCUCUAGAAGCUAGAUUUGCUGUGGUUUUUGUAACCUGAAUCCAGAGGGAGAAUAAGAUUGAAGUUUGGAAAGAGGUAAGUAGUGAAUUGAUUACUUAUUUGAGGUUAUAAUAAGCUUGGUAAUGAAGUGUUUUGGGUGCUUGAUACAGCUUGGAGGCUCUUGUUGUGCUGAAUUACUUGAUAUUGUGAACUAGGUUGAGGAGAUUUCGACUAGCAAGAAGCAGAGUUACAAGUAAGAGAUCUAUGUAGAUGAGAUUUGAGCCUCGAUUUUGUGAUUACCCAAGUACACUAAUGCAGUUUUUGAUAGUCGAGUUCGCAGCGGGUAUUUCCCAUUCUUUGAGCUGAGUUGAUGAAGUGUGAAGCUGAAUUUGAGUACUUCUAUCUUCAGCAAAGUCGAAUUUUCCUGUGGGGGAUUUAAGUAAGUAAGAUUUCAGCUUAUAUUAAAUAGUUUUAUAAGAGUAAUAGGAUUGUUCUGAGACUAAUUCGCAGCAGGCUUGCUACAGGGUAUUGGAUAGUCUCGACUGAAUUCUAGGAGCUUGGAAAGGUUAAUUUAGUGUCUUCACCUAACCGAAGCAGGGGUUAAGCUGUAGCCUGGCACAAGGUAAGAAGUUCGCUGAAAUUUGAUAUGCGCUACUAGUUUCAAUGCAGUUUGUUGAAGUGCUUCACAGCUGUAGUGUAGCAGGUUUGGUGCUCAUUUGGAGAUGAUUAUUGAGACCCUUGAAGCUGAAUUUGGGCUGAUUUGAGGAGGACCCAACUUGGGUUAAAGCAGAGGUUUAGUUUAGACUAAACCUAGGUGAGAAGCUAGUCCAAACUUUGUGAUUAGGUGAUGUGUUGCUAUAAGUAUUUGAAUCCAGCUUAUUGCUGAUCUUGGUUCAUUAAUUAGGGAAUUUGGAUACUUUGGAUUGCCUACAAUAGUGAGAACAACAAUAAUUGUCAUCGAGCAGGUGGGUUUGACCUAACCAGAGCAAGUGAAUUUCCUCUAUAUUCUAUAUGAUAUUAUAGAACUAUUAAUUAGAUGCCAUUGGAGGGAUAUGCAUGGUUCGUCUGAAUACAUCAUUAAUUAGUGACUUGAUUAUGCUUUUGCAAAGUGGGAAACAAGACAUUCAAAUUAUUGUGCAACAGUACAUGUAAAUUACAUACUUGUUAGGUAGUCAUUCAUCUAGUGGAAACUAGCCUUUUUAUUAUACUUAGAUUCCGACCUAUUGGUCGAGAACAGGAACUUACAUAUUUGAUAUAUGACAAUUGAGAACUGUUAGACUAUGAAUCGUGCUUGCUUGCCAUUGUGCUCAUUCGCACACGCUUGUGAGGGUCGCUCCCCACAAGCCAGCACUCCGGAGUUGGCCUACGUGACAGAUUGCUCACCUGUGCGGGAUUGGGUGCCGAAGUGGAUUGCUGUAGGGAGUGUAUACUACCAUGGGGCCAUUAGGAGUGGCGCAAGCUGGACUACCUUGAGUAAGUCCCUAUAAAUUAAACCAAAGUAUUAAAUGGUAAUAAUAGGUGGGUAUCACGGAGUAGUGUACAGUUAUUUGAUAUGUUUAUGUUCAUUGCGAUUACUUUAUUUGUUUCUACCUAAUGGAUAUAUCUGACAGCAUGGUACAUAUUCAUAGUUAUUUAUCAUUGAUAAAUCAUCAUGUUAUAACUGUUUUACAUUUUUUAAUAGUACAUCAUGAGCCUAGUGGUGUAAUUCGCCGAGGCUGGCGGCUUACCCACUGGGAACUAUUGCUUAAUAGUUCUCAUGCCCUUCUUAUUGUUGUUUUUGUAGAGCCCUCUGCUACAGGAGAGGCUAGGAAUCGUGGCAAGAGAGUCGCGUCUAGCUAGAUAUAUGCAACAUACCACAUCCCUCGUAAAUCGUGCCGAGUUCGGUCAAAACGAGCGGAACGCGGAGUUGAAUAAGUUAGAAUGGACCCUAAGUGCAUUAGAGUCCACAAGUGGAGCUAAAAGGGACCCGAGAGAGUAAAUCUGGAAAUCUGGCUAAGUCCCAGAUUUUGUGCUCUCGGGGACCGGUCCCUGAAGGAGAGACCGGUCCCCGUACGCGUAGCCUGCCAGGAAAUCCUGAGGCAUCCGGUCCCUGGUGGUGAGACCGGUCCUCGGGAGACCGGUCCCUGAAGGGUAGACCGGUCCCUCGCUGCGCAGCAGCUGAAAAACCCGAAAAUUNCAAGGUCCGGACCCUGAACCCGAAAACUGCCGAGAAACCGACAUUCGGGAACCGGUCCCUGGUCGGGGAGACCGGUCCCUGGUCGGGGAGACCGGUCCCCGAAAGCGAAAAAUGCCCAGUCUGGGCAAUUUGAAAGGAAACGAGUGGAGGGGCUUAAAUGCAAUUAUCACAACACUUUAUAUGGGCCAUCCCUUCACUCCCACAGCCAUUCCUCUCCUCCUUUCUCAUUUUCUCUCUUUCUCUCUCUAGAAAUCCCUCUAGGGCUUGGAGAAGAAGAGGAAGAACUUGGAGAAGGUGGAUUGGGUGCUUUGGAGGUUCUAGGAGCUCUCCAACAAAAAGAAUCUUGGUAGAGCUUGGACUAGAGGUAAGUUUUGUGAGGAUUUUCUCUAGGGUUUGGGUUUUAACCUAAGGGAUUUGAGUUUUGUGCACCUUAGGGGUUUUAGAAGCUCUUUUGAGUCAUGAAUGCUAUGGUACCCAUGAGAGCUCAAGGUGCUCUCAUGAUGAACCCUUGGAAGUUGGGUUAGGAACCCUAGGGUUGGUUCCAAAGGUCUAGAAACUUUACUAAGAUGUUUCUUAGAUGAUUCUAAGCUAUUAUUUGCUUAUGGUUGGGAUCGAUUCAUGGGGAAACCCUAAAUGACAAUAUUAGGGCUUGAAAAUUGGGACUUUUGCCCUAGAAUUUUUCGGGGACAAAUUGACCCCGUGGAAACCUAAUUGGGGGUGUCCUAAACGAGUGGGACAACUCCGUUUAACAUUACGAAAAUGUUUGGGAGCAGUUCAUUUGUAAAGGGCCUAAUUUGGCACCAUUUUGGAUUGUAGGACGCGGAGCCAGCGUUCGUAGCGUUCGGGAGUCUUCACAUUCCGCACCGACACGAUUAUUAGAGGUGGGGGGUGCACGCCGGAAUCGUUGGAUUCCCUUCUAUGUCUAUUUUUCUAUUCUUGAGCAUAUGGUUGUUUAUUCUUUUAUGCAUAUUUAGGGUUAAUUCACAUGUGAACUUUGGUUUUUUUCAUUAUGUUUAUUCCAAGUGUAUUUGAAAAUAGAGAGAAAUGGAACCACGAUGGACAUGUGUUAUUGAACCCUAGGAAUUGCAUGNNNNNNNNNNNNNNNNNNNNNNNNNNNNNNNNNNNNNNNNNNNNNNNNNNNNNNNNNNNNNNNNNNNNNNNNNNNNNNNNNNNNNNNNNNNNNNNNNNNNCUGCGAGCCUCAUGAGGGAGUAAGACAGUUAAAAAACCCUCUACAAAAUCAUCCAGGUAUUAACGAGCAAGUCCCAGGGAACGCUCCGUAAUCUCCGUGACGCUCGUCGUCUGGCCAAUCGCUGAUUGCUUCAAUCUUCUUAGGAUCCACGGCAUAUACCCGAUGGAGAAGAGGCAGAAGGAGCCUGUUGGACAGGCUUGGAGCACUCAUUUCUUCCUCUUCAUCCCUUCAGGCUUGGCUGUGGUUUUGUGUGAUCAACCUUCACCACUAUGUUUAUUUUGGUUGUUGGCUUUCUCUUGAGGUUUUCCGCUAGAUAAUCCACCCGAAUCAAAUGUCUAAGUGUAAAGGCUACCUCUACGUACCGUGCUUUUACAUUGAGUGUGGCGACUAUUUCUUAUGAUUAGCCUUGAGACAUAAAACGCACUCCUGAUUUUCUGCGAGGAUUUAUUACUUGAGAGUACAAUCCUUUAAUGCUCUUCUGUGGAUGCUGGGUGAUGGCAUUGUCUGUGAGUGUGGUAAGUACUCCAAAAAGAUAUCGCGGAUGAAUCCAACGCACGAAAUAUGCUGAUGCGUACGGGUAGGUAAUAUUAUCACAAAGUCUUCUAGUUGUCAUAAAAACUUUGCUGAGGGGCAUGUGAAUAUAUGCUCGAAACGGCAUAAGACCUCUGAACUCUGCCUCUAAAUGUUCGUAUGCGCCGCGGACCGGAGACGGAUCGCCUCCCGGGUAGACGUGCCAGCCGCACAUUAUGUCAACACAUAUUUAAGGAAGUCUACAUUAUCUAUCAAGGCGGAAUACGCUUAAAAGCAGAGUGAAUUAAAAAAUUGAAAUAGAUAGGACGUUGAAAUAACUCGCAACUACCUCGAUAUACAAGAGCAAAUAUAGUUCUGGGUCAUCUACACAGGUAAAGAAGUAAAGCAGAUCAGUAAAAGGAGUAUAAGGAGUACAAUAUCAAGUCUCUAUAGCAAAAGAGUGGUCGGUCAAGUAGUACGGCUGGUAACAACUCUUCAACUUCUCUCAAAAUAAAACACAACGAGAGUAGGAACCACCUAGCGAAUCGCUCCUCGAGGGAAUCUUAGCUGCGAAGCAAACCCCUCCGCUAUGUCUUUGUGCUCCCCUGAGUGGAAUGGCUGCUUGGUAUAAUACAUUCGAAAAAGGAGGGCGUGAGAAACCUAUCUAAUGUUUAAUAGUUCCAGUGUUUCGGGUCAAAGUACUGACCUCAGUCAUCGCACCACCGUACUAAGGGUUUCGUGGAUUACCUUUCGUUCGGCGAACCUAGGCGCAGCAAAUAGACAGAUAAGUGGUUAAGUAGAGGUACUCUAGAAUACUGAGAUUAUAAUAAGGCGAUAAUAUAGAAAAUAAGUGCGAUAACGGCUAAACUAAAAGCUCAAGGCCCCUUAUAUAGACAAUCGUCAUUGGUGAUGUACAUCUACGAUAUCAAAUAGUGUGUCAUUAAUUCUUAUGAAUACAGGUAUGGCAAGUUCUGUCAUGGCAUCCAAGCUGCUUUUAAUGCCAAAAAGGAGUACUAUCAAGUAUACUACUGUCUCAAGCACUUAGCUAAGCAUAUAAAUGUAAUUCGACUACUCAGACCUAUCUAUAGUGAUUAACCAUCCCACCCCGUUAUCGAUUCCAUUUCCAUUUAAGACCUACCAAGGUAUUCCAGUUCGUGCCGUCUAAGUGCCUGUGGUAGCCACAUUCCUACUCUUGAGGGUCUGUCCACUCGAGCCCCGUAGGCCCUUCUCAAUACCGCACGACGCGAACGUAGUCGCGUAGUACUCCAGAGUGCCGGCUCUGUAGGAGCGACCCUCACAAGCAUGUGCUGAAUGAGCAACAAAUGGCAAGCAAGCAUAGUCCAGUCUCAAAUAUCGUCAAUCUCAUGUCUCUAACAUAUAUAUAACUAGCAUCCCGAAGAUCUAGGUCUAAGUACAAUGUGAGUGUCAACAUUUGCUCGCCUAUUGCCCCUUGAUGGACACUUAGGCCAAUUUGAUGUGUCAAAUGUUUUCCAAAUCCUCAAUGGACCCUAUCCACUAGUUCAAUCACAAUCCUGAGCUCAAUUGCCGCUUUGAUGCAUUAGCUCUCAAUUCACAUGAUAUCAAGUUCGAUGCCUACAAUUGCUAGCAAUGUCAUCUUUCAUGUCCCAAUUAAACUUAUUUAAACGCAUGAAUCAUAGCUCAUUACUCUCUAUGAACAUGAAAAUCAAACCCCAUAUAGAAUUCUAAAUUGCAAACCAAGAUCUCCCAAGCAACUCUCUACUACAUUAGAGUCCAAAAAUUCAUCAUAUAUAACUGCAAUUUUAAGCAUUCUACAAAAUCUUAAUAAAUACAUUUAAUAUGAAAAUGUAUGAAUUAAUUAGUAAACAAAGGCACUUACACAAAUAUGAGAUUUUCUCAUAUCAAGGCUAGGUCAAAACCCACAAAAAUCGAAACGUUUGUUUCGCGACGGAGAUUUUCCAAGCUUUCUAGCACCCUAGGAACAUCAAAAAACGGUUACCCAACGAACGAAAGCGAAAAGCUCAAACAUUAAGCAUCUAGCAAAAUGGCAAAAACUCACCUCAGAGAAGAAAGCUCUUCCUAUGCUCCAAAGGGCUAGAACCCUCCAUCUAACCUAGAGGAAGGUUCUAUCCAACAAUUGAGCUUCAAAGCCCUUAAACGAAUAAUGCCCAAAAUAAACCCAAAAUCCCAAAUCUAGGGUUUCAUCUCAAGGGAAACCUUCAAAAAACAAAAUUAGAGGAAAGUAUCUGCCACUUACUUGGUUUUUUUUACCCUCUUGAGCGCCUCAAAUCAGCCAAAGUUCUCAACAUCAAGUAUCAUCCUCAAUCAAACUCCAAUCAAGUUCCAAGCUCCAACAAUGUGGAAAUAGCUCAAAAGGGAAAAAGAAGGAAAAUCCAUCAAAAGCCAUGCAAAAUGGAAUCAAAUCCAAGAGAUGGUGUGGGAGCUCCCUUACCUGGUUCUCCACUCUUCUCAGCCCCAGGGAGAGCCUAGGGGCGUUGGGUGCUGAUAUAAGAACCACAAUCGCAAAUAAGCCCCUGCAGAACACUACAUAACUUUGUAAAGUAUGUGCUAUGAAUAUAAGUGCCAAUCUGUUGAUACUGUACACGAGGAUAUAAAUGAUAUCGAUUUAUCAAGAGUCUACGAUAUCUUCAUAAGACCGAAGCGCUCUGUAAAUGCAGCCCUACUGUGUGCGCAUCGUAGAGAUUUCUCUGCCGGUACUUUUACGGUACAGGUGGAUGAGCGCUAAUGUGUAGUUGUACAUGUACUAUACGCUGAGUCAUCAGUUGUACGUUGACGUUUUGAGUUAAGAACAGCGGUAUCACCACUGUCAAAUCGGAGGCUCUUAGAAUAAGUUGUGCUGAGUUCUCGCUCUAUCUGUACAGAGCUUACUAAAGCACCCACACCUCCCCCCCCCCCCCCUGCUGAUCUGUGUCUGGAAUAACAAGCGCGUUCCCAGACUGCAAAAAGUCGAAGCCCUGGAUACCAAGAAAUCCAAAAUUAAUAGAUUGGAUGAUGGACAGUUGUGCACAAGGGCUCCAUCUACCUACACUCCUCAAGACACGUGCCAAUAGGUCGUAUCCCCCCCCCAGUCAGACGACCUAACCUAGCAUGUGAAAAGUCUCCAAUAGGGAAUCUAACGCCAAUGCAAUAUCGAACCUCGCAAGUUAUAACAAUAGGGAAUCCAGUGUCGGCUUUAUCACGUAUUGUCCGAUAGCCGUAUCUAAAGCGUCUUCCAGAUACUUACCUCCUCGGAUGGCAUUGACACUUCAACUCCGCAGUGUAUUCGUCCAAACUUGUAAGAGUUAUCUAUGGAAGGAAAUACACUAUCACGACCCCUGAACGUUUGAUCAAAGCAACUAUGAAGUUCUUAUUAAACUUUACGGCAACGAGAUACUUGCUUCUUGAUGUGUUAACUUUAUUAAGUUCACGUAACCACGCAAAGAGCGAAGUUGAUCCGUCUUUCUUCUUGACGAACAAACUGGUGCCUCCCAAGUGAAACCUCAUGCUUCUCCAGAUUCGAAAUGCUUUUCUCAAACACAUGUUCCGUGAGGGUCCGCUGCCAGCCUGUGACCACCUCAGCCCGUCCCAACCUCCAGCGUGCAUCUCUGUAGGCCCUUCCUCGUACUAUAGGGUCCUGAUUGGAGCUUGGGUGGAUUAGUCCGCGGGAACUAGAGUGAUCGUACCUAUAAGACUCAGAAUCUCGUUAUCUUGAUCGAGGGGGGCUUUCAGUACUGGAUGUAUCCUCAGCUGAAAGCACAAUUCUUUAGGAAGCUUCCUCCGACCACGGAGCCUAGUCUCCAGUCUUAAGGUUGGGUUUUGUUCCGUUCGAUCCUCCGCACUCACAGCACAUCACUUACUAUUUGGUCCAAACUAGCAUCGCACCCUUAGAUCACCAUAACCACUCACAAGCACUCUUGCCACCUGAUACUCAGAUCUGAUUGCAGUGUGAGCUCGAGACACUACGUAGAUUGACCUGAUGCGUCGAUUUGCAGAACUAGCGAGCUGACUCCUGGCCAUUACACUAAUGACCACCUCUAGACCUGCCCAGGUUCUGCAUAAUAAACGAACGCGCAACUUUGAGCCUAAUUCUUCAAUCUUGUGAGUCGACUUUAAAUGUACUUGUAACUCAAGUCCAUGACCACAGAUAGUCACAUCUCAAAUAUACUCUCCUCACGUUGCUCAAAACUAGCAAGAUCCUCAUAGGCAUAUAUACCACAAUCUCUACUCGCAAAUUAGGACCACACUGGGUCAUAUAGACUUUACUAUAACUAUUAACACUCAGGGCUCCGGGGGAGUUUACGGUUAUGGUAUGUAGUUUUUAGGGCUUUUUGCUUUUACGUAUUUUAUUUCUAGAUACACUGCUGUCCACCUAGCUAAUUUACUAAUAGAUAAACAACAGGUUGGCAUGUCUUUGCAACUCGGCAAACAGUCGUAUUCUAUGAAACUUGACUGACGAAGUCAGGUGUCACAGGAUUAUCCACAACGGAAGUACUAAAUAGCUAUUCGGAAACUCUUUAAUUCCAUCCCAAGCUAAAUGACUACCUCUGUUCUAUAUCCUAUCAUGGAUCCUCGGUUUCUGCCGCUUCUCUCGAUCUGAGCGCGUACAUCGCCACUCGGGCCUUGUCGACAAUCCCUCGCCUGGCGGCUGGACUGGGUGGCCGCCCAGGUGGGUACUGUGUCGACGGGCGACCGUCCGUGAGCUGAACGGCUGGUAGAGGCGCGGAGGGUCCCGAGCCAAGCGGAGGUCGACUCGCCUUAGGUGCCGCCGGGUGAAUGGACGUCUCCUGAGGCCGCUACGGGAUACGGACCGUGACCGUUCCUCUUGGCCCUAGGGCCACAUGCUCUCGAAACUCACCUGUCUCCGUGCUUCUCCUUCGCUGUGACACUGUCAGGUGGAGAGUGUGUAGAUGAGAACCACGUGCUAGAUCAACAUCGGAGGCUCGCGUCAAUCUGAUGUUCUUGACCACAUUGUAUUCUACCGUAUAUUCUUUUUAGUAUUGGGAUUCUUGUAGCACUUUUAGUUUCUUAUAUAGUUGAUUCAUUUUACCUUAUCCUUUUUUGACAUUUUAUUAUGCUCGUGUGUUACUUAGUAUGUGUUCUUUUUUUUGUUAUUAUGUUUUUCUAGAACGUUUCUUAUAUCGUUUUUAGACUUGUUGCGUGUCUGUGUUCACCGUGCCGUGUUUGGGUUCCUCCGAGUGAGCGCUGGAUGCCGCGUCCACGCUCUUGCUGGCUCCUCGGAGGUGAUUUCAGUCCGCCCUCUGAGGUGGUCUGACUCCCACCCUCAGCCUCAGGCUACUUGGCCGUUACCUUGUCCCUAGAUCUCAUUUCGCUGCUCUCUGACCUCUGCCUGCGCCUCCCACGAGUGUAGCAGUCCCGCGAUGCACAACGCUCCCGGCCUUAGAGUUGGGUGUUUAGGUAAGUGCAUUGUAUCAACCGAAAAAUCGCGGGUCGCCAAACCUCGCUCUUAGCAUGAGGCCUUGAUACCCUCUUGUCGUCCCGGGCACGACGCACAGGGCGAGCGCAAUCGCAGGAAGCGAGAUAAAACUCCUUUCGUACUUUCAGUCGGUACCUUCACCCGUGACGCAAAGCUCGCAAAUCCUGUACCGCAUCUUCCUCUCUACGCUGGUCGGGAAGUAGUGCGCCAGUAAAGAACUCCUGAUGAAGCCAUCGUCCAAUCAUACGCUGCACAAGGUCAGUGCUUUGAAUGGUGCUCGAUGUCAAGAUUACCGCAGCACCAGCAGAGAUAUGACUCACGUGGUCAUAGUUUGGGGUACUGGCGUAUGCCAAUAGACUCAUAUCCUAAUCCUCCUACGAAGGUGUUCUCGCGAGAGUUCAAUGCAUAAUAUCUUUUCAAGCCAAGCUUUCUCCGCAUACAGGGUGGUCGACCUCUCGCCAAAUCUGAAGACUCGGGACUGCACGUCCUGAACUCAUUGAGAGCGCUCCAUCAGUCGUCUCGCCCGCCCCUCCACCAAAGUAGGGAAGUGCAGCUCCAACGGGGCUCGAUAGGUGGUGCCGCCAAAACCUCAUCUGGGUACGGCGCGCAGCGCCGCACGGCGAAGAACUGGGCGCGGGGACGGCCUCUCGGAGUGUGACUUUGCAACUUCCACUACACUGGAUACUUGACCUGGGCGGCCAUAUAGGGAGGCGGCGUUUGACCUGUGCGCCUAGAAGCUGCGCGCGCUGCCGUGCCAAAGCCGUAGGUCGCUGACAGAAGAAUUCGAGUCUCGCUGCCUACCUGUACGGAGCGUCCCGCCUCGGGGGAGUUAGUUGGGUCUGCGGUGAUCGUGAGGGCACCCUUCUUUACCCUUUCGAUGAUUUGGGGUUUUGUCUUUUUGAGUUGGGGAUCGCCGGAGGCUCCGGCUCUGCGGAGUAUUCUACUUACGGCUAGUGACGAAGGCAUAUGUGUAGGGCUCGCUCAAGCUUUGCCCCAACUCCACGGCAUCACUAGAUGCGGUAGUGACGGAGUUAGCCGGGAGCGUCAUCUGACCUCCUCGAUAGUUUAUUGCUCCCGCUAUCGCGUCAAACGCCUCUCCGGCAGAUUGGGUCCGAGCGAUGGUAAUCCGGCAUCGUCAUACCAAAUCAUACGAAGCGUAUAUGUUAGAAAAUACUCCGCUUAUCGGCAUCCCCACUCAAAACCACUCAAAAGGCAAACCCAAAUCACUGAAUAACGGAAGUGUAUCCACAACUAACUCCACGAAUGCUUACGUUGUCGCGCCGCCAACGUAACCCUCUGCGCAAGUUAAGAAGUAAAACACUUCGAUCAAAUCUAACUUUUAUAGAGUUAUCAUAUUUACCCAAUCAAUGAUACUUUCGCUCACAAUUCGAAAUAGACCGUCGUCUCUCACGGGCCUAUUUCCUAUAGUCCAACCGGCCUAAGGUUUGCAUAGCUCCCCUAAGACUCAACCCUAGCCUGAUACCAUAAUCUUGUCACGCCCCGCGGUCCCAGAGGAAGCUCCCUCGGCACGUGCCCAGACCCGCCAUCGUCUAAAACGUAAUAAGACGUCCUAGAAACAACAAUAAUAAAAAGCCAAAAUAAAGACAUUUCUUAAAGGGGAGGUAUCAGAGCAUAAUAAAUGUCUAAAUGACAACAAACAUUAAGGCUAAAACUGUAAAUCCACUUAAAUAACGAACCAUUACAAUGCUACAAGGAAAUCCCAUAUACAAUGUGCUAUAGGUAGAUACAUAGGUGUUCUAUAAUUGCGAUACAAAACUCUCACACUCUCAACUACAAAAAGAAGGAGUAAACCACACUAGGCAACGAACCGCUCCUCGCUGCUAGCUAAGCGAUCCCCUUGCGCGAUCCGUGCCUCCGCCGGUGCCGAAGGCUCUGAAAAGGAAACCCAUUUAAAACAGCGGGCGUGGAGAAAUAUAUAAAAAUAGGUUCCCAGUGCUGGCAAUUACUGACUUCAGUGUAUGCACCACAAGGGGCCCCAAUACAAAGAUGUCAGUGACGUAACAAUAGAAAGCGAAAGGUAAGAAAAAUAAUAUAACUACUCCGCCUGAUAUCUCUACUGAGCGUAAUUAGCAUAGAGUAUAGAGCCAAUUAUGGCAGGGAAGUAAAAGCUCCAACUGUCUAAUGUUCACAAUCGAAAUAGUAAGUUCCGUUGUUUACUUUCAGUUAAUUCAAGUAAUACUCUAAGUCAAUCAUCUGUCACAUGUCAUAACGAAUAUCUCAAGAAUCAAAUCUGAAGAGACCCACCAGAGGCUGUCUUAUGGCCUGCAGACCCACCCGAAGGCUGUCUGGCCGCGAAGCCUAAUGGCCCGUGCUGAGUCAUCUCCCCACCCUGAGGAAUGAGCUGUCCCACACAUCCACUUCGGGCCAAUCCCGCACGCGAAUAUGUAUCGUGAUGGCUAUCUCCGGAGUGCCGUUGUAUGGCGAGCGACCCUCACAAGCAUGUGCGAUGAUGAGCCACAAUGGCAAGUAGUCAACGACUGUGCAAGACCAAGUCCUCAUAUCUAAUAACAUGGAAUUAUCGAGUGUCCCGAUAAGGCCUAUCUCUAUGUCAUCAUGUCUCGUACAUCGGAAUAGUAUAGCAGAUGUACAAUGGCUAUUCAUCAUUGCUCUAAGUGCAUUAUAGUUUAUAAUUCCAAGUGCCUCUGUAUUCACUUUUUGUUCAUACGAGUCCAAGCAUGGUAGUAAUAUGUUCUAUGAUGCAUAGUCACUCAAUUCUAGCAUGGAGACAUUCUCAACUUGCAAACCAAAGCAUUAUCCACAAUUCAUGCAAUCCUUACACAUUAGCUCUUACAUAUGGAUACAAAUUUUACAGAACAUUGAGGCAUGCAUGUUAAGUGUUCUAAAAUUCAUAUAAAAAUCAUUUUUUAGCAUGAAGUUGCAUUCAAAAAUACUUAUACAAAAAGUUAGAAGGGCAUAGGGCCAUUUUGCCCCAUUUUAUAAAGUCAAACCUACGAAAAUCGAAUUCUUCGUUUCGCCGAACGAAUGUAUCCACAAGUCCCUAGCUCCCUAAAAACAUCAAAAGAUAGGGUCACCUAAACGAAGACAAGAAGCAAAUAAGCUCAACUCAUUAAGCUCUCAAAGUUAGGGCUUGAGAAACUUACGAUUGCGAGGAAGGCUCACGAUCAAAAUGGGAGUUAGAGUCUCCAAUCUAACCUAAACAAAGGUUCUAAACCAUCAAUUUGGUUCAAAGCCCAUAAUCAAAAACCCCAAAAAAACCCUAAAUCCCUAAAUCUAUGUUCAAUGCUAGAAAAACCCAGAAAACAAGUAUCAAAUGGAUUAUAGCUACCAACCUCAAUGAGAAGCUCCAAUCCAAGCCUCAAAAUCAAAAAGGAUUUAUUUCCACCACAAAACUCCAAAAAAGCAGCUCCAGCCUGCAAAGGUGAGAAAUGAGGCAAGAAAUGCGUGCUCCAGGCCUCCAAGCAACUCCUCUUCCUCUUCUUCUCCUUGCUCUCCUUCCUUUCUCUCUCUAGAAGUGUAGGAGAGUGUGCAGGGAGAGAAAAUCGAGAGUGAGAGGGCGAGGAGAGGCUGCUAUAGCCUCUAAUAAUAAAACUCUCCACAUAGGCCCUUUCAAAACGUCAAUUACAUCAGUCCGGACCUGGGCGUUUUCGCCCAGAGGACCGGUCUCCCGACCUGGGACCGCGCUCUCUCCAGCCUGCCCUUCGAAACAUCCAACGUUGUCUUCGGGAACCGGUCUCUCCCUGCGCGGGACCGGUCUCUCCCCGCGCAGACGCGCUCGGGGACCGGUCUCAACUGCCAGGGACCGGUUGCCUCGCCGGCUACGCAGCACUGUUCACUGGGGGACCGGUCUCUCCUAUCAGGGACCGGUCCCCGAGAGUAAAAACUCUCAGGACUCUGCCGAAACUCUCGAGAUCGAACUUUUAGGCCGAUAUACCCUCGACGGCCCUCCACCAAGUGUGGAAAAGUUUGGAAUACACAUCGAACACUCGAACCUCGCAAUUUGCAAAGGUCGAGUGUGCUACAGUUUUCUACCUAUUUAAUCAUGCCACUCUCUAUGUCAACUUGGACCAAUGUCAAUAUGGUUAAACUAUAUUUAACAACUACUUUCUUGAUACCAAUCAUGUCUCUAUUUCCAUUGUCACCCUUGUUUACUAUUGUCCAAGUCCGACUUAUGUUCUUUAACAAUAGGUUUAAUGCCACACAUGAUUCCAACCUAAGUUCCUUAACACUAGGUUUAUGUCCAACCUAUGUUUAUUCAUACUAGGUUCAUAUCAUCCAUGUUCAACCUAGGUUCCUGACUCUUGGUUAAGUGUCACUCGAUCUAAUAUAUAGAUGUCCAAUAUCAAGGUCUCUAUCAUAGAGUUAUCGAUCCAAUUCAUGCAAUCACUUAGCAUUUACAUAGCAUAUUCAUCAUGCAUUCUACGAUGAUUAUUAUAUAGCAACCAUACCAAGCAUUUGCCUAGCUUUUACAUCAUGUCAUUUACAUGCAUUCUUUUAAUGUUAACUACAUGUAUCAUCUCAAUGCCAACAUACAUUACAAGUAGCAUGUACUUUCUCAAUGCAUUAUUAUGCAAUUAUCCUGUAGUAUGCAUUUUCAUAAUGUCAAUAUGCUUAUUGUCAUCUAACAUGUGUCCACAUUUAACAAUUUCUCAUAACUCAUAUAAUUAACAGUAUGUUAACAUUCAUUUAUAUGCUCACGUUCUCUAAUACAUGUCAACAUGAAUCUCAUAAUGCUAAAUGCCCCUAGCAUGUAUUUCACUAAGCAUACAUACUAAUAUGCAAAUUACCAACUAGCAUGCAUUUAUACAAUGCUAAUAUGCCCGUAUGCACAUACACAUAUGCAUCAACAAGAUUCCAUAUUUCGCUUUGACAUGCAGGGCGACCAAGUCGCUUCGGUAAACACAACCCACCUCAUUUCGCAUUCCGAUUGCUUGUCGACACUUGCAAUCGGCCUGCCGCGGCACCCGGCACCCAGUUUGGCCCGAUCUCUCGGGCGACCACCCGAACGACCUCCAAUCCACGAUCCGAAAAUUAAAGGUCUUCGGUUAUGUGCCACCAUACUUCAAAUCCGUUUUCAUGGGUUUACAAUGUCGCCUCGGCCCUCCAGGCGGAAACGAAGCCUAAACGUCCGUUUCUUUAAUAACUUCACAACGGCUCGACGAAUCGCCGAACCCACUUCGCCAACGCGUUCGUUUACCUAGCAAUUAGGUUUACAUAGGGUCAAAAUAGAUCAAACCCAUAUAUUUUACAAAAUCCCAUUUUUGAGCCCUAACAUGCAAUUAACCUCUAAAUAAUCUAAAUUAAAUAGAGAGCAUGUUUAGAACACUCUAGAUACUAUUAGAACAUCAUUCAUGGAGGAUUUAAACAAAAUCCCAAACUCUUACCAAAACGUGAACGCCGCGACGAAAUCAUGCCGCUCGAACGGACGCACGAAAGCUCGAUCCGUUGCCUCCAACGCGUUCGCAAGCAUCUUCUCCACCAACCCUCUAAUUUUUAGAGAGAGAUUUAGAGAGAUGAGAGACAUAUCUAGAGAGUGGUAGAGGUGUUUCUCUCUCUACUCCAUGCGUGCGUGGGUGUGGGUGUGCUAGGGCUGAAGGAGAGGAAGAAGAAGCACAUUGCUUCUUAUAAUACCCCUCAAACACUAUUCACUCCAGGCAGCUUGAAAUCUGAUAACUUUCGCCGGAGCUCCCUGAAUGUCCGUUUGAGCUCAAACUUGACAGUCACGUUCGGUUUUACGUACUGAGCAAGAAUAUAUUUUAAGUUUCCAGUUUCGACCCUAUUUGGUCACUGAAAACUGUACCGAACUGUAAUCUUUAUCACAUAGGUGUCGGAUUUUAUUUCUCACUCUACGGGUGUCAGAAAAAUAUGAAACUUUAAAUCUAGCCUCAUAAAAAUAUUUCUGACUUAUCCUCCAAUUUUCAUAAUUUUCUGAGACUGUGCAUUUUCUGCUAAUUUAUCUGUCCCGUUUCUAACAGAAAAUUAUAGAUCUUCUGUUUUCAUUCCGAUUUCAGCACAAGUCACUUCUGACUUAUGUUUAACUUCUAUAAAUCCAAUAAAAAUUGUUUCUCACACUAUUUUUAUUUAUUUUUAUUUUUAUACCAAAAUCUGGUAUGUUACAGAGCUUCAACACCUCUCAUGGUGAAACCCAAACUAGGGUUUUGAUUGAGCUUGUAAUGGUUAGAAUGGACUUUUUAGAGUACCAGGAGGCUACUUUUGCUUCCCAAUGAGAUCAAACCCUAGGUUUGAUGAUGCUAGGGAGCUAGGGCAUCCAAAUUGGGGCUUUUGCUCAUGGAGAUUUCUAAGUGAAAUUGACCCUCUAGAAACCUAAUUAGGGGUAUUUCCGACGCGUGGGUCCGCUCGGAUUAGCGUUACGAAAAGCCAAAGUAAAGUUAUGGGCAAAAUGGCCUAAUAGGGCUUCGUUUUGCCGUAGGUAAAGAACGAGAGGUCUAAAAAUCCCAAGAAGAUCAUCGGAGCACCUUUGAAAGCCUACAAGGUGGGUGGUGCUUUUCAAACUUGUUGAACUUCCCUCUAUGCCUAAUGUGUCAUUCAAUUGCGCAUGUGUUUAUACAUUGUUGUAUGCAUUUUAGGGUAAAGUAAUGAGAAAAAUGUGAUGAGGCAUGAUUGUGAGUACAACUUGCAUAAUGAGAUAGUUAGAACCUUAUGAAUAUCAAAACCCUAUAUAUGUAUGCAUGAGAGAAAAUGUGAGUACCAAAGCGAGGCGAAAGAACAGAGUGACACAAUGAGACAUAGAUCGAGUGGCAUUAGAUAAUGUAAAGUAAAGUGACACUAGAGGUAGUGUGAGGCAAAGAAUUAAUGUGAUGUAAAGAAUAAUGCUAAUGACUAAAGAGAAAACAAAGUGGGGUAUAAAGAAUAUGAAUGCUAAAGAUAGCCAAAAGUAAGGAAAUGUAAAGAACAUGAUUGCUAGAGUUAGCAAAAGUAAAAGAAAAGUAAAGAACAACGAUUGCUAGUAUGGCAACAUAAAGUGAUGUAAAGAACACUAGAGUUAGUGUAAGGUCAAGAUUGAACAUACAAUCCUUUGAGUUAAGGAUUCGAUCAUACUUGCUAUGAGUUUCGUGCUCGAGGGCGGUCGCUCCCCCUCGGGCGAUGCGCUCCGGAGUUAUGCAUCACGGGUUAGAGUAAACCCGAAGGACGGUCCUAGCGGGUGAGUUCCUGCAAUGAUGGACUUAAUGUGAAGCAAGUUAAUGUGGCGAAACCCCCGGGUUAGCCUUAAGGUUAAAGAACAAAGAGCAAAGAGCAAGAACAAAGAACAAAGUGUAAAGUGUAAAGAACCAAUGAACUUGCAUAAUAUGCAUAUUUUAAUGUUGAGCAUAUUUCCUACUCUUGUUCAGGCAUAUUAGUAUCAUAAUAUAGAUUGGUUACUAUAUACAGUUUAUCCUUUCUAUUAUGCCUGAGUUAGUCCUAGUGGGAAAGUCGGUGAUGUUGAGGCCGAACCCACUGCGAACUUUGUUGUAGUUCUCACCCCACUAUUUCCACAGAGCCGGGACCGAGCGAGUCGGCGAGCGACCGAGGUAAAGGUAUCGCGCCUUAGGCAGAGGCCAUCAGCGUUGAGUUUACAUUUUGUAGUAAAGUGCCUAUGAUCAUCUUGUGUACUUGAUGAUAAAUGAUGUGAGGAAAAGAAUGUAAUGUGUAUUUUGAGGUAAAUGUGAUUUAAGAAAGAAAUGAUGAAAUGAAAUGUAAGGAAUUCGAAAAUGUACAAGAUGAAUGCAAUGUUUAGUUUCCUUUUUCUUUCACUCGUGGCUAUUGCUUACCCUCAUGUAAGCCGUAUUUGUAUGUUUCCGUUAGUGCACUUCUUGUAUGAAAAUGUACAUGUGAUGAGCCUUGGGCGGACAGGGGAAACUCUAUCCGUUCGGCGUCUGUUCGACGUGCUCGGGCCGGCCCAAAUUAGUAUCGGUCCCGGGAUGUGACAGGUACAACCAUCAUGGCUGUACCGGUACAAGCCUUGUUCCAGAACAAAGCUGCAGUCUAUCUAGGGUAUAGAAGCUUCGCAGAAAAAUCUUCCAUCAUGCUGUACCCUGGACAGCUUCCCGUGUACCAGUACAAGGUGCUGAAUAUGGAAAGAAACUUUCUAAUUCUAUUCUGAUUUGAUUCUAAAGUCUAUAAAUAAGCUAUUGGGGUUAUCUAACACAUAAAGUAUCACGAAAAUACAUGUUUGAGAAACCCUAGAGGCGCGGAUUUCAUCUAAAACCUAUUUUCUACAAAAAGCCUCUUUUCGGUCAAAUCGAGAAAUUGGAUUUUCAUAUCAAUAUGUCGAUUUGAUCUCCGCUUCGCUGGGAGUUCUCUUCUCUGGUUUUCAUCGAUAAAGGAUCACCAUACACAUGAUGUUCUUCAUGGUAGCGUCGUGGAUUCGGCGUGUUUGACGGUGGUUCGUGGAUUCGGAUCGUGGGCUCAUGGAUUGGAGUGGCGUUCGUGGAUUCGGACGUGUGCGAGGCGUUCGUGGAUUCGAACGUGUGGGCGUGGACAACCCAAAGGAUUGCGCGAGAUUCAUAGGAGGUUAAGAGAGGUUGAGUCCGUGGAGUCGGUAAUCACCUUAUAAUCUUUUCUCUUAGUGAAUUAUUUUUUCGCGUGUUGGUCCCGUGAGUUUUUCUCCAAGUUGGAGUUUUCCCACGUAAAUUUCGGUGUGAUUUUUAUUUUUCGCAUUUAUUUUUAUCGCAUUGAGAUUUGUGGUUUUUGGCUAUUUCACCUAUUCACCCCGCUCUAGGUGAUAGAUACAAUCUAGAUAGAUUCUUGGGCUCCUCAAAACUUUCAUAUUUUAGACAUGACGAUAUUGGACUUGAGACGGACAUUUACGCUUGCUUGCCAUUGUGCUCAUUCGCACAGGGUCACUCCCCACAAGCCGGCACUCCGGAGAUAGCCAUCGCGACAUAAGCUCGCCUGUACGGGAUUGAGCGCUGAAAUGGGAUGCUGUGAGGGAGGCUCAUUCCUAGGGUGGGGAUGUUGACUACCACUGGGCCAUUAGGCACGAUGCAAGCCGGACUACCCACGGGUAGGUCCUACAUGAUUGGAAUAUUAUUGGAUGAAUAUGCAAAGUAAACGUUGGACAAGUUAGUCAACAGUGACAUUUUACUAGUUGUGCUUGUGGACAAUAUGUUGUUUAUACAUACAAAUAUUCAUGUUAGAAUGACAUUUACACUUAUGCAUAUCUAUGCUAAGUAGAGGCAUAGUAGUUUUACAAGCUUUAUUCAUGUUUAGUAUACAUGUUAUUCAUUCUAUUUAAAUGUUAGAACUUACUACUUUUACCUUUUAGCCUAGUGGUGCAUUUCACUGAGGUCAAUAAUUGCCCACUGGGAACUAUUGUUUAAUAGUUCUCACGCCCCUGUUUAUUGAUGUUUUACAGAGUCUUCCACGCCGGGAGAGGCUCGGGAUCGGGGCAAGAGAGUUGCCUCUAGUUAGUUGUGAGGAGCUUCGCUUUUAGGUGGUUCACCUCUCUUUCUGUUCUAUUUGGAGAGGUUGAGAGUUUUGUACCCUAGGUAAAGACCACUUUUGUAUCUUUGACUCUUAUAUUAGAACUCGUUGUACCUACUUUUAUUGUUUAUGUUGCUAGAUUAGUCUUUUUAUUUUCCUCAUUAUUCUAGAAUCUAGAUGUUGUAUGCUCUGAUACUCCUAGAUGCUCUAUUAUUAUUGUUGUUUUAUUUAUUGCUUUUUGUAGACGCCUUAAAUGUUGUGGGCAUAUGGCGGGUCUGGACACGCACCGGGCGGGCUUUCGCUGGGUUCCGGGGCAUGACACGAACCUUGCAAUUUGCUAAAGUUCAGUGUGUUACAUUCUCCCCUCCUUAAAAGGAGUUUCGUCCACGAAACUAAAAAGCAAAGUACCUCAAAACUCCAUCUGAAAAAGAUGGGGAUAGCGCUCCCGCAGUGCGCUCUCCAGUUCCCACGUAGCCUCCCGCUCAUUGUGGUUGCUCCAAAGAACCUUCACAUACGGAAUAUCGCGAUUCCGAAGCUUCUUCACCUCGCGAGCCAAAAUCCUCACAGGUUGCUCUUCAAAGCUCAAAUCAUCCCUUAGCUCCAAUGGUGUAGUAACCAGAAUGUAAGCCGGGUCAAAGAUGUACUUCCGAAGGACCGAUACAUGAAAGACAUUGUGCACUCCUGAUAGGUUCGGUGGUAGGGCAAGUCGAUACGCUACUGGGCCUACACGCUCCAAAAUCUCAUACGGUCCAAUAAAUCAGGGGCUCAACUUUUCCCGAAUACCAAAUCUUUUGAUUCCUCUAGUCGGCGAGACCUUCAAGAAAACAUGAUCUCCGACUUGGAAUUCCAAAUCUCGUUGACGCCUUUUAGCGUAACUCCUCUGCCUACUCUGAGCCGUCAAUAAACGCUCUCGAGCGAUCCAAGCUUUAUCUUCAGCUUCCUAGAGCACAUCGGGGCCUAGAGCCAAUCUCUCGCUAACUUCACUCCAAUGAAGUGGCGAUCUACACUUCCGUCCAUAAAGUGCUUUGAUGGGUGCUAUCUUGAUACUUGCUUGAUAACUAUCGGUAUAAGCAAACUCUUCCAUCGGUAAAUGCUGUGACCAUCCUCUCUAAAAGUCUAUCACGCACGCUCGAAGUAUAUCCUCCAAAGUCUAAAUAGUGCGUUUUGAUUGCCCACCACUCUAAGGAUGGAAGGCUGUAUUGAAAUCCAAACGGGUGCCCAAGGCAUCCUGCAGACUCCUCCAAAAGUGAGAUACAAAUCGAGGAUCUCGGUCUGAUACUGUAAUGUAUCAGAUUUUAAUAUAAAAAUAAGUGUAAAUAAAAAUAGUGUAAGAUACUAUUUUUAUUGGACUUAAAGAAGUGAAAUAUAAGUCUGGAAUGACUUAUGUUGAAAUCGGAACGAAAACAAAAGAUUUAGAAUUUUCUGUAAGGAAUGGGACUGAUAUUUUAGCAAAAAAUUUACAGCGUCAGAAAAUUAUGAAAAUCUGGAAAUACGUCGGGAUUAUUUUUAUGAGACUAUAUUUAAAGUUUAAUGUCAUUCCGACACUUGGAAAGUGAAAAAUAAAAUCCGACUGCUAUCUGUUAGAGAUUUUUAGUCGGUAGGACUUUCGGUGACCAAAAGUGGUCGAAACUGAAAGAUUAAGAUAUCUUUUUUUUGUUUAGCUGAAACAGAGCCUGGCUGUCAAAUUUGAGAGAAAACGGACAUUUAGAAGGGCUCCGGCGAAAAGGAACAGAUUCUGAACUGCUAAAUUGCUAAUUGUACUAGUGUUAAUGUUGGAGGUUGACUAUAAAAAGGGAUUUUGACCCUUUCUUCUUCCUCCCACAACCAACACACACACACACACACACACACACACACACACACACGUAUGGAAUGGAGAGGGAGAGAGAAACCCUCCCUGUAACACACUGGACUUUCGCAAAUUGGAAAGUUCGAGUGUUUGAUCUGUGAUUUGGGUUUCUCUAGUUUUUCUGAAGGGUUGUUGACAGUGUUCCGACCUAUGGCUCGCAUCUUGAGAAUCAAGGUUUUAAACUUAGCACUAAGGCCUCCAAAGAGAAGGACUUAUGCUGCUCUCGGAUUGCGUUCUGCUGAUGGUUGUACCGGUACAACAUUGAUGUUGUACCGGAACAAGGAAGUGUACCGGUACAACAUCGGAUUUGUACCGGUACAAAAGGUAGAUUUAGCCAACCCGAGGCUCGAGUUUGUGCGUUCAGGGGUGUUGUACCGAUACACUUUCCCGUGUACCGGUACACUGUGCCAGACUGCAGUCUGCUUAUUUUAGAGGGGUGUUUUUGGAAUUGUAGCAUUACUACAUAUACUCCACGCCCUUUAGAGGUUUCCCUAAGCUGGGAAACAGUGGAGAGAAAGUAAGGAAACCCUCCGGUCCUUCUCUUUGACCUUCCUUGGUUUUUGUUGAGAUUUUUUGUUGAUUAAGCUCCCCUUUUUGCUUCAUUUUGCUUCUUGGUGCCAUUUCCACCAAAGUUGAAGGCUUGGAGCUUGGAUUGAGGCUUGUUGGAGGAGAAAUUUCCAAUCCUAGUUGACUUGGAGCUUUGUUUGAAGCUUCUAAAGAGGUUAGUGGCUUGUUUCCUUCAUUUGAUCCAUGAUUUGGUGGAUUUCAUGUGUUGAAACCCUAUAUUGAGGAUUUAGGGUUUGAAUUGGGGAUUUUGGAUUUAGGGCUUUUGGAGCUCAAUUGGUCGGUUUAGAACCUUCCCCUAGGUUGGAUUGGAAGGAUUUUAGCUCCCAUUUGGAGAUUGGAAAGGGUUUGCUACACUAUUGGUGAGUUUUGACCCUUUUGUUGAGUUGGUUAAUGUUGAACCAUUAUGUUAUUCGUAACGUUCGUGUAACUCUCCUUUUAUUACCUUUAGGGUGAUAGGAGAGUCGAUCGUGGGCACCUUCGUCGGCACGAACGAAGAGUUUCGAGGAGACUAGGUGGGUUUGGCCUCACCAAAAUGGGAUAAAUCUUUCUUAUGAUGAUUUUUACUUAUCGUAAAAUCAAAAUACAUGCAUAUUCUUUCUAGAUGGAAUAUUUGAGAAUUUUAGAAUGCUUAAAAUGCACAUGUUAUAUACAAUGCAUAUUGGACCUUUAUGUAGUAGAGAGUUUUCAUAUUGGGCUUGGGGCCUAUAGUUAGUAUUCUUAUACUUGGUUUGGGAUCAUGUUUCAUUUAGUGAAAAUGAUGAGUACAUUGCACUCUUGGGCUUAGAACUCAUGCUUGGCAUAGGAUUGAGCUAAUGUCAUAAAGUGGCAUUGGGCUCGGCAUAUGUAUGCACUUAGUAAGCUAAUGUCAUAAAGCGGCAUUGAGUUUGGAAUAUGAAUGGACUUGGUAAACCUAUUGUCAUGAAGUGGCAUUAGUGUUGGAACAGGAUUUGGACAUAGUGAGGUUUAAUGUCAUAUAGAGACAUCGAACUUAAUGAACGGUUAAACCUUCACUUGCGCAAUUGGACAUUGGACUAGACCCUUGGGGUUGUUAGUGAGUAUUUCUAUGUUAGAGACAUGAUGAUGAGAUCCGUGAGACGAUGACUAUGCUUGCUUGCCAUUUGUGCUCAUUUGCACAUGCUUGUGAGGGUCGCUCCCUACAAGCUGGCACUCCGGGGUUAGCCUUUGCGAUGCAGUUUGCGCGUGCGGAAUUGAGAUUGAACGAGAUUGAACGAGAACAUUAAAUAAUAUUAUGACAAUCACUACUUGAUAGCAUAGAGUAGUUGGAUUAUUGGACUUUGAGACAUGUAGUAUACUUGAUAGUAUUACUUGUUGCAUCAUAGUAUACUUCGUAGCCAUGAUAGAGCAUACUUGUUAUGUAUUGGCAUAUUGAAAUCAUGAUAGAAUAGAUGUACACCAUGUUGACAUCAUGUAUACUUGUGGCAUAGUAUAAUAGCAUUUUAUGAUAUGCUUUCAUUUUCGCAGUUAUUAUUCAUUAUCCUUAUCUGCUUUACCUUUGGGCCUAGAGGUGCAUUUUGCUAAGAUCAGUAAUUGCCAACUGAGAACUAUAAAUUAUAAUACUCACGCCCCCCUGUUUUAUGUUUUCUUUCAGAGCCUUCCACUCCGGGAGAGGCUCGGGAUCGCGGGAAAGGAAUCGCCUCGAGCUAGCUAGCGAGGGAUUCGUCGAUAGGUGGUCUACCUCUCUUUUGUUUCUUUUUGGGAGAGGUUGAGAGAUUUGUACCUUUUUGUGGAGACCACCCCUUAUAUGUAUCUUGAGAUUUAUGAUGUAUUAACCAAUGAUUUACUUUAGUGGUUUAGUUACCUUUGAUUCUACUUGUUGAUAGAACUUAGCUGUAUACUUGCUCUGAUAUCUCUAGAUACUCUCUAUUUCUUGUUCACUUAUCGCUAGUGUUGUAGACGCCUUAUAUAUGUUGGCAUAUUGUCACGCCCCGACCCUAAAACCAAUUCGGUCCGAGUCGGGCGCGUCAAACAGACGCCGAACGGACAGCACCUCCCCUGUCCGCCCAAGACUAAGCAAACUGAUCAUGUAUAAGAAUUUACCCAGGAAUCAAUUCAUACAUACAUGAUCACAAGGAGCACCACCAGUGCUAAUAGAUAAGAGCAAGAUACAAGUAUGAGACAUACAAGUAAAUAAAAAGAGAAAGUUCUUUCUAUUACAUUCAUUCAACCUCUUUAAUACAUCAAUUUACUUUCGAAACAUAAACAUAAAUAUAACAUGCUUUUACAUCUUCCAAAAUAACCUCACACCUAUACAUCGUCUACUCUCAAAUACAAUGGGUGACGGCUAAUGCAAAAAGGUAGAUAGCUAAUGCAACUAGGGCGCUAGGCCCUUACCGGGAUCCUCGCCGUGUGAACUCGCGCUCGGCCCUGCAACAAAGUGGGGUGAGAACUAUUGUCCAUAGUUCCCAGUGGGUUCGGCCGCCGACUCCGCCGGUCUCCCCACUAGGUCCAAGUGGGCACAAAUAGAUAAACAAAUAGAUAGAUAUGGAAAGCUGUGAUAACAGAAUAGUAAAGCUACACUACUAUGCCCGAAUCAUGUAUAAUAGUAAAGCUACACUACUAUGCCCGAAUCAUGUAUAUGAAGAAUGCAUGCACAAUGAAAUAGGUAAUCAACUAGCUCGUCAUAUGUCCAAGAAGUAAAGCUAUUUACUUAUUCAUUAAUCUCGUGGCUCACCCGAGGGUUCGCCUACUACUCACAUAGCCAUCUCGACGCAUAGAGAGACUCAACUCAAACUACGAAUCCGAGACCGUCUGCGGGACCCCACAUAGGCUAUCCCUCGGGACCCCAAAUAGGCUAUCCCUAUCCCACGGGACCCCAAAUAGGCUAUCCCACGUGACCAACUUCGGAGCGCACUACUUGUGUGGAGCGACAAUCACAAGUCAGGAAUAGACAGUGAGUAUGAUCCAAUCCUCUCAACUCGAGGAUACCCUAUCAGCUAAGGAUAGUAUCAACAUAGAACCAAUGGGUUUUUAUACUCAUCAAGCAACUAAUGCAUAAUAUGAUAUCAUCUAGGAAAGCAUAAGGAAAGGCAAUGCACAAUUAUCCUACAAUGCAUGUGAACACAAGAUGAAAGAUCUUAAAGUACUAAGACAUAAAGGGGAGUCCAGUUGCUUUGGGAUGAUCACCACACACCUUUUGGUGAUGCCGCGAUGGUAGAAAACUCGACUUCGUAGUCCUUGGUCGACGCUUCGACUCCUCAGGUCGAUUCGAACCUUUAAGCGCUUGAUUCGGCGAUAUCUUCGCACCCGCUCGUCGUAUCGACGAACCGUCUUUGCCGACGCGUUCCGAGACCUAGCAAUUAGGUUCACAACCCAUCGAAAUAGAUCAAGACCUCACAUUUCCAAAAAUCCCAAAACGUGCCCUAGGAUGGCAACGAGGGAGAAAUCUAUGCUUCGAGCUUCGAAUUCGCUGCUAGAACCAUCUAUUUAUCCCCUCUAGGUUCCAUUCGAACCACCUCUAAGCAAUAAAACCCAAUCUCAAGAAAUCCACCAUGGAUGGGUUUGGAGCUUACCUCUAUAACAAGCUCCAAGCUUGCUCUAGCUUGAGGGAGAGAGAGAGAGAAAAAGGUGAUCUUUUUCUUCCUCUUAGUCUUCUCCUUCAACUCCUUCUUCUCAUCUUUCUUUUUUCCCUUCUUCUCCUUCUUCUAUUCUUCUUUUCCUUUCAUUCUAGAGAGAGGGAGAGAGAUAAAGUGAGGGCAAAUGAGACAAAUGAGAGAGAGAGAGAUCCCCCACUUCUCAUAUAGGCCAUUUUACAAAUAGGCCCCUCAACUUUCCAUCUAUUAAAUAGCCUUCACUGGGCUAAUUUCGCAGCGAGGGACCGGUCCCAGGUCGGGGAGACCGGUCCCCGAGAGCCUUCCAUCUCGGGCAGAGGGAGUUUCGCGUUCGGGAACCGGUCCCUGCCUGAGAGACCGGUCCCCGGGAGACCGGUCCCCACCUGAGAGACCGAUUUCCGAGAGCAACAUUUCGGGACUUAGCAGAUUUUCGGCCUCUGAUCAUUUUUCGCACGCGGGGGACCGGUCCCUCCCUGCCAGGGACCAGUUGCAUCAGGGAUUCCCCGCAACCAGGGCCUCGGGGACCGAUCUCUCCCUACCUGGGACCGGUCCCCGAGAGCAAAACUCCACAAGUGCAGAUUCUUGCACUAAUGCUCUCGCGGACUUUUCCUUAAUGCACUUUAUGCAUUAUAAUCACCUUCGGACUUUCCGAAGCCUAUACCUUCGACAAUUAGUCGAUUCUAAGCGAAGUCUAAUCCUCGGAUUUCGGGGAUUCACUUCCUCACACAUAUGACGGGUCUGGGCACGCACCGGGCAGGCCUAUGCCGGGUCCCGGGGCGUGACACACCCUUUCUCUCUCUAGAUAUCUCCCUACUCUCUUGGUCUUUUUCUUCCAAAUUCGGAGGCUUGGUGGAGAGCGGGCUUGGGAAUGCGUGCAGAUCGUCGGAUCGGGUUUUCGCGCGCCCGGUUGAGCGACGUUCUUCUGUCUCGGCAUUCGCAUUUCGGUAAGUGUUUGGGAUUUGGUUUAAUCCUUGAUGCUUAGUGUUCUAAUGGUCUCUAAAUUAUUUCUAGCAUGUUGCUCCAUUUAAUUUCGGAUUAUUUGGAGGUUAUUUUUAUGCUAGGGUUAGAGAUGAGGGUUUUGGGAUUAGAGGGUUUUGAUCUAGUAUAACCCUAUUGUUCUCUAAUUGAAGGUUAGAGAAAGAUCCAUGAAGACUCUAGGUUGAGGAUUGGCGAGUGUUCGGUUGCCGAUUGCGAGUUCGGGCCGAACCGGAUAGCGCGUGCCGUGGGAGGCCGAUUGCAAGUGUCGACAAGCAAUCGGAGAGCGUUACGAGGUGGGUUGUGCUCACCGAAGAUAUUAGCUCGCUUCCAUGUCGAAGUGGAAUGCGGUUUUGUUAUUGAUGCAUAUAUGUGUAGUGGUAGGUUGUGGAUUAUAAUAUGAAUGCAAGAAUCAUAUUAUGUUGAUUGAUGUUACCUACCAUUGAGAUGAAAUGCAUUAGAUGAAUGCUAAGUUAAAUUACCAUUACAUAAUAAUGAUAAUGUAUGAGUUUCUUGUUGAUGCAUAUAUUACAUAAUGGUAGUUAGUUGCUAGAUGAAUGCAUGAGAUGCUAUGUCAUGGACUACCAUUGGAUGAUAAAUAUAUAUGCUAGUUGAUAAAUGCAUGUUGACAUGUUAAGAGAAUAUGUUAGAGGAUAUACAUGCAUGUUGACGUAUGUGGAUAUUAUGUAUUGUAGGAUAUGUGAUGGUUGCAUUUCUAUUCCUUGCAUGCUUUCUUGGUAGUGUAUCAUUGUGAGCUUGACACAUAGACUUAGGAUGCAUGAGGAUUAGAUCUUGCGACAUGGAAUCCUAUAGUGCGAAGAACAAGUAUGAAUUUGAACAAGUCAAUGACCUAUAAGAGUGGCAUUUGGAAUUAGUGUAGUAGAAACACUAUAACAUGAACAUAGGGAUAGGUGAUUUCCCGAGUUGUUGAUAUGUGCCAUGUGAAACUAGUGUAGUAGAGACACUUGUGACAUGAGUAUUGGGAUUAUUGGAUUUCCCAUGUUGUUGUUAUCCCUAGUAGACAGGGUAUCCUCGAGUGAGAGGAUUGGAUCAUACUUACAUAGUCUGUUUGACCUUGGUGUGGUCGCCCCACCCAAGUAGUGAGCUCCGGAGUAGUAGUCGCGUUGGGACAGACGUAGUUGUCCCGUAGACAGUCUCGGGUGUGUGUAGCGCAGAGUCUCCUCACCGCGAGAUUUGAGAUGUGAGUCGGGCUUAAUCUUUUGGUUAGCCAGUGAGAUUGGGUGACAUUCUUGUGAGCUAUGGAUGAAUCCCAGUAGAGUGGAUUGGCAUCCCAGUUGAGUGGAUUUGAGGAUAAGGUGCAUGUGAGACGCGCGUCCUUUACCUCGAGCCUGGCUUUACGUGGUAUUCCGCAGAUGAUUAAAUCAAGACCGAGUCGAGUGGAUAGCUUGAUAAAGGUAGAUGAAACCUUGUGAGCAGAAUUAUGAAUGACAUGAAUAUAAGAUGGAGGAAACCUUAGAUGUCAAUUGGAUGAGCUAUGAAUAGCAGGAUUGAAAGUAGAAUCAGUCGAUCUACUUAGCUUAUUGUAUGUUGAGUUGUAUAGUUGCAUGAUUUGCAUUGUUGCAUGUUGAGAGGCAUAACAUGUAUUUUAGUACUUGCAUAUAUAUCUGUUGGAUAUCUGUUCGACUAACAUGUUGCAGUGCCUCCUUCGGACCUGGUGCGUCGAGCUCUUCCCUUGGGUGGUCGUACCCACUGGGAACUAUGGACAAUAGUUCUCACCCCACGUGGUUUUGGGGUUUCAGGUUCGCACGCGAGCGGCGCGAUGGCGUGAGGAAAGGGCAUAGCUCCGUAGAUAGCACCCUAUUACUGAGACCAGAGAUAGCGGUACCCCGAGUCAGCCUAUUUAGGGGAGUAGAAAAGAAGAAAAGCAUUAUUGUUGUAAUCUUGAUUGUAUUUGGAAAAAAGAAAACAAAAAUGUAAUAUGUAAAAAGCAUGUGAUGUGACAAAACCUAGUUGAGGUAAAGAAUAAUGUGACACUAUAACAUGUAGAUCAAGUGGCAUCACUCAAUGCAAAGAUGAAUACUAGAGUUAGUGAAUGUGGCAUGAGCAAUGAACUUGAAUGCUAGAACAUUGGAACACUAGAGUUAGUGUGUGGCAUUUAAAGAACAAGAAUGGCAUUAACGAAUAUUGAAUGCUAGAGUUGAGAACAAAGAACAAUACAUGCUAGAGUUAGCAUCGAAUGUGGUAUAAAGAACACUAGAAUUAGUGUAAUGGCAUGAUAAAAAAACAAAGAAUGCAAGUAUAUGUGAGAGUUGACAUUAUGACAUACAACCUUAUAGUUAAGGGUCAUGAAUGCAUUGCUUCCUUAUAGUUAAGGAAUGGAUUGAACUUAUAUCCUUAUAGUUAAGGAUUGGAUCAUACUCGCCUUACGUCUUGGCUUGAGGGUGGUAGCUCCCCCUCGGGUGAUGAGCUACAGAGUAGUCAUCGCUGGGUGUAGUAGUCUCCCCAGAGGACGGUCCCUGUCGGAUUGUAGUAGUCUCGCCCGACAAAUCGAGAUUAUGAGUUGGUGAGUUGCUUGAGGGCGAAACCUACGGGUUAGCAAUGAGAUUGAACUUCGAGAUCGAGAACUUGCAUUCAUCAUGAGUAAUUCAAUUGAGCAUAAUCAUUGAUUAUUUUGUUCAGGCAUAUUAGCUGCAUUUGUAUAGCUUGGUUACUAUCUAUCUGCUUAUUUCUUCUAUUAUGCCUGAGUUAGACCUAGUGGGAAAGUCGGUGAGAUUGGGGCCGAAUCCACUGAGAACUUCAUUGUAGUUCUCACCCUACUAUUUCCACAAAGCCGGGGCCGAGCGAGCUAGUGAGCGACCGCGGUAAAGGUAUCGCGCCGUAGAAAGUGACCGCCAAGUCGGGUUUUAUAUUUUGUAGUUGCAUACCCAUAUAUCAUCUUUUGUAUUUGAUGAUUAGAGAUGUAAAGAAAUGAAUGUAAACUUUCUAUUUUGAAGAAAUGUGAUGUAAAAAGAAAUGAUGAAAAGCAUGUAUGUGAUAGAAGAAUCAUGAAUGUAAAGGUUGAAUGCUUGUAAAUGGUUAAAAGUUAAUCAUUCUACUUGCAUGUUGUAUAGUUUAGUAUUCUUUCACUCUGGCUAUUGCUUACCCUCGUGUAAGCCGUUAUGUAUGUUUUCGCUUGUGCACUUCUCUUUGCUUGAAUUGUACAUAUGUUGAGCCUUGGGCGGACAGAGGAGGCUCUGUCCGUUCGGCGUCUGUCUGACGUGCCCGGACCGGCCAAAAGGGAUCGGUACUGAGGCGUGACACAUGAUAUAGUGGACACUGUUUAUUUACCUGUUGCAUUUACAUUUAUACUGUCACGCCCCGGGACCUAGCGGAAGCUCGCCCGGCACGUGCCCAGACCUGCCAUAUGUCUAAAACAUAUAAGGCGUCUAAAAUAAAACGAUAAAUAAAGCGGUUAAAGAAGAUCUAGAGAUAUCAGAGUAUAAAAUGACAUCUAGAUUCUACAAUAGAGAAAUAACCAAAAGGCUAAAAUCCACUAGAAGUAAAAACACAAGCAGUACAACGGAUAUCCCAAAAUAAGUGCUAGAAAAGUACAUAGGUGGUCUCUACACAUGGUACUCAAAAUCUCUCUCUCUCUCUCUAAUACAACAAAAGAAAGAGUAACCACCUAAGCUCAAAAGUGGCUCCUCUCUAUCUAGUUAGGCGACACCUUUGCCGCGAUCCCAUGCCUCCGCCGGUGCCGAAGGCUCUGAAAAAAAAUCAUAAAACAGAGGGCGUGAGAACUAUUAAAUGAUAGUUCCCAGUGGGCAAUUACUGACUUCAGUGAAAUGCGCCACUAGGCCCAAAGCUAAUCAAAGGGUCAGUAAACAAGUAUAAAUAAGAGCGAUAUGUACAACAGGUAAUAACAUGAAUACUUGCUACCACAAGAUAUCUCUACUUAGCAUUAUUUGCAUAAGUAAUAACAGGCUAUUCUAGCAUGAAUGAGAGUGAGUAAAUAACCAACAUAAUGUCCAAACUGUAAUAGUAAAGUGUCGAUGUUUACUAUUCUAGUCAAUGUCUAUAUGGCACGUUAACUACUGAAAGUUAAAUCUCGUGAGACCCGCCCGAAGGCUGUCUGGCCUGAAGACCCACCCGUAGGCUGUCUGGUCGAUGCCGAGCCUAAUGGCCCCGUGGUAGUCAAUAUCCUCAUUCUAGGAAUGAGCCUUUUCCACAGCAAUCCACUUCGACGCUCAAUCCCGUACGGCGAAUAUGUAUCGCGAUGGCGAUAUCCGGAGUGCCGGCUUGUAGGGAGCGACCCUCACAAGCAUGUGCGAAUGAGUACAAUGGCAAGUAACGUAAGAUCCAUCUCAAGUACCAAGUCCUCAUGUCUAACAACAUGAAAUAUAUCGAAUGUCUCAAGGCCUAUCUUUAUGUCAUCAUGUCUAAAACAUGGAAAGUAAUAGAUGUCAAUGGCCUAUCACUAUGUCAUCAUGUCAAUGUCUCAAUAUAAUAGCUUCAUAGUCUACCAAGUCAAAUGCCCCUUUAUGACACUUUGUUCACCAAGUCCAAUCAUAGUGUAGUGUUUACAAUUAUCCAAUUAUGAGUUAAUUUAACACAAGAGACAAGAUUCUCAUAGCUAUCUCGAACACUUCUCACAUGCAUGAAGAUUACCCAGAAUACUCUACUAUAUAGAGUGAAAUUUAUCUUGUACAUAGCACAUGCAUUUUAAGUGUUCUAAAAUUCACAUAAAUCUUAUCUAGUAUGGAUUUGCAUUCAAAAAGACUUUACGAUAAGUAUAUAAGGCAUAGGGGCCAUUUUGCCCCGUUUUCAUGAAGUCAAACCCACCGAAAAAUGGAACUCUUCGUUUCGCCGAACGGAGGUGUCCACUAGUCUCCUAGUACCCUAAAGAUAUAGGAACAAGAGUCAAAUGAACCUUACGAACAAUACUAAGCUCAAUCUUUAACCGAUUCAAGAAAAUUGCAAAACUCACCUCUUGUGUAAAAAUCCCUUCUCAAGUUGCAAGAGAGAGCAAGAACCCUUCCAAUCUAACCUAAAGGAAGGUUCUAAGCCAAUCAAUUGGACCCCAAAGCCCUCAAAUUAAAAAUUUCCAAAAUAAACCCUAAAUUCCAAAAUCUAGGAUUUCAUCUAGUUUAAAACUCCAAAACUAGGAUAUAGAGAAAGGAAACUAGCCACUUACCUCUAGGAUGCUCCAAACCAAGCUCAAAAUCCUCAAGGGUUGAAGAUUGAUCCUCCACAAAGCUCCAAUAGCAAGCUCCAAGCCUCCAAUGGUAAGAGGAGAGGUUGAGGAAGAAGUCCCAAGUCCACAAAGCAAGCUCUCCUUCUUCUCCUUCUCCUUCUUCUCCUCUUGUUUCUCCUUCUUCUUCUCUUUCUAGAGUGUGUGAGAGAGUGAGAAGUGAGGGAAAGAGAGAGAGAAAAUGGCCUAAAAGCCCUCUCAUGUAACAAAAUCCACCUAGGUCCCUCAAUAAUCCAAGCAGUGCAUCAGCCCGAACUGGGCAAUUUUUGCCCAGAGGGACCGAUCUCUCCCAGCCGGGACCGGUCCCUCGGGACCUUCCCGCAAAACAAGCUCUCAGGAACCGGUCUCUCCCUGUCAGGGACCAGUUGCCUCAAGUCUGCCGCAACACUGUUCCGGGGGGACCGGUUCUCUCCCACCAGGGACCGGUCACCGAGAGUAAAAACUCUCAGGACUAAGCCAAAUUUCAGAAAUUCGAACUUUUAGGUCGGAAUACAGUCUACGACCUUCAACGAAAUGUGGAAAAGCUCGGAAUCCAUAUCAAACACUCGAACCUCGCAAUUUGCACAGGUCCAGUGUGUUACAUAUACUCUCCUUAUAUCAAAUCUAUGCCUUAGUUGACCUAAUAGUGUAUUUUACCACUCUCGGCGGUUUACCCACUGGGAACUAUUGCUUAAUAGUUCUCACCCCCAUUGAUUGGUUGUUUAUGUUUCAGAGACUUCCGCAGCGAGAAAAGCUAGGGAUCGUGGCAAGGGAGGCAACAAAUAGCUAGAGCCUCACAAUGUUGCGAUAGAUGAACCCACGAGAUUACUUAUUUGGCUUAGUUUAGUGGAUUCCAUUGUACUCCAUGUGAGAUUCCUUGUAUUCAUAUUGUACCCUUGGUUAGAAUUGUUGUAAUCUUGAGAUUUUAGUUCUAAAAUUUUGUAUCUAACUGUUGUAUAUUCUCGCUUUGAUUACCACGUUUAGGAUGGAUUUUUCUAUCGCUCUCUAUGACUGUUGUAGAUGCCUUGUGCACAUUGUGAUUUUUGGUGUGCACGGUGGGCCUGGGCACGUGCCCGGCGGGCUUUCGCUGCAACCCGAGGCGUGACAUAUUGAGAAUGGCAAUCGGCAUGCAUCAUGAGCGUCAUAUAUUGGUUAGCAUUCUUGUUCAGGCAUAAUAGCUGCAUUUGUUUAGAAAUGAUUAUCUAUCUAUUUGUUUUCUUUACUUAUGCCUGUUAGACCUAGUGGGAAAGUCAGCGGGGUCGGCGGCCAAACCCACUGAAAACUUUCUUAUAGUUCUCACCCCACUAUUUUUCAGAUCAUGGUCCGAGCGAGGCAGUCGAGGAUCAUGACAAGGGCAUAGCGCCCUAGAUAGUAGACACCGGUGCAUUAGUGGUAGCUUGUUCAUCUUUUGGUCUUGAUGAAAGAUGUAAUGGGAAGAAAAUAUAUAAAUGGCAUAUGUUUUGGAGGAUAUGAAAUGUAUUUUGUAAAAAUGAAUGUAAAUUGUAAUAUGCUUGUAUUUGGUUAAAUGAAAUCAAGAUACAUGUGAUGUGAUGAUAGUUGUAGAACUUUCACUUAUUGGUUGUUGCUUGCUUUCGUGCAAGCCAUGUAUAUCUAAGUUUCCGCUUGCGUAAAUUAUAUACAUGUUGAUAUUGUGUUGUGCCUUGGGCGGACAGGGGAGGUGCUGUCUGUCCGGCGUCUGUUGACGUACUCGAACCGACCAAAUCGGCAAUCCCGGGGCGUGACAAAAACAAUUUUUGUAGAUCGUCUUGUGGAAAGGUUAGGGUGGUGGUUAUCUCUGACCAUAUAGUGAGCCUUGAAUUAUUUCCUGGCAAGUGUGUACAACUUUCCUUCAUCCGCUUGCGGUACCCACUGGGAAGGGUGAGACUUAUUUACAUGUUCUCAUCUCCUACUAUUUUUCAGGUUGCUCGAGCGGUGAGGGUCGGGACGGUGCGUGAGAGGACAAUUCUAUAUAAUAUUGGUGUUCCAAAUUGGUCCCUCAUCGACUUUCACAUUCCUAGCCCUAGCUUAGUUCUUGACUUCUGUUUUGAUUAGUUUAUUAGUAUGGAUCUCUUCAAUAGUUUAAUUCAUAUCUGCUAAUUUGAAAUAAUGAUUUCAUGGUGGACCGAAUCCUUAUCUAUCUAAUUUUUAUGUGGAUUAUUGGUAUUUCGUAGUCAUCCCUUUGUUAUUGUUGUAUCUCUGUAGGAAUGUGGUGUGGUUGAUACUUGUAAGCUUGUGCUAAAGCCGUCCAUGUAUAGAAGAGACUCUGUCCAUUUGUUCUGGAGAUGUUUUGUCUAUGUAGAGGAUCUGUGUGCAUUGCGCGGUGUUCUUAAAGAGUGUUUUAAAAAAAUUUUACACGUUUUUUUCACUAGUCUUCCUUAAAAAGGAUUUCAAAUGAAUCCCGGGGUGUGACAAUUGUUAUUUGUGGUAUGUGUCUAUUUAUUAUUUUAUUUUUUUCUAAUUUUAAUUUAUCUCCAAAUAAGUUUUAUAUAUUUUAAAUUUAGUCAUACUAUAAAUAUUUUUUGGCCAAUUUGCAUAAAAAAUCCACUUAUUUUGGGCUUUUGCAAAACCGGGCCACCUUUUUCGUUUUUGCAGAUUCGGUCCGAUUUUUUCGCCGCCUAACCAAAAUGCCCCUCCUAUACAAUAGCCGCCCGUGUAUUUCUUGACAUACGUAUACUACCCUACUACCCUGCCGUACGGUCUUGCGCGCAUUAAAUGCGCCGCUUCCGCCUUACGCAAUCUCGCUCAUUUCUCGGAACCCGGACCACAUCCGCCCCCGCUAUUCGCCGGCUCCGCUGUUUCCUGUUCGGCUUUAAGACUUUACGAAAUUUUCUAAAUCUAUUGAGAAUUACUGCGCGCCGCGCAACAGGGAUAAUAGUGCAACGCGAAGGAGCUACGAAAGGAGAAAUGGUGCAACCCCCUCUAUAACAGUGCAUCUGUAGCCUCGUUCUAGUGCAACCAAUCCUUAGCAGUCAAAAUUUUACUUAUUUUAUUUCUUAAUGUAAUCUUAAGCUAAUAGUGCAAAUGAAAGGGCAUGGUGACGUCGAAUAUAGCGGUGUGGAGUAGGAGGAGGCUCCACCACCUCUUUAUUGCCGCCGCCGCCGUGGCGCUAUACCUCCGCGCGCCAGGGAUAAUAGUGCAAGGCGAAGGCUCUACGGCAAGACUAAUGGUGGAACGAACCUUCUAACAUGCAACCGUAGUCUCGUUCCAGUGCAACCUCUCCAUAACCAGGCAAAAUUUUACUUAUUUUAUUUCAUAAUGUAAUGUUAAUCUAAUAGUGCAAAUGAAAGGACACGGGGGCCGUCGAUAAUACCGGGGCGGAGUGGGAGGAGGCUCCACGACCUCCUUAUCGCCGCCGCCGCCGCCGCCGCCGUGUCGGCUUUAAGACUUUACGAAAUUUGAAGUAAACAAUGCAACGCGAAGGAGCUACGAAACUCAAUCGGGCGUUCUUUUAUAGGAGCUACGAAAGGAGCUAAUAUAGUCAAACCUACAAUUGAGUUUUUCUAUAAUAGUGCAACGCGAGGGAGCAAGGAAAAAGGAGAAAUGGUGCAACCGCCACUAUAACAGUGCAUCCAUAGCUUCGUUCCAGUGCAACAAAUCCAUGACAGUCAUUACUUAUUUUAUUUCUUAAUGUAAUCUUAAGCUAAUAGUGCAAAUGAAAGGACACGAUGACGUCGAAUAUAGCGGUGUGGAAUAGGAGGCGGCUCCACCACCUCUUUAAUGCCGCCGCCGCCGUGGCGCUAUACCUCCGCGCGCCAAGGAUAAUAGUUCAAUUCCUUAUUAACGUUUUCCAGGCUAGGUGAUAACAUGAACAUAAUAGUGCAAAAAAAUUUAAAAUUAAUAUUAUAAUAUGAAGUAAACAGUGUAACAAUGUUUUGUAAAAAAGAGUUACUUGUAAAUAGUGUAACAAAUUCGUAAGGAGUAUAUUAAUCUGUGAACAAGAAUUACAUUAUCUGUAAAGCCGAUUACAUGAUUUUAUAGUACUUAAUAAAAUACAAACACGAUUUUAUCACAAUCCAACCAUCUAUUACAUCAACUAUAACAAUCUCUUCAUAAGAUUGAUUAUGUAAUCAUCGAAGUUUAUCUGCAAAUCCACGAUCAAAUAGCCGACGCAAACAGGUAUUGGCCAAAGGAGACUGCCGAAGGAGACUGUUAGGAGGAGGAGGAGGCUCAAUCGGAAGGGUACGAUCGAUCCAGCAACGAGGCGUUAAGGUUGAUUCGCACUAUCUGGAAUGUUUCAUUUGCUUUGGGCAAUUUGGAGCUCCGCUCUACCAUGAAACAGACAGUACAGACAGAAAAAUAUUAGAAUCCAACGAUAAGAAUAAAUAUUUGCAAGAAAUUAAGAAACUGUAUGAGAAGAGGGCCAAUGGGCUCCUAGCAAAUAUAACACUCCAGAUAGUGCAAAUCUUCUCUACGUAAAGGCGAGGAGGUUAAAGCAAGGCCAAUAUUUGUGAACGAGUCAAAGGCGACAAACGGCGUUCCCCGUAGGAGGGGAAGCGCUGCUGCGGAGGGGAAGCGCUGCGCUUCCUCUUACCGGGAAUGCCGUUGUCGUCUUCACUUCCUUCACGAACACCACUGUCUCCGUAAUGGGGAAUGCAUCUGAAGAACCGAUUUUUAAACAAAACGAAUCGUCACCUCACCAACCCACCGCUGCCUCUUCGACUGACCUAAUUAAUUAUAAACCUCAUAGCAAACACUAACGUAUACGUUAUAGCGUCUCUUCGGCGCUCGAAGAGACACCGGUGGGUAUAUCAAAACUGUCACGAGAAGAUAAACCGACUAUUCAGAAGCCGUGUCGAAUUACCUUUUGUGCGCCAGGGAUAAUAGUGCAACGGGAAUUUUCUACUGCAGUAGAAAUGGUGCAAUGACCGCUAUAACAGUGCAUCCGUAGACUCGUUUCAGUGCAACCUCACUUAACCAGUAAAAAUUUUGAGAUCCUCGUUACACUAUUUUUUAAAUAUGUUGAACUGUUAUCCUCUAUUUUAUACUAUUACAAAAAUUUACACAUUCAAAUUAUCUAUAUGUUCACUAUUAACAUUAGCCUUGAACUAUUACAAUAAGACGUAUGGAUUUUCCGAUAUUUCCGGUGGUGCGCCAGCGGAUGUCGUCGCGGGCUGCUGGUUUGCUCUAGCCACAGGAGGGUUCUUGCACGACCUUUUGUUGUGCCCCAAUCUCUGGCAAUUUCGGCACCGCUUCUUUAUUAAGCCGUUAGCAAUAGACUCUCGCCGCAAAACCUUUCUUCUGCCCGGUUGUAUGCGGACGUUUGGCGGCCGCGGCAGAACAACGUUACUUGGUAUUGCAGGCCAUUGCUCUUUGCCUCUGGUGGGGGGGACGCAAUCGUUGUAGGUUGCACGAUAAGUCGAGGUCUUAAACCAAUCCUCGACAAAAUCAUACGGAUCCCAUAGCCUAAAUGAAAUUGCUGCCAUGGCGUGAUUACAUGGAAUGCCGUCAAUGUCCCAUCGCUUGCAGGAACAUGUCUUUUUGGAAAUAUCCACAACAUCCGUACGAUCGGCUGCAAUUACUUAGAAAACAACAAGCCAGUCCAAAGGGUGGGAAAAAUAGUGUAAUGACUACAUUUAACCGAUUGAUAAGUAGUAUANAUGGCGUGAUUACAUGGAAUGCCGUCAAUGUCCCAUCGCUUGCAGGAACAUGUCUUUUUGGAAAUAUCCACAACAUCCGUACGAUCGGCUGCAAUUACUUAGAAAACAACAAGCCAGUCCAAAGGGUGGGAAAAAUAGUGUAAUGACUACAUUUAACCGAUUGAUAAGUAGUAUAAGAUACUGACUAAAUGGUGCAACAUAAACAAUAAUACCUUAAAUAGGACAUCGGUCGAAGGAUUCAGCGUGUAAAAGCGGGACGUUUCCUUUGAGCUCCCUAAUAUCUUUUCUGCAUAGGGUGUUACUACACUGAUAAUAUUCUCCCCAUUAUUUUUUCUCUGGUAAAAAUAACAAGCUGUUUUCUUUCAUGUUUCCUCGACGAGGUAGGUAAUUGGAAGGCCCUUUAAAUGUCGAAUUACACUAUUUAUCGUCUCGGCACAGUUGGAAGUGAGCAUUGAAUAACGCAUUCCCAGGAAGCAAUGGGUAGCCCACCUAUGCUGAGGCAGCUUAACCACAUACUUGUACUGUUCGGGGUUCAACUCCUUUAUCUUCUCUAUAUGUUCGUUGAACUCCACGACAGUGUAUGCACGCGCCGCAGCCCAAAAUCUUCUCCACGCAGGUGUAUUCUUUGGCGCGUGCGCGAGAUUGGUAGACAGAUGGUAAAUGUAAUAACCAUGAGCUGCAUCCGGAAAAACAUCGGAUACAGCAUCAAUCAAUCCUUUUUGGCGGUCGGAAACAAUAGUAAGUACACUAUUUGCUCUGCUGGAGUCGUGAUCACCGACGACGCCAUCCCGUAACUGUUCCAGAAACCAGUGCCAGGAAUAGCGAUUUUCACCUUCAACAACUGCCCACGCCAAUGGCAAUAUACAGUUAUUCCCAUCAAUACAUGACGCCGUCAGCAGACAACCUCUAAACUUACCAGUUAGGAACGUUCCUGGAAGAAUAAGAAACCGUGUAUAUUAAUGUGUAAUCGUGCAAAAAAAAUAUAGUAUAUUCAUGAAUUUAUUAUAUAAUAGUGCAACAUAGUAAAAUAAUGAUGUGACAGUGGUGUAAUAGUGCAAUAACGUACCAUCCAGACCAAUCAACGGCCUGCAGUGCUUCCUGAAUGCUCGAAUCGCUGCUCCGAAUGCCAAGAAAAAACGGUGAAAAUGACCCUCGUCCUGGUAAAGUAAUUGGAGACAUGUUUGCGCAUCUCCACUCCUCAACUCUUGCAUGUACGAGGGAAGUAGAGCGAACGAGCCCUCGAAAUCGCCGCGCACCUCUUGAAGGACCAAUUCUCUAGCCCGGUAGGCUUUCCAGUAUGAAAUUUUUACGCCGUGCUGCUGAAGAAUCUCGGUCUGAACCAUCUUCGACGUGUAUUUCUCGUUUGCCACCACCUGCCCCCUAACAAAUUCUGCUAUAAAAGCCGCAUCGCAAUUCCUGUGGCCCAAUCCCCCUAUUGCCCUGCUACAAGUGUGUUGCGAAUCAAAUUUCUUCACCCACCAUUGAGCAAUUCCUGGUACUUGACGCGCCUUUAUUCUCCAAGGACAAUCUGAGACACGGCAUCGUGCGGUUAUCUUAUGGUCGUUGCAUUUCGUCGGUGCGUACUCAAAACCUCUUUUCAUUGCGUAUGCUUUGAGAGCUCGUUUGAAGUCGCCUUGCGUCUUGUAGAGCUAGCCCUCGUGGACAUCGUCCACAUCUGCGACGUCAACAACUGACUCCAUCGUACAGCUGUUUACAAUGAGGUAUUCUUCAAGCUCGUCGUCGCGAAAUUGCUCAGCAGUAAGUCCCACUGUAUCACCUUGCCGCAACGGGAGCACAUCCAUGGCGCUGUAUGUCCGAUGAGCUUCGUCGGGAGAAGUCGAGACGAUACGGAUGCUAACGUCGGAAUCUGACUCGUCUUUCAGAUCAGCGAUAAUAAAACCGUCGUCACUGUCUGCCGCUUCUGCAUCGUCAAUGAGAAUAGGAUGAGAAGAUCUGCAGCACAAGUGAAAGCAAGGAGUGCAUUGUAAAUAUUAAAUAGUACAAGAACCCUUAAGUGUAAAGUUUAUACGGUGCAAGAUACACCCGUAAUGAUGCAAAAUACUACGCGAACCAGUGCAGCAUAAAAACAAUAUAUAAUGAAUCAAUUAUAUAAUAGUGCAACCGUAUAAUAUAUAUUGCUUACAUUUGAAAGAGGUAAAAUAUAAUGGUGCAAAAGGCAUUGAGAGUAGUGCAACCGCUUAAAAUAAAGAUGUUACAAGUGCAAUAAGGCUCGGUAAUGGUGCAAAAGAAAUAAUAGUGUAACUUACGAGCCAACUAUUUCAAAACUUGUCUGCUGAGGAGUAGAUGCAUUCCCGGAACACCUGUUAAUCAACAGAUCCAGCUGUUCGUCUGUAAGCACUUCGUCUAUAUCAUCGGGAUCACAAGUAGCAAUCUUUCUCUCGACUAAGUUACUCACAGCAUAAAGCUCCAUCAGAUAAGCGUGGGUUUUAUAGAGUCUCCGUAUGUUUCCGACAUUGUCGUCGUCAACAAUGUCGAUGAGUUUGCUUAGAUUCCCACUAUAGCAAAGUUUAAUUUUGAAAUUGCAGGACUCCUGUGAAGUAUUCAUAUACUUGCAGAACAUUGCUUGUAGGGAUUUAAAAUUAUCACCUUGCUUGAUGAAAUUGAGCCUGCUGGAUCCUCCUACAUAAUUGACAAAGCCUCCUUCCUCCUUAAAACAUCCAUUAAAAUUGAAGUGCACUGGAAUUUCAGUGUUUUCCAUGACUUGUAAGAGUUGGAUACAGGAAAUUAGCUAAAAGUUGUUAUCCAAAAACACUCUUUAUAUAAUAUCAUCCAGUUAAUGUGCAUGAGUUGUUAAGUUGUGAAUGUGGCAGGAAAUAGGAAUUGAGACAGUGGAAUCAUUAGAUUUUAUAUUCCCUUCAGUCCUUGAGACAAUUGUGGCUGCACUUCCAAAUAAUAUAAUUAAAAAAAUCAAAAACCUAACAGCAAACACUGGCUCCGGCGAAUAGAAUAUCGUCGCCCUAAACCUGAGUUUCCCGCGCUUGCUGCAUUAAUGUCUCUUUCAUGGCUUGCAUUUAAUGCUCAUGGGCCUCGUAUAAUUACAGGAUUGAAAGGGAAUUUGGCCUCGGGAAGGUAAGCAACUUUCGAUGUUUGGGAAUGAAAAUAAAAUAGUUUAACAGCUGUAAACAAAUCACCAAUUUCUGCAAUGAAUUGCACUAUUAUAUCUAUUACAUUGCACCGUUAUAAUACAAGAUGAAUUUUUUUACACCAAUUAUACAAUAAAAUGCACCAAUAUGUUCACUACAUUGCACUGUUACACGGAAUGAAUUACACUUCUACAAUGAACUGUUCACUACAUUGCACUACACGGAAUGAAUUGCACUUCCCGAGUAACAGUGCAAUCCCCUAGACAAACCCUUCGGGGCAUUAAAUGUGGCCCAUGCGCUUCACGCAACAUGGCUCUUUUUCGGAACUCGGACAACAUCCGUUCCGGUAUUCGCCAGCCCCGCUGUUUGCUGUUGGGCUUUAAUAAUUUUAAAUAUGUAAAGCUAAAACAAGACUGAGCGAAGGCAUCUGGGAUAAUAGUGCAACGAGGAGGAGCAAUGCCAGGUGCAAUGAUGUAACUGCCCUUCUAAGCGUGCAUCACUAGGCUCGCUCCAGUGCAAACACCUUGAAGCAAGGAGGGAUAAUAGUUCAACAUUCUUGUAAAUAGUGUAACGAGAAACAUUACAAGUAAAAUUCAAUUCAUUUCUUUAUAAUGAAUGUAAUGAGAAUUACAAUAUGUACACCAAUUCGUCGUAGUGUGAAAAAAAUUACAGUACAAAUGAAAGAACUGUAACUUGAAUCAGCCUCGAAUUAUUACGUGUAAAAAAGACGCAAGAAUUCUGCUGCUAUCUCGCCGCGUCUCCUCGUCAUAUCCUUCUGGGAGAAGUCCAAGUUCCACCCCUUCUGCAAGUAUUCCUCGUAUGCUAAAAGGAAGAUUGCGCAGUCAUUUGACUGAUCUUGCAUCGGGAUGUCUUCCAUAUUGAUCAUCUCCCAGUCGACGGGACGGGUACCGCGGCGCCGAAACAAAUCGAAAAAUUUUUGUUACAAAUAAUUUCAUAUGAACUUACAUUGCAUAAGAAAACAUUGCACUAAUUAGAAAUAUAAAGGGGUAAUACUGGUACAAUUUCUAAGUAUUAGGAAACACUUACUGCUUUUUCAAACCCCGCGUUGUAUUUAGGGUUUUUAAUAGACGAUAAGUGGAGGUACGUUCCGUCUUGGAGAUCAACAGCCAGCAAAUGCCAGUGUUCGAAGUCGAAGAGCGGGAUGAACCAGUACUUCGCCUCACUGAUCCUCCCCUCGGUGAUGUCGUCCAAAAACAUCUCGGGGCUCAUUGCACUCCCUAGGGUCUGAUAGAGGAAGGUCGUGGAGUAUAUGCACCUGUGGCCUUCCGCCUCCUUGAGUAAAUGCUGGUAGCCGUCAAUAACGUCGGAGCUGACGAAGGCCAUGUGACUUGUUAGGUCAACGAAGUCCUUCCUCCCGACGUCAAUACCUUUCGAAGCCACUACUAAUGCGGAGGGGGUGGUGCUUGUCAGGAAUUUUUCAAUUCGCUCCUGAUCCUCCUUCGGUAACUCACCCUUGCCGUAGUACUUUAAAUCCAGGGGCGGUGAAGAUUUUGCGACCUUCAAUUUGAGUGUUUUGGACUUUUUUAUUUUUGAUGUUUCAUCCGAGGAGGCGGGGAUGUCGAUGAUUAUUGGGUGCUGUUUAGCAAACAAUGAAAGAAUGAGAUCGUAAUUACACCAUUGCAGGACAUGCUUACACUAUUAUAAGCUGUAUCGGAUUAAUGAAAUGUAUCGUUGCAAUAUUCACACACCUCUAUAAUGCUGGGUUCUUGCAUGGAAGACUUCGCAGUUUGUGUAGGCGGCUUUGUCGCCGUCGACAGACACACCAAGCAUCUCUUCGGGCGAGGCUUGUCUAUUUUUUCAAUGUCCUGUACAAAGAAUUUAAAGUAGUGCAACAAAAAAGGUUAUAUUACACGAAUAGCAAUAUAUUGCAUUAUUUCAAAAGUAUCGAUGUAAUAUAAACUUACACGUUUAUAUGCGCGAGUCGUCUUAGUAUGUAUCGCCGAUAACUCCGAAGCAACCCCCGGCACAAAUUCGAAGUCCUUUUCCUCCGCUGCCGUAGUCGCUGCCGCAAUCUCCUUGUCCACCUCCUCCGCCGCAGCUACCGCCGCCAACACCUUUUCCUUCUCGGUCGCCUCCUCCGCAGCCUCCUCCGCCGCCUUCGCCUCCUCCUUUUCCUCAUCCUCCGCCGGCGCUGCAGCCGCCUCCACCUUUUCCUCCGCCACAGCCUCCACUUCCGUCGCCACGCAAGUUACACCCGCCGUGUCCGGUUCCGCCGCCUCAGUUGCCGCUGGCUCCUCUUUCGCCGGAACGUCUGUUACCGUCGCCGCCACUGGUGCCCCCGCCGCCGGCACCUUUGGUAGUGAAGAUAACGGGGGCACGUCUUCACAUAUUUGGAUGACGAUGUUAUGCAGCUAAAUUUGUAAAAAUUUAAAAUUGGCAUCAAUUACACUAAUUAUUUAGAAAUUACACUAUUUAAUUACCGUUUACACUAUUACUUACUUCAUCGCUUUUCAUAAAGGAGUCGCCUGCAAAAAGACUAGCUUUUGGCCGGUCAUAUUCUUCGACAUUUUCUUCAUAUAUAUUGAGUGGCCGAGGCGCCGGCGGGUGGCCGCUCCGUCUCGGCUGCGAAGCCUGCAUACAAAUAAUGUGAUUCUAUGUUACACUACACAGGUCUAUGAUGCACUAUUACAAAGAAAUUUACACAAAUACAGAACUAAAACAAGAAUUUAUUAAUCGAAGUCUGCUAUCGUUACAUUAUUAUUGAGAUGAAAUAUACUAAUUAAUCGUAUGUUGAGGACGUAAAAUAAUAAGGGCGUCACAUACGUCGGCGAUUGUGUCGUCGGCGAUUGUGUCGUCGGCUUUAUUCUUUCGUCCCCAGCGAGGUCGGAGAUCGUACGGGCUUCGAAAUCGUUUGCCCCUCCCCGGCGUGCGAUUUUUAAGACACUCCUUGGGAGCCUUUGGCGGACUCUCUAGUUUUUGGCGUGCCCCAUCCUUUCUAGAUUUCGAAGAAGAUCUCGACCGUUCUUUCUCGAUUUCGGGAUUCUCCUUAAUGGCCGAGAUCGAUGCGGGCAUCGCCAAUAUGGACGAUCCUAUCCUUCCUUUUUUAACGCCCUAUGUCGAUCGCGUAGAUGAUUUAGACGGUGGGGGUGUUGGUACUUGCACCCCAUCGUGCCUCCUCUUCUUGCUUUUGAUAAUUCCGGUAGGUGUCGGGGUGGAUUUUGGUGCUGGUAGGAGUGCCGGAUUGCUAGUAUGCCGGCAACGGAGGUGGCAAGACUGAACACCACGGCCUCCAGACGGCUAAUUGCCGCCAUCACCUCUUUAUAACCCCCCGGAGGUUCCUCAUUCCUGGGACGGCGGUGGCGGCUCGGAACUUGAGCCACGACACCCACCAGCCGUAGUUCCUCCGGGGAGAGUUCGAGCCUGCGGCGGCACGUAGUGAAGUUAAAAUCCUCCUUCACUCUCGACGAUCCCCGCGAACGACGAGUCCAUCUAAUCGUAUCCCACCUCUGGACACGAGGAAAUAUUGCACGGCGAGAAGGCAGAGGGCAUCUGUACCCAGUGUGCUCAUAUAUCCACACCUGAUAGCAAAGACAUUAUUACACUAAUAUGAGAACGAUAUUACACUAUAGUUCGCAAAGUUACUUCAUUUAAGCAUAAAAUAGCUUAAUUUGCACUAUUUACAAAAUUGGAAUUGCACGAUUACUUGAACAAUAGACACUUACUGGGAGAAGCGGGGUGCAUCCAAGAACGUAUCCCACCCGCUUAGAAUUAGCUUGCAAUUUAACGGCGGCGGAGCAUAGGCUGUCGAUUAUAAGCCGGUGUACUGCUACCGGCCAAUUGUAGCGUGCCAAUGCGGGGAGAUCAUCGACAAGACCCACCAGUCCUUUGGGACAGAGAUUAUUGGUAUUGGUAAAAAGAAUACAACAAAAAAAGUAAAGAAUAAGUAAUUUGACGAAGUCGGUAAUGUCCUCUUCGUCCUGCUUGGGUGACAUCUCCUUCAAAACCACCUCAAGGUUCUUGCGGUCGGCCCUCUUCCCCUGAAGGAAACGAUUUUGAAUAUCCGACACCGAAGUGAGGCUUAGGUCUAGAGCUUGGCCCGACAGGGGUAAUCCAAGAAGAACUGCCACCUCCUUGGCCGUGAAGCGUAUGACUUGAGGGCCUAUUUCGAAUUCUACACCCUCCUUCCAAUGAUGGAAGAUGAACUCCAGCAAUAGCCUAUCUGAGGUGAUGUCGGGGAAGUGUAAGAUAUUACCGAAUAUCGUACUCUGGAUGACGGGAAGAUGAUGCGGCUUCACUACCGACGCGUAAGUCUUCCUGUACGCUCCGACGAAACACCGAGAAUUCACAAUGAAUCUACCGGCGGGGCCGCCGGCAACCGGCCGCGAAGGCGCUUUACGGCCAUCGGCAGACGAUGAAUGAGUAGAUUGCGACGACUUCGACGCCAUUGCAAGCAAUGUAGAUUUAGAUUGGUCGUGUAUUCGCCGAUGGGAUUCGAAGUGGACGAUGCUGGUUACAAAUAGAAAUGCGGCUGAUAGGGCAAUGACCGACGUAAGGCGGUUUAGAGGCCUUAAAGGAUAGAAUAGGGUAAUGGGGAGCAACAUGAGUUUGAAAGUUAGUGGGAUGCUAGUAUGAGCCAAACCAUUUUACGAAACAGCGUAAGAGUCCAUACAAAACCUGACACAAUAGCACACCAAACACCCAACAGUGAGAAUGUGAAAGUUAGUGGCAUUAAAUGUAGCGACAAAUUCGUACAUUGACGUGAUCGUUAUACUCGAGUAAGUAGUGAAGAGGCACUGGCCGGUAAGAGAGGGGAAGAGACACCGGCGACACAUCGAAGUUUCUUCGAGAGAAUUCAUCCCGAAUUUAAUCCCUAGUUAAACUUCUUAUUGCACCAUUCUCAACAUACUGUUGAACGUGUAUUAUAAAAUAUAUGGACCAUCAUAAGCCAGUUCUAAAAAUUGUGAACGCGUUGCACCAUUACUUUCAAACCAUUGAUCGAUUACUACGAUAAUAUUACACCAUUACGUGCUGAUUUGAGCUCUUUUACAGCCCGUCGCACUAUUAAUCGCGUUUAACGUUGUAAACUUAAUCGUGUGGUCGUUCACCAAUUAGUGUAAUAAAUUGCCUAAAUGGUGCAACAUCGUCGGAAAUAAGAUUUUCUCUGAAUUUGUUUAUAAUAUGAAUGUAAAAGUGCAACAUCGUCGGAAAUAAUAGUGUAACAUCUGCUGUAAUAGUGUAAUACAGCUAAAAGCGGUGCAAGAAUAGAAUGAAAUAUACAGAUAUAUUUACUAUAAGGCGUAACAAUGUAAAGAAAGGGAUCUCUUUAUUAAUAUACAAGCAAAUUAUACAUUGUCUUUGACGAAAACGCAACAUAUAAUACACGUUUUGCAUACAAUACGAUGUUCACAACAUCAACUGUAACUUUCGCAUCAACAUUAUUAGUGAACAAAAUUAGGCCUUCAUUUUACAAAAGUACUGAAUCAUCAUCAAAGCUAGCCGGCAAAUCCACGAGCACAUGACAUACUCUGAGGUUCCUCUAUCGGAAGAUGAAAUGGCAAAGAGGAGAAGGCUCGCUCGGAGGGGUAUGUCGAGAGCUUUAUUUGCACUAGGGACUUUGGCAUUGACGUUUUGGCACUACAUUGUUCGUAAAGAGACAGUAUAGUCAGAAAAAAAUUAGAAUCUAUCGAUAAGAAUAAAGAUCUGGAAGAAUUUAACAACCUGGUAUAGGGUGGUACCUCGUCGCAAAUAAAGCACAGUACUUCAGAUAGUGCGAAUCAAUCUUAACGCCUCCUUACUGGAUGGUACACUUACGACCGAGCCUCUUCUUCGUCGGCGUCUCCUGCGGCUCUCUCCUCUCGUCUCGUGUACCCCCAUCAUCGCCGUUUCCUCGUCGCCGGUUGCCCAAGUCCCUAGAGAGUGCUUUUUAUAUAUUGUAAUGAAACGAUAAUACAUCUAAAGAACCGUUUUAUAGCAAACGAAAAGGCAUUUGAAGAGUUGAGUCGAGCGACUCCAAGACUGGGAGGUUGCGUAACCAUUUAGGUCACCGACUAUUAAUGCCCGCGAAAUAUUAGUUUUCGUCGUGAACAGAAAGUGGCUAAUGCUCACCUCAAGAGCCGUAUUACUGUAACAUAACUUGAAAAUAUCAAUUAUUCAUUAAAUCGUAUAAUAAUAGUGCAACGAUAGGCUGUAAUAAUAGUGCAACGCCAAGUAACAAAAUGCAAAAAAAGUGCAAUACCGGCGCGAUAUUAGAGUAACAUUCGUCAUAACAGUGCAACGCCUUUACAAGGACUGAAACUGAAUAAACCAUAAUUAAACAAAAUAAAAAUAUGUUUGAAUAGUCGCUUUUACUUUUCCCGAGGUAGCAUCGAUAUAACCGCCGGUGUCUCCUAUCCUCACAGAAGAGACGCUAUAACGUAGACGUUACGCUACGUACAUUUAGAAGCAUUAAAUGCGCGCUGCGCUGGGAGCGUAUAUCCACGCUAUUCACCAGACAGUGUGUUUGCUGAUCCAUGAAUCCAUUGCACUAUUAUGGUGACAUAUUGCACCCUUAUGAACUUAGUUCUACUAUUUUACCCUACGUUGCACUAUUAACCGCGUUGCGAACCGUUUCCUUUCGCCUCACCGGAGAGACACUAUAACGUACACGUUACUGUACAUACGCUUCCGCAAACAUUAAAUGCGCCCCAGCGCGGGAAACCUAAUAUUCCACGCUAUUCGCCACACCGAGUGUUUGCAGUUUGGAAUCUUCACCGACGCCUCCGCUUCCUGAAAUUAUUAAACUAUUCUGUCGACCACAUUGCACCAUUACAAUCACAGUUGUAGUCUUUUACCCUACGUUGCACUAUUAAUCGCCGUGCGCGGUCGCACUGUUACACGCUUUAGCGGAGAAUCUUGAACGCUUUUGAUCUGAGUUACACCACUUAAAGCCUUCUUUAAAUAUAAAUAUCAUUUCAUCUCACAAUGCGUUGCACUAUUAUCGGCCCGCAAAACCAAGUAAUGUUGUUCCGCCACGGCCGCCAAACGUCCGCAUACAACCGGGCAGAAGAAAGGUUUCGCGGCGAGAGUCUAUUGCUAACUGCUUAAUAAAGAAGUGGUGCCGGAAUUGCCAGAGAUUAGGGCACAACAAAAGGUCAUGCAAGAACCCUCCUGUGGCUAGAGCAAACCAGCUGCCCGCGACGACAUCCGCGGGCGCACCGCAGGAAACAUCGGAAAAUCCAUACAUCUUAUUGUAAUAGCUCAAGGCUAAUGUUAAUAGUGAACAUAUAGAUAAUUUGAUUAAGUAAAUUUUUGUAAUAGUAUAAAAUAGAGGAUAACAGUUCAACAUAUUUAAUAAAUAGUGUAACGACGAUCUCAAAAUUUUUACUGGUUAAGUGAGGUUGCACUGAAACGAGUCUACGGAUGCACUGUUAUAGCGGUCAUUGCACCAUUUCUACUGCAGUAGAAAAUUCCCGUUGCACUAGUAUCCCUGACGCACAGAGGCUAAUUCGACACGGCUUCUGAAUAGUCGGUUUAUCUUUUCGUGACAGUUUCGAUAUACCCACCGGUGUCUCUUCGAGCGCCGAAGGGACGCUAUAACGUACACGUUAGUGUUUGUUAUCAGGUUUAUAAUUUAUUAGAGGUCAGCCGAAGAGGCAGCGGUGGGUUGGUGAGGUGACGAUUCGUUUUGUUUAAAUAUCGGUUCUUCAGAUGCAUUCCCCAUUACGGAGACAGUGGUGUUCGUGAAAGAAGUGAAGACGACAACGGCAUUCCCGGUAAGAGAAAGCGCAGCGCUUCCCCUCCGCAGCAGCGCUUCCCCUCUUACGAGGACGGUCGUGCGUCGCCUUCGACUCGUUCACAAAUAUUGGCCUUGCUUUAACCUCCUCGCCUUUACGUAGAGAAGAUUCGCACUCUCUGGAGUGUUUUAUUUGCUAGGAGCCCAUUGGCCCUCCUCUCAUCUCAUACAGUUUCUUAAUUUCUUGCAGAUAUUUAUUUUUAUCGUUGGAUUCUAAUGUUUUUCUGUCUGUACUGUCUGUUUCAUGGUAGAGCGGAGCUCCAAAUUGCCCAAAGCAAAUGAAACAUUCCAGAUAGUGCGAAUCUAACGCCUCAUUGCUGGAUCGAUCGUACCCUUCCGAUCGAGCCUCCUCCUCCUCCUAGCAGUCUCCUUCGGCAGUCUCUUUUGGCCAAUACCUGUUUGCGUCGGCUAUUUGAUCAUGGAUUUGCAGAUAAACUUCGAUGAUUACAUAAUCAAUCUUAUGAAGAGAUUGUUAUAGUUGAUGUAAUAGAUGGUUGCAUUGUGAUAAAAUCGUNUGUUUGUAUUUUAUUAAGUACUAUAAAAUCGUGUAAUCGGCUUUACAGAUAAUGUAAUUCUUGUUCACAGAUUAAUGUACUCCUUACGAAUUUGUUAUACUAUUUACAAGUUACUCUUUUUUACCAAACAUUGUUGCACUGUUUACUUCAUUUUAUAAUAUUAAUUUCAGUUUUUUUGCACUUUUAUGUUCAUGUUUUCACCUAGCCUGGGAAACGUUAAUAAGGAAUUGCACUAUUAUGUUAUUAUUAUCAACUAGCUUGGGAAACGUUAAUAUGAAACUGCGGAAGCCAUAUUUAAACAAAACCAAAAUAUGUUUGAAUAGUUGCUUUUACUUUUCCCGUGGCAGCUUUGAUAUAACCGCCGGUGUCUCCUAUCCUCACAGAAGAGACGCUAUAAUGUAGACGUUACGCUACGUACUUUUAAAAGCAUUAAAUGCGCGCUGCGCUGGGAGCGUAUAUCCAUGCUAUUCGCCAAAACAUGUGUUUGCUGUUCCAUGAAUCCAUUAUACUAUUAUGGUGACAUAGUUGCACCCUUAUGAACUUUGUUCUACUAUUUUACCCUACGUUGCACUAUUAACCGCGUUGCAAACCGUUUCCUUUCGCCCCACCGGUGUCACGCCCCGGGACCGGCGGAGGCCCUCCCGGUAGCGUGCCCAGACCCGCCAUAUGUCUACACAUAUAAGGCGUCUACACUAAAAGCGGAAGUAAAAGCGAAAAAAAAGAACAGUAGAGUAAAUAGCAACUAAUGAUAUCAGAGCGAGUAAAUUUCUAUCAUCUACACCAAGGUAAAGAAAUAAGGCUAGACAACAAAAGAAACCAUAAGUAGAACACUAUCUGUCUCAAAAGUACAAAAAUGGUGGUCUCUAGUACACUGGUAAAACUCUCAACCUCUCGCAAAAAGAAAUACAUCGAGAGGUAGACCACCUAACAACUCGUCCCUCGCUGAAGAGCUAGCUGGAAGCAAUGCCCUUCCCUCGGUCCCUGGCCUCACCCGGCGUGGAAGGCUCUGAAAGAAAUCAUAAAACAGAGGGCGUGAGAACUAUAAUUUAUAGUUCCCAGUGGGCAAUUACUGACCUCAGCUCAUCGCACCACUAGGCCCCAAAAGAAAAGGAGUAAGUAUAAUAAACAACAAUAAGGAUAACAGUAACAACAGUAAGAAAGUAUAAUUGAAGUGCUAACCCAUAUGUCUCAAGUAAGCAUGAUGCCAUGGUGAUGUACAUCUACGCUAUCAUAAGAUAAUAUGUCCAAUGCAUACUAAUAUGUCUCAACAUAAUAAACAAGUAAACCUCACGAUGCAAUAUGUCAAUGCAUAAGGGUAAACACUAUCCAAACGACCGAGUAUACUACUAUGCAAUAAUGAAACCGGCAAGUAUACUAAAUGUACCAAUGCUAUAUCAUGAGCAUGUCCAAGCAAUCCAACUACUAAUCCUAUCUAGUAGUGAUUGUCCAUAUACAACACCGUGUCGAUUUCCAUUUCCAAUUUAAGGACCUACUCAAGGUAGUCCAGCUUGUGCCGCCUAAGUGUCUGUGGUAGCCCGACAUCCCUACUCUUGGAAUGUGUCUGUCCCACUCGACCCCGUAGGCUUCUCAAUACCGCACGAGCGAACGUAGUCGCGUAGGCUAACUCCGGAGUGCCGGCUUGUAGGGAGCGACCCUCACAAGCAUGUGCGAAUGAGCACAAAUGGCAAGCAAGCGUAGUCCAAGUCUCAAGUGUCGAAUCCUCAUGUCUCUAACAUGGUAUCAUAACUAGCAUACCGAAGAUCUAGUCUAAGUCACAAGAUGAAGUUCCAACAUUCAUUACGCCUAGUGCCCCUUGAUGACACUUAGACAAUCUAAUGUACAACACAUACCCAAUCCCUCAAUGGCUCUAACCACUAAGUUCACACAUGUCCCGAGCUCACUGCCGUUUGAUGACAUUAGCUCUCCAAUUCACAUACAUUCUAGUUCGAUAGCUCUAUAUGGCAAUUUUGUCAACUUUCAUGUCUCAAAUAAACUUACGUUUAAAUGCAUGAAUCCAAUCCCAUUUACACUAUAGGAGCAUGGAACCACGUCUCAUAUAGAAUGCUAGGAGCAAUUAUAGGCCUACAAAGCUACUCUCUACUACAUAGUGGUCCAAAAUUUCAUCAUAUAUAACAUAGGCCUUUUAAGCAUUCUAAAAUUCACAAUAAAUACAUAUAACAAGAAUAUGCAUGCUUUUUCAUUUAACAAUACUUAAUUAAGCACAAAUGAGAAUUUCUCAUUGUGUGGCUAGGUCAAACCCACCGAACCGUCGCGUGCUCCUUCGAUUCGCCGAACGGAGUUGUCCACGAGCAUCAAAAUACCCUAAAAGUGAUCAGCGAAUAGAUACGAGAGCAUUACGACCAACCAAGAGCUCAAAUAUUAACCUAGAAGCGAAAGGGCCAAAAUUCACCUCAAGAGGAGAAAUCUCUUCCAAAGCUCCAAAAGAGAGCUAGAACCCUUCCAAACCAAGCCCAAGGAAGGUUAUAAUCCAAUCAAUCUAGCCCCAAAAGCCCUAGAUCAAAAAGCCCCAAAAUCAACCCUAAAUUUCAUUUCUAGGGUUCCAUCUACUAAAAAUCCUCAAAUCAAGGUCUAGAGGAAGAAAAGAGCAACAAACCUCCUUAGAAGCUCCAAUCCAAGCUCCAAGGAUGAAGAUCUCCCCCCUUGCAAGCUCCAAGUCCAAGCCUUCAAGCACCAAGGAAGAUGAGAGGGUGGGGAAGAUGCUCCAAGUCCACAAGUAGCUCCAAACUUCUUCUCCUUCUCUCCUUCCUCUCCUUCUCCUUCUUCUUCUUCUUCUCUAUCAAGGGUGUAGAGAGGGUUGAGAGAAGAGAAAUGGGGAGAGGAGAGAGUGGAGGGGUCAUAUAGACCCUCUAUUGCUACAAAAUCCCAAGAGGCCCCUCAAAAAUCCAAUAUUGCAUUAGCCCGGUCUGGGCAAUUUUCGCCCAGAGGGACCGGUCUCUCCCCAGCAGGGACCGGUCUCUCGCUGCGAACCCGAAAAACCAACGUUCGGGAACCGGUCUCUCCCCACACAGGACCGGUUGCCUCAAGGCUGCCGCGACACUGCUCACUGGGGGACCGGUCUCUCCUUCCAGGGACCGGUCCCCGAGAUUAAAAACUCUCAGGACUAAACCAAAACUCAGGUUUUCGAACUUUUUAGGUCGGAAAACAUUCUACAACCCUCCACCAAGUGUGGAGAAGCUCGAAACACAUCCAAACACUCGAACCUCGCAAUUUGCAAAGGUCCAGUGUGUUGCAACCGGAGAGACACUAUAACGUACACGUUACUGUACAUACGCUUCCGCAAGCAUUAAAUGCGCCCCAGCGCAUUUAACGUAAUAUUCCACGCUAUUCGACACACCGAGUGUUUGCUGUUUGGAAUCUUCUCCGACGCCUCCGCUUUCUAAAAUUAUUGAACUAUUCUGUUGACCACAUUGCACCAUUACAAUCACCGUUGUAGUCUUUUAACCUACGUUGCACUAUUAAUCGUCGUGCGCGUCGCACAGUUAAUCCCUGUCGCAUUUUAAUGCUAGUGGCAGGCAUGAAGAGUGACGUGUACAUUAAUAUUCGGUUAAGUGAGGAGAAGAGGCACCGGCGGGUUUGUCAGCCGACGAUUCGUUUUGUUUAAAUAUCGGUUCUUCAUAUGCAUCUCCCUUUACAGAGACACAACCUUUGGUGAAGGAGGUGAAUCGACAACGGCGUUCCCUGCAAGAGGAAGCGCAGCGCCGAAGUACGAGAUGGAGCCUCCUCCUACUCCGCCGCGCCGCUUCCUCCUGCCGGGAACGUCGUUCGUCGCCUUCGCAUCCUUGACCAAUAGUUGCGUCGCCUUAACCUCGUCGCCUUUACGAAGAGAUGAGUCGCCGCAGGCGCCACAACGACUGGUACCAGGCUACAGUUCGUCCAUGACGUUUAGGCAACGAUGGUAGAUGGCCGAAGCAGAGUUCGAGGAGUAGGUGGCUCGCUCCGAAGGGAGCCGAAGCAGAGUUCGUGGAGUAGGCGGCUCGCUCCGAAGGAUACCAUCCAGCAAUGAGGCGUUAAGAUUGAUUCGCACUAUCUGGAGUGCUUUAUUUGCCACGAGCCCAUUGGCCCUCCCCUCAUACAGGUUCUUAAGUUCUUACAGAUCUUUAUUGUUAUUGAUGGAUUCUUAUGUUAUGCUGAUUGAACUAUCUGUUUCAUGGUAGGGCGGAGCUCCAAAGGGCUUGAGGCAAAUAAAGCACUCCAGAUAGUGCAAAUCAAUCUUAACGCCUCGUUGCUGGAUCUACCCUUUCGAACGACCUUCCUCCUAGUCGCAGUCUCCUUCGGCAGUCUCCUUCUCGAAGUCUCCUCCUCGCAGUCUCCUGCGGAAGUCUCCCCUGGCCUAUAUCUGGUAUCUUAGGCUAUGUGCGCGUGGAAUUGCAGACAAGCUUCGAUGAUUACAUAUUUCUGUUAAAUAAUUAUAUUAUGUUCAGUUUGUUAUAGUUGAUGUAAUAGAAUUUUGCAUUGUAGGAAAAUCCUUUUUGUAUUUUGCAAACUUCUAUAAAAUUGUGUACUCGUCUUUAAAGAAAAUAUAAUUCUUGUUCACAAAUUAAUGUACUUCUUAGGAAUUUGUUACACCAUUUACCAGUUACAAUAUUUUUCAUAAAAUGUUGCACUGUUUACAUCAUAGUAUAAUAUAAAUUUCGACCAUUUUUGCACUAUUAUGUUCAUGUUAACACCAAUUCUGUGAAAAUUUUGUGAUACAUAACGUACUGUUACACGCUUUAGCGGAGAAUCUUGAACUCUUUUGAUCUGAGUUAUACCACUUAAAGACUUCUUUAAAUAUAAAUUUCAUUUCACCCCACCUUGCGUUGCACUAUUCUAAGCGUUUAAAGUUGCAGAAUUUUUAUACGUUGCAUCCACCUCUCCAACGCACCCUUACAAGCUUAGUACGAGUCUUUUUCUAAACAUUGCACUGGUAUUACUACGGUAUUGCACUCUUACAAGUUUCGUUGCACUCAUUUUUAAAUCCAUUACACUGUUAUUCCCCGUAUUGCACUAUUACAAGCUUUUUUGCACUCUUUUGAAAAAUAUUGUUCUGUAAUUCACACUGCCUUGCACUAUUAUUCGCGCUUAACUGUGAACUUAUUUAACAGUUAAAAGGAAGCGUGAUCUUUUAUAGAAAAACUUUACACAAUCGUUUAGCCGUUAUGUCGCGCCUCUCGAACUCCGAACCCCGCCGGCAACCGUCCAGCCCCGCCGGCGAGCUUCCUGGAAUGCCGACUCUUAUAUCGCACAUCGUCGGCCGCGUAUGCCGCAGCGACAGUCCUGCGCCGCCGAAGCGACCGUCCUGCGCCGCCGAAGCUUCGCCUGCAUUUGGAGUGGACGUCGUUCUUCUGCACUUUUAUGUUCAGAUUAUAUUAAGAAAUAGAAAAGUAAAAUUUUGACUGGUUAAGGAGAGGUUGCCUAGCGAUGCACUGUUAGAAGGGAUGUUGCACUAUUUUUUCUGGUGUUGUUCUUUGCGUUGCACUAUUAUCCCUGUUGCGGGCCGUGCAGAUUUUGUCAUUUAUCGUGAGUAAUUGUAUUAAAGUCUUAAAGCCGAACAGGAAACAGCGGGGCCGGCGAAUAGCGGGGGCGGAUGUGAUCCGGGUUCGGAGAAAUGAGCGAGAUUGCGUAAGGCGGAGGCGGCGCAUUUAAUGCGCGCCAGACCGUACGGCAGGGUAGUAGGGUAGUAUACGUAUGUCAAGAAAUACGCGGGCAGCUAUUGUAUAGGAGGGGCAUUUUGGUCAGGCGGCGGAAAAAACGGACCGAAUCUGCAAAAACGAAAAAGGUGGCCCGGUUUUGCAAAAGCCCAAAAUAAGUGAAUUUUUUAUGCAAAUUGGCCAUAUUUUUUAUAUGUGUUUUGUACAUACAAAUUUUCUUUUAAUGUGUAGCUGAAUUUUAAACUUGAAUUAAUUCAAAUUUUUAAAUUCAUAAAUUUAUAUUUAAAAUUAUGAACAAAAUUCGAAUUUGUAGUUUAUUUUGACAUCAUAAUUUGAAAAUAAUUUGACUUCAUAAUUAGUAUUUAAUUUAUUUUCAAAUUAGUUAAUUAUUUUCAGUUUGAAACAAUUUGUUGAUAUAUCCAAAAUUUAAAAUUUAAAAUUAAUUUUAAAUUUUGACUUAAAAUAUAGAUUCAAGUUUGAAAGUAUAUAUGAACCAAACUUAAAAUUUAAAAUCAAGCUGAUAUGCUUUUUUUCAAAUCAUUCUAUUCUAUAAAAUUAAUUUAUUUUUAAUUAUUUAAUUGAAAGAUAUUGGAUACUGCGAGAAAAAUUUAUACGUUUAUGUGUGUGAAGAAUAUUCUACGGUUGAUGUUCUCCAGAUGGAAAUUUUUUGAUAAGUAUAUAUGAAUUACUUUUUCUCUUUUUGGAAAUGGAAUGCAGUAAUUUUUAAACUAAAAAAGGGUCUAUCAAUACUUAUUUUAGUAAUUAUUUCAAAUCGGCAUAAAUUUAUGCGUCAUAUUUAUAAAAAAGGCUUACAAUAAAAAUUAAUUUUUAGAAAAUAAAAUUCAUCUGUUAUAUUUUAUUCAAAAUUAUUUGUCAUAUUCUAAUUCUAAUUCAAAUUCAAAUAAUAGCCGUUGACAAAAAUUAUAUAGUUCAUUUUUUGUGUAUACAUUGAAUAUUUUAUUAUGCUUUUCGAUUUCUGAUGAAUCCAAAAUUAAAAAUAUUAAAUUAAAAAUAUUAAUUUAAUAUAUGCUUUUCGAUUUCUAAUGAAUUCAAUAUAUGUUUUAAAUUAAAAAUAUUAAAAUCUAUUUGAUAGUUAAUUUAAAAUUUAAAAUUUAAUUUUGAUCUACUUUAUUUAAAAAAUUUUAACUGUUAGUUCAAAUUAAAUAUCUAAAAUUAUAUUUAAUUCACAAUUUAAACUCAAAUUUUAAUUUUAAUUUAAAAACUUAUAUGAUUAAAUUUAAUUAUAUAAUUAAAUUUUAACUAUAAAUUUCAGAUGAAAUAAAUAUUGUAAAUCAAAUAAAAUUAAAAUAUAGAUAGAUAUUUAAAUUUAAAUUUAAAUUUGAUUAUUGAUUGCAAUUAAUAAAUAGUUAAUAUAACAACUGAAUAUUAGUAGUAAAAUUGAAAUAAUUUUUAAAUAUUCACCUUAAAAAAAUAUUGAAUGAUAUAAAACUCUUUUAUAGGAAAAAAUAUAUAUUAUCCAUUAGAGAUAAAGAGGAAUUAAAGAUUUGUUUCAUUAUUUUAUUUUUUUUUAUAAGGUAUUUUAGAUGAAAUGAAAUAGUAUAAUUAGAUAUUAUAUAGGCAACAGGUAUUACAUUACCAUUGAUAUUAUAUAGGCAAAAGAAUUAGAUUUUUUUUUUUUUUUGAGAGAGAUAGGUAGCACGCUACCCGCUUCAUUUAUUUCAUUUAGAAAUAAACUUAGCUAGAAAUGUGAAUCAACUAGGAUUCGAGCUUGGGUCUCGGGUACCAACCACCAAACCCUUUGCCACUUGCUCUAGGGACGAUCGGUGAAUUAGAUAUUAUAUAUGUAUGCAGCAAAAAUGUAACGUGUGAAAUGGAUAUUAUGUACGCGGCAGACGCGUAUGAUAGACUGAGACUUAGUUUAGUAUUGAGAUCCAUAUAACGCUAUUAGAUAAAAUGGAGUUGGAAUAAAAAUAUAUAGGGAUAUGCUUCUUCAUUCUCUGAUGCGACGGCAGAAAAUAUAUCGAAACCGACUUAUCGUGAUACGGCGGAAUGCAAUAUUACGUACAGAAACAAACAAGGUAUUCUUCCAACAUACUUUCUCACCGUACGUAACGCCCGCAAUGCCAAACGAAGUGUGAAAAAGGAUUGACGGAUAUUACAUGUGAGAAAAAAAGAAUAAGUAUUAUAAUGAGUGGCAAAUAUUGUGUAUAAUAAUAAAAUACAAUAUUAAUACGAGGAUAUUAUUGUCACAAAAAAUUAUAAAUACUACUAUUUUCAACCAUUGGAUGAGAUUCAAUGGAAAAAAAAUUAAGAUCUAUAUUUGAAAAUAAUUAUUAUUUAAUAAAUUAUUUAAAAUAAAUGGUUUAAAAUUACUUAGCAUGAAAAUAUUACUAAAAAAUAGAUACAUUUUUUAAAAGAGAAAAAAAAUAAAAUAAAACUCACGCUUUUAUAAGUAGUAUAGAUAUAAUAGAGCUAUUAUAAUCUUUAGGGUAAACUUAAAAUACCACCCCUAUGGUUUCAUACUUUCUCACAUUAGUACCGUGUGGUUUAAAGUGUAUCAAGUUAGUGUCCUGUGGUUUCAUUUUUAUCUUUUCGUCAGCUUUUUCGUUAAUAUUUUGUUAAAUUAUAUACAAAAAAUUUCAGAUACUCUACCUAGGUUUAUCGAAUCGAAUAUUCACUUUAGUACACUUUAAUUUUAACUUUGUCACUAAUUUAACGAAAAAAAUUAGUAGAAUCGAUAAUAAAAAGAUAAAAAGGAAACCACAGGGCACUAAAUUGAUAAACUUUAAACCACAUGGCACUAAAGUGAGAAAGUGUGAAAUCACAGGAGUGGUAUUUGAUGUUUUCCCUAAUAUUUAUAAAUAUGGAACCUUUUAUACUCAUAAGUUGUUUUUAAUAAUAGAACUUCUGAAUCAAUGAUCCAUAUGGUUAAACAUAAUUUAGAGCAUUAAAAUUUUUUGAAAAUAAAUUUCUUAAGUUUUAGAAAUUAUAAUAAAAUCCAUCAAAGUAAAUGGUCAAAAUUGAAUGACCUCCCAAAAAUAAAGGAUCGAAUUUUAAAUUUAAGAUAAGAAUUAUUGAUUUUUAUAUAUUUAAAUAGUAAAUAGAAUUUUCUAUUAAAAUUUUAACCAAUUCAAACUCUUUUAAUCAUUAGACUAGCAAGUAUCUUAUACAAACCGUUAAAAAUUACCAAUUUCGAGAUCUUUCGAUCAUAAGAUAAAUAAUGUUGNNNNNNNNNNNNNNNNNNNCUAAAAUUACCGACACUUUUAAAAAGUGUUGCUAUAUGUGGGGUCGCUAGGUAUAUAGUGACAGUUAAAGAGUGUCGUUAUAACCUAAAAGAGUGCUGCAAAUUUACCAACACUUAUUUAAGCAUUUAGCAACCGUCGAAACUCUAUCUCGUUGCCUGCGGUGGCGGAGGAGGACGACAGGAAAGGCUCUUCGUCUAGAAUUUCAGUAGAUUGAGUGAAGAAAGAAGAAAAGAUGGUAAUUAAUUUUUCCUUUUUUUUUUCUUUUCUGUUUGUAACUGGGCCAAAUGGACUGAGUGUGGUGGGUUGACUAGAGUAAUCUUUUAUUUUUGGUUGGAUUGAGCUUUAUAUUUAGGCAUUAGUAGAUAUUUUUUAAAGUUUUAGCAUAAAUGGGACACUUACUCAAAAGUGUCCCAAACAUGUGUCCCUAUAAUCUAAUUCUGUUGUAGUGUGAAAAAUUAUGAAAUUUGAUUUCUAACGUUUCAAGUAUUCUAAAUUAUGUUUAACGAUAUGGAUCGUGUGAUUCAAGAACUCUAUCAUAAAAAAUAAUUAAAUUGUGAAAGAUGAUCCUAGCUAGUCAUAAGAGUAUAAUAGUGUGUGCGCGCGAGCAUGGGUGCGUAAUAUAUACCAAGUUUUCCAAGUCAUUGAGAAAUAACAAUGUGUUGCUGUAGAUGUUUUUUUUUUUUUUUUUUUUUUUUUUUGAGAAUACCAUGUUUUCCAAGUCUUUGCUUGGUUUCAUACACGUCAACUCUUUGAUUGCUAGUAGGAGAUCUUUUCUUAUAAUUAAUACCCAUUCCAACAUAUAUAUAUAUAUAUAUACAUAUAUAUAUAUAUAUAUAUAUAUAUAUAUAUAUCUCUACGAUGAAAAUCAACCUGGCACUAGUUAUGAAUUACGAAUUGAUCAAAAGAUAUUGAUAAAAAUGAAAAGAAGAAGGGAUAUCAAGUCCCAAAGACUCUUUAAAUUAGGUUAAUCAUGCAUGCAUGCAUGCUGGUUCAACUCUCAGAUGAGAUAAGAUUGACCAAUCGGAACGAAAGCGAGGGAAACCCAAAAAGCGAAUAAAUUAAUCACAAGGACAGGAACAGCCGAAUUGGAUCCUUGAGGGACUCGAAUACGGCAGCCCAACCAGCUUGUGUCGGGUGCGCGUCAUCCCAGUAGAAAUACUCUUCUGGGUUGCUGCACAGUGUGAAUUGAUUGCUUCCCUUUUCGUCUAUCUGCCCGCAAUACCCAUCAGUCCUGAAGCUCUCACAGCAUGGCCUGUUAGGGCUCUUGAACUUCUUAGCUCCUUUCACUGCAUGAUAUUAUAUAUACACAGACAAGAGCAGAAUAUAUAUAUGAGCAUGGUUAAUUUGCAUUUGAAAUUUCAGAAAUGGGCAAUCUACUUAACCAACUUAAAAGCUUCUCGCUCAGAACCCAAUUAAGUGCUGUUGUGGUCGGAGCAGAAAGCCAAAUUUGUGGCAUUUGCUUGAUGAUCUCUUAUUAUAGUUAUAGCAACGCCUUAAUAUAUAUGGAACAUUAGGUGCAAGCAUGCAUAUAUACUACCUUUUUUGGCACCAGGUAGAACAUUAAACUAGCAUCGACAUAGUGACAUUUACUAGAGCAGAUCAACCGGAUUUAUUAAUUGCGAUCAAAUUCAGUUGGUGAAUGGUGAUCAGAUUCAAUUAAUGAAUUGAUUAAUCUAUUUGCUUUCUGUCAAAAUCAGUUUGCUAGCUAAUAACAUUGGCUAACACAAUUAAUAACUUUGGAAAAGCCCAAUCCGGAAACCCAAAAUGAACAAUAACGACACGAUUCAGAUGACCAAUUAAUGUCAGAGUUCAUGAACAAAUGAACUAAGAUAUAUCACAGAAAUGAAAACAUCGUACAAGAUUAAAAAUGAGAAAGCAUAGACGAAUAAUGCGAGACCUUGGUAAACUAUAUCUUGGAAGGGCUCAUUGAGGUUGAGAGUGAGAAAGCUCUGGUUGGCUGGGUCCAGCUUAUUGAUCAUGGCUCGGAGGGCUUGGUUGUGAUUCCGUGAGCCCAAAUUGGCUUUAAUGAGACAAUCUGUGUAAUUCAGUCCUCUUGCAAAUAAGGGCGUGCAUCCAAGAGGGUGCAUGUUUGUGACCAUCACCUUCCGCAAUCCAAGCUUGCGCAAACGUUUCAUGUCUCGUUUGAUCUGUUUUAUUAUCUUCGGAAUAUAAUUUGUCGCUGCCUAAAUAUAGGAAUUCAAGAAAAAGGGAAACUACGUCAGGAUCUAAUUAAUAGAAAAGGAGAAAGGAAACCUACAUCAAGAUCUACUAGAAAAGGAAUACUGAGCACAAUAAUAUCAUUUUAGUUACAUAAGAUUUGAGAAAAGUUACUAUUUUCACAUUACUAGUUUCACAUUGUUCUUCUGUACAAGCCAUUCUGAUUUACUUCAAUCUGUGUAUGCAGAAUAUUAUUACAAUUAAGAACAAAAAAUUGGAAGAGUGUUGAAUAUAAAAUCUGAUGGCAUCAUUCUUAAAGCUUUUGGAGACAUCACUUUAAUGUGCUACUCUAGAGACACUAAAAUAGAGUUCCAUCCUACUGUUCUAAAACCAAUUCCUUCAUGCUAAUUAAUUGCUAAGUUAAUUAAGGCACUAUUUUUGUCGUUAACUCGCAUCCAUCACUAAAUUAUGCCAACUCAUAAUCCAGUCUAUAUAAUCAAGUGUGCGAGCACAGAUUAAAUGCGUGCAUGUGUCCAAAACUACUUAGAUAAAGCACUAGAAAGAAUUAAUGUUAGCAAAGGGUUUAAUUUCUACCACUAGAUUAAUUAUUAGUAGCUCAUAAUUUGACAACCAAAUCAACCAAAUUCUAGCAAACAAUAAAACUUUAUGAGAAUUGAUACUCACAUUAGUACUGUUUUCUCUUUCUGCAAUGUAUGAGUAGUCAUUACCAGAGAUGGUGAGCAGUGCGACCGCAGACUUCUUAAGCUCACAUUUAUCAAACACCCCUUCUUUAAUCUGUUCCUCAAACAAAUCGAUUUGUUCGCUUAUGUUACGCUGGAAAUUCCCUGUAUCGAAUACACCGGCCCCGCCAACCGCAAAGUUCAUUCCAUAUGGUAACAGCUUGUGUCCGACCCUCCGAUAUUUGUACGGAAUAGGAGAUCUGAUUCCCAGAAAAGCAGCUGAAACAACACAUAGAAACAAGAUUUGUAGUCAAAUGCUGUACUGUAAAACAGGAUUAACUAACAGGACAAUCAGUUGAGUUAAUGUAAGUUUAGUUUUAUAAUUAAGGGAGCACGACUAGUAGGUGGUGGGCUUACACUGAAAAGGUUUCAUUAUAUGCAAUCUUUAUAUAUAUAUAUAUAUNAUAUAUAUAUAUGUAUGUAUGUAUGUAUUCACAUAGAAUAAUAGUGGUAACCGAUCACCGUGUCAUGAGAACAGGGUUAGGUAAAUACACAUGCAUGAAAGUAAGAGAGCCUCCUUUGCCGUUCUAUUCUUUUUAACUUUUGUGUAAAGCACAUACAGUUAGGAGAAUCAUUGAUCAAGAGAGAGCAGUUACGCAUGUUACUUUAUGAUAAAGAGAAGUGCUUUGAGCAGGUUAGAGGUUAUUGUACUAUAUUAACACCAUAGAGAAUAUAUAGAAUAGAAAUCAGUAAUAAAAAAAUUAAUUAUUAAUAAUUUAUUAUUGAUAAAGAAGAUUAUAUUAAACAAUCAAUUAUUGUAUUUUUCAAUAACAAUUAAUUUCUUUCUUUGUAAAUAUAUAUCAUGGCUCUUUGGACUUUAUAGAAUCAAAUAGAGCAGUAAUAGAUGAAACAUUGAGAUCCAACAUGGAAAAAAAGAAAAAAAAAAAUGAAGCUAUGACAACAUUAAUUUGUAUAAACUUUAUCUCCUUUAGUAUUUCGAGGAGGUAAGUAGAAGUUAAUUACAGCGCAAUGUUGAUGCCAUAAAGAAGGUUUAAUGAUAAAGCAAAGGAAUGGAGACAACCACUAACCACAAAUGGCUUGCAAGUGAACAACUAGUUAAUGCAUUUAAAGAAAUCUGUUUAAAAGCUAAAGCAAAAGCCGUUUCUUUUGUAGAAAGCGACAGCUCAAAGAUGAAAGAAUGAGACUAAUUACAUAUUGUUCGUCUCCGAAAACUUAAAAAGUUAGAGAAUAAUGUUUUAAUUAAUAUUUUAUAUAUAUUCAACUGAGAGCUGAGUGAAGGCGCGAACCGAGAAAGUCGGUGAGGAGGCGGCCGUCGGAGAAGCGGCCAGAGGGUCUCCUGGGGAAGGUGAUGCCGUACGGAUAAUACCACGAGCGGGUGAACUCUCUCCCAAGGUUUCCAAGAUUUCCCGUGUCCGCGUAAGAGUCGCCGAACACGAAGAGCUGUUUUGGUUGAUAACGAGUUCCGUUGAACUGCUUGUAGCCUUCGGCAUGAUUACAACCACUCACCUUCAACCCUGCAAUAUUUGCACGAAUUUUUGUGCAGCGGCAGUGAUGUAUGGUAGAGACAAGGCAACUAGCUAUAUAUGGGUGAUGCAAUUAAGUAAUUAAUUAAGGGAGUGUUUGGAUUGAUUGAUGCAGUUGCCCUUAGUAUUAAACCAAAUUGUUGAAAAUAAAAGUAUUAGUUUCAUCAUCAGCCAUGGCUGACUUCUUGCACUUGCACUGCUCAAUUCUCGAUUAUCCUGUGGAAAAAAAAAAAAAAAAAAAAUGCAAGUGCCAUAGCCCAUGUUUCAAGUGACUGAUCCCCUCUGCAUCGCCGUACGUGCUUGACAAAAACGAUAACUUUUACGUAUAUACUUGGUUAAUUUGUGGUACGGAUAAUUAUAAUUACAAUUAUAAAUGUUGCAUAAGGCCUAGUUUCAUAAUAUGGUGGCCAAAACAGCACUUUCAUAUCUUGAAAGGCUGAGAAAAAAAAAAAACAAAAACAAAAACACUUCUAAUCUUCUCUUAUUUUAUCUUAUAAAAUGGGGCAACACCGAAGAAGCAUAUAAUGUAUUUUCAAAUGGCAGUUGUCACUAUAAUUUUAUAGUAUAACAUAAGCAAAAUUAAAAUCAUAUUAAAUAUUUAGAGAUUUUUAAGAUAUAAAAAUAAUACCCUUAGCUACCAUAUUACCGAAAUAGGCUAUAAAAUAUAUGCUAGUGUUCUAGAUCCUAAAUUCAAAAUCUAAUUAAUUAUCUCACAUUUUCAACUGAAUUUAUUUUUUUAUUAAAAUAAAGAAAAUGAAAAAUAUGGUAUUUUUUUCCCGAAAAAAAAAAAUAAAAAGGUAUAUAAUUAAGCAAUCUUACCAAGAAGGAGAAAUACCAAGGAGAUGGUAAACCAGAAUGGCAUGAAAUAAUUUCUGCUCGCCAUGAAUUUAAAGAAAUAAUUGUUUUAGGGCGAGCAGCGGGCGGGCGGGAAGGGGGGGUGGUGGUGGUGGUUGUGGUGGUGAAGGGCUUGUUGUUUGCGUUUAUAUAUAUAUAAUAAUAUAUAUAUAUAUAAUAUAUAUACGAAUCGGCCGGGCUGUGAGCGAGAAUCGGUUCGUUUCAUCUUAAGGCGCUUUCCAAAUAGGAAAACUCUCGCCCCAAAUAAAGCCAUUAUAUUCAGAAACACCAGCCUUUUCGUUAGCUUCUCUCUCAAAUCCUCAGACGAUUCCAUCCCGAGCACCGCGUCGCCGCCCGCCUCUCUUCCUCUCUAUACUACCUAAACUCACAUACUCGAGCCCUUCUGCAUUCAGAGUCCUUUGCAUAGGAUUAAUAGGAAUUCAACACGAACGGCUGACCUGGCGGACCUGUACCGACUAUAGCGCGAUCUGCCAGCAUUAUAUUAUAUAAUAGAUAAUAUAUAAGAGAAAAAAUAUAAAAUUUUAUUUUAAAAAAAUAAAGUAGUCAUUAAUAUUGUAUAAAAACUACUAAUAUAAUUAGGGCGUGUUUGAUUUGCUUCUUUUUCACACUGGAAUCGGAAUGGACGAAUCCGUUUGUGGGUGUUUGGUACGCAGAAGUCCCAUUCCUAUUCCAAUUCCCGAGUGGAAUAGGAUUCUCCCAAUCAUCUUAUUUUUCAAUCCUGCCUAAGAGACCGGAUUGGAAGUUGAAUCCGGACGGAAUGAAUAUUUAUUCGGAUUAAAUUUAUUUUUACAACUUUUUUAAUUGAAAUAUGAGUUUAAAUUUAGAAAUUAAAUUUAUAAUUUUAAAUUUUAAUUGGAACUUGAAUUAAAAAUUAAAAUUUAAUCAAAUAUUUCGAAUCUAACUUAUGAAUUUGAAUUUAAAUUAAAUUUUAAUUUAUAUAAAGUUUGAUUCAAAUUUUAUUUAAAACUUAAAUUAAAUUUAUGGAUUCAAAUUAUAAUUUUAAGUUUGAAUUUGAAUAAAUCGAAAUUUAGUUUUAUAUUUUGAAUUAUCCACUCAACUUUAAAGUUUAAUUUUUUAAAAGAAAUAGAUUUAAAAUUUUGACAUUAUUUCAAAAUUUUGAUGUAAAUUUUUAAUAUUUAAUUUUUAGUUUGAAUCUAAAUUAAUAUAUUAUAAAGAUAAAGUUAGUAUAUUAAUUUGAUUACGUUUUUUAUAUCUUCCUGAGCCAAACACCGACAGUGAGAAUGAUUUAUUCCGAUUCCGAUUCAAGUCAUGAACCAAACAGAAUUAUGUAAUGAGUAAUUCCGAUUUCGAUUUCAGAUUAUUUCGAUUCCGAUUCUGAUUCCGAUUUCGACUUCCCUUUAGGGUGUGUUUGGUUCGAAGUUUUAACCGAUAUUGGAAUCGAAAUGAGAAUAAGCUAGAAACGGAAUCGGAAUGAUUCAUUAUCUAAAUCGGAAUCGGAAUGAAUUAUUCCCAUUAUCGGUGUUUGGUUCAGAUUGAUAUUAGAAAUAUAAUCAAAUUAAUAUACUAAUUUUAUCUUUAUAAUAUAUUAGUUUAAAUUCAAACUGAAAAAAUUAAAUAUUAAAAAUUUACGUCAAAAUUUUAAAUAUAUUUUAUAAUGAAUUAAAAUUUAAAUUGAACGAAUAAUUCAAAAUAUAAAACUAAAUUUCAAUUUAUUCAAAUUCAAACUUAAAAUUAUAAUUUAAAUUUUAAUUUGAAUCCAUAAAUUUAUUUAAAUUUUAAAUAAAACGUUAGAUUUAAAUUAAAUUUAAAUUUAAAUUCAAAUUUAGAAAUUAGAUUCGAAAUGCUUGAUUGAAUUUUAAUUUUUAAUUUAAGUUCAAAUUAAAAUUAAAAUGUAUACGACUACUAAUAAAUUCAAAACCAUAAUUCAGAAUCGACUAAACUACUACCAAAGGAAAAACCCAAAUACAAGUAAUCUCAAACUACAAUCACAUAAUUUUCCACAAUAGCCACAUAAUGAAAUAGGAGUAAUCUGAGGCUAGGAAUCGAGAUCCACACUACGAACUAUCUAGACGUUAACUAACCGCGUCCUCACACCGCGCCCCAAUCCGCACAAUCAGCAACAUCUGAAAAAAUAGUGGAGUGGAAAAUAUAUAAAUAUGUUUUUCAGUGGGGACAACCAGCCAACGAGAACAAGCUGCACUCACUGUGUAAUACACUAGAUGUCACGCCCCGGGACCGGCGGAGGCCCUCUCGGUGGCGUGCCUAGACCCGCCAUAUGUCUACACAUAUAAGGCGUCUACAAUAAAAGCGGAAGUAAAAGCAAGAAAUAGAACAAAUAGAAUAAUAACAACUAAUGAUAUCAGAGCGAGUAAAGUUCUAUCAUCUAAACCAGAGUAAAAGAAAUAUAACUAGACAAUGAAAGUAAAGCACAAAGUGAUACAAUGCUAUCACCUCAAAAGGAAUACAAAUAUCCAAAAGAAGGGUGGUCUCUAUACAUAUACGGGUACAACUCACAACCUCUCACAAAAUAAAAUCACGAGAGGUAGACAACCUAUCAAAUCGCCCUCGAAGGAAGCUAGCUCGAAGCAACUCCCUUCCCUCGGUCCCUAGCCUCUCCCGGCGUUGAAGGCUCUGAAAGAAAAUAUAAAACAGAGGGCAUGAGAACUAUAUCUCGGUAACGCCCUAAACCAAAUACAACUUGUAAUUUAACGGAUUCACAGUAGUUCCCCGUGAUCCGCAUCACUCACAAACCUUGAAGCGAAACACUGAAUGAUCUAGAAGCCCUACGAUCGAUCACUGCUAUGGUACAAUCUCUGUACUCCAAACCCAUGAACUCUGAACCUGAUAUGAACGAACGGUAAACACGAGUAAGCGUGUACGAACACUCCCAGCGAGGGAUGUUCGGCCGUGAGGCCUCAAUCGGAUGCGCUGGAUACAAGUGAGCACGCCAUAACUCUUCGGAUACCCCAGCUCACCCUGUCUGUGUAAGGUUCUCAUCCUUACAACCCGAUGGUGUCCGUGAAUCCGCCGUGUUCGACCUGAUGGAAACCAUCCAGGAAUUAACCUUUAUUUUUAGCUGUGCCACAACCCAAAUAAUAUUAGUGAUGAUCUAUAUCUUAUCAUCAACCUAAUGAACCUGAACGAAGAUCGUAUCAAAACCCAUGAACCUAUAUGUAUGUAUGUACAUCGUACGAUCCUCUACAAUGGAUAGCGUAAGUAUAUAUGUAACAACGGUACUAUUUCGUACUAGAAGUAUUAAAGUAUUUCGUUUAUUACUAAUAAUGAACACCAGUACAGUCCUGCACGAACAAGUAUUACUUUAUCCACAUGUAGUAUAAACUGUAUUACAUCAUGGAAUCGUACAAAUUAAUACGAAAGUACUUACGUGAAAUAAGUAAUGAUAACGAGAAGGAACUGAAUGGGAAAAGAAAACCCCGGAUCACCACGUAACUCGACUCCAGUCAUUAACGGGUGACCCUUGAUAUUUGNNNNNNNNNNNNNNNNNNNNNNNNNNNNNNNNNNNNNNNNNNNNNNNNNNNNNNNNNNNNNNNNNNNNNNNNNNNNNNNNNNNNNNNNNNNNNNNNNNNNNNNNNNNNNNNNNNNNNNNNNNNNNNNNNNNNNNNNNNNNNNNNNNNNNNNNNNNNNNNNNNNNNNNNNNNNNNNNNNNNNNNNNNNNNNNNNNNNNNNNNNNNNNNNNNNNNNNNNNNNNNNNNNNNNNNNNNNNNNNNNNNNNNNNNNNNNNNNNNNNNNNNNNNNNNNNNNNNNNNNNNNNNNNNNNNNNNNNNNNNNNNNNNNNNNNNNNNNNNNNNNNNNNNNNNNNNNNNNNNNNNNNNNNNNNNNNNNNNNNNNNNNNNNNNNNNNNNNNNNNNNNNNNNNNNNNNNNNNNNNNNNNNNNNNNNNNNNNNNNNNNNNNNNNNNNNNNNNNNNNNNNNNNNNNNNNNNNNNNNNNNNNNNNNNNNNNNNNNNNNNNNNNNNNNNNNNNNNNNNNNNNNNNNNNNNNNNNNNNNNNNNNNNNNNNNNNNNNNNNNNNNNNNNNNNNNNNNNNNNNNNNNNNNNNNNNNNNNNNNNNNNNNNNNNNNNNNNNNNNNNNNNNNNNNNNNNNNNNNNNNNNNNNNNNNNNNNNNNNNNNNNNNNNNNNNNNNNNNNNNNNNNNNNNNNNNNNNNNNNNNNNNNNNNNNNNNNNNNNNNNNNNNNNNNNNNNNNNNNNNNNNNNNNNNNNNNNNNNNNNNNNNNNNNNNNNNNNNNNNNNNNNNNNNNNNNNNNNNNNNNUCUGCCGCCUUGUACCGGUACAUGGGCCCUUGUACCGGUACAAGGUCCACGAAAUCCAAACCCGAGGCUCGGGUUGCUGGGCUCUGCGGCUUUGUACCGGUACAAGCUCCGAUGGCUGUACUGGUACAACCAUCAACCUUGUACCGGUACAAGCACAACCUUGUACCGGUACAAGCCCGCCAGAACUCAAUCCGAGAGUCAGCCAAAUCUCGUUUUUUUUCGGGUUUUGGUGCAAGGCUUUGUACCACAAAUCUCGGGACACGUGCCAUAGGUCGGAACACAGUCAACGACCCACCAGAAAAUCUGGAAAAGCUCAGAACAUAGCCAAUCACUCGAACCUCGCAAUUUGCAAAGGUCUAGUGUGUUACAUCCACCCAUCCUAAAAAGGAGUUUCGUCUGCGAAACUCAAAACAAACAAAGUAUCUCAAGCCUCCAUCUGAAAAAGAUGGGGAUAGCGCUCCCGCAGUGCGCUCUCCAACUCCCAAGUGGCCUCACGCUCGUCGUGGUUGCUCCAAAGCACCUUCACGUAGGGAAUUUUCCGGUUCCGCAAUCUUUUCACCUCGCGAGCCAAAAUCCUCAAGGGUUGCUCCUCAAAGCUCAAUCCUCCCGCAGCUCCAUAGGUGUAGCAUCCAAUACAUGAGCCGGGUCGUGGAUGUACUUCCGAAGGACCGAUACAUGGAAUACAUUGUGUACACCCGAUAGGUUCGGCGGUAGAGCAAGUCUAUACGCUACCGGGCCUACACGCUCCAAAACCUCAUACGGUCGAAUGUAUCGGGGGCUCAACUUACCACGGAUUCCAAAUCUUCUAAUUCCUUUGGUCGGCGAGACUUUCAAGAACACAUGGUCUCCAAUCUGAAACUCCAAGUCUCGUCGACGCCGAUCAGCAUAACUCCUCUGCCUACUCUGGGCUGUCAACAAUCGCUCCCGAGCAAUGCGAACCUUGUCCUCUACUUCCUCGAGCACAUCUGGGCCUAAAGCCAAUCUCUCGCCAACUUUACUCCAAUGAAGCGGCGACCUACACUUCCGUACAUAGAGUGCCUCGAACGGUGCCAUCUUGAUGCUUGCUUGAUAACUGUUGUUAUAAGCAAACUCUGCUAUCGGUAGAUGCUGCGACCAUCCUCCCUGGAAGUCAAUCACGCAAGCUCGAAGCAUGUCCUCUAGAGUCUGUAUAGUACGCUCCAACUGCCCGUCACUCUGGGGGUGGAAAGCAGUGCUGAAAUCCAAGCGCGUACCCAAAGCGUCCUGUAAGCUCCUCCAAAAAUGGGAUACAAAACGGGGGUCUCGAUCCGAUACUAUAGAAGUAGGUACCCCGUGCAAUCGCACAAUCUCAUCCAAAUAAACCUGUGCGAGUCUUUCACCAGUCCAAGUAGUAUGGAUAGGUAUGAAAUGUGCUGAUUUUGUCAAUCUAUCCACGAUCACCCAAAUAGCGUCAUGUCCAGCCUGUGAGCGGGGCAAUCCCAUCACGAAAUCCAUGGUGACCUUUUUCCAUUUCCACACUGGAAUCGGUAGACUCUGCAACUUCCCUGCAGGAACUCGGUGCUCAGCCUUCACCUGUUGGUAAGUUAAACAUCUAGCAACAAACUCACCAACAUCCUUUUUCAUCCCGGGCCACCGGUAAAGCAACUUCAAGUCCUUGUACAUCUUGGUGCCUCCCGGAUGUAUAGCAUACGGUGCUCGGUGUGCUUCUUGAAGAAUAUCCUCUUUAAUGCCCAAGUCCGCCGGUACACAAAGUCGUCCGCGGAAACGUAUCAAUCCAUCACCGUCUAAAGUAAAGUCACCAGUGCAACCAUCAACCAUCUUAGCUCGAAUCCUUUGCAACUCCGAGUCGGAAGCUUGCUUUUCUUUAAUCCUUUCCAAAAGUGUAGGUUGCACCACCAAAGUCAUCAACCUCAAAGGUGUAUCAGGAGCCACCACCUCCAACUCCAACCGCUUCAUCUGCUCGAUUAACGGCGGUUGAGUAACCAUAAGCAUCGCUAAGUUUUCAGUCGAUUUCUGACUUAGCGCAUCUGCCAUCACGUUAGCCUUGCCCGGGUGGUAAAGUAUCGUCAAAUCAUAAUCCUUGAGUAGCUCCAACCAUCUGUGCUGCCUCAAGUUCAACUCCUUUUGAGUGAAUAGAUACUUUNNNNNNNNNNNNNNNNNNNNNNNNNNNNNNNNNNNNNNNNNNNNNNNNNNNNNNNNNNNNNNNNNNNNNNNNNNNNNNNNNNNNNNNNNNNNNNNNNNNNUAAAAUGGGUCCGUCGACAGACCCAAACUUUGACAUAUACGUGCUAUUUAUUAUAUAUAUAUUAUAUAUAUAUUAUAGUGCUAGGCUCCUAUGCUUGAAAGUACGGAAGACCUCCGUACUUGUAAGUUGUUUUCUGAUGAUUGGGACGUCCCGAUUUGACGAUCGGCUCGUUAGGCUAUAAUCUCACGUUAUGGACUAUUCUAGAAAACCAAAAAUUUUCAGAUAAUUUUUUGACAUCAUUUACCAAACGAUCACGAGUCUCGCAAAAUGAUAUUUUAACGAUCGAUGUGGCAUGUUUUUAAUUUCAACGGGUAAAAGUAUCCAAAUUCAUGAAAAUUUAAUAAAAAAAAUUUACUUUAAUAUCAGAGCAAGAACAAUACUUCCGCCAUUUGAAAUUUUGAGCCCUUUUAUCACCUUUUCUUAUGAGAUUUUUAUUUCAGCCGUUCAUUUUUGAGACCACUCGUUCAUAGGCAAACGCAAGUAAAAAAAUUUUAUAAAAUUGGUUUCUAGAUAGGUCCGAAUAGCAUAAUCAUGUCUAACGAACAGAUCGCUAAUCAGAUAUCCAUCAUCAAAAACAGCUUAUAAGCACGGAGGGCAUUCGUACUUUCGAAAAUAUAGCGAGCCUAGCUCUAUAUAUAUUAGUAUAUUGCUAAUAGACUGAAAAUUGCUUAUAAGCUAAUUGUGACUAAAUUAGUCACAAUAAUGCUAAAAUGGAGAUUAAGUGUUUUUAAACUUAAUUAGAGGUUUGAAAACAGCAAUUGACACAUUUUGGAAGUGUGACAAGAGACCGCGAAUGGAAUCGAAGUGGUUAAAGACCUCCAAUUGCUAUUGCUACUCUAAAGCUGAAAUUUUUAGUCUAUUUGGUCAAAAUGAUCAAAUUAAUACAAAAUUGAAAAUAAAUGCUUCCAAAUUAAAUUGAUAGCUUUGUAAGGGUUUAUUAGCAUCAUUUGGAAGCCAUUAGACGUGUUCGAAGCGAACUAGACGUGCAAAACGGUCUCAAAUUGAUGCUGCCAAGUUCUUGUUAGUGCAGGGACCAAACUGCGAACCUGCAGGGACUGGAUUGCGAACCUGCAGGGACUGAUCUGUGAACUGUUAGACUGCAAUGCACUUUUGCAAUUUCCAGGGGCUAAACUGCAUUUUUCUGGUCUUAUCACUUAACCCCAAUUAAUCUGAGGAUGUACACGUAUUGGGACACCUCCUCCAUCUGUUAUUCUUAUCUCUUUUCUCUCUCUCUUUCUCUCUCAGCCAGGAAGCCAUGUGGGGAAAGGGGGAGUGCUGAAAUUUCUUGUGUUGGCAGCCUUGAUGCUUGCGGAUUGAGAAGGGGCUGAUCCGAGCAGGAAAACCAGCUGAGGCAAGUAAUAGCUAUGUUAGUUAAGAUGGAGGUGAUGACUUAAGAAAGGUUUUUAAUGGAUGGAAUGAUAUGUGUAUGCAGGGAAUUUCAGUAGAGACUGAAAUAGUGAAAGAAAAUGGAGAGUUGUUGCUUGAUUGAAGCUCCCUGUUGAUCCGAGCUAAGAAACAUCUGGGAAAGAAGCUUGGAGCUUGAGGUAAAUGAUUAAUUCUCAGCUGGAAUUAUUACAAUUGAUUAAGAGUCUACAUGAUGAAAACUUUGUGGAAUUAAGCUUUGUGCUGUUGGGGCUGCCGAAUAGGAAUUGUAGCUGAGGAAGACCUUGAAGCAGAAUUUUUGGUUGUUGAAGCUGAAUUCCUUGUUGCUGGAGCAGGGAACCAAUUGGAGAAAUUUCGAAAUUAAGGUAAGAUGGGUUCCACAAUUAAAUAUAGUCCAAUUAAUCAUUUUAGGGAUGACGUAAUAAAGGAUUUCUUGCUGCUGAAAUUUCAGCUCUGAAAUUUAGGCUGAUUGAAGUUGUCGAGGUGGAAAUCAGCUGGUGGAGUUUGAGAAUUAAGGUAAAUUACUUACGUCUUAGCUGAGAACUAAUUAUGGCUGCAAAGGGGAUUAAGUUUAAAGUAUUAUAGUGCUGAAAUUUCAGAUUUGGAGCUGCCAAGUGAAGUUGAUCCAUUGGUGCAGCCUUUGCUGUCCGAAUUGUGAAGUAUGGCUGAAGUUGAUACUUUGAGUGAGUUUCUUGAUGCUUCAAGCUGAAAUAAAGGUUGUAGAAAUUAACCAUAACUCAGCUGAGUUUUGAGACAACACACUUGUUCAAGCUCUAAUUGAGGCUUAGUUACUUAAUUUAUGUGAAAUGCUAAUUAGAAGUGGAAGUAAGGGAAAGUUGAUGUGCUGAAAUUACAGCUUUGGUGAAGAUUUUCCUGGUGUUCCGAGUUGAAAGGGAGCUUUAAGAAGCUGAGAAUAAUGUAGUGAAGCUUCCAAUUCGGGUAAGAAUAAUGUUUGUCCCUAAACUGAGCAGUGUUAAUACUAUAAACAUGAUUCCUAAGUGAGCUGAAAUUCAGCAAAUGCUGAAUUUCAGCAUUGAGGAUUCUUGAUGCUUUAAGUUGAAAAGAAGCCUGAAGGAGAGCUUCAAAGUUAAAGUAAGACGGUUAAGUUGUUACAUUAGAAGUGGAUGCAUUAGUGCUGAAAUUCCAAUAUGAGUUAAGAUUUCAGCAUUGUUACAGAGAUGAGUAAGGGACUGAAAUAAAAGGCUUCAAAGCAAAGUUUCUUACUAAUUAGAACUGAUGGUUCUAAGCUUAUAAUAGUUGCUCAAGAAGAGGUUAAUUGCUGAAAAAACAGCAUGAGACUAGAUUUCAGCUUGGUGCUGAAAUCAGCAUUGAGCUGGUCAUGUAUACUUAUACGUUGAUACUUGGAAUUAAAAGGCUAACUUAUAACAUAUAUGAACAAUGACUUUAGUUUAAUCUCUUUUAUGCCUCUAUAAUUGAAAAGGAAUCACGCCCAAGAGUCUAAGUUGACGUUCCGACAGGUCGGCGACGCGCUAAUUACGGUAGAGACCGUUCUAGUUCGAUUGGCACUGAGUCGCGAGUACUAGUUGUCGACGCAUUUCGAGACAUUGAUCUCAGUUGAUUGACACCAUCCACCCUGGUUGCUACCGCCAAUCUUUGACUUUAAUUCUUGAGCAUCACUUAUAUUUAGCAUCGCAUUAUAGGUGCUGCAUUUGCUGCAAGUGAAAAGGUGAAUUACUAUCACAAUAAUAGAACUUGUGAACCUAGUAUGUGGACUAGAACCCUAUGAAUGCAUACUUAAUAAACAAAGGAACUGGGAUCUAACUAGAAAUUUGGUUAGUCAUCCGAAAAUGAAUUUAUAAACUAGCAUUAAAGACUAAUAGAGUUAAAAUUUGUGACAUUGUUCACAGUGAAUCCUGCUAAAGGGCGACUCAUAUCAAUACUCACGAUAGUCUGUUUUUGAAGUCGCGUGGUCGCUCCACCCGAGCAUGGCACUCCGCAGUUUUUCACACGAUGGGCUAAAUAGUAUUUGCCCAUCGACUAAUACAGUCAGACACACGGUCGGGAGACAGACCCAAAUAGCUUAGGGCCCGCCAGGGAUUGAUUGUGAUUGCAAUUAACCAAAUGGUUACUAAUUGUUGGAAAAAGUUGGCUAUAAAAUAAACAUAUUUACCAGUUUCUACAUGCUUCUUCAAAGCUUGUACAGGUCAUUUAGUAGUUACAUAUUAUACGUUGUUACAAUCUGUUUACUUACUUUUGCAUAAAAAUGAAUAUACGCUAGUUAAAAAAUCGGCGGGUCGGCGGCGACCACUGAAACUUUUCUGUAGUUCAUCAACACCAACUCAACCAUCAAACAAAUUCCAGUGAAAAGCGGUGUGUCGAGGAAUCGUGGCAAAAGCCCCAGCAGUUUAGCUAGCUGACACUCAGGUAUAGUACUUUACAUAUGAGUUCAUGUGAGACUAUAGUAAACAGAGACAUGUAAAUUGAUGUAAAUAAAAAAUCAUGUAUUAAAAUUAUCAUUAAAUCAUUGAAGAUUUUAAAAUUCACAAGUGUAAUUUUUAGAUAUAAGCUACUUUAAAAAUAUCACUGUGGUUGUGCUCCCAUCUCGUGCAACCAUGUAUAAUUAAUGAUUACUCUGUUGAACUGUUUUAUAUUCUUUAUACAGUACCGUUGUUGUUAGCCUUGGCGGACAGAGGAGUCUGUCCGUCGGUCUCUUGUACGGGCCCGAUCGACCAAAUUGCGAAGCGGACUGACCAUAUAAAUAGUAUAUAUAUAUAUAUAUAUAUAUAUAUAUAUAUUAUAUUAUAAUAUAUAUAUAUAUAUAUAUACUAGUAAAAUGUACGUGCAAAUACAUGUAAUAAUUAUUAGAAAAAAUUAUAAUUUUUUAAAAUUAUUUUUAAAUUUUAGGCCAUAUUUUAUAUGAUUGCCAAAUAUGUAUCUAAAAAAUUUAAAAUAAUAAAUCACACUAUUAAGAAAGAUAUGCUUUAAAUGAUAAAUAAUUAACAAUAAUCUCUAAUGCAAAAAUUACUUUUGAAAUUAAAUAGAAAAAUAAAAUCUGUUAGGAAAUAAAAUUUUGAAAUUAAAUAGAAAAAUAAAAUCCGUUAUCUUAAAAAGAAAAUAUAUUUUGAAAUUAAAUAGAUAAUAUCUAAAAAAAGAUAUUUUAAAAUAAAAUAGAAAAAUAUCUUUUAUAGGAUUUUCACACCCAUAGAAAACUUACUUUUGAAAUUAAAUAGAAAAAUUUAUAUUUUAGGAUUUUCACAUCAGUAAUCUGUUAUAGAGAAAUUACGUAUUCAUUACUGUUUCUCUUUUUAUUUUUAUUCUUAUAUUUAAAAUUUUUCGUACGGAAAGAGAAAAAUGAGCGCUAAUUUUUUCGCCUAAAAAUGGGUCCGUCGACAGACCCAAAUUUGAAUAUACGUGCUUUUAUAUAUAGUAUAGAUAUAGAUAUAGAUAUAGACUAUAGACUAUAGACUAUAGGCUAUAGAUAGAUUUGCAAAUUAACCGUAUAUAUAAAAGAAAAUUUUAACUUAUUUCCCCUCGAAGGGAAAGGAAGGAAGAAGAGACGAUCUCACUCCGCCAUGGCCGAGGGUUUCAAGCUCGAUCAGAAGCACGGGAAGAGCCGCGUUAGGGUUUCUCGGGUUUGGAGACAACCCCUCAGCGGCGGCGAUGCGAUCGUGGAGUGGAACGUGAGCGUAAGCCUCUUCUCCGACUGCCUCCCAGCGUACACCUCUGGCGACAACUCCGCCAUCGUCGCCACCGACUCCAUGAAGAACACCGUGAGGGAACCCUAAACUCCAAUCCUCCACAAACACCUGGUUCACUACUACUGCAUCUGCCAGAUUUGAAUCGCGAAUUUGUGGAAUUCCCUUUCUAAUCGUCUUAAUUCGCGUUCAAUUUGUGCUUGAUUUGUUGAAUUUGAAGGUGUACGCGAAGGCGAAGGAGUGCUCCGAGGUCGUCUCUGUGGAGGUGUUCGCGAUUAUUCUCGCGAGGCACUUCUCUUCAUUCUAUCCUCAGGUGAUUCGAUAUAAUCGCAUAUACCCCUAAAAUUGUCCUACUAUAUGUAUGCUUUUGCAAAAUUUGCAUAAUCUGAUUCUUUCACGUCAACUUCAAAAAAAAAAAAAAAAAAGAAGAAGAAGAAGAAAGAAGAAAGAAAAGAAGAAAAGGAAAAAAUAGAAAAGAAAAGAGAAAAGAGGAUUCUUGCAUGUUCAUUUAAACCUUAGCUCAUUACAUUCAUAUCAUUAUUGAAUAUGGUGGGCGAUAUUCGUGUAAGACAUGCAAUUUUCGAAGGGGCCCCAAAAAAAAAGAAAAGAAAAUACAAUUCUAGAUUUGGAGGGCUUUGCACUGAGUGCUUAAUUUUGCAUUGAUCCUCCUAAAAGCAUGAAAAUUUUACAGACUAUGUAACUUACAAAUUUACAGAGGUACAGGGGUGUAUGCAUGUAAAUGACUCUUCUUUUUUUUCUUUUUCUUUUUCUUUUUUUUAACCGGUAGUCCUGUGAGAAAUGGUUGAUUCUGUUUAUCUGAUUCGUGUUAUUUGUAGGUUUCGGCUGCUGAGGUUAAAAUAGUUGAGAAGCCUUGGGAACGCAUGGUCGUUAGUGGUCGACCCCAUUCACACGGUGUGUGUGGAUGCAGUCCAUUCUUUAGAAAUAAUAUGAGUUAUUUCGUUCAUCAUGUUUUCUUUUCUGAAGGUUCUUUUGUGACCUUUAGGCUUUAGCUUACACAACACACACACACACACACAGAGAAAGAGAGAGAGUUCAGCUACUAUACUCUUAUGAGUACAAUCGCUUUCGUACUCAUAAAUCAUUUUCGAUGAUAAAGCUUCCUAAUUGACGAUGUAUACUGUUAAAUAUAAUUUAAAGUAUUUAAAUAGCACGGUGCUUCCGUGCUAUCAAGUCGUUUCCGAUACUAAGACUUUCGAAUUGACGAUCGGCUCUAUUAGACUUGAUCUAGAGUAUUUGAAGUGCCUAGAAAAUAAAUUUCACGAUUUUUCGAUAUCAUUUUCCUAAUGAUCGAAGAGCCCAAAAUCAAUUAUUUUAAUGGUCGUGGUGAGUUAAUUUGCAAGUUUAAUAUUGUUGACAUAUCCAAAUCAUGUGAAAUUUUGAUAGAAAAUUUUUUAUACUAUAUAAAACAAGAUCAAUAUUUUUGAUAUAAAAUUUUAGUGUCAUAUCAUUACUUCUUGCUAUAUUUUUAUUUAUUUUCAGCCAUUGAUUUUGACCAUUUCGAUCACUAGGUAAAUGAUAUUAAAAAAUUAUAAAAUUUAUUUUCUAAAUACUUCAAAUACUUUAGAUUUGACCUAGAGUAUUUGAAGUACUGGAAAAUAAUUUUCACGAUUUUUCGAUUUCAUUUACCUAAUUAUGAUUGAAGGGGCCCAAAUUUAAUAAUUUUAAUGGUCGUGGUGAGUCAUUUGCAAGUUUAAUAUUGUAGAAAUGUCCAAUCAUGAGAAAUUUUGAUGGAAAAUUCUUUAUACUAUAUAAACAUGAUCAAUACCUUUGAUCUAAAGUUUUAGUGUUAUAUCAUCACUUUUUAUGAGAUUUUUUUUCAACCAUUGAUUUUGAACCCUUUAGAUCACUAGGUAAAUGAUAGCGAAAAAUCACGAAAUUUAUUUUCUAGAGAUUUUCAGUACUCUAUAUCAAGUCUAACGGAGUUGAUUGUCGAUUCGGAAGUUCCAGCAUUAGAAACGACUUGAUCGCACGGAGCCACCAUGCUUCUGAAAGCACACAAGCUAGACUCUGUACAUACAAACAUAUAUAUGAAUAUCAUACAUAUUCAUAUAUAUACAUACAUUCAUACACGCAUACAUAUGUGUGUGUGUGUGUGUGUGUGUGUGUUUGAAAGUAAACGAGAAAGUUUAUUUUCGCCAUCAUUUCUGGCAAUAGGAAAUCCAAAUUGACGAUCCACAACGUUAAACCUGAGCUAGACCAUUUGACCUUCUUAAGUUUUAAAUUUCACAAUUUUACAAUAUCAUUUGCCUAGUAUUUGAAUAGUCUAAAACUAAUCGACAAUCCAUACUGUUAAACAUUAUCUAGAGUAUAUAAAACUUUUAGAAAUCAAAUUUUAUAAUUUUUUGAUAUAAUUUACCUUACAAUCAAAAGAUUUCAAAAUUGACAAUUUUUAACAGCGGGUAUGGGAUACUUGCUAGUUUAACGGUGUAAAAGAAUCAAAAUCGAUUGAAUAUUUGAUAGAAAAUUCUAUUCACUAUCUAGAUAAAGAUUAAUAAUUCCGAUCUUAAAUUGAAGUAUUCAAUCAUCUUUAUACUCUAGAUCAUAUUUAACGGUGUGGAUUGUCGAUUCGGAAACUCCAUCAUUGAAAACAACUUAUGAGUACGAAGAGCUCUAUACUCAUAAGAGUAUAGUAGCUAUAUAUAUAUAUAUAUAUAAGUAUUAUAUAUUAUAAUAAGCAGAUAGGAAGUGACAGACGUAAUCCUAUAUAGAAUAAAAGAAUAUUCCAUACAUAUUAUAAAAAUAAAUAAUUUUUAUUAUAAAUUUUGGUAAAUAUAAGGCUAAAUUACAUAAAAUCCCCCUGUCAAUAUCCGCUUUUCACUUUCCCCCUGUCUUAAAACCCUACACCUUUGCCCUUUGUAAAAUAAAAAAUGUUCACUUCACGCCUGCCGUUAGUGCUCUGUUAGGGUUCCGUUUAUAAAAUAUUAUUAUAUUUUUUUAUACUAAAAAUACCCUCAGCCUCCUCUCGUCAACGUUGCCGUCUCUUUCCUCGCCGCCUCACCCUCCUCCGCUGCCUCGGCCUCGCCCACUAGCCGCAUUUCUCCCUCACUUUAAAUGUCGUAAAAACCAACGCCAACUAGCCGCAUUUUCUCCCUCACAAAUAGCAAAUGCCAACGGAUAUGACCCAUUAUUGGCAUCUACACCCGUCGCAACCAACGCAUGCCCUUGAUACUUUCCAUACAUAUGAGUUCCAUCAAUGCUUAAUAAUGGUCGACAAUAAGAAAACCAAUUAAUUGACGGCCCGAAUGCCUAAAAUACUCGUCCAAACUGCCUAAACACCAUUUAGCAGGAUUUUAGGAUCAAGACGCCAUCGAGUCCUAGGAUUCACGUGUUGUAGUAUAAAUAGGAAGCGACCAAGAUCGGUGUAUGAUUCCUCCUAAUCACCAUUGAUCUGUAGUGCUUUACUUCUAGCCUGCCAAGCUUUCAAAUAAGGUAUGUCUACAUGCAAUUCAUUACGCACCUUUUUUUUAAUUUCCGUCAGUGUCAAAGUAAGCUUUGCCCUCACUGAUGGGAGAAUAUGUCAACAUAUAAGAGAUGAAAUACAGUUUCGAUGUGCAGUGUUAAGCACCGGAACUAAACAUGUAUGUUGCCCGGCAUAUGUUUUAACUCUAAAGUAACUCACAUCCUUUGGCACCGAUGCAUGUAAUCUCCAAGGACAUGAAUCUACCAUGCAUUUAACUGUAUAAGCCUUUGUCGUCAACUUUAUUACUUUCAUUUGCACGUUGUGAGCAAUAUGUCAUUCCCCAAAAGUGUGCAAUAAACUUGAUUUAUCACAAAAUACCCGACCAACCCAUAAGUCAUCAAUGCUAGAAGGGCAUUGUUCAAUCUGCGGACGAUCAAAUUCACCGUUAUCGACCACAUAUUGGUCCAUCCAAUCGUCAUCCUCUACAAAUUGCUCUGGAUGAUCUAUAAACUCUGCACUUUCAUCUGGAUCAUCAACAUAUUCAUUAUUGACAAUUGGAUAAUCAAUCUCAGUAUAUAUGAUAUCUGCGAGGAUAGUCCGCUAUCAUGAUCCACAUCACAGUGGUGACCUUCCGCCACAAUAUUCUUAUUUAAGACCAAAUCCGAAGGUUCAUGUUCAACACCAUCCUGAUCAUUAGCGUAACCAUCUUCAGCUACUUGUUGCACUUCAGCCUGAUUUCCUAUACCGUCAUUUUCGGUUCCCACUGGAUACGAUCUAAAGUCAUGCACAUCAUGAGAGGUAUGAAAUCUGUAAUUAUUUCGUAAUUAAUCACUUUCUAACGAAAUAAAACGGUGAAUGAUUAAAUUAAUUAUAGCGUAUUCUAACCCUUCUCACAUGAGACGCCUUACUCUCUACCCAGUGGGGCAUGGAAACUAGGAGCCAUGGCAUGAUGAAUGGUACGUGGGAGGGGAGGAGGACCACCAACAACUACAUUCGGAAAAUUCAUAGUCCCUACAAUUGAUGAGAGAAGGCAUUCCAAUGAACAACAAUAGCCACAUUACUACGCGCCAUCCUAACUUUUACAAAAUAUAAUAUUGUAAACUAACAUAAUCAUAGUAAUAUUUGAGCAAUUUAUAAUAUCAAUUUGCAAAUAAUAUGUGUUCACUACACCGGAAAAUAAUAAAUUAUAAUAUUGUAAUAAAAUUAUGGUAUAAAUUUUUUUAAAAAAAAUUAUCAAUUUUCAAUAUAAAUUUAUCAAUUUUUAGUAUACAUGUAUUUACUAUACUCAUUUUUCAAAUUUCAAUAUACAAUGAUACAAAUAGAGUUUAAAAUAUGACCUAAAGUGUGCAUGCUACCAAAUAUAAACAAAAUACAACAAGUUAUAUUGAAAGAACAUAAUAAUCUAUAAACAACCAACUCUACUUCCAAAACCACUACAACUUUUUUUCAAAAUUCUCACCUCUAACCUAAUGAGGACAAUGUGGAUGCAAUGCUGAGGAGAGAGGGCGCGGCGGCGGCCUUGGCGAUGGCAGCGACAGCAGAGGCUUCGGCGUCGACAACGGCUUCAGCGACGACGGCGUUGGAGUCGGCGUCAGAUGGCUUAGAGAGAGACAGAGAGGAGCUCGGGGAGAAUGAGUGAGAAAGGAGAACGGUUCGGUGGGGGCUAGGAUAUUUUGAUUAAAGGCGGUGAACCGUUCACCGCAUUUAAAGGCGGUGAAUCGUUCACCGCAUUUAAAGGCAGUGAAUCGUUCACCGCCUUUAAAUGCGGCGGUAAACCACUUUAAUAGAAUGCGGUAAAUGAUUUACCGCAUUCUUAAGUUAUUCACACCCGCACGCCCUAGUGCUGACCUGGCCUAUUUGAGGCCUAUUUGUACAAUAAAAUUUAAAGCAGGACUAUUUUUAUAAAAAAAAAUUGAUCAACUAAGUAAAUUGUUUCGCUUUUCUCCCUGUAGCCUAGCAUAUAACAAUGUGCGAAAGUGGCAUAGACAAUGACUUUCUUUAAUUCCCAAUUUAUACCCAGCCGAAGCGACUGUCUGACUCUGAUAUUAUUCUCACUUUCAGGAUUUAAGCUUGGGAGUGAGAUGCAUACUACAGAAGUGACAGCGAAGAAGUGCGGUGCCUUGAGUUUAGCUUCUGGAAUUCAACAACUUUCUUUGCUAAAAACAACUAUGGUGAAAUAAAGUUCUAUAAAUACUGCUUUCUGUUGUCCUGUUGGUUGUUUUUCAUGUCUCGUAUAUCUUAAGUUUUCCAGAGCAUAGGAGAAGUAGUUUUGCAGUUCUUAUUAAAGUAUUCCAAAUUUUACUUGGCCUUUAUUUUUAAUUCUUGGGUUAUACUGUUGAUAUAGUCCUUAAAGGAAUAUUGUUGAAAUACUAGACAAAUAUUGUUGAAAUAGUAGAUAGUGGACUCUCCAGCAAUAAACCACCUUCAUCAUCGUUAGUAUAUAAUUUAUCUGAUUGAUUUUUUACCAAGCAACAUAAUUUUCGACUUAGAUGAAACUGCUUUUAAGUGUUGCUAUGCGUUGGGAAACUCUCUUUCCCCCACAAGUACUCUGCCAGAAACCUUGGAAAUUUUUUAGGGUUAAUUACAUCAUUGGUCCGUAACCUUUGCACCAAUUUUCACUUGGGUCCCCAACCUCUUUUUUUGCAAUCGAAUCCCUAAUCUCUUGAUUUUAUUGCAAUUAAGUCCCAGCCGUAAAAAAGGUGUUAAACUUAACGAAUCACCACGUCAGCGCCUACUUGGCUUCUUUCUGCAUAUCAAUUUUGAUCCCUAAACUUUGCAUAUUUUUCACUUUGGUCCCCAAAAAUAAAAAUUCAAAAUUUUAAAUUUAAAUUCAAAAUUAAUAUUAAACUAAAAUUUAAAACUAACGAGAAAUUAGAAUUUUGAAUUUGAAUUUAAAGCUACAAUUUUGAUUUAAAGCUUUAUUAAAAUUUUGAAUUGAAAUUCAAAUUUUAAGUUUGAAUUUUAAAUUGAAUUUAAAAUUUGAAUUCAAACUUAAUAUUUUGAUUUUGAUAUUUCAAUUUGCAUUUAAAAUGAAAAUUUUGAAACUGANACAUUACAUGCGUUAAAAACCUGAGAAGAAAUAAUACAAUUCCAACUAAAUUUUUAAUCUUAUCGUAACUAAGUCUUUAAAAUUAGAUCUCCGGUACGUUUUUCACGUAUGUUGUACGAUAUCGAUUUCUCUUAUUUAUUAACCCAAUUAAUGUGGUAACCAGGGGUUGGAAACGUGACAAAAAGUUAAACCAGGGGUUGUAAAAAAAACCGUUAGUUUAGAGAUUUUAGAGCUAAACUAGUGUUACGUUGGGACCAGCGAUUUUUUCACAAUUUUAAUUGUGCUAGCGGUGCUAGUCGCGGUGCUUCCGCGUCACAGUCGCGGUUAGAUUUAUGUGUUAAAUUGCUGACUUUGAUAUUAAGUUUACUUUAGUUUUCUAAGUUUCUUUACUAACUUUUAAAUUUUAAAUUUAUAUUUCCAACUAAAGCCUGAGUUUAACUUUAAGGUUGUCACAUAAAUUCUAAUUUCUGUUUGAUUGUCACACUUAAGAUUGGGAUUAUCUUUUCUGUUUCAGUUUUGCCCUUUACCUGGGUCAGCUUCAAAUUUAAGUUUACAUUUUAGCCUUAGUUUAGUAUUUAAGUUCGUUUUUCCUCCUUAUGUUUCUAUUUUCGAUUUUAGUUUUAUACCUUCUAGUUUAGAUUUAACUUUCAAUUCUAUAAUUUAAAUUUUUAGUCAUGAGUUUUAACUUUACACUUUAGACGCCUGUUGGAGGCCUUUAUCCCGACCUCACCUCUCCUAAUGACACAGAAGACGGAAUUGCUCUCACUCUGAAAUCUGGUGGAGAAGUACCCUACACUAAUAUAGUCCCAGGAUGAUCUCCCAAAAGAUAUAUUAUUAAAACGAGACCCUACUCUCGUCUGUAUUUCCACCUCGCGAACCUCCUUCCCUUAAUCGUUAUUAACGGUAUUGCACCAUCUAACAGAAUAACCUCGCUUUAUCUUCUAAAAAAGUCUUGAGAUUUACGUGUCGCUCAUAGAAUCAUUGACCCUAAGCGAGCGAAUUUCUGUGGACCUUAGAAAAAAGAAAAAAAAGAAAAAAAAGAAAAAAAAAAAUGUCUUCGGGUCAACAUAAUCUAACAUCAGAUCAAGUAGUAGAUUUAUUUCCCAAUUAAUGUGGCCAUCAGGGGUUGGAAAGGUAGUUAAAAGUAAACUCAGGGGUUAGAAAAAAAAAACGUUAAUUCAGGGAUUAAAGAAUUAAAAUAAUGUUAAUCCAGAGUUAGCAAUUUUUUUGACAAUUUUAAUUGCCUUAGCGGUGCAGUCGCGGAUACAACGUUAGAAAACGUACAGUUAAUCCAGGAUUUGAAACGUGUUAAAAGUAAAAUCAGGGAUUUUUUUUAAGUUUUAAAAUUUAAAUUUAAGUUUUUAUUAUAAUUUUAAUUUUAAAAUUUGAAUUACAUGUUUAUUAGGGGGAUAUUAAUUUUAACACUGAAUUUGGUGGGGUUGCAAUUGCACCAUGAAAUAAAAGAAAUUGAGUCCUAGUGAUUUAAAGGUUCGGGACAAAAUUGAAACUACACUAGAAGGGUUGAUUACCUCUGCUGCAACUUACUUUUCAUUUACAUAAAAAGAUAGGAUUUUUCUUAUAAAAAUAAGAGCAGACAAUAAUAUGUAACCAUCUUAGAUUUGAGAAAUUGGAAAUCGCUAAUUUGUUUUGUGUGCUACAGAGUUCAAGGAUUUCACAUUUCAACAUUUCUGAUAUUUUUUCUGUUAUUUGAUUGUUUAGGUGAUUAUUUUCUUCUAUUGCAGUCAGGCUUUGAAGAAUUUGUGAGGGAUAAAUACACGCUCCUUCCGGAGACAAGGGAAAGGAUGAUGGCAACAGAGGUCACUACUUCUUGGAGGUAGGUCUUCUCAUACCCUCAAUUUAAUUUCCAAUAAAUUAUCAAAAGCCUAUAACAAUUUAGGCUCGUAUUUAUAUUCCUUUUUCUUUCUUCCUGUUAUUUUGUUAUAUUGGCUGAACACAAAAGCAAAUAAACUCUUUAUUUGUUGAUGUUCUGUUGAGCUUUUUAAAUUGACGUGUGAGGGAGAGAGAAAGAACUUUGUGUUUACAAUUGAUGCACGGUAAAAUUUUCUCAAGAAAGGAAAGUUUGCUUCUAUAAUCAUGAAAAAGAUCAUCAUAUGCGAAAGGGAAUGGGUAUUUGAGUAAAUUUGCUAUGUUUUACUUAGAAAAGAUUUUGGCAAAAAGCCAAACAGGAGUAGCGACCACUAGUCUUUCAUCAGCCUCUAGGCCUAUUGAUAAAUGCUAUGAAGUCUUUUUGGGUUACAUUUGUUUUCACCAUUUUGUUCUCUUAUUAUUUUUCUUCUUUUUUUUCCUUUUGGCUUUUGUAUGAGUAUAGGUAUACAUAUGACCAUGUUUCUCAGAUACCUCCGGACCCAUUUUGCUUCACAGAAAGAUACAAAGAUGUAAAGAAGGUUCUGGAAGAAACCUUCUUUGGGCCCCCGGAUACAGGAGUAUACAGCCCUUCAGUUCAGAACACUCUGUACCUUAUGGCAAAGGCAGUGCUCAAUAGGUGGUUCUUAAUUACUUUGUAAUAUGAAAAUAAUGACAUUUAAAAUUUGAAUUUCGCUGCGAUAGAAUCAGACCAAAUAUUUUCGGAAUUUGUUUUCAGGUUCCAGGAUAUAGCUUCAAUUCAUCUCCGAAUGCCUAACCUCCAUUUCUUGCCCGUAAAUCUAUCUAGCAAAGAGAACCCAACCAUGGUGAAGGUGAGAUCAUAAUUGUACGUCAGCAUUAAGCCUGGCUCCUACAAGAUCUUCUCUGCUUCAAGUAGCAGUAGCCAACUUUCUGGGCAAGCGAAAAGGUUGGAGCCUUUUGAUGGGGCAGGAAGUUCAAAUGAGCUUACAGGCCCCAACUCCAAGUAAAGGAACCCCUAUUUGAUGCUUCCACUUCUAUUGCAGCUAGAAGCAGCUGUUGUAUGGAUUUAAAAUGAGAGAGCACUAGUCCUUCAAACAGCUUUACUCCACGAAGCUCAUCUAAUUUCUCAAGCAUUUUCAGCAAAUUCCCAUCAAAAUGGAAUGAAAAGCUUUUUAACUAAUUCCUUUUCUGGUAAUUUACAGUUUGAUAAUGAUGUUUAUGUGCCGACCGACGAGCCACAUGGAACAAUAGAAGCAACCUUGAGCCGCACCAUGUCCAAGAUGUAAUGAGUUGGUUCGUGCAAAUCAAUAUACUCGUCAUGUUUUACAUGCCAGAAAAGUCAGUGCUUGUCUAUCAAUUUGAACUUUCUAUCAUCUGCUUAGGUGACCUCUUGUAUCCUUUCAUGAUGCGUGAAAUAAGUUUGUAGCAUGCUUUGCAGGCCCCGGCUUGGCUGAACUUUGAAUACAGAGGGCUUCUUUAGAUUCCUAAUCUCUCAUGUGAAUUCAUCUUUUUAUGUGGGCAGUGAUGGUUGGAAAAUUAGUAUCUCUAUCAUAUAAGGCUUUUCACAGUUGCUCUGUAAUGUUGUCUUUGGAAGACUCAGCUGCUUCACACUCGAAAGCGCACGCUGAAUACGCUCUAUUUAACGCAAGUCCAUCUUGGCUUUUCGUUCGGAUUAGUGGUUUCGGGCUUUUCUAUCGCCAAAUGCUGGACUUGCGCUUCUUCUAACAGUAGGCCAUGGGAAGUAUCAUAGUUCUUCUAGCCUGCUGCUCUGAAGCACAAUAUUUUGGUGUAUUUAAUAACUUUUCUCCUCUCUGUGAACCGCAAAAUUUCGGUUGUCAAACUUUCAAAUUUAAUAUUUAAUAAUUCAAACUUUAAAAUAGUAUUUGCAGAGCUCUUAUCUGUUUUACUUGCAUACACUGCAUUAAUACAUUUAUCGACGCGCAAAUCCCAUUUAAAGUUCUAAAUACUGGUGAUGAGUGAAAACCCAGAGCCAAACGCAAAAAUUGGCAGUGGCUGAUCUAAUUGCGGAGGAAAAAGGGUAAAUUGCCGUUGGUCGAUAACGUUCGAAAACGAAUUUUCUAAUUAGGCUAAAUUACAUAAAACCUCCCAGUCAAAACCCGAUUUUUCACUUUCCCUCCCUGUCAUUUAAAAAUCUAUACUUUGCUCCCUUGUAAAAUAAAAAAUGUUCACUUCGCCUCCUGCCGUUAGUAAUCCGUUAGGGUUCCGUUUAUAAAAUAUUAUUAUAUAUUUUUUUAUGCCAAAAAUGCUCUCAGCCUUCUCUCAUGUGCACAUGGUGAUGGGCAAAAUAGUCAUUUUGUCAUCACAGUUAUCCCUGUGAAUAUUUUUUAUUUUAUAAGGGAGAAAAAUGUAGGUUUUUUAAUAACAGGAGGAAAAAGUGAAAAAUCAGAUUAAACAGGGGGUUUUCUGUAAUUUAGCCUUCUAAUUAUUAGUAGUUGAAUUUAAGUAUUUUGUGCGUCCUAUUUGUGCUCAAAUGUUAUUAGUGCUACUAUGUUUGUUCGUAUCGUAAUAUAUGAAGGAAUUUUAGAUUACUGAAGGACUUGGCUAAUCCAUUUAAUGAGGACCAAUUGUUGGUUAAUUAUUAGCGUUGUUUGUACCAAUUAUACCUCUAGGCAAAACGAAUAAUCCAAGAUCGAUGCUUGCGCAUUUUACUAGGAUGCCUGGUUUAAUUAACUACAUACAAUAUAAUUUAAUUAACUACACACUAUAUAAAAAACAAAGUAAAAUCAAGUGGCAUAUCCUUGGUUCUUGAUUAUAUCAAUUAUAUGUACUAUUCCUUGAAUGCAGCUAACAAGGACAGUGACAUAUAUAUAUAUAGUAUAGAGGCGGCAGAAAGAUGAAGAGGACAAAGAAUAUGAGAAGAGGACAAAGAGAGAUGCCCCCGAGGAAAUAACAGCAGGUACCCCAAUUAACGAAGACACAGUACAUACAACUAGUAGUAGUAUAUAUACUCCAUUAAUUACUAUAGAUAGCUAAUGCAACAAUUAAUUAAUAAAUGGCUAUAACUUUUUUGCACUUGAUUGUGGUUUUGUCUAGUGUCGUAAUUCCGGUUUUGGUUUGGUCGCAUUCAUGGCGCUCCACGAGAGAGAUGAGGAAGAUCCCCGGUAAUAUAGGUUGGCCUCUCGUUGGAGAAACGCUCUCUUUUAUAUCAGAGUUCUCGAGCCCUUUUGGUAUUCUCAGCUUCAUGCAUAAGCGGCAGCAAAGGUUCAAAUCGAUCAAUUGUAUUCUCCAUUCAAAAACUUAUGACUAGGGUCUUUUAUGUACGUAUGAAGGUGAAAUUUCUUAUUAAUUAAAUGAAAUGCUUAAUUGUUCAAUUUUGAAUACGUCUUUGGUUGUAAGGCAAUUACAUUUACUGUCUACAAUAUUAGGUGUUUAUGUAUUUAAUUUGUGAAACAUUUAUUUGAAAUUAUAUAUAGGGCUUCACAACUUCAAUUCUGGGUAAAUCUAUUUUUAUAUUAAAUUGAAAAAGCAUCCAAUUCAUUUGGGUCACAGAGAACUAUCGAAAAGUUUUCGGUAAGGAUAUUAUGUAACACUCUUUUCGAGAGAUGUUAUAAAAAUUGAGUUGGUCAACUUCUAAAAUGCUAGGAAGAUACUUGAAGAGCAUAUAUGAAAAUUUCAUAUUUCCUAUCUAGUCAUUUUUGUGAUAUAUUAUAUAUAGAAUAUCCAAAUUAUUGGUAAAUAUGAUCUAGAGUAUUAGGAUAGUGUAGGUCUUGAAUUUUAAAGAUUGUUGAACAUUAUUAUCAAGUUCAUCAAGUAAUUAACUACAAAACAUAUAGGCAAAAAUAAAACCAAAACUUGUGAAAUUUUAGUUAAUUAAGGUUAUUCAGUAGAAGACAAGAGUUGCCAAACAUUAUUGAAAUAAUUAAGAAAGUAUAUAAUACCAAAUUUAAUUGUCUUAGAUUGUUGUACCUUGUUAAAUUAGCAAACGUCGACUCGUAUAGAUUGUGAAAAAAAUAUUGAUUUUGGAUAUUUGAUCACUUUAGUACAUGACUUUAAAAAUCAUGAAGUUCAUCUCAAAUACAAUAGAUCAUCUUUAGCUAAUACUAAUUAUAUAGUUAGAUUCUCUAUCAUUGAAAGCGAUUUGAGAGGACAAAGACAUUCACCCUCCUGAGGGAUAGUAGCCGGACAAUAAAUAUUUAUGUUAAAAGUUUGCAUUUUUUAAGGUUACAUAUGGUGAAUUUUCAAAAGAUAAUUUAAUUUGCAGGGUUAUUUUUGAAACAUUGCAUGCUUUCAAAUAUAUAUCUACAUAUAAAGGAGAUCUAAUUAAGUUUUGGUACUUCUAUUUUUGUUAGGUAUGGAAAGGUGUUCAAAACAUAUGUUUUGGGCAGAUUCACAGUGUUCAUGACAGGAAGAGAAGCAAGCAGGGUACUGUUAUCUGGCAAAGAUGGAAUGGUGAGUUUGAACUUGUUCUAUACCGGAAAGCAAGUGUUAGGCCCAACGAGCUUGCUCACGACAAACGGCGAAGAGCACAAAAGGCUUCGACGAUUGAUCGGAGAUCCUUUGUCGAUUGAUGCCCUUAAAAAGUAUUUUGCCUUCAUCAACGACUUGGCGAUCGAGACGCUAAGUACAUGGCUUGGGCGAAAAGUUCUUGUGCUUGAGGAGGCUUCUACGGUAUGUCAUGCAUAAGUAAAUAAUUUUUAUGCAGUGUACUCAAUAAAAUUCUACUGGCUUAUAGUUGUAGGGCCUGUUUGGAUGUCUGGAAUUGAAUAGUCACACGUGAAAUAUGUUUUGAUAUCUUUAACUGGUCGAAAAGUUGUUCAGACCUAACUUUUCUAAAUUGCUAUGUAGAUUGAUCUACACAUGAUUCUUAUUUUUGCGACUUCCACCUCGACGGGUAAGAAAGUUACUAAAUAUGGCACCCCUCCGCAUGCAGUAUGAUUGGACCCCAACAAUUUUUUUUUUUUUAAGAGAUAGGUAGCAUGCUACCCAUUUUUUUUCUUUUAUUUAGAAAUAAACUUAGUUGGAAUGUGAAUUAAAUAGGAUUCGAUCUUGGGACCUUGGUACCAAUCACCAAGUUCUUUGCCACUUGCAUUAGGGACGGUCAGUGACCCCAACAUCUUAAUUUGCAUCUUUCUAGAUCGUGCCAUCGCACUAUCUAGGAGAGCAUUGUCUUUUUCUCUCCAUUUCCUCUCUUUCCUUAAUUUUCUUUCUCUCCAACCUUAUUUCAUUUCUCAAGUGCGCACGAAUCUCGUAUAACUUCGAUGCGACGCUCGUCCCCAACAUUGUUACCUCGAUCGCAUUCUAAAUUAAGCCUAAUAUGUAACUAAUCCUCACCAUUCAUCAGGCGCGCUUCGGACAAGUAGAAUUCCUCAAACAUUAUUAGGAGGGGAAUGUGAGGGGGGUUCGUUGCAACUUGGAAUAAUAGAAUUCCUCAAACAUUGCGGGGUCCUGCUCAACAAACAAAAUAUUUUUUCCUCAUAAUUUUUUAUUAUUAAGUUUUCCAAUUUCGAAAUAAAUUUAGCCAUUUACAAAAGAUUUUUUUUUUUCUUUUAAUUUCAACAAAUUUUGGAGUUCGCGCGGGUGCCAUGGUCAAACAAGAAGAUCAUGGUAUAUUUUCAUACUUUUUUUUUUAGAUUUUUUUUUUUUUUUGUGUUUUUAUACGAAUUUUGUGUUGUUCUUUGUUUAGUUUUCUGAGGAUGUAUGUAAGAAGUACACUAGCUUAAUGACCUAACGAAAUUGCCAUCUUUUAAAGAAGCACUGUCUGAAAGUCUGUUUUAUUUGCCAUUCUCCAGCAACCAAUUAGGGCCUUAGAGAAACUUCACAUGAGACGAGAGUGAACUUAAUUAAAUGAAAUUAGAAAAUUGAAUAAGUUGUUUUCUAACAUCUUAAAGUUCUUAAUUUUGGUAAAUUGGUUGUUUAAUAGCGUUAGAUUUAAAUUCUUGGGUUUAUUGUAGUUUACACUCAAAGUGAUUGGGAAUAUGAUCAUGAGCUUGGAGCCAGCAGGAGAGGAACAAGAGAAGUUCCGUGCUAACUUCAAGAUUAUAUCAUCGUCAUUCGCGUCCUUACCGUUAAAGAUCCCGGGAACUGCUUUUUAUCGCGGCCUUAAAGUAAGUCUCCGUUUGUAACUUCUUUAUUUGAAAAUACAAAAACAUAUGUUAUCUCAUAAACCUCAAAUAUAUACAUUGCUUGAAUUGCACUGGGAAAUUAUAGAAUUUUUCAAAUGCAUGCACAUGAUACCCCUAACUUAUAAAAGCCUUAAAUUGCUGUAGAGAUAUAAAGUUUUCAGUAUUUCAUCAUAUGUUAUUGAUCUUGAAGAAAGUCAAAUUAUAUUAAUUAGAUCAUUCUAACUUAACAAUUAUGCCUAACCUAUCCACUAGAAAAAAGCAUAAUACUAAUUAAUAUAUGUAAGCAUAAGAAAUAUAUUGUAAACGGUCGUAAAUAAGUAUGCAGUGUUGUAAUUCUAGUCUCUUGAACGAAUGUAGGCGCGAAAUCGAAUGUAUGCAAUGUUGGACUCAAUUAUUUUGAAGAGGAGAGACGGCGAGGUGGUUUGUGGCGAUUUUCUGCAGACACUCUUAAGAAAGCAUGCCAAAGGGUCUACGGAUGAGGAGGAGGAAAAAUAUAACUCUAAUAAGCUAACUGAUUCACAGCUUAAGGAUAACAUAUUGACUCUACUUGUUGCGGGACAUGAUACUACAACAGCAGCUCUUACAUGGCUCCUCAAAUUCCUUGGUGAAAAUCCUGAGGUCCUUCAAAAACUUAGGGUAAAAUUUAACACUAGUUUUUUUUUUUUUUGUUUCAGAAAUAUUACGCCAAUUAUAUAGCAUGCAGUAAUAGUGGCCGUCCAAAAUAUGAGAAAGCUGUGUACGUAGGCAUUUAAGUGGAAUUUUUUAGACUUUUUUGAACAAUUAAUUAGCUCUAUGUAAAUGAUACUUUUACGGCGUCUCUAGUUGGGUCAAAUUGGCCCAAAAUCAAUACUGCUAAUAUUAUAAUUUAUGAUAAUAUGGCAGGAGGAGCACAUUGAGAUUCAAGGAAAAAGGAGCGGAAGUAGACAUCUCACGUGGUCAGAGGUCAAUAGCAUGCCUUAUACCAACAAGGUAAUUAAGUGAAAUUUGACUUAUAAACAUUAACUUUUCUUGGUUUUUUUUUUUUUUUUUUUUUUUUUUUUUUUUUAAAAAGCUACUUAGUGGUAGUUUUGUGGGUUACAUGCUCAGGAAUAUUUAUCACUCCAUGUUCACCUAUAUUAUAUGUUCUUACAAACUUCUAUGAUACUCAAAAUGUAAAUAUUGGUGUGAAUUAAGCUCAGGUUAUCAGUGAGACUCUAAGGAAAGCCACCAUCUUACCUUGGUUUUCAAGAAAAGCUGCCGAGGAUUUCGUCAUUGAUGGUCAUGACCUGCAUACUUACACGAGCAUUCCUUAUUAUUAUUUUUUUAAAAUUUGUAUCCUAUGGGUGUAAUCAUCUCUUAUAUUCAAUUGAUAAGUACAACACUGUUAUUUGGAUUCUCAGGGUACAUUAUCAAGAAAGGUUGGUCUGUAAACUUAGAUGUUGUAUCAAUCCACCACGAUCCAAGCAUUUUCACCAAUCCAGAGAAGUUUGAUCCAUCAAGAUUCAAUGUAAGUUAAAUUUCUUUAUAAGAGAAUUAAGUUAAACUUUAGGUUUGGCUCGCCAUCACUAUAAAAAUACCAAUGCAAUCCAUAAACUCUUUCGAAUACUAAUUAGGUGUAAUAAAAACCAGUACCACCAUUCCUGCCUGUUAAUUAAAGAUUAACAUAGUUUCAUAUAUCUUUCGUGUAUGUGUCACCAAAAUUCUAGUAUAAUAGUUCUUUUGUAAUUUGAAAGCAUGAAUUUGUUUUUUUUUGAGAGAAAAAUUUGAAAGCAUGAAUUUGAUAAAUAAGUUUGGUAAAUUGAUAAGAAUCUAGCGACCUGGUUGACAAAGAAAAGAGUUUAAUGACUAUAUCUAUAUCUAUAUAAAUAUAAAAUUAUAAAUCCUCAUAUCCUUAAAGCUGAUGUGGCCCAACCUCCUUAAUUUGGGGGUAUGGGUCCCAUCAUUUUUUUAUUUUCUCAAAUUAAUUGAUUUUUUUUUCUUUCAUCAAAUUUUUUCUAUGGAUAGAUUAUCAUUCCUUUAAUCUGGAGAUGUGGCCCCACUACCCCUUAAAUUAAGGGUGUGGGUCUGACUAAUUUUUUUAUUAUUUUUUUAAAAUUAAUUAGAAGUUGAAAGGUGGGAUAACUUAAUAUAUCUAAGAAUUUAAAAGUUAGGAAUAUGAAAAGUCAUAUAUAUUUUAAUAGAAGAAAAUAAAAAGUCAUCUUAGGAUAUGAAGGGUUAAUUUAGAGUCUAUAUAAAUAGUUGUACUCAUAUUCAUUUUGGAUGAGUCUAUAUUAAAACUAUGAAUCCUCAUGUCCUUAAAGCUGAUGUGACCCAACCUCCUUAAUUUGGGGGUGUGGGUCCCAUCAAUUUUUUUAGUUUUUCAAAUUAAUUGUUUUUUUUCUUUCUUCAUUUUUUUUUUUCUAUGGAUAGAUCAUCAUCCUUUUAAUUUGGAGAUGUGGCCCCACUACUCUUUAAAUUAAGAGUGUGGAUCCCACCAUUUUUUUUAUUAUUUUUUUAAAAUUAAUUAGAAAUUGAAAGGUUUGAUAACUUAAUAUAUUUAAGAAUUUAAAAAGUUGGGAAUAUAAAAAGUCGUAUAUUUUAAUAGAAGAAAAUAAAAAGUCAUUUUAGAAUAUGAAAGGUUAAUUUAGAGUCUAUAUAAAUGGUUAUACUCAUAUUCAGUUUGGUUGAAUAAGAAAUGAUAUACUAAAUAUUAUUUGUUUAUUCAGAUUUUUCUACCGUAUAGUAUAUUUUAAAUUACGUGGGAUUCGACUCUUCCAAUUUAAGGUAAUUUUUUUAGAAUAUCUAUAAUUUUUAAUAUUUGUUUUCAGUAUUUUGGUUACUAUGUUAUAAAUUUUUAUGUUUAUUUUUGUUUACAAAUUAUAAUGUCUCCAUUAUAUAAUUAUUUGAUUUGUUUACAAAUCAUAAUGUCUCCAUUGUAUAAUGGUUUGAUUGUGUUGGAAAUUUUGAUGGAUUUGUUUUUAUUAGGGUUUAGAAUUUUUGAAAUAAUUAAUUAUUAUGCAGCCUAACACCAUACUUAGCGCAAUCUAAUUGAUAUGUUAGAAUUUGUUUGCUAAAUAUAUUUUCUAUUGUUUCUGAUUAAACCUACAUGUCACUACCUAUAUAAUAAGACCUCUAUAUAAAGUUGUUGGAAAUAGAUAUGAUUUGAUACCUAUCGUGAUGUUUCAGUGUAAAAAAUUUAAAUUUUAAAAAAUAAAAUCUGCAUAUCUUUCAAUAUACUUUAAAAUUACUAAAACUUUUAAAGUAGAUACAUGUGUUUCACUCUCUACAAAAUAACUUAUAGAAAUAUAAGGAUCUAAAAUUUAAAUUUUAAAAUUUAAAAUAUUAUAAUAUAUCUAUCCGCUGCAUCGUGUGGAUCACUACACUAGUAUUUGUAAUUGGGUGAAUGAAAUAAUAAGAUUUUGAUAGCUAGAUUUUCCUAAGGAUCGCACGACUGAUGAUAUAAGUAUAAUCUGCAGAAUCCGCUAAAGCCAUUUAGCUUCCUAGGGUUUGGUAAUGGGCCACGCAUGUGUCCAGGGAUAAACUUAGCCAAGCUCGAGAUCUGUGUGUUCAUCCAUCACCUCGUAUGCACAUACAAGUAAGAAAAAGGAACCAAUAAUUCUUUUAUUUUGCUUUCCGUUUGCUAUUCUUUUUCUCGAUUAACAAGAAAGUUUAUUUUCACUAAUAAUUUUGAGUGCAGGUGGAAGCCAAUGGAUAAAGAUGAUUCAGUUCGUGCAAUGCUUGUUCGCAUGCCCAAGAAUAACUACCCCAUCAUUGUUGAAAAGUUAUAAAGUUUGUUGCAAAAUGAGGUCGUGCCCUUCUAAAAAAACGCCAGAUGAUCAUGAGCUUAUGUCUGUGAAGUGUGAGGAGUAAAUUUAGAAAGAGAGAACAAUAGAAAUUAUAUGUAAAAGAGUUUUCAUACUCAUUUUCCCUUCUACUGCAUGUUUGGGCUCCUAAUCUACCUUUUGGAAUAACGUUUCUUCGAAAUCUAUUAGUAACUUGCAUUUGCAUUUUGUACUAUACUUUGCUAAGGUUUGUAUUAGUUAGUGGAAAGGGGCAUAUCCUGGAGCUCCAUUUCUCUUCUACCUCCCUGUCAAUAGGUCUUAUUCUGAAAAAAUAAUGAAGCUGACUACAUGAAGGCCUAAUAAAAACUAAGCAUAAUAUGUAUUGUACAAUAUUUUUUCUUACUCAAGUCUAGGCUUAGUUACAAACGUCCUCCUUAUGCUCUAAGCAAUGUCUCAUUUACCCACCCUAUAUUCACAGUAACAUCUAUUAGUGUCACGACCCGACGUCGUCAAUUUGGACAGCUCGGGCCCGCAAUGCCGAACGGACAGAAUUUUUUCUGUCCGCCUGAAGCGUAAACAAAGUCUUUGCAUACAUAUAUCCAAACAGGAGAUAAUAGCAAUCACACAUUUACAAGAGGUAUACACACAUUACAACAAAACUAAGCUAUAGCGACACUUUUAAGUGUCCCUAAAACCUAAAAAAAAUGCUGCUGGUAAAAAUACCGACACUAAUAAUUGUGUCGCUAUCUGUGCAGUCGCUAGGGUAUAUAGUGACACAUUAUAAAGUGUCGGUAUAUCCCAAAAUAAAUGCUGCAGUUUAGUGACAUUUUUUGCUUUUAGUGACACACAUAAGUGUCCCUAGUUAAAAAAAAAAGUAAUAUUUUUUUUUUAUAUAGUGUAUAGUGACACUUUAUAAGUGUUCCAUUGUCGUUCAAAGUAUAAUAUUUUAUUUAAACAUCUACUAUUAAACUUUGGUUAAGCUAAUCGCAUUUCUUAAAUCGAUAAGACUAAAAAGAAACAAGCAACAAAGUUUCUUAAAUUCUCAUUAAAAUGAUAAAACUAAACAUCACAACAAUAAUAUCUACUCACAUGUUAUAAUAAUUAUAACAAAUCAAACUCUCCAUCUGAAAAAAAAAAAAAAAUUAUGAUAACAAAAUCAAAAAAUGCAUAAUCGUAUUUUGAUCCACUCCAUGAUUAUAUCCUUGGACCUGCACAUUGAAUAACAUUUGAAUUAAUUAUUAAUCAAAUAAUAAGUUUUGGACAUAUAUUAAGGUUAAGAUGACUAAAUUUACCUACUGAAUAAUAAAGCCCAUUAAAAGUCACUUACAUCAAAUUUCGAACACCACAUCAUACCAUAACAAGAAAGUUACGAAUAAAUUUAGAUUCUAAAAUAACAAUAGACACUGUUUCAGUAUGAUACAUGCUGUACUAUACUGUUUCGAAUGAACAUCAUAGAACUAUUUAAACAUCAUAGAACUAUUAGAUAUUUAUAUCAAAUUAUCAACUAUACGUAAUCUUUCAGACCUCUUUUGGUAUCAUCUAAUUUUUUUUCUAGACUACAAAUCUUGCUAUUUUUGUUAGCUCUACUACUAGUCAUCUUAAUAAAGCAUUGACACAGAUAAAAGCAUGAAUUACACUGCUGAAGAAGAUUGCUAUCUUCUAAUAUUCAAUGCUAAGUCAACUUAUGGCUUAGAAAAGCAUGAAUUACAUUUGGUACUCAUCUUUUUAUAAAUUAUUAUUCUUGGAAGAUAAAUCAUUGCAAGCUUCAUGAACUCAUUGAUACACUUCACUAGAUAAAUGAUUAAAACCUUCUAGGUCCUUUGUCUAGAUAAAAGCAUAACAAUCUACCAUAAUAGAAUGGAUCAAACUAGUCUCCACCAGUAUACCCUAAAAAUUACUAGUUGACGGUCAUGCAAUAGAGAUGAUCCACGAGAUCUCAAAGAUGACAUCCACAAAGCAUAAGCAUAUGAUGAAAAGUUAAGACUUCAAAGAAUUAUAUUAAAACUGCUAAUUAUUGAUCAUUUUAAUGGUUCUACUAACGCUACAGUAAGUUGGUUCAUUCCUUGCAGCAUUAAUAUUGUAGUUGCUCUUUCUAUAGCACAGUACUAUCUAUGGUACAGUAGCUGAGACUUUUUAGUUCUGCCUUCUUGUAUUUUUAGCUUAGUUCAGCUACUUUUAAAUUUACUUAAUUUACUAUCUCUAAUUUCUUAGUCAGAAAGAUGCCUAAUAGGAUUGGACUUAUUCGACUCUAAGCUUUCAAACAAUAAAAGAAAACUUUCUAAUCUCUCAAAAGAAAAAAAAAAAAACUUUCUAGUUUUCCCUGUUACAAAGAUAUUAUGAUCCUUCACACUAUGCCCCUCUAGAUCCUCCAUAUACACAACCUAAAUCAAAUUAUUACAUGUUUUCGUAGUCAGAAAACAAAAAUUUCUUCUUAGCCAAUGCCUUAUUUUAUUCACAGAUAACAAUAGAUAAGAAUACUGGGGACUCAAGCGGCUUAACUUACAAAAUAGCCUAAUUUAAGGCAACUGCAAUACAGGAUACCAUACAAAAGAAUUUAUGGACGAAACUAAGGAUUCGAGGUCGAGAGCUCUUACCAGUGGAAUGGAGCACCGAAUCGAGAAGUGGCACCACCGAGGGCUCGGAUCAGAUUGCCGGGUCGAGGAUUGCCCUCGUGGGACCAAGGAGGUCGGUGUCGAUGAGGAUUGAGAACCAAACUACACGAUCACAACGAACUGAUAGAACAAAAAUCAAAAAAAUUAAGAUAAAAAGCAAAUAUUGGGCUGAGAUUUGAAAUGCAUUUAGUUCCAAGCUAAGAAAACUGGACUACUUGGAACUAUAAAACAAAGCAAAUUCUGAGCCUAAAGAACAAUUUGAACUUAAUCAUUGGGUGUCGCAGGUACAUCACAUAUGAAUAUAAUCUCUGCACCGUCCAUUCAAAAUUGUAAUCAUAUCUCCAGAGGUAAAAAUGUAACUACCCUGUAAGCCAUAGGCAAUUUGCAAAUGACCCUCACAACUUCAUUCCUUUUCAUUGAGGCACCAUCCAUUUUUCCCCAGUAAUUUCAAGUUCUAUCAACAUUCAAGUAGCUAAUAGCCUUUUCGCUCAAAAGAAAAGCAGGUGUGUUCAUCAAGUAUCAAGUAUCAAGCAUAAAGGACAUUUUAUUUCUGCUGCUGCUACUGCUUUAUUUUUGCACAAAUAAUAGAAAAAGGUUAAAAUUACAUUGCAGGAUAAAGUAAAAAAAAAAAAGAGUUUCACAGCCUAUGGCAAGAGUUUUCGUUUGGUGCUUCUAAUUUCACUCCAAAGAAAAACUAUCGAAGGCAUUAUUUUUGUAACAUACCGAAACCUCAAUAAUUAAAUUCGAACCUUGAUCAAAUUGGCCAAAGUGCGAGGUUGGUACGCUUCGGAGGCCGGAGGCGUCAAAUAAUGCUAAAAUGCAUUUCGGGGGACCUUCGAGAGCUUUGGCAUUCAAAAUAUGCAAACUGCAGGUUUUGUGCUCUCGGGGACCGGUCCCUGGUGGGAGAGACCGGUCCCCGAACGCGUAGGCAGUGAGGUGACUGAGAAAUCGGCUAAGUCCUGAAAAAUCAGUUCUCGGGAACCGAUCCUUGCGAGGAGAGACCGGUCCCCCAGAGACCGGUCCCAUCGAGGGAGACCGGUUGCAUCGCGCGCAGUCUGCGCAGUCCGCGGGAGGAGCUCUUCGGGACCGGUCCGAGGUCGGGGAGACCAGUCCCUCACUGCGAAAAAUGCCCAGUUUGGGCAGUGCACAGGGAAUAAAGUGGAGGGGUCUUGUUGUAAAUGUUACAACACCUUAUAUACCCAACCCCCUCUCCCUCUACAGCCAUUCACACAUCUCUCUCACUUUCUCUCUUUUCUCUCUCUAGAGAGCUAACCCUAAAGCUUGGAGAAGAAGAAGGAAUGGCUUGGAGAAGGAAUUUUGGUGGAUUUGGUGGGUUUGGGAUCUCUCCAACAAGAAGGAUCUUGGAGAGCUUUGGGCCAAGGUAUGGUUUCAUAAAAAUUUAGGCUAGGGUUUGGAUUUAUCCCAAGAGAACUUAGGUUUUGGAGCUUCUUUGAUGAUUAGAGCACCUCUUGAGACUUGAGCCCCAUGAAAAUCCAUGGAAGCCCAAGGUCCUCUCAUGGUGAACUUCUAGGGUUCAUCUUGGAUGCCCUAGAAAUGGCUUAGUUGACCUUAGAUGAGCACCUAGAAGCUUGACAAGCUCUCUUUUGCUUGUUUUAGAGAUCAAAACCUAGGGUUUAGCAAUGGGUUUGGUUAGGGCACCAAAUUUGGGGCUUUUGCCCUAGAAUUUUUCGGGGGCGAAUUGACCCCGUAGAAACCCAAUUGGGGGUGUCCUCGACGCGUAGGACAACUCCGUUUAACGUUACGAAAAUGUUUAAGUAUGGUUUGUGUACAAAAGGCCUAAUAUAGCACUACUUUGGUUAUAAGACGCGGAAUUGGCUUUCGUAAAGUUCGGGAGUCGUCGUAUUCUACACCUACACGAUCACUCGAGGUGGGUGGUGCAUUCCAAGGACCUUGAAAAUCUCUUAUGUCUAAAGUGUCAUGUUUGAACAUAUAUGUAUACAUUGAGCAUGUUGCAUAGUAGGGUUAAUUGUGAGCUUUUAUUGCAUGAUUGUGAAUUUAAUUUCGUAUGAAAUAUUUGCAAGAAUGUGAGAAUUAUAAACCCUAUUUAUGCAUGACAAGUGACAAGAACCUAGAAGGGUUAGUAAACUAAAGUGACACCAUGACAUAGAUUUAACCAGUGGCAUUAUUGAGUCUAGAACACUUAGAAAAUAAGUGUGACAUUUGGCAUGAGAACAAGAACAUAGCACUUAGAAAAUAAGUGUGGCAUGAGUACAAGAACUUAGUAGUGUGUAUGACACAAGUGUUGGUAAAGAAUACAAAGAAAAGAUUGAUUGAGAUAUUAUGACAUUUCAACCUUAGAGUUAAGGGUCAUUGAGCAUGGUUUUCCUUAAAGUUAAGGAAUGGAUUGAACUUGGAAUCCUCAAUGUAGGAUUGAUCGUACUCAUCUUUAGUCCUUGCUCGAGAGUGGUAGCUCCCUCUCGGGCGAUGUGCUCCGGAGUCGACCUCACUGGGUCGUAGCGGGUAACUCCCCAGAUCGGGUUGUAGCGGGUAUCUCCCUGGUUAAUGGGAUUUUGGGUUGGUGAGUUUGUUGAGGGCGAAACCUACGGGCUAGCCAAGAGAUUGGGUAAAGAAAUUGUGAUCCUGCAUUCAUCAUGAGCAUUAUAUCGAGCAUCGCAUUUUAUAUUGCUCAGACAUAUUAGUUGCAUUUGUUAGUUGGUUACUUUCUUUCUUCUAUUCUAUUAUGCCUGAUUAGACCUAGUGGGAUAGUCGGCGUGGUUGGUUGCCGAACCCACUGAGAACUUUGUUGUAGUUCUCACACCCCUAUUUCCACAGAGCUAGGACCGAGCGAACCGGCAGACGACCGCGGUAAGGGCAUCACGCCCUAGGUAGAGACCGCCUGAGAUGUUUUAUUUCUUAGUUGCAUAAUCUUUUGAUAUAUCAUCUUUUGUAUUUUGAUGAUUAUAGUUGUUAAAAGAAAGGACAUGAACAAUGUAAAAGAGUUUAUUUAAUAUUAAUGUUAUAUUUUGGAGGAAUGAGAUGUAAAAAGAAAUGAUGAAAAAGUGUAAUUGAUUUCCUGAGUGUAGUUAUUUACUUUCACUAUUGGCUAUUGCUUGCCCUCGUGCAAGCCAGUGUGUAUGCUUCCGCUUAUGCAAACUUUAUACUCUUUUGAUACUUGUUGUUGAGACUUGGGCGGACGGGGGAGGCUCCGUCCGUUCGGCAUCUGUUCGACGCUCUCGAACCGGCCAAAAGGAUUUGGCUCGGGGCGUGACAAUUUUGAAGGGAGCAGAGAUAUUUGAGUAUACUAUGGAGGAAGCAGAAAUAUUUGAGAAUAUUAUUUUUCUUUUUUUCCUUAUAACACUAAUUAGAUAAUGAUAGCGAUUUUCUCCAGGGUUAAGCAUACGCCAAUAGUUGACUUUGCAUCUUACAAUUAUUAUACAUUUCUUUGGUUUCCAUCUGGUGUUUAUAUCACGAAAAGUUUAUCUAACUAAUACAACUGCUUAUAUAGUUCUAACGUUUUUCUUGAUUUUGUUGUGCGGAACGCAAGAAUUACGUCGAACAGUGGCUUUCAUCUCUUCAGAGCUCGUAAAUAUGAUUAAUUUCUUUCAACUUGGGUUGAAAUGCUUUCAUUUCCAUGACAUUGAACUGAAGCUCUUGUUACACUAAAUAUGAAAUCAUGAAAAAGAAGAAGAAAGGAAGGGAAGCAAAAAUUUUCCACUAGGAUAUCUCUCUUCUUAGCUGUGGAAUCAUGUUGUGAGCAAUUAAAAUGGAGAUUCAUUUAGGAUACUAAUUCUACUUUACUUUUUUAUUCCCCAGGACUUAUUCUAUGAUGGCCGUGUAAAUAUGCUUGUAUAUGAUUCUUCUGUAAAUACCAGUGUAAAUAUGAAGCCAACAUUGUAGUUUUCUGUCAAGUUACAUAAGAAGGCCAAACUCCAGGUUGCCUUUUGGGUGGGUCUCUUUGAUUUUUGGCUGUGUAUGUAUAAAUCUAAUUCACUAUUGUCCAACAAGUGUUGAGGGAGUUGAGAUAUGUGAAAAAAUGUUCAUAUGGAAGUUUUAAUUUGCCAAACAGGCUCGCUGAAUCGGCAAACCUAGCAUGGUCUUGCUCAGCAAAAUCCCUUGCUGCAUAACCCUACAAAUUCAGAAAACAUAAUCUAAAGAAAUCUUCAAGAAUUCAACAAAUUUCUUUGCUAACUAGUCAGAUCCUCACAAGUACAACUGUAAGGAAGUGAAUUCUCGAAAUACGAGAGUUAGACUUCAUCCAGAAUCGACCAAGGGUCGUGUUGGUGAGCUUUGGAAAAGCCAAAGAUAUUAAAAUCACCAAAAGUGCAUUAGAAACGAGUCCACGAGAGCAAAUAGUGCAAAACCUACAUUGGAGCAAAAUUGCUCUCAGGGACCGGUCCCUGGCAGGGAGGGACCGGUCCCAUCGGCUGGUGGUUGCGGGGAUCCUUGAGGCAACCGGUCCCUGGCAGGGAGAGACCGGUCCCCGAACGUGACCCCAGCGAGAAAAGCCAAAAUUUGACUAAGUCCCGAAAUCCCAGCUCUCAGGAAUCGGUCUCUCAGUAGGGAACAGGUCUCCCGAGGACCCGUCUCUCUGGGAGAGACCGGUUCCCGAACGCGUGACCCGAGCUGAGGCUCUCGGGGACUGGUCCCAAGUCAGGGAGACCGGUCCCUCAGCGCGCAGAAUGCCCAGUAAGGGCAGUGCAAAGAGUGAAAAGUGAAGGGGGCCAGCUAGAUAUUGUUACAUUAGAGGGCUUAAGAGUCCCUCUCUCUUUCUCCAACCUUCAUUACACUCUCCCACUCACACUCUUUUCUCUCCCUCUCUCUCUCUAGAAGAAAAGAGAAGGAAAAGAAGAAGAAGAAGAGAAGAGAAGGAAAAGAAGGAAGAAAAGGAAGGAGAAGAAGGAGGAGAUCAAGCUAGAGGAAGCUUUGGACCUCUCCCUCUUCCUCUCUUCUCUCUUUGAAGCUACAACAAGGGGUAGUAGGCUUUUAUCCCUAGUUGUGGAAUUUAGGGUUUUUGGGUUUUAGCUCUUUGGAUGGGAUCAAAUGGAUCCCUAGCACCAUGAAUGGUGGGAUUGAAGCUAGAAUCUAGGGUUUUGAGAUGGGUUUAGCUUGAUGCUAACCCUAGGGCACCAAAAUAGGAUUUUUGGUAAAGUAUGAGAUUGAUCUCAUUUGAGACCAUGUAAACCUAAUUGGUAGGUGCCUAAACGUUGGGGCGAAGUUGGAUUUUGCAUUCGUCAAGCGGGUGAAAAGCUAUUGGCAAAACAAGACCGACCGAGCUUCAUUUGGACCAAGAAGGCUAAAGCCUCGUCGUAAAGUUCGUUGGAGGGCAUUUCUAUAGCCUCCAUACCCUCAAGAGGUGGGGGGUGUCAUCCCGAAGCAUCCGGAUUUCUUUUUAUGUCUAAGUUAUAUAUAUGUUGAUCAUAUUGCAUUAUAGGAUUAAUAAAUGUAUAUUUUCUUUUUCUUGCAUGCUUCUUAGUAGUGUAACUUAUGAGUCGAACACAUGGACUAGGGUAGUAUGAGGAUUGGGUCUUGUGACAUGAAAAUCCUAUAAUGGCAUAAAGAGCCGAACUUGGACAUAUGAUAGCCUAGUAGAGUGGCAUUGAACUAGUGUAGUAGAAACACUAAACAUGAACGAGUGGCAUGUCAAUUAGUUACAGAACAUUACUACAAUGAUCGAACGAGUGGCAUCGAGUCUAGUGUAGUAAAUAUGACAUGGUUCUUGGGAUAGUAGAGAUCCCGGCAUCUAGGAUGCAUUGUAUAUGGUGCAGCAGAGCCACUCUGACCCUUGUAGAUAGGGUAUCCUCUUGUGAGGAUUGGAUCAUACUCACUAGUCUGUUUUCGCUGUCGGUGGUCGCUCCACCGUGGCACGAGUCUCCGGAGUACUUCACUAGGGGCAGACGUAGUUGUCCCGCAGACGGUCUCGAUGUGCGAGUGCAGCUUCUCCUCACCUAUGAGAUUGAGAGUGAGUCGAGGGUUUAACCUACGGGUUAACCAAGUAGAUUGGGUAAUAAACAUGAAAUGCAUAGUAGAUUUGCAUUAUUACCUUGAGUAAACAUAGUGUAUGUUGUAGCUUGCAUUGCUAUGUACUUUUCUAUACCCAUGACAUGAUACUAGCAUGAUAGUAGUUAUUGCAUGCAUUAUUAUCAUUGGUGGCAUGAUAGAGUAGUUGCAGUUCAUUUCUCUAUAUAUCUAUCUAUCUCUCUAUCUGUGCCAGCUUAGACCUAGUAGGAAAACCGGCGGAGUCGGCGUCCGAACCCACUGGGAACUAUAUUUAUAUAGUUCUCACCCCAUGUGGUUUUGGGGUAUAGGUACACACAGGGGCGAGCCGAGCAAGGAUCUCGGCAAGGGCAUAGCGCCCUAAGUGAGCUUAGUUAGUAGCUUUUCCUUAUGCAUUAGAGUACCCUCGUGUACUAGAAGAUGUUUGGAUUGUUAUCGGGGAGAGCUACUUGUAUUUUGAGGAGAACAUGUAUUUACAUUUUGGGAAGAUGAAAAUAUAAUGUAAUCAACUUAUGUAAAUGUUGAAUGGUUGUAAUAGCUAGAUAUUUCUCUCUUUAUACACUUCUACAUUCACUUGUGGUUCUUGCUCUUAGUAGUAUUGCACUUGUGUGCAUAGUAUUUGAUCAUGUAUGUUAUUUAAGCAAUUCCUGGGCGCUUAAUUGUACUUGAUCAGGUUGUUUGGCCUUGGGCGGACAGGGGAGUUCUUGUCCGUUCGGCGUCCGUCUGCCGCGCUCGAACCGGACCAAAUUGGUAGCGGCCUCGGGCCUGGGGCAUGACAACAACUGUCCCAACAAUCCAAUCAGCAAUUUUGGAAGCUUUCUAAAAGCGUAUGAAUCACUAAAAGCUUAAUCAAAUAGAUCAGAUUCGAUUCAUGCACAAACAAGCAAGCAAUUCACGCACAAAGAGAUUCUCACAAGAGAUUACACCCUAAAUUCUCAUGAAUAAGAAACCCUAGUAUCAAUCUAGCUUACCUUCUCCUUCUCCUCCUUCCACACCUUCAACGAGCCGCGAGCACAGCCAGUAAACGGUCGCCGGACUCCUCCCCCAACACCGCCGCCGCCUCGACGUUUGGUGCCAAUCCCCCGGCGACCGUGGUGUCUCGUGCCUUAUCUCUUCGGGUGCUACGGCGGAGGAAGAGCGCGAGGGCUGAUUUCUAGGGUUUCGACGGGUUUAGUGAAGGGAGAAGAGGUGGUGAGGGGAGAAGAGGGAUACGACCCAGGAAGAGACCUAUUUUUUUUCUCUUUUUUUUUUGUAAUUUAGGUGUUUAUUUGGGCCUUGCAAUUCUUUUUUCUAAUUUCAAACAUUUUUUAAUAUAUUUGGAACACUUAUACUAAAGUGUCCCAAGAAAGUGUCCCUAUAACCUAGUUUUGCUGUAGUGACAGAUGCGAGAGAAAUAAAGCUAUCUAUUACAUCACUUGUUCACAUAGGAAACAUUUACAUUCUUCACUUUACUUCUCAUUUAUACAACAAAAUGACAUCACAUAUCCCAAAAUGGCUCUACAUUUGUUUCACAAAAGGGUUUUACAUUUCAUUCUUUUCUCUAGUGAGCUAAUGGCGGUGGUCCACACUAUCUAGGGAAAUGCCCUUGCCACGAUCCUCAACGUACACGCUCGUGCUUGGCUAUGCAAAACAGCGUGUGAGAACUAAACAAAGUUUCCAGUAGGUUCGGCCGCCGACCCCGCCGAUUUUCCCACUAGGUCUAAGAAGGCAUAGAAACAAUAGAUAGGUCAAUAUGACAAAGAAUAGAACAAUAAGCCUAACAUGCUCAUGCAUCAAUAUCAUGCUUCAAAUGUGUAGCUAUGCCUUUACCAAACAUGUCAACAAGUAUAAGUUCUACCAAGUAUGCAACAAAUAUAUGAAAUGCCAUGACCAUGCCUUGAUUCAAUCCAAUUGGUUCGCCCAAAGGUCGAACCACGACUUGCAACACAUUGUCACGCGACCGUGACCGUCUGCCGGGGGAGACCCCCGUAUCUAUCUCACUGUGAUACAACUCCGGAGCUACCUGCUUGGGAGGCGCAACCUCCACAAGCCACAACAGACGACGCGAGUAUGAUCAUUGUCCUCCCGCCCAAGGACCGCCAGAAUCCCACAUCCCUAUCCAUCACAAGGCAUGCAAUACUCACACACUCGACCACAUAUGCAAUAGUUUCCAAUUCUCAUAAUGCCAUAGGUUCACAUAACUAAUUCCUCAUGAAUCUAGUCUAUUCUCACAACAUUUUCACAUGCAUAUAUGUUCACUAGUAUUUCAUGCAACAUGCACAUAUACAACUAUCUGUGUAGGAUUUUCUAGGUUGGCAGAUUUUCGUGAAGUCGAAUGGAGUCUUGAAGAGUUGAUCGCAGAAGUUUGAAGAGAAGAUUCACUUUGAAGAAUAAAUGACCUAUUCGGAAAGCUCGACACCUCAGGUAUGAAUGUUAGAUCAUUUGUGGUGUGUUUAAACUAUCUAAAUAUAAGUUUAGAAGAUUUGGAUUGCUAUAGAAAACACAAACUGAAGUUUUCAAUGUGCUGGGACCGGUCCCCUGUGAUGAGAGACCGGUUCCCGAGAGUCCUCUCUGCGUGAAAGUCCAAUACAACCGAUCUCCUGAUCUGAGGGACCGGUCUCCAGGACGGUGCAAGAUUAAGAAAGGAUGUGAGCAAGAUUAAGCGUUUAAUGAAGGCGAUCUUUGAUAAAUUGGAUUGUUGUAGCUCAGAUCUUCCUCCGCAAGGUGACGACUCAGAUUGAGUGGUGCAGGGUUCCUCUUUUUGUCGUUUUGGCGUUUUCUUGACAAAAAGAGGGAGAUGAUGAUGAUGAUAAUGCAUGAUGAUGCUGCUUUUUAUUUAGAUGAUAUGCUUUUUAGAUGCUCCUUUUUAUUUAGAUGAUAUUUUGAUGUUUUUUAGAUGAUGUAUUUAGAUGAUGAUGAUGGUGAUGUAUUUAGAUGAUGAUGAUUGUGAUGUAUUUAGAUGAUGAUAAUGAUGCUUAUUUAGGUGUUGAUGGUUUUCUAACGUAACUCUUGACUAUAUGGCUGUUUAUGUUUGAUCUUUAAUGAAAAUUCUUGGAUCUUGACUGUGUUUUGAUAAUGUUUUUUGCAGGAACUUUCAAGACUUCAAGACUCCAUGUCUAAGUCAUAGAGUUUGUAUUAGGAUUGUGAGAAAAAUAUAAUUUGUCUUUUAUUGGAUCGAUCAUGCAGGAGAUUGUCGUUUGGUGAUUGCGAUGAUCUUCUUUUUAUUGUUUCUGAGUUGUGUUUGAGCGUUGUAUUAUGUUUUGUCACGAAAUCGCCAAAGGGGGAGAUUGUUAAGGAUUUUCUAGGUUGGCGGAUUUUCGUGAAGUCGAAUGGAGUCUUGAAGAGUUGAUCGCGGAAGUUUGAAGAGAAUAUUCACUUUGAAGAAUAAAAGACCUAUUCGGAAAGCUCGACACCUCAGGUAUGAAUGUUAGAUCAUUUGUGGUGUGUUUAAACUAUCUAAAUAUAAGUUUAGAAGACUUGGAUUGCUAUAGAAAGCACAAACUGAAGUUUUCAAUGUGCUCGGACCGGUCACCUGUGAUGAGAGACCGGUUCCCGAGAGUCCUCUCUGCGUGAAAGUCCAAUGCAAUCGGUCUCCUGAUCUGAAGGACCGGUCUCUAAGGCGGUGCAACCGGUCUCUGGCAUGAGAGACCGGUUCCCGAACGUUGGGAUUUUUGACUCGCAGAGAGAGACCGGUCUAUGGCAUGAGAGACCGGUUCCCGAACGUUGUGUUUUCUGUCACGCAGCAAGGGACCGGUCUCCCACCUAAGGGACCAGUCUCUAACAGACCCGUCUUCUCGAGAGGACCGGUCCCUGAGGACGACACCACUUUUUAAAAUAGACUUUUUGCAAUCCUAGUCUACUUCUAAGUCUUCUAAACCUAUAAAUAAGCCAUGGGGGUCAUCAUAUGAGUUGAGGCUUAGAAUUUCUACUGUUCUAAAACCCUAGAAACUUGUUUUCACAUUCUUAUGAUUUUAUUCAUAUAACAAGUUUUAUAUAAUCAACGAUCGACUUGAUUCUUAAGUUUUAACUCGAGAUUUUCUUCGAGAAUCAAGUAGAUGAUUAAUUAGAAGGUGAACCCUCAUUACUUAUGAUAUUCUAAGUCUUAAUCACCACAAAUCAUUAAUUUUACAAGCUCCGGAAGGAGGUUCAGCGCGUGGAUCUCACGUGAAGCCGAGGAUUCGGUGGACGCUUCGAGGAGUUGAGGCGUUGACGCAGCAAGAAGUUGCUGCGGGGUCGAUUGGAGGAUUCCUAUCGAUUGAGAACUGGCGAGGACAAUCGACAACGAAAAUUCGGUAAAUUGAGUCAUGUAUUUUGGUUAAAUCACUUGUACUCAAGUUUUCUUAGUGAAUUUUCUUCGUGUGAUCGGUCCCGUGGGUUUUUCACUCCGGAUUGGAGUUUUCUCACGUUAAAUCUCGAUAUGUUGCUUUUAUUUUUUGCUAUCUCUUUUUAUUUGCAUCGAGAGGUUUGGUUUUUGCCGUUUACACCUAUUCACCCCCCUCUAGAUGUUAUUUACCUUUUAGAUCCUUGGGAUCCAUAUCUUACAAGUGGUAUCAGAGCAGGUAUAGGUUGUAAAUCAUGGCCGAGGGCGGUAACAUCAAUCGACCCCCUCUCUUCGAUAGCACUAAUUACGCUUAUUGGAAAGUCCGUAUGAGGGCAUUUCUUAUUCCCAUCGACGAGCGAGUAUGGCAAGCCAUUGAAUUCGGGUGGAAACAUCCCACCGAAGUUGUCGAGAAUGUUACCGGUCUGAAACCUAGAAAUAAAUGGACGAAAGAGGAAAACGAACUAUCUUCGUUCAACGGAAAGGGUAUCAAUGCUUUAUUUAAUGCUUUAAAUCAAACCGAAUUUUCUCGUGUCUUGGCGUGUGAAACCGUCAAAGAAAUUUGGGACACUUUACAAGUUACACACGAGGGUACAAGUUUGGUAAAGAUUUAAAAAUUACAAAUGCUUACAAGUAGAUUUGAUUCUAUUCGUAUGAAAGAAUAUGAAUCUUUUACCGAGUAUUAUACUCGUUUGCAAGACAUUGUAAACACAUGUGCUAACUUAGGCGAGAAGAUUCCGGACUCCAAAAUUGUUAGAAAAAUUUUGAGAACCCUUCCCGAAUGGUUUCGUCCUAAGGUUGCGGCCAUUGAAACGGUAAAACAUCCGGAUGAACUCAAAGCAGAAGAAUUAGUUGGUGCUCUUCAAACUUAUGAGAUGACUUUUCCUUCUAAUUCGUCUUCUUCCAAGUCUUCUUCUAAAGCUUCAGGUAUGGCCUUAAAAUCAACAAAAGGAGAUGAUGUCACGCCUCGAGACCGAUACCAAUUUGGGCCGGCUCGAGCACGUCAAACAGAUGCCGAACGGACAGAGUUUUCCCUGUCCGCCCAAGGCUCAUCACAUGCACAAUUUCAACAAAGAAGUGCACUAGCGGAAACAUACAAAUACGGCUUACACGAGGGUAAGCAAUAGCCCUGAGUUGAAGAAAGGAAACAAAACAUUCACCUGUACUAUGAUUCAAUUUAGAUCAUAUACAUUGCAUUCAUCUUGUACAUUUUCGAAUUCCUUACAUUUCAUUUCAUCAUUUCUUUCUUACAUCACAUUUACCUCAAAAUACACAUUACAUUCUGUUCUUUACAUCAUUUAUCAUCAAAUACAAAAGAUGAUCAUAGGGUACUCUACUACAAAAUAUAAGCCCAACUCUGGUGGCCUCUAACUAAGGCGCGAUACCUUUACCUCGGUCGCUCGCCGGCUCGCUUGGUCCCGGCUCUGUGGAAAUAAUGGGGGUGAGAACUACAACAAAGUUCCCAGUGGGUUCGGCCUCAACAUCACCGACUUUCCCACUUGGACUAACUCAGGCAUAAUAGAAAGGAUAAGCUGAAUAUAGUAACCAAUCUAUAACAUAAUGCUAAUAUGCCUGAACAAAUAAGCAGGAAGUAUGCUCAACAUUAACAUAUGCAGAUUAUGCAUGUUCUUUUGUUCUUUACACUUUACACUUUGUCUUUGUUCUUUGUUCUUUAUUCUUUGCUCUUGGUUCUUUAAUCUUAAGGCUAACCCGAGGGUUUCGCCACAUUAACUUGCUUCACACUAAGUCCAUCAUCGCGGGCCCUCAGCUUCCUCCCGCUAAGACCGUCCUUCGGGUUUACUCUAACCCGUGAUGCAAAAACUCCGGAGCGCAUCGCCCGAGGGAGAGCGACCGCCCUCGAGCACGGAACUCAUAGCAAGUAUGAUCGAAUCCUUAACUCAAAGGAUUGUAUGUUCAAUCUUGACUUUACACUAACUCUAGUGUUCUUUACAUCACUUUAUGUUGCUACUCUAGCAAUCUUUGUUCUUUACCAUUCUUUACAUUUGCUAACUCUAGCAACCAUAUUCUUUACAUUUCUUUACUUUUGGCUAUCUCUAGCAUUCCUGUUCUUUACGCCCCAUUUGGUUUUCACUUUAGUCAUUAGCUGUAACCCCCGAGGUUUCGGAAGAAAUUAUCGAACUUUAGCCAAACCGACUAAAGUAUGCGAAGAAGAUGGAUGGACAAGUCCCAAUUAGCAUUCCAACACUGUUGGAAGGGUUAAAAGUAAGCUCUAAAAGAAUUGAAAGGGUUUUGGCAUCGAAUGGCGCGAAAGAGAGUGGAAACGAAGUCAAAAAUGACAUUUUGGAUGUCUUGUACCGGUACAAGACCAAUGGUUGUACCGGUACAACCAGCGAAGUACUCGGCUUGGAGCUGCCAGGCCUUGUACCGGUACAAGGGGUCUUGUACCGGUACAAGCACUGCGCAACCGAGAGAGCCAGCUCUCGGGUUGGGCUGUCUGCCAGGCCUUGUACCGGUACAAGAAACCGUGUACCGGUACAAGGAGGCCGAAACAGUGGGAUGAGUUGCAGAUUUUGGAAAAACAAAGGGGCUUAAUAGGAUAUUGUUACUAUGACGCCCCAACUUCCCAGGGGGUCACCCAUCCUAGGACUACUCCCGUCCUAGCACGCUUAACUCUCUUAACCUCUUGGGCCUUGCCACCACCGAAAAUGCUUAAGCCGGGUUAAGAGUUUAGCCCUAUUAUAUCUCAUAUAUAGGACUAUCUGGGGUCUCACAGUUACAACAUGUGAUGAGGGGUUUAGAUAGAUUCAAUCUAUAGAUCAUUUAAUUCACUUACUUGUACUGUCUUUAGCUUAAAAUUACUUCUACUUAGGUUCUAUUACCUAGGAUACACAACAGCUCCAACUCACACUUCAUAGGUUUCUAUUUACCUUUUAGCUCAAAGCCGCUAUCUCUACUACAUUAAAGGUUCCUCUAACCCUAGUUCAUAGCUUAACCAGCCGACCGCUUCGAGUCUAAUCAUCCGCAGAUAAGAUCGCGCACACUUGCUGCUCUACAUCCCACAUUGCUGCUCAAACAACCACUCACUCGUCUCCUGACUUGCAGCCUCCUAGCAGCGAAAAUCUUGCGCACAUAGUUAUUUUGGUUUGUGUAACUACACGCUCAGUCACAAACUUGACCAUCGUGCGAUCAUGCUGUUUUUUUGCAAGCUUUUUACCCAUGCGAUGAGCUCGAGACAUGACAUACCGUCUAGUCGCGAAUAGGUCGGCACCACCCCGAACAACGGUCAUGUCGACUCAAUCACCUGGAGCACCGCAUCCGUACAUACCCAGCAUGGAUUCGGUCUUAUCUCUGGCGUACGUCCUCAACACGGCUUAACCAUUCCGGCAGCGAAAUCGUCACCCCCCAUAAAUAUGGCCACGACAAUGUCAAGCUCGCCGGGCUGGUGAUCUUCAUUUAUUCGCUCCCAAAAUCUAACCUCGUACACAAGCUCGCGCGAAGUCGUCGCACGAAACGCCCUAGCCCGUACAAGGAACAUAGCAAAAGUCCUAGGAUCCGGAAUCCACUACCACAGUGAUGGGUUCAGAAGCCAAUCCCUAUACCUGUCGACCCUAAGUCUACCAAAUCUAGUUGCUAUACACGAUACCCAUCAACCUAGUAACACACACUCUAGUCAUGUCCACAUCACUUAACCUAAGAUACAAUUUGCUAGUUCAUUAUCAUCUUGCCUAGAUGUCCAUUUCUUAGUUUACUAUUAACCUAAGGUUUAUCUGACACUUAGUAAAUCCACAUCACGCAGAUUGUUCGAUCUCUAGUGUUUACUAACCAACCUAUGUUCUUUAACACUAGUUAGAUGCUCGACUCGAUCUACCUGCACAUUAUUUUCUUGUCUAGUUUAUUGACAUGGCUUUGUUCGUACUUGUGGUGUUUUUUCGGUUUUGACCUAAGUUGUUCUCAAUCAUCUCUACUCAUCCUAAAGAGUUACAUCUAUUAUAUACAUAUACCAUGUCAUCGGCUUUCUACUUAAGCAAUUUACUCUUAUGCAUCGAUACUAACAUGCAUCCUUACUACAAAUCCUCAUCCAUGCAUUAUUAUUUAAUAUCAAUUUAAACUCAAUCAUGCAAUUACUUACAUUACAUUAUUAUCAUGCAAUUACUAGCAUUAUAGUAACCUUGCUCUACUAGGCAAGUUUCUACUUACCAUUUUUCAUCUAUGCAUUAUCAUAUCAUCAUUGCUUUACAUUAGCUAGCUAUUAUCUAAUGCAUAUAUCAUUAUGCUCCACUAUCAAUUUAUUAAUAGCAUUAUACUCUAAGCCAAUUACCAUUUAUCAAUGCCUUCUACCCUUACAUCUACUUUAUGCAUCUUAUUAAACAUGCAUCCUUGUUUUGCUACAGCUACAUGUAUCACAUGGUAAGAUUACUAUUGCAAGAACAUAAAAGGGCCGACCUAAGUCGCUUUUUCGUAAGCACAACCCAACCUUAGACUCCUGUUCCGAUUCGUUGUAGACAACUUACAAUCGCCUCCCGCGGCACUCGCACCUCGUUAGGCCCGAACUAUUGCACGAUCUAUAACGGAACCGGACUCUCCGAAUCGUCGAUCCGUUCUUUCCGUGCUUAUUCUCUUGACUCCAAGAUGCCGCGGUUCCGUAAUCUUCAUCGAUUUUUAGGCGCUUUAUGCCCGCGUGCGCGGCUAAUCUGUACCAAAACCCGACCGUUUCGGUCAAUAACUUCGGCUGUACACUCUCAGAUUGUCGAACCAGCGUUUAACGCGUUUCGUAGUCCCCCCCCCCCCCCCCCAAUUUAGAUUCAAGCGUCAAAAAAGAUCAAAACACGCAUAUGAGCAAACGCCCUUCUUUGGGAUCCCUAAACAUGACAUAUGCUCAUACUCACGAUUUGUCGAUCCUAUAAAAACAAGCAAAAGAAGCUUUUUUACAUCUAGGAGCUUCAGGCAGGACACUCCGAACCAUUCUAGGCUGUUUCAAAGAAAAAUCCUAGAAUCCACCAAAUUAGAGCCUACAAUGAAGAGAACACCAUGAUUCCAUGCGUUCUUGGCCUCUACUACAAGUUUCUAAAAGCUUGUAGGUAGAUCACAAACCAAAGAUCUAGGUUUUCAAUAACCCAUUCUAAUACAAAAUCUACCAUGAGAGAACUUGAAGCUUACCUCUCCUAGAGCUCCACAAUGAUGCAAGAAGAUGAACAUGCAAGACGAGGGAGAGGAUCUCACUUGGCCUCACCUAUCUUCUCCUUUGUCCUUCUUCUUUUUCUUUUUCCGUACUUCCUUUCCCUUCUUCCUCUUCUCGUUUGCACAACUAGAAAGAAGAAGAGGGGCUGUGGCGAGUGAGAGAGAGAGGGAUAUACUCCUCUAAUNNNNNNNNNNNNNNNNNNNNNNNNNNNNNNNNNNNNNNNNNNNNNNNNNNNNNNNNNNNNNNNNNNNNNNNNNNNNNNNNNNNNNNNNNNNNNNNNNNNNGCGACAGAAAUACCAAGGUUCGGGAACCGGUCUCUCAUCACAGGGGACCGGUUGCAUCUAGGUUCACGCAGUGAGGACCUUAGGGGAACCGGUCUCUUGAACUCAGAGACCGGUCCUAGAACACAGAAAAGUUCAGUAAAGUAGUUUUAAAGCCAUCUAAGCCUUCUGAACUUAUUCUAAUUAGAUAUCUUCACCACAAAUGAUCUUUUCUUCAUACCUUAGGUGUCGAGCUUUCCGAAUGAGUCUUUGUUCUUCAAUUUGAAUCUUUUCUUCAAAACUUCUGCGAUCAACUCUUCAAGACUUCAACCAACUUUACGAAAUUCGCCAACCUAUAAAAUCCUUAACAGAAUGCUCUCGGGAACCGGUCCCUGCGGGGAGAGACCAGUCCCAAGAGACCAGUUCCAUCGGGAGGAGACCGGUUGCCUCAUGCGUAGCCUGCGCGGCCCCUAGGAGAAGCUCUCUGAGACCAGUCCCUUGUCGGGGAGACCGGUCCCCGAGCUCGAAAAUGGCCCAGUCAGGGCAGUGUAAAAGAAUAAAAGUUGAGGGGCUUAUUUGCACUUAUGCAACAUGUGGGGCUAUGUAAGGGGUAUGAGAGCUCUUUUCUCUCAUUUCUCACCCACACACUCUCUCAUAUCUCUCUUUCUCUCUCUAGAAGACAAGAAGAGGAAGAAGAAAGGAAAAGGAAGAAAGAGAAGGAGAAGGAGGUCUUCCUCAUCUUCUUUAUCUUCUCCUUGGUUGGAGCUUCUCGGAGAGGUAAGCUUCUAAGCUCUCUCUCAUGGUGGAUUUCUAGAGAGAGGUUUGAUUGCUCUAGAAAUGGAGUUUUGUAUUAUCUGAGGGCGCAGUACCUGCCAGUACAGGUAUAGAGCCAGAUGGCACUAGCGAAGUGCAAGAAAUAAUCUAUAGCGAGAAGUGAGACUCGCGGUAGAGAUAGAAGUGGCGAAACGACUCUCAGAGCAAUAUGAGUAGUAAAUUGCGAGAGUUGAGCCAUGAUGCUUAUGAGAACACCCGAGUGGUCCAAAAAUUUCGGAUGUCAUUCCGGUAGAUCGAACAGUGAAAGUAGUAUCACUGUUGAGAGAACGGUCGAUUAGUGGCCAAGUUUGAGCACGUGGGCCUAGUAGUACCUCAAGGUGAGGUAGGCGGUUGUGCUCGUGCGGCCGGUGUGCAUAGGCAAGAUUAAUACUGGACUUCGUGUGGAACGCUGUAGAGGCGUAGAGCGCUCGAGUGUAGAUACCCGUAGAGUGCGGAUGUGGAUUCAGCCGAGAGAGAGUAUUGGCAGUAGCACUUGAGCAUUGCUAGGUGUGAAGCGUGCCAUGGAUCACUCGUGGGACUGGUGACUCGCACUAGGUGCAUAGGAGCCGAUAUUGGUACGUGUGACUCGGUAGAGUAUGUCGUGUAAGACGACGACGGCCGGUAGUGCUUGGGGACGACCCGUGCCUGGACCAUUAGUGGACUGUGGAGCCUGGGCCCAUUGGGCAGGCACAGUCAGCUGUGAGUGACAGCGGCCCGGUACCUACGGGUAGGGCAGAGUUCUGGUCAGGACGGUAGUCCGAGCUUAGACCCGAGAGCGUAGAAUGCCACGUGAUAGAUUGUGUGACCGAUGGUACACUGAGUAUGGUUGUGACCCAACCCGAGGACUUGACGUGGUUUGGGGUCUUAGUUGCUCCUGGUUGGAGUGUGUGUGAAUUCCCAAGUGAGAAUUUCGCCUGAUGAUGAUUGGGUCUGCAUUUGCGAGUGAGAGACGCUGCGCAUUGAGACAGGUUUAGGCGGUAGGCCUACGUAGGAUUGGUGGCCUUUGGUCUACCCGUGGAGACCGAAGAGAGCGAUUUGGUGGAUAGCCUUAUCGAGGAAUUUGACUCAAAUUUAGGAACGAAUCGCUCGUGUGAGCUCGUUGCGAAAAUAGUUUGAUGUUAAUCGUGGCACGUGGUAUCAAAUGAUGAAGUACUCCUUGUGAGACAUCGAACUAGUGGAAAGCCACGUGAUGUUGGAGACUAUGCUCGUAAGCGAACUGAGACUUGAGAUGUGCCGAAGUGGGCCAUCUCGCGUUAAAGUUAAGGGUCAGUGCGAAAUUAGAGCACUCACGACGGAGCGAUGCAUCGGUGAUAUUGCUUCUAAGCAAUGUCGGUGAUCGAAUUGGGAGGUAUUCCCUGAAGGGAAGGCCAGCGCAAAGAAGUGUUCUUUGUGUACCGAAUGGUGAGUGGUGUUGGAGCGCGUAGAGUCGUCGAGUAUCGACUUGCGCUGCCUCUAUGACUUGCAAGACCCGUGAUGCACUUUUGUAUCACAUCACACUUUGCAAACGUGUCUAGGAUUAAACUCACGUCCUUCAGUAUGAGCCGCUUCUGGAACCACGAUAGUGUGAAGCCGCUUUGGAGUGGGAGAAUGAGUUGGUACCCUCAAUUGCUCGCGGAGCUAAAUUGAGACGUGGUUUGAAUUUCGUGGACGAAAUUCUUUUAAGGGGUGGAGAAUGUAACAGACCAGAUUUUGGUAUAAAAAUAAAAAUAAAUAAAAUUAGUGUGAGAUACUAUUUUUAUUGAAUUUAGAGAAGUAAAAUAUAAGUCAGAAGUGACUUGUGCUUAAAUCGGAAUGAAAACAGAAGAUUUAGAAUUUUCUGUUGGAAACGGGACAGAUAAAUUAGCAGAAAAUGCACAGUGUCAGAAAAUUAUGAAAACUGGAGGAUAAGUCAGAAUCAUUUUUAUGAGGUUAGAUUUAAAGUUUCAUAUCAUUCUGACACCCGGAAUAUGAAAAAUAAAAUCCGACAGUUAUUUGAUAAAGAUUACAGUUCGGUACAGUUUUCGGUGACCAAACGGGGUCGAAACUGAAAUAUUAAAAUUUCUUUGGACUCGUUAAGUAAAACCGAACAUGGUUAUCAAAUUUGAGCUCAAGCGGAUAUUCAGGAAGCUCCGGCGAAAGAUAUCAGUUUUCGAGCUGCCUGGAGUGAAUAGUGUUGGAGGGUGUAAAUAUAAAAGAAGCCUUUUGCUUCUUCUCCCUCAAUCGACCAGCACACAUGCCACACACACACGCACACAUGGAGAAGGGGGAGAGAAACCCUCCUUUCUCUUUCUAGAUUUCUCUCUCAUCUUUCUAAAUCUCUCUCUAAAAAUUGGAGGGUUGGUGGAGAGCGAGCUUGCGAACGCGUUGGAGGCGACGGAUCGAGUUUUCGUGCGCCCGUUGGAGCGGCGUAUUUUCGUCGCGGCGUUCACAUUUUGGUAAGCUUUUGGGAUUUUGUUUAAAUCCUUCAUAAAUGGUGUUCUAGUAGUAUCUAGAGUGUUCUAAGCACAUGUUUGCUCCAUUUAAUUGGGAUUAUUUAGAGGUUAAUUGCAUAUUAGGGCUCCGAAAGGGAUUUUGUAAAAUAGUAGGGUUUCAUCUCAUUUGAUCCUCUGUAAAUCUAAUUGCUAGGUAUACGAACGCGUUGGCAAAGUCGGUUCGGCGAUUCGGCGAGCCUAUGCGAAGUUAUUAAAGAAACGAACGUUUAGGCUUCGUUUCCGCCUGGAGGGCCGAGGCGAUUUCGUAAAAUCAUGAAAACGGAUUUGGAGCACCGUGACACAUAACCUAAGACCUGUAAUUUUCGGAUCGCGGAUUGGAGGCCGUUCGGGUGGUCGCGUGAGAGUUCGGGUCGAAUCGGGUGCCGCGUGUCGCGGGAGGCCGAUUGCAAGUGACUACAAGCAAUCGGAGUGUGUUACGAGGUGGGUUGUGCUCACCGAAGUGAUUAGGUCGCUUCCAUGUCGAAGUGGAGUAUGGCUUUCUAAUUGAUGCAUACAUACAUUAUGAUGGCUAAUUGCAUUGGUAGUUGAUUGUAAAGUAAAUGAAUGUACGAGAUUAUGCUAAUCAAGAAUGCAUAAAUGAGAUAUUAAUAAAAAAUAUAUAAGCUAUAUGCUAAGAGAAUGAAUGAUCUAGAUGCUAAAGUAUGCAUGUGCAUGAAAUGCUAAAGAACAUAUGAAUGUUGAUAUUAUUAGAAAUAUGCUAGUUGGUAUAUGUGCAUGAUGACAUAUUGUGAAUUAACAUAUUGUGGAUUAUGUUAAAUGGAGAUAUAUACAUGAUGACAUAUUGCAUAUGAUAGAUGAACUAUGCAUGUUGACAUAUAGAGGAUUAUGUUAAUUGACAUUUGCAUGUUGAACUUGGAUCGAUAAACUCUAGGUAAAUUAGAGAACUCGACGUUAAAAAAUAAUGACGUAUGAACUAUGAUAUGCGAUGUGGACAAGUAGGAUGUCAAAUAGAUCGAGUGGCAUAUGAUUAGUGUAGUGGAAACACUUAUGGCAUGUUGAACACUUAGAAAACAAGUGUGGCAUUAGUGAAUGAGUCCAAGAAUAUAGUAGUGUAUAUGACAAAAGUGAUGGUAAAGAAUGCAAAGAAAAGAAUGAUUGAGAUAUUAUGGCAUUUCAACCUUAGAGUUAAGGGUCAUUUGAGCAUAGUCUUCCUUAAAGUUAAGGAAUGGAUUGAACUUGGAAUCCUCAAUGUAGGAUUGAUCGUACUCACCUUUAGUCCUUGCUCGAGGGUGGUAGCUCCCCCUCGGGCGAUGUGCUCUGGAGUUGACAUUACUGGGUUGUAGCGGGUAUCUCCCAGAGGACGGUCCUAUCGGGUUGUAGCGGGUAUCUCCCCGGUUAUUAGGAUUUUGGGUUGGUGAGUUUGUUGAGGGCGAAACCUACGGGUUAGCCAAGAGAUUGCGUAAUGAAAUCUUGCAUUCAUCAUGAAUUGACUCAAGACCGAGUCGAGUGGCAUAGCUGGCCAAGGUGAAUAUAACCUUAGGAAAGAAUGACAAUUGAGUGAAGUGUAGCUAAGAAUAAAGAGUGAAGAAUGACAGGUGGCAAAGAAUUGCUAAUAAUAUAAAGAAUGGUAAAUGAUAGAGAGUAGAAUCAAUUAAUCUACUUGCAUGAGUUGCAUAAUUUACAUAUUGUAUGUCUUGAGGCAUAAACAUGUAUUUAAUAUUUGUAUAAAUAUUAUCUGUGGAUAUCUGUUGUACUAACAUGUUUGCAGUGCCUCCUUUGGACCUGGUGGGUCGAGCUUUUCCCUUAGGUCGCCGUACCCACUGGGAACUAUGGACAAUAGUUCUCACUCCCGCGUUGUUUUUGGGGGUACAGGUUCACACGUGAGCAGCGCGGCGGCGCGAGGAAAGGACGUAGCUCUGUAGUUAAUGCCCUACCAUCGAGAUCAGAGAUAGCAAUACCCUAAGUCGGCUUAGUUCAGGGGUAUAGGAAUGAAAUGAUCAAUGUUCUAAUAAUUAUGUUGGAAACUUGAUUGUAUUUGGAAGUUAAAUGUAAUAUGUAAUUGUGAUGUAAAAUAUAUCUAGUGAAAGUGAAUGCUUGUAAUAACAAGUAGAUUAUGUUUUUGAUACUUCCUUAUGCAAUCUUUGAUUGAAAUGUGUUCCUGGUUGAAACUUCGUACAUUGUAUUGAUUGCGGCGCCUUGGACGUACAUGAGAGACUCUAUCCGCGGUACAGGAAAAACCCUGUCCGUUCGGCGGUCUGUUGGCGUGCACGAAACCGACCAAAUAGGCGGGCUCGGGGCGUGACAAGUUCGGUGUUUCAUCAAAAUUGGAUCCUUGAUAGUGGCACUAUUCAUCAUAUGUGUCCACAUCGUUCAUGGUUUAUUACUUAUAAGGAAUGCGAUGGUGGUACCGUUUCGAUGGGAAACAACUCAACUCGUAGAAUGGUGGGAGUUGGUUCGGUGCACUUGAGAAUGUAUGAUGGAAUUGUCUGGAUACUUGAAAAUAUGCGACAUGUUCCGGAUUUGAAGAAAGGUUUGAUCUCUCUCUCCGAAUUGGACAACAAAGGCUACAAAUUUACGGGGCAAGGUGGAGUUAUAAAAGUCUCCAAAGGUGCAUUGGUUGUCAUGAAAGGCAUUCAGGUUGGAAACUUGUACAAGCUAUUGGGGAGUACAAUGAUGAAUGAAACUUAUGCGGCGACGGAAAGUGAUAACCUUCCUCUCCGAUUAUGGCAUUAAAGGUUGGGUCAUAUGAGUAAGAAGGGUAUGAAGAUUUUAGUAGAAAAGAAACUUAUACCGGAUAUUAUUUUUAGUGACUCGAAAUUUUGUGAGCAUUGUGUUUAUGAAAAAACAUCAUAAGCGGAGCUUCAAAGUCGGGAGUCAUACAAGUAAAGGUAUUCUUGACUACAUUCAUACAGAUGUGUGGAGUUCUCCUACUACUUCAUAUGGUGGUGACAAUUAUUAUAUAUCAUUUAUUGAUGACUUCUCACGGAAGGUUUGGGUGAAAUUUCUCAAGUCGAAAGGUGAGGCAUUUCAAGCAUUUAAGCACUUCAAGGCCGAAGUAGAGAACCUCAUCGGACGCCGCAUUAAAGUUCUCCGAUCGGACAAUGGUUUGGAGUACAAAUCUAAAGAGUUUAAGCUCUUUUGUAAAGAGAAUGGCAUCUCAAGACACUAUACAAAUCCGUAUGAUCCACAACAAAAUGGGGUGGCCGAGAGGAUGAACCGUACAUUGAUGGAGCGGGCUCGUAGCAUGUUGAGCAAUGCCGGUUUGGAGCACGAUUUAUGGGCCGAGGCCGUGUCUAUGGCAUGUUAUCUUGUCAACCACUUACCUUCCAUGGCUAUAAAUGGAAAGACACCGGAGGAGGUAUGGUUUGGAACUCCUUGUGAUUAUUCUAAUUUAAAAAUAUUUGGUUGUCAUGCUUAUGUAUUGGUUUCUGUUGUCAAAGAACUAAGCUAGAUCCAAGAUCAAAAAAAUGUAUAUUUAUUGGUUAUACAAAAGGCGUGAAAGGAUACCGGUUAUGGAAUCCGGUGGCCCACAAAAUUAUCACAAGUUGUGAUGUUCAUUUUGAUGAAUCAAAUGUGUUGAAAAAGAGUGUAGAACAUGAAAGCAUUGAGGAGGAAAAAGUCUGGAAUGAUACUCAAAAUUUUGAGCUACCAUCUUCAACUUUCUCACCAAAUGAAGACAUUGAAUCGGAGGAUACACCGGUUGAAUAUGGUGAGGUCGAUGAUCAAAUUCAUGAAAAUUCUAAUGACGGAGAAAGUUCUCAUGAAGGUGGAGAAAUACAUGACUUGCCUUUACGUUCUACAAGAGAGUGGCACACACCUUUAUAUUUGAAAGAUUUUGUAGAUCUAAGUACGUUUCAGGCACUAAUUGUGGAACAAGAAGAGCUAUGUACAUUUCUAAAGGCCAUAAAUUCUAUUGAUGCAAAACAUUGGAAAGAAGCAAUGGAGGAAGAAAUUGUGGCACUUCACAAAAAUGAAGCUUGGAAUUUGGUAGAGUUACCAAAGAGUCGGAAAGCAAUUGGUUGCAAGUGGGUAUACAAAAUCAAAAGAGGAACCGAUGGAACAAUUCAAAGAUAUAGAGCAAGAUUGGUUGCUAAAGGCUUCGCACAAAAAGAAUGUAUGGAUUUCUUUAAAGUAUUUGCUCCCGUUGUUAAAUUGGUUUCUAUUCGACUUGUUCUUAGUCUUGUUGCUAUGAAUGAUUUGGAACUUGAGCAAUUAGAUGUUAAAAUGACAUUUUUACAUAGAGAUUUAGAAGAAGAGGUUUAUAUAUAUCAACCUCAAGGCUUCAUAGAGAAGGAUAAGGAAUGUCUUGUAUGCAAGCUUAAGAAAUCAUUGUAUGGGCUCAAACAAGCAUCAAGCCAAUGGUAUCGAAAGUUUGAUACUUUUAUGCUAAGCCGUGGAUUCCAAAGAAGUAAGUAUGACUAUUGUGUCUACUUAAAAGUCUUCAAAGAUGGUACUUUUGUGGCUUUGGUGUUGUAUAUGGAUGACAUACUUAUAGUAUGUAAGGACAAACUAAGGAUCAAUGAACUCAAGAAAUAAUUGAGUAAAGUCUUUGAAGUAAAAGAUUUCGGACCGGCACGUCAAAUUCUUGGCAUGGAGAUUUGGCAAGAAAGGCAAAAUGGCACAUUGUCACUUUCACAAAAGAGAUUUGUAGAAAAAUUGGUAGGCAAGUUUGGCAUGAAUAAAGCAAAGGCGGUAAAGACACCAUUUGCAUCUCAUUUCAAAUUAUCUUCCGAGCAAAGCCAAAAGACGGAGGAGGAAAAGAAGUUGAUGAAUUGAAUGCCCUAUUCAACUGUAGGUAGCUUGAUGUUUGCCAUAGUGUGCACACGGCCGGACAUUGCAUAUGCCGUUGGUGUUCUUAGCCAGUUUAUGGCAAAUCCUAUAAAGGUGCAUUGGGAAGCGGCGAAAUGGGUUCUUCGCUAUUUGAGAGGUACAAGUGAUUAUGCAAUCAUGUAUGGCAAAAACUCAAGGCCAAUGCAAGGUUAUGUUGAUGCUAAUUUUGCCGGUGAUCUACUUGACAAGAGAAGAUCUACAACGGGCUUUGUAUUUGAACAUGAAAAUGGUCCAAUUAGUUGGAUGUCCAAGCUUCAAGUAACGGUGGCUUUGUCAACCACGGAGGCCGAGUACAUGGCACUUGCCGAGGCAACCAAGGAGGCGGUGUGGCUUCAAGGUUUGAUGAAAGAGCUUGGUAUGAAUUUUAAACCCAUGCGUUUAUUAUGUGAUAGAGAGUGCAAUAUGUUUGGCUAAAAAUCUGAUUUAUCAUAAAAGGACUAAAUAUAUUGAUGUGCAAUAUCAUUACAUCCGGGAUGUCAUUGAAGAUGGCAAGGUGAGGGUGUUGAAAGUUGGCACUCAUGAGAAUGUGGCCGAUAUGCUCACGAAGCCGGUAUAAGUAGAGAAGUUGAAUUGGAGCCUAACUUCUUUAGGCUUCAAGUUGAGCGGAGGAUAAAGGCACAUGGUUGGCGCGGAGAUGAGGAGGGGUGAUUUUGCUAUUAAGGUCGAGAUUGUUGGGUUAGUGAUAUCAAAUUCACUUAUUAGCCUAAUUAGUUUUAUUUUGGGUUUGGUUCAACAAUUGAUGUAAUGGGCUAGCUAGUAAUUGGUUUGAACUUUAGUUAACCUAUUUGGUUUGUUGGGCCAAAUGGUGUUAAGAGAGAAUCUCUUUGGGCUAGAAAGAGAGAGUUCUUAUUUUAUUUUUGUUCUCUAGGUUUUCCUUUUCUUGAGAUAGAGAAGAGAGGUGUAGAGAGGGUUGGAGAAAGUGCUCUCUUGUUCUUCUUGCUUAAUUCAAAAGCUUCCAAGGUUGAUUGAAGGAAUUCUAAGAGGCAUUUCGAAACGGGUUUUGUAGAUUCGGAAGGUGCUUAGAUGAAGGUGUAGCAAGAAGGAUUUUUUUCCCAAUUAGAAUGUUGCAAGCUCAUUGUAAUAGAGUGGUAAUCUCUAACCAAAUCUUGUAAUCUUCUCACUUGAUAGUGGAGUUGAUCUUUCCGUGCUCAUGGAUGUAGCACGGUUUGGGUGAAUUACGUAAAUCUUGUGUUGUUCUUGUUGUUGUGGUUGUUCUUGGAUUCUUCUCUUUCAACUUCAUUUACUCCAAUCUUGCAUAUCUUGGUUGUUGAUAAUUUAGAUACAUCACAUUUGUUUACUAGUGUGAUUAAUAUCUUGAUAGUGAGGGUUCCGUCGUUAGCUCCCUACAAUUUUCAUGAAGCCCUUCAGCUUGGAGUUUUUUAGCAAACUGAUGACACUGCUUGGCUGGCAUAAUUGAUGGAAGAAAUAUUAAAUUUAGAAGGGGAUGAUUUAAUUUAGAAGAGAUAAAUUUGAAUUAGUUUUUAGCUUUUAGAAUUAGUUCGGUUUUCUAAUUAUUUUAUAGGAAGUAAGUAUGGUAAGUUUUUCUUUUGAUGAAACUAGACAGAUACUUGCAGACAAACUUGUCUUAUUCUUUCAAUUACUUUGUUUUUAAUAGAUAAACUAUGAACCGUAUCUUUUGUUAGUCGGUUGUACAAGAUACGUACUCCAUGAAUAAAGCUAUUCUCAGCUUGGGUUUUGUGUACCCACCAAGUAAUUCCUCCAUAUCAAUUAUUUAUUAUGGUAUUCUUUGGUGUUAAUUAAGCUACCUUGAGCCACGUGCGUGCUUCCAACCUGUUUCAAAGAAGCGUUAGUUGGUGUUAAUUAUUCAUUACGGCACGGUCCAAUGACAUUCAUAAUGGCACAUACAUGCAUGAAAACAUUUUUAAUUAAUUGAGCAACUGUACAAAUUCGUCCCCUAUGUAUAAUUCAUGCGAUGUUAGGUUAGUUUGGGUCAUGUAAAGGAUAAGGACCGGAUAAUGAAAGACUCGCACUGUUUGAGCAUCUCCUCGCAUUUGAGCGAAGUGAGUUGAACCGAGCAGACCAAGAAAAUUCAGAUAAAGGAAAAAAAAAAAAAAAAAAACUCCCAAACACAAACUUAGGACUUACUAUGCAAAAGUAAGACACAAACAAAUUGGAUAAGUUAACAUAUGUUUAGAAUGGGUACUACUAAUAUCUCUUCACCCAACUAGCCAUAUAUAUAUAUAUAUAACUCACUGUACAAAACAAACACACUUUACCCCACACACAUUUCCCACUGAUCAGAGUACACAUGCCAACUAAUACAAGCCAAGAGGGCCUAUUUGAUCUUGUCUUUGCUAGUAGGCACUGCAGGAGGAAGGCAAAACUCCUAUCAUGCAUGGAGCAGCAGAUUAGAGAGGAUGUCUUGCCCCCCGAUCUGGCUACAGUUCGGAUUUCGGGAUACUUAGCUAAUACGGAACGGAAGUUCGCACAAGUCGUAUGUACAAAGCCAAAGCAAACAGUUUCUUCGGUCAAAAAAGAUCACCAGGAGCAGCUGUUGCAGCGAAACACCCUGCAGGCCAUCUUCUUUGCUUUCACCCGUGCCCGCUCAGUCAUCGUCUCCACCAACUGAAAUGAGUUGAGAGUUACAACUAAAGACGGCAUGAAUUAUGCAACCGAUUGUUUUAAGGACAAAAAAAGAAAAAACUAUAGCAAUCUUGAGAGUAAAGUUUAUGAGAGAGAUACCGCUUGCUUUCUCAGCGCCAGCAUUCUUUUCUGUUACCGGAAAGGAAAAAAAGUAGGUUAAAUAAGAGAUGCAAAUAAGAAAAUAACAGAUAUAGGCCCUCUUUGAAUGUCGGGAUAAGUUAUCUAAUAAUAAUAACUUAUUUGAUACGAAAGUUUUCUUAUAUAAUUGAAUGUGUAAGAGAUUUAAUUAAUUUUUGCUUCUCAAAACAUCAGCAGCAUUUAUAAUUUGUUAAAACAGCAUACUCUUUUUACAAGAUAUGCAGGACCAUAAUGUAACAUAAAUCUGAAGUAAUAUCAGUUACCCCUUCUUCUUUAAGUCGAGCAUUUUCUUCUUUUAGCUGAUUCAGCUCACCUUCCAGCUCCACUGUGUAUGCCUGAAAUGAAAAUUCAGUACAUGAUUGGUAUGAGGAAUACGCCUAUUUUCCUAGAACAAUUUACAAACCAAACAUUACUAAUUUAUCGGCAUCUCAGUUUACUAAAUUAUCGAUUAAAGAGGCAUUAUUACGAUAUUUAGAAAACUAUUCAGCAGCAAGCAGCAAGCAGCGAGCAGCAAGCUACAACUGAUCGAUCAGAUCAUGAGUAUGUGGGGCAAGUCCAAUUUUUUUCAUCGGACUAACGGGGGCUUUUAAACUCUUGAUCACAUCCCUGGAUCCAUUAAUUUAAAUGGCUUCGAAUUCUCCAUAGCCUUAAGUGCAGAGAAAUCGAAAGGCACAGAUUGAUCCGCCGCAGAUGUGUGCAGCGAAAUCCUCACCAGCGGCGUUGUAGGAAAUGUACUCGUUUAAACAGGGCCAAUUACUGACAUAACAAAAUAGAAUUUGAUUUGACGGCGGAUCGGCACUGUUCUAUAUUUGCUGAGAAUGUAAUAUAAUAAGAAUCAAAACUGCUAUUUUUGAUUUUCCAAUAGUUUAUGUCUAACAGUCCCAGCUGAUCAGAUUUUAGACGGAGAGGGGAAAUAGUUCCCUGGACAGAAAAAUCUUCGGUACUGAAAGUGCAGGAAUUGCAGACCCAUAAAGAGCUAGAAUUGGCCGGUCAAAAAGAGACUGAAAACAAUGUAGUAACCUCCCAUUAAUCCAUUAAUUGAAAACCAUGAAAGGGCAACAGAAGUGUGAUUGUAUUAAGACCGACCAAUGCUAUCUAUACGCCACGCGUAAUUUUUACAUCUCUUUAUCCAAGGAUUAACUAUUCGAUAUUUUUUCAAAAUAUUAAACUUAAAAGGCUUUUUGAACAACCGGAGGAAGCGGCGUGAAUUAUACAAUUCACACCGCCUUUCUAAGUGUACGGCUAGUAUUUUCCUUAUAUUAAUCGUCCCAACAAUUAAAGCUAGGACCAAUGAAGCACACAAUUUGAGAUAGCUCAGUGAGCUUAAUUAAGAAGAAUGCUUUUACUAUAACAAUUAUUCCAAUUAGCUGAUAAAAAUUUCUCUGUUAUAUAUAGAAAGUGAUAAUAACAAUUUUUUACCAAAUCAUUUUAACAUAAAAUUAUUAUAGCAUUCUUAAUUAGACUUUUUACGAUUUGACGCUGUGCGCGGCUGUAUGAUGAGAUUAAUUUAGAAGUUAGAACAUAUACAUAUAUAUAUAUAUAUAUAUGUAAUGUGGUGUAAGAGUCAGAAAGAAGACGACUUUGAGCAUAACAAGGUGCUCGCAUACCUGCUUCCGGGCGCGCGACCGGGCAGCCGACUCCCUGUUCUUGAUCAUCCGUCGCUGCCUGCGCUCCACCACCUUCUCUACCACACCCCCUGCUGUUCGCUUCCUCCCGUUCACCAUCCCAUCAUUGUAUGCCGCCGCGGCCGCCGCAUUGUCCGCCUGCCCUCCGUUCAUCCCCUCUGACGACCCGGGGCUCGCGGGCGACCCCACGUGCACCGGCCCUGGCCCGUACCCGUUCCCGGCCAUCCUCCCUGCGCUCGCGUACCCCACCUCAUCCCCCACAACAUGGUACACCCCAUUCGCAACCUGGUUGUGGUGCACGUGCUGGUGCGCGUGUUGGUGUUGGUGUUGGUGUUGGUGCUGGUGGUGAUCACCGUACCCCAUCCCAACUGCAUGCGCCCCGUAGACUCCCCCAUACUGCUGCUGCUGCUGCUGCUGCUCCGUUAAAUUCGGCGCCCCACCGCCGCCGUAUCCUUCCCUCACCACCCCGGCCUUUACCAGAAAAUCCUCCAGCGUCAUCUCCCCGAACGUCGGCUGACGCGUCCCCCCAUCCUGGUGCACCCGGUCCACGUGCGCCUCCCCCCGGUGUAUCUCGGCCCACACCUCAUCCACCGUCUUCCGCGACAGCAGCGCAGGCACCGUCAAAGACCCCUGUCGCUGCAGCUGCUGCUGCUCCUGUGGCGGCGCCGCCACUACAGCAUUCUCAGCCGCCGCCGCAGCAGCAGCAGCAGCGGCGGCAUUAUUGUUGUUGUUGUUGUUGUUGUUGUUGUUGUUGUUGUUGUUGUGGCCCUCUUCCACGUUCCAUAUGUUGGCGAGGAAUUCGUCCAUGUUCAUGGACCCGAAGGUCCUGCCGGGCUCGCACACGGUGUUCUGAAUCUCGUCGAGCGUCAGCGAGUAUAUCGACGUCUGCCGCAUGAGCGGGAAUUCUAAAUCCAGCUCUCUCGCCCCACCACCCGACGCCGAACGCCGGCGCCGUUCGACGUCGGCCCCGCGGUGCUCCGACGUCACUUCCGUCUCCUCCGACGUCACGUUCUUGCCCUCCGAGGGAGUCGCCAUUGAGAUGCACCACCACCACCACCACACCACCACCCCUCACUAGCUAUACAAUUAAUUAAGCUUGUAAUUUCUUUGUUCUGAUUCUUCUUCGUAUAUAUAUGGGUCCCUCGCCCGCCCUCCUUCGGUUUCUAGCUCUUCUAUUUAUAGGGCUUUACCGGGCCCCUUAAUUAAACUCCUGGAAAAGGACGAUAGAGGAAAAAAAAAAAAAAAGAUAAAAGAGCUGGAGAGUAAUUAAGUCUCUGUUGUGGGCAGCGGUGCAAAUUAAAUAAAGUAGGAAGAAAAGGACACAAACUUCGUGGGUUUGCUACUUUAAUGUGCUUACUCUAAUUUGCCCGUAGAAUUUAAGUAGCUAGUAAUUAAGAAGACGAUUUCGAAUGUUACUACGCUGCCCCACUAUUAACGAACCGUUUACUUGUAUGCGAUUGCUAUUACAUUACAAAUUUAACAAAAUACGGAUUUUGCUGCACAUCAAAUUAAUAGGCUGCAGUUUCAACAACAAAAACAACAAUAAAAUAAAAUAAUAAUUAAAUAAAAAAAAGGAGACGUACGGUAUCUAAUCACCUUUUAAAUAAAAAAUAUUGAUAAGAGAGGUAUUCUCACUAUCCAAUAGUUAAAGUAACAAAAUAUUCUAAUAGAUGCCAAUAAACUAUUAAAAUUAUAAAUUAAUUCAAAAAAACUAUUACCUGCCAUAAAUCCAAUCAUAUUAUAUCUCAGAUUUAAUCAGCUAGCACGAAAAAGAAAUUUAUCAGAUGUUUACAAGAAGAGUAUUCUAAUUUACGCAUAGAAUGAUAAAUUAUAACAACAAAAGAAAUAGUAAAAUAUAUAUAGAUAUAUUUAUCACGGAGGUAUAUAGGUAACAAAUUGUAAAACUUGUAAGCAGACAAAAAGUAUUGUAAAUUUUAUCAGUUCAAAGAGCUCCAAAAUGUGUCCAAAAAAGAUUCAAUCCGGGCCAAAACUUAAUUUCAAGAUAACCAAUUAAAUUAUAGGUGUAGAACUAUCAUACUUUUGACGGUACAACCGUACAAAGAAAUUAAUAUUUUCAACUAUUUGGUCCUUGAAUAAAAAAUUAUAAUGCUGUGAUGAUAGUAGUCCGUAAAAUUUAGUAGUCUUUAUAGAAAAAUAAUAUAAAUUCAAGAGUUAAAAAUGAUCGAAAGAAAUUGAUCUAAAAGUCAAAAAAUUAGAAGCACCGUCCACAUGAGUGGAUGAUUCUAAAAAUAUCAUAGUAGGACUUAAAUUAUUAUAGAAAUUAUAAUUUUUAUUUUGGAUUGGGUUGUAAUUUAUAAUCCCAGCUUAUGUUGCUGGUGACUGAUCGUCCCUAAAGCAAGUGGCAAAAGAUUUGAUGAUCGGUAUCUGAGAUCUAAGUUCGAAUUCUACUCGAUUCACAUUUCUAAUUAAAUUUAUUUCUAAAUAAAAUAAAUAAGUCGAAAAAAAAAAAGGGUAUAUGUUGCUGGUGUUAUAAUAACUUGCCUCGGUGCAUGUUUGCCGUAACGUACGAUUCUGAAAAAAAAAAAAAAAGGAAAAUUUUGUUUUUAAAUUUUUCCUAACGUGGGGACGUGGUGUGCGGGCCCCAGGCAGAAGCAGCCGUGACAAAGAGGCGUUACAGUGAAGAGAUAGCCCAGUCGGUCACGGUUCCUGCAGCCUGCUGGAAGAAGCCAGCCGGGGGUGAAAGGUGAAACGGAUUUAAUUUGGAGGUAUUGGGAAGAUUUUGGUUGUCUUUNGAGGGGAUGACAACUUUGGAGAGGGGGCCGGGCAGGGGCUCUGCUUUUAAAACAAAAUUAUUAUUAUCACCGUCGGAACAGUGCCCGACCUGCUCGUGCAGGUGCAGGUGCAGGUUGUAGAUGUGCAGCACGAGGGGCCGCUCUUGGGCUGCGACGCACCAUGUUCCUCCUGUGCACAAAACAAUCACGCCACGAAGUGCAUCCGGACCGUCCGUCCGAUUGAAACAUACCAAUUGUUACACUUAUAGAAACACCUUGAACGACGUAAUAAUCAAUUUUAUAAAUUUCACUGCUCCUGAGCGAGUGGUAAAGAACUUGGUGGUUGGUAUUCGAAAUCUAAGUUCAAAUUCUAGUUAAUUCAUAUUUUCAGCUAAGUUUAUUUUUAAAUAAAAUAAACGAAGCGGGUAGCGUGCUACCUAUCUCUCAAAAAAAAAAAAAAAAAAAAUUCACUGCUCCGUGCUAUGAUAAUCUCACUCGGCUUCUUACUUUAUCACUUAUUAGUGGCAGAACCUUCUAGGGCAUUUGAGUUCACAAAGAGAGAUAAUAAUAUCUAAUAUACCCCUACUAAAAACUUUCCAAAUAUCUAAUGUAUUCCUUUUGUUUCAAAUAUGUCUCUAGUAUAUUUUUCCGCUACUCAAAAAUAUUUUUAUUGUUAGUACCCAUUAAGCUAUCUCGGAUUAAACCCGAGUUAAAUUUUUACCAGAAUUUAAAAAAAAAUCAAAAUACCUUUUUUGCCCCUAACUUAAAGGCAAACAAAAAAAAGUUGGUAAUAGUAGAAGAGUAUAUUUAAAAAGAUAAAAAAAAAAUCAAAAUAUUUAUUUUAUCCCACUGAUUAACAUAGAAGAGUAUAUAUAUAUAUUUGAAAAAGUAAAAUAAUAAUUUUACAGAGAUAACGACUAUUGCUAAUAGUUAGUUAACAAAAUUUAAUUCUACGAAUAUAUUUGAAAUAAUUUGAAACAUUAAAAAGAUAAUUUUUAAUAUUAGCUAUCUAUAAGAGAUAAAAAAAAAAGGACAAAAACUAGAAGUAUACAAGCCUAAGAAUUAAAAGAAAGGCAAUUUUGAAAGAAGAAAACCAAGAAAACUCCCAUUUUAUAAGUAGUAUAGAUAUAGAGAUAGGUAUUCAGCAAAUUAAAUUACACUUUUGGUCCUCAAACUAUGAGUCGCAUUACACGUUGCUCCUCAAAUUUUAAUACAUUAUAAUUUUUUACUCAAAUGUUUUGAAUCAUUGUAAUUAAAUUGCACAAUAUAACUUAGUUGACUAAAUGAAAACAUAUUGCUGAUAUCACAGUAAUUUGAACAUGUUGUGACCGAUGAUGCAAUAAUGAUUAAAACACUAUGUUACUAUCGCUUCCACAAAAUGUCACCAUGUAGUUAGGGUAUAUUUGUUUUGCUGAAAGUGGAGACGGGUAAAGUGUUUUUUUUUUUUUUUAUCUUAAGUGACCACUUCCGUAAUUUAUCGCAAUAUAACUAUGGCUGAAACUCAGGUUCUCCUAAACAGCACAUUUAACUUUGAUCGACCUUAGGUUGAAGUCAAGCUCGAAUCCUACUUGAUUCACAUUUCUAGCUAACUUUAUUUCUAAAUGAAAUAAACGAAGCGGGUAGCGUACUACCUAUCUCUAAAAAAAAUAUUACAAAGGGAAGGAAAACUUGUUUUUGGGAUAGGAUUGUCACCUUUCUCAUCUAAAUAUAUUUGAUUAUUAUGCUAAUUUCUCUUUUAUUUAGUUUGCAUGUUUAAAAUGUAAUGAAUUUUGAUUAGCUAAGUUUUAGUUUUUGUUUUACGUAGUUUGCAUAUUUAAAUUGUGAUCAAAAUUAAGUAGUUGAAUUUUAGUAUUGCUUUUUCUUUAGGAUUUUAUUAUUGUAUUAUUAUAAUUUAAUUAUAUAUAAAUAAUACAGUUAAAUUAUUUUUUAUUUAUAAUAUUA
rnacentral:lncRNA from 1 species